UGCUUUGAGCCGUAUCCGAAAUGCCGCUAGGGACCUUCUCACUCUUGAUGAGAAGAACUCUCGUCGUAUUUUUGAAGGUGAAGCACUUCUUCGUAGGAUGAACAGGUAUGGACUUUUGGAUGAGAGCCAGAACAAGCUCGAUUAUGUCUUGGCUUUGACUGUUGAGAACUUCCUUGAGCGCCGCUUGCAAACACUUGUGUUCAAGGCUGGUAUGGCCAAGUCAAUUCACCAUGCUCGCGUCUUGAUUAGGCAAAGGCAUAUCAGGUAAAGGUUUACUUUUUUUCUAAAUAUACAGUUGGUGGCUGUUUAUUUUCAAAUCUUGUUGGACAAGCGAAAUAGUAUAUAUACUUUUCAAUAUAUUGAAACUUGAAGUUGGUAGUUGUGCUUGUGAUUACUGUGUUGAUGUUUUGACAUUUAUGUUGUUCUUAGAAGGUGCAGUUAUUAUCUUGCACAUGGUAUAUCUGUUAAUUAUGUUCAUUUCCACAUUUACCAGCCAACAAGGAAUUUAUGUGAUUAGCUGUGACUAGUUCUGUUAUAAAUUCCUUAGCUGCUUGCUGAUGUGCCAAUUUGGCUUCAGGUUUUCAAGUUGUUGCAAUUUAUUGCCUUGUGCUUUCCUGCCUUUGCAUAUUCCUAUAUGUGAUUUCUGGUUUGCAAUUUCUUGUCUGAAAGAUGUUAUAGAUCCUCUGAAUGUUGUAUCAAGAUGUCUGCUCUGUCAUUGAUAGGGUUGGGAGGCAGGUUGUCAACAUCCCAUCGUUCAUGGUGAGGGUUGACUCACAAAAACAUAUUGACUUCUCUCUAACAAGUCCAUUUGGAGGUGGCCGCCCUGGAAGAGUGAAGAGAAAGAACCAGAGAGCAGCUGCCAAGAAGGCUGCUGGUGGAGAUGGUGAUGAAGAGGAAGACGAGUAAACCUAAGGCUACUACCGCCACUAGGAACCCUUUAAAAGGCUCUGCGUGGAACUUACCAUCUCCUUCAUUAUUAGACAUGGUUUGAGUUUUGUUUCCACACCUUUAUUGUAGUGGAUCUUGGUAUGUGUUUUUCAUUUAUUAUUAUGUUUUUUCCUGGAUUAGAAGUGAAUUGAGCAUUAAUUUUGUUGGUCUAAGAUUAAAAUGUUUUAACUUUGGUCAUUUAUACUAGUUGCUCCACCAUGAUGUCAUCUGAUUUUACCCAAAAUCUUAAUCAAGUAGCCAUAUUUGGUGUGAUGUGGUCACUGGUUCAAUUAAGAAUUCAUGGAAUCAUACCACUACCAAAUUUGACUUUAUAGUCAUAAUAUGCCUAGCAUUAAAGAUUUUUGUUGUGAACCUUUGACCCUUUAGGGAUUUGGUUGGUACCUUCUUAACAUUGAAAAUUUAUCAUAUAAAUCUAUUUUGGCCAAGUCAUAUUGUUUAUAAUCUUAAUUUGCAAGUAAUUUCACCUCUGGAUUAUUAAUCUUUAGCUAUUAAUCUUAUUAUAGAUUCUGCCUUAUGCAAUAUUUGUCCUAAAGUGUAAGAUGUUAGUCCAAGGAAGCAGUUAGUGAAGAAUAGAAAAAUAAAUGCUGUCUCUGCUUAAACUUUGAAAUAUUGAAAAUGCCUUGCACUCUUCAUGGAAAAUGACCUGAUUUUGUAUGAAUUUGCAUUAAAAGUCAGAAUAACAAACUUAACAAACCCUUUCUGGUUAGGAAUGGAGGAUCAAAACGUAGCCCUUUUUCCCUUGGAUGGAAACAAGGAAAAAAUUUGUUGUUUACAAAGGAAAUUCUAAGGAAUGUUUGCAAUAACUAUCGAUGUCUACAUUAUCUUUCCGAUAUGCCUGUCUCAUCCAGAAGCUAUUGUUUUAGUUGAUUCUUUCCAGACUGGAAAAGUGGAAGAAAACCAUGUGCCUCGUCUUCUUCAUGUUAGUUGAAGAAACUCUCGAAGUUUGAUCUUUUUGAUCUUUUUGCAGAGUGGAAGAAAACCAUUUGUCCAAAAUCUGCUGGACCAGUUUGUCCCUUAAUGGUUGAAAUAGGCCUCAAAAAGUAGUAGCAAAUUGAGGAAACAACAAAAAAAAAAGGCUCCGUCAAAGCAAGUCUUUUGUUGUCAACAAGAAUGCAAGUAAAAAAGGAAAGAUUCAUAAACUUGUUUUUUUGAUACUACAAGGGAAAGAUUCAUAAACUUGUUUUUUUGAUACUACAAGGGAUAAAAAAGAUCACAUUAGCCGACCAAUGAGUCCAUUGGCAGAACCUUCAGUCUUUCCACACUAUUCUAUCACAUUAGUUGAAGAAACUCUCGAAGUUUGAUCUUUUGAUCUUUUUGCAGAGCACACAAGGAGUCUUUUGUGGGGUUAGGGGCCCAUUUGUCCAAAAUCUGCUGGACCAGUUUGUCCCUUAAUGGUUGAAAUAGGCCUCAAAAAGUAGUAGCAAAUUGAGGAAACAACAAAAAAAAAAGGCUCCGUCAAAGCAAGCCAAGUUUGUUGUCAACAAGAAUGCAAGUCAACAAGGAAAGAUUCAUAUAUACUUGUUUUUUUGAUACUACAAGGGAUAAAAAAGAUCACAUUAGCUGACCAAUUCCAUUGGCAGAAUCUUCAGUCUUUCCACACUAUUCUAUCACAUUAGUUGAAGAAACUCUCGAAGUUUGAUCUUUUUGAUCUUUUGGCAGAGCACACAAGGAGUCUUUUGUGGGGUUAGGGGCCCAUUUGUCCAAAAUCUGCUGGACCAGUUUGUCCCUUAAUGGUUAAAAUAGGCCUCAAAAAGUAGUAGCAAAUUGAGGAAACAACAAAAAAAAAAAGGCUCCGUCAAAGCAAGCCAAGUCUUUUGUUGUCAACGCUGAUAUUCCAAUUGCUUCAAGAAUGCAAGUAAAAAAGGAAAGAUUCAUAAACUUGUUUCUUUGAUACUACAAGGGAUAAAAAUGAUCACAUUAGCUGACCAAUGAGUCCAUUGGCAGAACUUCUUCAGUCUUUCCACACUAUUCUAUCCUAGUACUCAUCACCUUCAUCUUCAUCCCCUUCAGCAGAUUCUGCGCCAACUUCCUCAUAAUCCUUCUCAAGAGCAGCUAAGUCUUCUCUAGCUUCUGAAAACUCACCCUCCUCCAUACCCUCACCUACAUACCAAUGCACAAAUGCACGCUUGGCAUACAUCAGAUCAAACUUGUGAUCAAUCCUUGAGAACACUUCAGCCACACUUGUAGAGUUAGAAAUCAUACAAACUGCCCUUUGAACUUUGGCCAAAUCGCCACCAGGCACCACAGUAGGAGGCUGGUAGUUGAUACCACACUUGAACCCAGUUGGGCACCAAUCGACAAACUGGAUAGUCCUCUUAGUCUUGAUUGUUGCCACAGCAGCAUUCACAUCCUUAGGCACCACAUCACCUCUGUACAUCAAGCAGCAGGCCAUGUAUUUCCCAUGGCGUGGAUCGCAUUUGGCCAUCAUAGAAGCUGGUUCAAAAGCACUGUUAGUGAUUUCUGCUACCGAUAGUUGCUCAUGGUAGGCCUUUUCAGCAGAAAUGACUGGUGCAUAUGAAGAAAGCAUGAAAUGGAUUCUAGGGUAUGGGACUAAAUUGGUCUGAAAUUCUGUUACAUCCACAUUCAGAGCACCAUCAAAUCGCAGAGAUGCAGUCAGGGAAGAAAUAACCUGUAAAACAAUCAAAAUAUUAUCAAUAUCAGUAUACCUCAAAACAAUCAAAACUAUUUGUCAAUUAUUGUUUGAGAAAUUCCAAAUUUUGUACCUGAGACACCAGCCUGUUGAGAUUGGUGUAAGUAGGCCUCUCGAUGUCGAGAGAUCUUCGGCAAAUAUCAUAGAUAGCUUCAUUAUCAAGGAGAACUGCUACAUCAGUGUGCUCUAAGAGAGAAUGAGUUGACAGAACACUAUUAUAAGGCUCUACAACAGAUGUAGAAACCUGAGGGGAAGGGUAAACAGUGAAAACCGAGUUUUGAUUUUUGGCCCAUAGUCGGGACAGAGAGCCUUUCAAGAAGCAGAGAACCAAGGACCGUCCUGUUCCACCACAACAGCAUGGAAUUACCAAAAACCCUUGAAGUCCAGUAGCAGUUAUCUGCUAGGUUUAACCUGAUCCUGUCAAGGGCAGGAUCCACUAUUUCCUUUGCCAACUGCACAAAUAAUUGCCCUCCAAUGUAGUAAUUGCCCUCCAAGGUUAGUUUAUUGUAGUGACCAGUUUGAUUCAAGGAAAACAUUUUCUUAAACACUUUUUUCUUACUUGUAUAAUGGCUCUGGCAAAGUUAUUGGCAGCAUCUUCUUUGCCACUAAUGAGCUGUUCAGGGUGGAACAAUUUGGCGGUAAGUCCCGAUCCGACUUCAUCAAUUAACAGUUGGUUCCAAAUCCAAAAACACAGCACGAGAACAUGUUUUCCGGCUCCUGUUUCACUGAAAAAUGUGUUGAAAGCAUCAUCUCCUCCUCCAACUGUCUUGUCACUUGGCAUUUGUCCAUCAGGCUGCACCAAAAAAACAGAACUACUAAAAUACUUAAUACCCAACAAAGAAAAAGAGGAAAAUUUUGAGUUUAUAUCGAAAAAAGGAAGAAGGAACGACCUGAAUGCCAUGUUCAAGGCAGUAGAGCUCCCAACAGGCGUUGCCAACUUGGAUACCAGCCUGACCAAUGUGGAUUGAAAUGCACUCUCUCAUUUUUGUUAGUGAAAAUAAAAAAGAAGAUUGAUUAGAAAAGCAAAAGGGGAGGUGCCAAAGACGUAUACAAAGACGCCCGGAACAAGAAAUAGAAGAAUGGGUAGUGAAGGAAAUGAGGAAAUGGGAGAAUUCUUGAGGAUAUAUAUACUGGAAAUAGAUUGAAAAAAUGGGCCGUUUGAAACGGCUAUAAAAUUGGGAGUUUUCCAAGGUAAGAAAACGGCUAUAACUUUUGAAUAAAAGAGAUUGGUGGUGGUGGGAACUGGGACGCACGUAGUGGACCGUUAAGGGAUUUGAAAUUUGAAAAUUGAAUGGCGAACCGCCUCGAGAAACCUAUUCCCUCUGGACUGGGCUUGUGGGUGUGAACCAAGUUGGACGCUUACCAUGGAUUUUGAACCCAAUAUGAAACUCUGAACCACUUUUCAUUGCCCAAUGCCCACACUGUAAUGAAAAUAUGUGCAUUGAAUAACUCUAGUUUUUGGGUCCAGAGUCAAUGUUUUGAUGGGUACUCUUAGUGUUGUUUGGAUCCAGAUUCAGGGUCUAUCGGGGAGCUCGAUUGAAAGAUUCUCACCACAUUGGAGGAUCCAUUUUAUAACUGGAUCUCUCCAGUUAUGAAAAUGCACUUUCCAAUCGGACUCUCAAAACUCUCAAAUGGAUUGUUUUGAUGUGAUGGGCACUCUAAUAUUAGUCGUUUGGGAGGCAACAGGCCAACUGAUGACUUCUUCAGGUAUUCCGGAAGGCGAAACCGAAACCCAAAAGUUCAUGGGUAGAAAGAACAUGGUGGUGGAAAAGCAGUUUCUUACUCUUCGGCCAUGGCCAUGCCUAAUAAUGACUGCUAGUAAAAAAAAUUUUAAAAAAGAAAAGACGAAAUGAAACCUGAAUAUUAUAACAUUGUAUUGUAUGGGGGAUCUCUCUUUUGCCUUUUUAGGUCCAUUUCCAUUGAUGUUUUAUCAUACACAUGCAUUGUUUUUUCUUUUAUCCUUCUCCGUACAACUUUAUCUCGGCCUUUCAAUCUGUUAUAAUAACUCAAGUGGCAAGCAGAAAGUUCACAAAAGGCCUUUAAACACUACUUUUACUUAUUUUGUUGGGUAAAGGGGUUGAUGCUGAUGCAACUUACCAAUAACUUGGUGUUAUUAGAGAUGUACAUGAUUCAUAUAUAAAUAAAUUUUAUUAUACUUGUGAUUUAUUUGUUUAAUUAAAAUUUUUUUAAAUAUUAGUUACAUUUAUUUAUUAAAUUUAAUAAAUAAAUAUAAAUCUGUCUAUAAAUUAUUUGUUAAAUGUUUUGUUCAUUUUAUAUUUCGAAUAUAAAUAAAUCAAAUAUAAAUAAUUUUAUUAUAUUUUGUAAAUAAAUUUUAAAAUAUUAUUCACAACUAUUUUUUAAAUUUAAUAAGAAAAUUAAAAAAAUAAUAAAAUCUAUUCGUGAAUUUUUUUUUUUUGGUUUAUAUUGUAUAAUUUUUUUUGGUUUAUAUAGUAUAAUUUCAUAAUAAAUUAACUAGUAGUGAUUUGAAACUUUUAUGCAGUUGUCAAUGGUGGCAACCGGCUAAGGUUUGCACGGCUAAGCCCAAGGUUCAUAGGAUAGGCUUUUGUUCAUACUUGUAUAGCCCACAAUGGAGCCUAAACCUUUAAAGAAAGUGGACAGAGGCCUGAUAAAUGCUCACCCGAGUGGAAAGGGUUUUCCUUUCCCCUCCCUCCGAAGAUCAAAUAAUCAAUUUUUCCAACAAACCAAGAAACACCACCUUGACUUGGAGGAAUAGCCAUUCAUGAAACUUACCAAACAAAAAAGCCUGAUCACAUGUCAAAAGUCACCUAAUUAUAUAGUUCGAUGAUUAUUCAUUAUUUGCUGUUAUUGAAAGUAAUAAUUUUCAAUUUCAAAGAGCCCCAAAAGAUUAAGCUAUGUGUGGUGAAUAAUUAAGAUUAUGACAGCUGAGGACCCCCUUCCAAAAUUGCCAGUGGGUAUGGGGGAUUCAUUUCCCUAUUGAAGAUGGACCGAAAGAAGGCCCAGUAAAUUUCCUUUGCAUUUUCCUCUUAUGGCUACCAUAAUUCACCACAUCAUUUCACUAUGAAAUCUGCUUUUAGUUGGAGAGUAGUCAUUCUACUGAUUUCAUGAGGAUGUGCCAUUAUUAUUUUUUUUGUACUUUCAUCAAUUUGUCAGGAAAACUUUUUCUUUUACCUUAUCCUCUUAAAGAUCAAUUUUUGCAUUAAAAAAUCCUUUAAGGACAGUUACUGGUCAGAUCAAACUAUGUUCUUAGAGCAAAGGAGAAAAAAAAUAUGGUAGGUUUUGUAUAAUGACUGAUUCAAAGGAGACAUGAAAGCAUUCUCCUGGUUAUUGGAAAAAAAAAAGCGUAGACUAAUCAUUUCAUAUUUACUUGUGAGAUGUGUAGGCCAGUUUUAGCUUAGGGCUCUUCUCCAUAUAUCAAGCUGUAUCAGCAAUGAUGAAAAUGAUGAUGGAUUAGUUGGGAUUUCUCAGCAAACCAGGUAUUCAUCAAUUUUAUUUAUCUUAUUGCAUACAAAGUUACAGCUAAACAGACAGCCAAGAGAUAACCAAGAUUCCCAAAUGUGGUCCUUAAACUUUCAGACCAUAAGCUUAGACCCUUGACUCCCAUAAUGUGGUCCAUCACUUUCUUUCUGUUGCAUACGAUGCCAUUUCUGGCUUCAAGCUUUGGUUCUAUUCUUUUUUCUAUUUUAUUAUGAACUAAAUGAUUUUAUAAUGAAGCCUACUUGUAGCUAUCAACAGCUCCACCUUCUACUUAACUUGAUUAUACAUAGAAUGCUAAACUCCUAGUUUUAAUAAUUAAAAUUUAAUUUUUGAUAAUUUUGAAUCUAUGAUAUAAAACUAAGUGAUCGGGCAAAGAUGCCUCAUAGAUACCUUUGAGAAAAAGAUAGCUUUACAAGCUUUCAAUACGAUGAAAAUGAAAUUGACAUGAAACGAGGUAUAAUUAUCGUGUUCGGUUCAGAUAGUGAUUGAUUAUUGUAUCUGUAUGGUUGAUAGAACAGAUUGAAGGAUUGUUAAAUGUAUAUCCAAGCUAUGAAAGAACAUCCGAAGAUAAAACCUAAAACCUAGAAUUAUUUGAAGAAAGCAUAUCACAUGUCUAUACAAUACAAAUUGUUAUUAAAACAUAAACAAGGACCAAAAUUUCUCACCAAAAUGGAUCUAAUGUUCCCAAAAGAGCCUACAAAACAACCAAAGGCCACUUCAUUUCAUUUAUAAAUCCUUAUGGCUCCAAAACAACUUUGGCUUUGUUUUUAUUAUAUCACUAAUAAUAAAACUUUUUAACCCUAAGGGUUGGAGCCAUUGGGGGCCAAAGGAAGCAUACCAAGAACAUUCAAGUUUUGAAACAUUAGCCGACCAUUUUCCUACUCUUGGUCUCUUAGUGACCUUUGAUCAUGACAUUUAAAUCACCAAAGCAUCUUCUUAAUCAAAUUUCUUCAAUUUGUCAUUGUCCUUAAACUUUCCUUAAGCAUUUUGAUAGAUAUAAAAACAUUAUUUGGAUAAGAACUUAAAAUAUUAAAAUACGACAAAAGCAUUCAUAAUUUGAAUUCAAGGCUUAAUUCAAUUGAUUUAUGCAACUAUCUGAGAAAUUAAUAUCUAAUAAGUUUAAAGUUUAAAUUUUAACACUUUCUCUAUCUUCAAACUACCAUCUCUUUUUGUAUUAAAAAUUCAUAAUUCUUUUAAGGGAUAACAAAGCUUUCGUAAUUUGACGAGAUAAUUUAAGACUUUCAAAGUGAUCAAAAUUAUAAAUAAAAUUAUCGUGCAAUUAAUUUAUAUAUUAAUCCAUUUACACUAAUUAAGGGUUAGUUCAAGUCCUAAGAUGCUUGACAAUGUUUGAUGCUAUAAUGUUAAAUAAUUAGAUAAGAACUCAAAAUAUUAAGAUCACCAACAAAUCAUAUGAUAAUUUGAUGGGAUAGUUUGGGCUUUAUUAUAUAAUAACAAGACGAUGAAUAAAACAUGAUUAUCAUAUUAUAUAAAAUAGUUUGCUACUAUAUUUUACAUUAACUAAGGGUUAGUUCAAGUGCUAAGAUGCUUGACUUUGUUUGAUACUAAUCAUUUCAUUUUAGAAUUCAACAAGUCCAUGGCUUUGAGCUAUGCAAUGUGGGGUUAAACCAAACCCUACAAUUAUAGGAAAUUUGAAGCAAAAACAGCUUUGAAGCCGAACCUUUAUGAACUCAAUAAUAUAAGGGAAACAUUUGGAAGCCAUUGGGGCCAUUUAAACCUUUAGACGGUUGACUUUUUUCUUUUUUCUUUUCAUAUUCAGAAGCUUUUAUAUCAGCAAAACAAACAUAAUUUAUAAGACUAUGAAACUGACAUUACCUGUUUAGACCACAACAAGUCAUGGGAUUAUAAUUAAGACAGGGCCUAUUUCUACUUCUAUGGCUUCUUACACUCUGGUUAUUGAAAAGCAUGCAAUUUUUAAUUUGGUCGAAAAACAAGAAGAAAAGUAAUGCAACUUCCAUGGGAUUUUGCCUGUGUUUUCUGAUACAGGCUAGGCCAUGUUGACCCGGAUUCAAACCUGCUUAAAUCGAUAUCUUGGGCUACCCAAAGCAGGUUAGGGCCUGAACAAGCAGAAGGACCAAGCAGGCAAGCCAGGUUGAGUUUCUGGUCUAGCCCAACAAGCUAGCAAGCAAAUACAUUUGAGAUCGAGGAAAGGACGGAGGAUGAAAUGAUUUUAUUUUGAUGCCAAAAAAAAAAAAAAAUAGCAAAUGAUUUCUGAUUUCACCCCUGGGAUGUGACAUGAAGCACGAUUGUGAGAAUAUUUUAGGAGCGUUUCACUUUAGGACAAACAGAUGGUGAUGUAGAUUUGCAUUUUCAUCUGUGACAUGUUUUAUAAAAGAUUGCAAAUUGAGGUGAGGAGAAGGAGAAAAGGUUUCCCAUUUGAUUUAGCCACCUUACCUACUUUUCUCAUGGCAAUUUUCCUCUCCUAUAAUUUUGCUUUGAUUGUCAAACGGUUCAUCUCCCUUAUCCUUAAAACACUUUGUACCAUGCAACUUAGAAUGGAAGAGUUCCAUUUCUACACGUAUAUUCAUUACUUUUGUUUUUAUAAAAAAAAAAUGAAUAUAAAAGGAAACAAAACCUAUAAAAUUGAAUAAAAAUAUGUCAAAAAAAAUUAGCAAACAUAUAAGAUGUAGUAUAUAGUUUUUUUUUUAUGAAGAAUUAUAUGUAUCAAAAUUGAAUAUUAAAUUUGUUAAAUGUUAUUUCUUUAAAUGAUUAUAUGAAUUGAUUAAAUUAAAUAUCAAAUUUUGUAAUAGAUAAUUUUAUUAUGUAAUAUAUACUAAGACAAUAAUUUUGAAGUCGAAAUUAUUUAAAUAGUAAAUGUAAUUUUAGUGGAAAGAUAAAAUCAAUUAUUUUCUACAAUUUAUUUUUUUAAAAAAAGCCCAUAGUUUUGAAAUAUAUACCAUUCCCUUGUUGAUAUAUCUCAUAUCUCACAUCUAACAUAUACAUAUGGAGUAUUUGGAUUAAAUCUAUACUUUACAUUUUCACAAUAAUUUGAAAAUGUGGAUUUGACUUGAAAACAUUCUCUUGAAGAAGAAAUGUGUGGCUAGUUGCUACCAAUUUGAAUUUGUCUCAAUUAUCAAUAGAAAAUGCUAAUGUAUUGCUAGUCAUUACCAUCACACAUAUCAUUUUUUUUAUGAGAAACAUUAUCCUUUGUAUUUUCAUUAUAAAUUGUCACAUUGUUUUGAAUGGUACAUAUAACCACCCUUUUGAAAUCAAAGGGAAAUUAGACAAAAGGAAAUAGGUUUUAUAUUAGAAGACACCCAAAAAAAUUGUGAAACUUCGUUCAAUUUGUUCAUGUAAUCAUCUUUAAAAAAUAAUAUCUAAGAGGACCGAGAGUUAAAUCUUAACAUAUGCAAUCUGUGAUAUCUUUUGUAAAAACAACACAUCCAAAACAAAGAAGAUAUCCUGUUUAGUGAUCUAAACAGAAACAGUAUCCUUUCUGAAUCUAAUUCCAACCCUGCUAAUGCUCCCAAAAAUGUGAUAUGAAUGAUAAAUUCUCCAAUUUCCCAGGCUAUGUUCUUUAGCCAGGAAGAUAAUGAAAACAAAAAACCUUUUGUGACACUUGAAUUGUAAUAGUAACUGCAGGAAUAAUGAGGAAAAACUAACACAUUUUUCCCCGGAAGAAGAUUAUUUUUGGAAUUAGGAUACAGUAAAAAAAAAUGGCCAAAACCACAAGAAUGGUAGCCAAGUUUCUGAAAUCUGAACCUUUUCUGAUGGCAUUCAUACAAUAUUAGGAGCUAGCAAUUUAUCAUGGACUUCCAGGUUUAUCAGAACUAAACUAUAUAUAUCUUCAAUGUUCAGAAAUAAUGAUGGCUGAAUUGACUGUGUACCGUUGGGGUUCAGGAAACUACUGUUUCCCCGCUGAAGAUUUGCGUCAUCCACUGUAUAAAUGCUUCCCAAAGAUUAUUUUCAGGAAGCUUUGAAUUUGCUUGUUGUUAUUUGAAACAAACUAGUACAAAACACUACUUGGGUCUUUUUUUGUUCUUCAUUUUGAAAAUAAUUGAAGCAUUAUUUUUGUUGCCAUUUGGCCUAUGUCAUGUCUAGUUGGGUGAUUUGUUAGCUUGAAGAAGAUUUGAUGAAGAUUGUGAAGAUAUGAUCUACAUGCUUUUUAUAGAAGGUGUAUUAUUUUGAAGAUUUUAUGUAGCUCUUGGUAUUGGAUAUCACAAUUAAUUUAUUUCAAGUUCAUGUUGGUAUAAAAUUCAAUUAUUACCAGCUUCAAAAAAAAAAAAUCAAUUAUUACCAAGAACCUUCCCAUAUCCUACCUUGUUAGAAUACUUUAUUGUUUUAAUUUAAUGCAAAAAAGCAUAUGAGUCAUAUUUUCCUCCAUAUAUAUAUAUGUUUAUUCCAAAUAGAAUUAUACCAAAAUAAAAUUAAAUUGAUUAAUCGAUUGAUUUUGUUGAGAUGUUAAGUAUUAACUUGUUUAAUUGAUGAUUUGAUUGAUAUAUUAAAAACAAUAAAUUAAUUUAUUGAAAAAAUAAUUUAAAAUUUAAUUUAAUUAAUUUAUAUAAAUAACUUUAAAAAAUGACAUUUAACAACUCUGAAUUUUUUUUUAUCUCCUUUGUAAAAAAAGUUAUGGAGACAAGUUUUUUUUGCACAAUUAAUUAGCAUAAAAUUAAAGGAAAAUAUGUUGUCCCUUCAAAAAAGUUUCUUUUUGCCCUAUGAUGAGAUUCUCAUAUGCUAAAUUUGUGCUAAAAUUCAAUAUAUUUAAGUGCAAUCUGAUAGAAAUUUAUUCACAAACUUAACGGUGGGUGAAUCUAUGGCUUUGGCAACAAAAUCUAGUGUUCACAACUCAUUGGAGAAAAUGCUUCAGGUAGCAAACAAAUACCAGUGGAUAAAAAGAAGUAAUAGAAACCAAAAAUUAUGAAGGCUGGCAUCCUGAGAAAGGAGGCUGCCAACGACACAUGCACAUUGUCAGUAAAUGAAAGGGCUUCUGCAAAUGACUCAGAAAGUAAUUUUCUUUUUCAUGGCAAUUUAGAAUCAAAAGACAAAAACUUUACACAGACAACCAGAAGGGAAAGCAGAAAUAAAGUUCACAGAAAAUACAAUGAAGAGCCAAUCAAAUCAUGACAAGUAAAUUACCUUCAUUUAAUGCCGUUCAACUUUGUAUUAAUUCUCAAAGGGUAAAUUUUCUUGGCAAUACCAACCAAGGCAGAGCAGAAAACACUGACAAUUUUUGCAGUUAACCAGAUUCUCUCAUUCUAGUUAACCAGGAUCAGAAAACUAACUUCCUAGUUUGCAACCACAGUUAAAGUGCCAGUUCAAACAUGGCUUUCAUUUUUUUGGCAAAAUGGCAUCUUUCAUUUCAUUUUUACAAAAGUAUAGUUUCACUUGGUGAAAAUUUCUUUUUCAAAGUAAACUACAACUUAAAAGAAGGAUUUAAUUUAGUUAAUUUUAACAUUCUUAAAAAAAUCUAAUAAUAAAUAAAUAUUUAUUAAUAAAAAUUUAAUUUUGAGUUUGAAUCAUCUCAAUAAUUUUGUAUCGGUGUUAAUAACAAAUGUAUGAUCCUGAAAUUGAGAAUUGAAUAAUCUGUACAGUUCUUAGUUGAAGAAAAAACAGGUUGCUCUGUUUUUAUUGAAUAAAAUCAAAGUCAAAAUAGUUAUUUUUUGGCUGAAAGUCUUUUGGUUUGACCAAUGGUCUUAACGCAUGCGUUCUCUGUCUUUCUGUUUUCUUACUUACAAGUUACAAUAACUUUGCGAUUUCUCUCUCUACAUAUGCACUCACUCUAACACACUGUAUUUGUGCUGCUUUGCCCUUUAUUUUUUCUGCCUUCUCUUCAGCUUAGUUCUCGAACUGAUAAACUCAAAAACGACAUUGUCAGAUUUUGGAGACCUUGAAAAAGAGGAAGAGAGAGAGAAAAAGAAAGGGUCUUUAGAUCUCUCAUUUCUUCUUUCACCCUCAGAUCUUCUCCCCUUCUUUCUCUUUCUUUCAAUGGCUAUUCUCACUCAAAAACUUUAACUCAAAUUCCCCUGAGCUAACUCAUUGAAGCUUUUCCUUCCUUCCUCUCUCUCUCUGCAUUCAGAAACUGGGGUUAGCUUUGGUUUGAGUUUACUAUGGCUGAAACACCAGAAACAAAGGCAGUCCCAGAAGCAGAGAAGAAGAAAGAACAAAGCUUGCCAUUUUACCAACUUUUCAAUUUUGCUGACAAAUAUGAUUAUUUGUUGAUGAUCUCUGGUAGCUUGGGAGCUAUAAUCCAUGGUUCCUCAAAGCCUGUUUUCUUCUUGUUAUUUGGUGAAAUGGUUAAUGGCUUUGGCAAAAACCAAUCUGAUUUGCCCAAAAUGACUCAUGAAGUUUCCAAGGUCACUUUUUCCCCUUUUUUCAUCAAAAAAUAUAUUAAAAACCAGAACUUUUCCUUUCACUGUUCUAUUUUAAACUUUAUUAUAAUGUUUUUAGAUCUAAGAUUUCCUGUUCUUUUUUGGUUGUUUUAAUGCAGUAUGCCCUCUAUUUUGUGUAUCUUGGUCUUAUUGUCUGCCUAUCAUCUUAUGCAGGUAUAUUUCUAUUCCUUGUUCUUAUUUGUUUUUUGGGUUAAUAGUUAGACUUUUUUCUUUUAAAUGUAUACAAUCUUCGGAAGGAAUCGUUCAGGCAACAUUACAGUUGUUGCACCGUGCAUGGUCUCGGUCAUAAGUGACUCGUGUAGUGUAGCCAGUUCAACCAAAUUGGACUGGUGGGUGCGUGCCCUCGUGGUCUCAAGGGUGUCUCUUUGUCUUUUUGUUCUUCACUUGUCAAUCCCAAUACCCUUUUAAUAAAAUUCUCACUUACAUUUGUUUUUAUAAUUUUAUUCAACACUAUCUCCCACAAUCGUCCCAUCUCUUUCAUUGUAAGUACAUUUGAUUCUUAAUGUGGUGGGUAGCUGUUAAUUUUAUCUGUUAAACAAAGUUAAAUUUUACCAUUUUUUUCUUUUUUUUUUUUUUUUGGUUGCCAGAGAUUGCAUGUUGGAUGUACACUGGGGAAAGGCAAUAAGUACAUUGAGAAAGAAGUAUUUGGAAGCAGUUUUGAAGCAAGAUGUUGGAUUCUUUGAUACUGAUGCAAGAACUGGGGAUAUUGUUUUCAGUGUUUCAACUGAUACUCUACUUGUCCAAGAUGCCAUCAGUGAGAAGGUUGGUCGGUUUGGUUGUUUUUGAUCUUUUUGCCUUUCUGGAAUUUCUUUUGCAUUUUUUUUUUUUCUGUUUUGUGGGUGUAAUCAGAUUCUGGCCAUGGCGUUAGUUUUGCUUAUAUGGGUUUGUUGGCUAUACAUAAAUGCGGGUUCCCAACCUUAUUAUUUUGGGUUUGAACAUUUGACCGUGCACGUUAGCACCUUAUUAUUGUAGGGUGGGGUCUAUAGAAUUUUGUCUAAUUUUAUCUAAUUAAACUCAAGUUAAGGCUACCUACAAAAUUCAAGUUUUACCACAAAAUUACAAACCAUCAAGAGCCUUCAUCUGUGUAUUUAUUAGCAAACCAAAGUUCAUUUCACCAAACAAACUAGGGACAAAAGCAGAAGAAAAAAAAGAGACAAUUUUUAGUUUUAUAAUUCCAGGUUCUAAAAAUAUUAAAUUUAUAUUAAAGAUAAUUCUGUUAUUCAAUACAAUUAGAUUAAAGUUGUCCUGGCUGUAAUUUGGUCUUUAAUUUAUAGAUAAAUCAGUUUUGAGAAUACUUUUAAUUUGAAAGUUGAUUGUGGAAGUAAUGUAUAUAUGUGGGGCUUGUUUUGGGAGGAAUGUUUGCCUUUGGGGCUAAAAAGGUCUUGAUGAUGGUUCGUUAUAAUUCUCAUAAAAUAAUAAUUCGGACUGAGCCUUAGCUCGAUUGCAAUCCAUGGAAAAGUAAUUUUAUACAUAGUGCAAUUGUAAGGUAUUCUUUUUCGAAAAUUUACUUUGAUUCUCUAAAGCAAUAUUACCCUACAUAGUGAUAAGCGAAUUUAUUGAUUCACUUAUGAAGUAUAGUAAAUAAAUAUUAAACACACUCUCUAUCAAAUUACUUACGGUUGCAAAACUAAUUAUAAAGUUCAUGUUUUAUCACGAAAUUUGGGAUAUAGACAAUUGAACAAAAUCAAAAAAGGCCAAAGUUAGAUACUAAUUAAGCACCACCAGCAAUUUUUUUUAAUCAAAGCCAUCAAACUUUAAACAUAAAACAAAAGAAAAUAGAUGUAUUAACUAAGAAAAAUUAGGCAUAACCAAGAAAUUUGUACUUAAUCCCCCAAUUUAUUCGAAAACAACAAAACCUGUUGUACUGUUUAUAUUGUCAAGAUGCACAUGUGAGCUUCCUUUAAUCAAAUUGGCUCUUUUCUUUGAACUCCAGGUAGCAUUGAACCUUGUAAUGGCCAUGAAAUCCAUCUAAAAAUCACUGACGUUACCAUCUUAAUGUGAAAGCAAGAAACUCCAUUGGCCUUCAUCUAUAUAUUCAUUAAAAACCAGACUGAAAAUUAAAUGCCAUGUAAGAAAAAAUAAAAAUUAGAGAAGAAAGUCCAACAGAUGCUUCUCAAUACAAAGGUAACAACACAGUUUAUCUUGAUAGUAAAAGGUUGAACAUUGAAUAAAAGCAUAACUAAAUUGUAAGUAUCUGCAAAUGAAAAUCAAAGGUUGAAUGCAGUUCCUCCCCUGAGAGAAACCAGGCUCUCUGCAUAAUUGCCAGCUCUAAGGCAAGCCCUAGAAAUUGGAGUGUAUUUAUUAAAUGCUAAUCACUGUGAUUUUGAUACUGAUCACUUCAUAUCAAACACUCUCCAAAUGAAAAGCACGUCUUCAAUAUAUUGAUUCUCUAAAUCAAUAUUCCUAAAUGUUGCAAAGUUAACUAUGAAAUUCAAGUUUUACCAUGAAAUUCGCAAUCUAGAUAAACUCAACAAAACCAAAAGCACUGAUCUCUAUAAUAGCCAUAAAAUCCAUCUAAAAAAUGCAGACAUUACCUUCUUCAUGCAAUAUCAAGUAACUCCAUCAAUGGCCUAUAUCUAUAUAUUCAUUAGCAAACCAAAAGUUCAUAUCACCAAACAAACUACGGACGAAAGGAGAAAAAAUAAACAAUUUUUAAUUUGAUGAUCUCUACGAAGAUUAAAGAGAAACAUGGAAAAAUUGGAAGCCAAGUGAAUUAGGGCCCAAAGAUAUAUAAUUGCCACCGAGAUAUCUCCAAACCGAAAAUUCUAUUUGAUAGUUUUAUUACACCAAACAAGAGCCAAUAAAAGGCUGCAUUUAUUGCAAGAAACUAAAAAGCUUCCGACUUAUAAAAUACUAAGUUACUUGCAUAACUAUAUGCAAAGACAUCAUAUAAUUACCUAAUUCAAAUUGACACCCUCCACAUUUUAUUAAGGAUAGAUAAACCCUGGCCCAUUUUUACAUAAAAAAACUGGAUUAUCCGUGCUUUGAGGGCAAUCGAUGAAGUUAAUUCCAUGGUCAUCCAUACACAAUACAACCUCAUGCAAUUGAAUGUUAUUGUUGUACUUGUUGCAUCGAAGUUCAGGAUCAACAUGUAUCUCAUUCUUUAUAACCCUCGUAAUAAGUUGCCAAGAAUAUGUUUUAGAAGAAUUCCGAGUGAUUCCAGCAUUGAUAAGCACUUUGAAGAUAUCCACUCGAUCCUUGCUAUCUAAAGUCAAUUUGAAGUAGGAAAAUUGAUCAAAAUUAUAUUCGGAACAGGUCCCAUGCGUUUUCCACUCGUGCUCCCAGAAAAUAUCAUUUCGUGUAAAUAGGCUCGGCCAACUUACCAUCAUGCGUGGCCUUAACGUUGCGAUCUAUCAAAGAAAAAAAUUUAAAAACAUUAAUUGAUAUUAGAUUUAUAUUUGAUGCACUAUUAGUAUAUAAAUUUUAUAUAUUAUCAAUGAAUAGAGUGAUGCCCUAUUACUCAAAAAAUAAAUCAGAUGAUACUACAUAAUUAAUGAGUAAGCUUUAAAAAAAAUUAAUUUUUGUAUAUUCAUUUUAAGUGCUAAUAUUUACUCAUUAACAAAAUGACAUCAUUUGAUUUAUUGACUGUGUAUAAAAUUUAUACAUUGACAGUAUAUCAAAUACAAACUCAUUGAUAUUACUUAAUAAUAUAACAUAAUGUAGGAAUGAUUAUAAAUAUGAUAAAUAUUGCUCAUUAAACUUACCAACUUGGGAUCAUAUGGAGUGUUCCCACAAUUGACGGGAUAUGGCCUUGUCUUAUUAGUGCCCCAAAGACCAUGAAUAGUAAAGUUUAAAGUCGGAGGGACAAACGAACACCUUGCACCAUUGCAGGUUGAGGGAGGCCAUUGUUCUACCAGUUUAAAGAACUGGUAAGUUGCAACAGAAUAAUGAAUGUAAAAGAACAAAAGAAAAGUGAAAAUAAUCGAAGUUGUGGUCGGCAUGAUACGUCUAGAAACAAGCAGGAAAAAGAACCUCGGAAUGGUAGAGAAUGAAGUUUACACUUAGAUUCAAUAUAUACUAACAAGAGAGGACCAAGGAAUUAUCAAUUCAAGACAGCUGAGAUAGGAAUUUAAUUUAUACUAACAUGAGAGGACGGAGGAAUUGUCAAUACAAGACAGCUGGGAUAGUUGCAACAGAAUUAGUUCGACUCAAAAGCACAAGAAAUUAAUAAGCCAAGAGCAAUUAAUUGAAUGCUGGUGGGACCUUCUUGAAUUAAUUGGUCAUUUAAAAUAUUGAUUUUGAUUCCUCAAGAAAACAAUAUUGAUUUUGAUUCCCUAAGAAAGCAAUGUUAAUUUUGACUUGGUUCCCAAAUAUAGUUGAUAUUGUUUUUUAAUUUGCAACAUUUUAAUUAUUUUCAUCAGCUUCUUCACCCAUUAUUUUGUUUAUUGGACCGUAUGUGAUAUGCGUUUAAAUAAUUAUUAUUUAACUUUUACGUUUCUUUAAUUCACAUUUUAUUAAUCAAUUUGGGGCAAUGCUAGCGCCAGCUGAAUUGCCCGCUGCUUUUAACACCCGAAUUAUUAAGGAGCCACGUUACCCCACAUUUUUAAAGUUCAGACUGGUAACUUACAAUAGCAUGUUACUCUUCUCAAAGUUAUUUAUUUUAUUUCCAUUUGUUGUCUGAUAGAUUGACAGUUUAUGUUAUCUCUUUCGCUCUUGAUUGCAUCUUCUUUCACAACUCUCUCUUAAAAUUACCACUAUUCAGUUGCUAAUCAAGAAAGAUAAAUGCUUAUGUAUAAAAAAAUAAAAGAAAAAUAUAAGCUUUAAUUCCUUUACCAAUAAAAACUCAACAAAAUUAUUGAUUCUCUCUCAAAAAUUUCUUUACAAUCACCCUUUAAACUAUAAACUCAUCUCCUCUCUUUCUUUUUUUUUUUCGUCACUUUUUCAAAAAUUGUUACUUUCUGCUUGAUUCCUUGUAUUUUUGCUGGGUUUUCAGAGAUAAAAGUAUAUUUUAGGAGUUUUGCUUUUUCAUUUUUUAAUUUAAAAAAUAUUAAUCGACUAGAAAAGAAGAUUGAUGUUGACAUGGUUUAUGGUUGGCGCCUUGCCAAGGUUACUACUUUUAUAGCAAGCCAUAUGUUCUCUGAGAGAAAAAGUUAGCAAAACUCCACUUCUAUUUCAAUGACUCUACCAGCAGCAAAACACCAUUGCCUUCAACAACACAUCGAUAUACUCGAUAACGUUCAUAUUUGGCAAGUCAUUAAUGCUAUAUAUUGUCCAAUUUAAUCCAUUUUAGUAUUUGUGGUUUAAAUAUUUGGAUGCAAAAAGUAUUGAAAAAGUUAUUUGAUUUAUAUAAAUUAAGAGAUAUAAUCAAGUUGAGUUGAAAUAUUGUUAAUCUUAAGCUUAAAUUAAACUUUAAAACUUGUGAUUUGAAAAUAAUUUUGACUUUCUCAAUUAUCAAUAGCAUUAUUAUCAUAUGAGUUUAAUCAAAUGAGUUCAAUUUCUAACUUAAAUCACUUUUUGAGUUAUAAGUUUCAAAAUUGAACUAAAAAAAUUAAACAUUAAUACAGGUCGCAUGUACCAAGAAGCAUUCCAACCAUUAUGCAUUAUUGAUUUUUAAUGCAAAUUAGCAUAUUUUUUAGUGGGAUUUGCAAGUUGUAAGAGAGAAAGAAAAUGACAAUCAAGUUGAAAGUUCAUUAUCAGCACAAAGUUAUCUAUACUGCACAUGGACUGCCUGCCUAAUUGAUUAUACUUACCAUAUAUAGAUCAAUCAGAUAUGAUCAGGAAACUUUAUUCUUUCACAAACUGAACAAUAGUAAGAGUCCAAAGAAACUUUCUUUCUUCACUUCAUUGAAUCAUUAAUCAAGAUUGUUGCUUAAUUGAUUAUACUUACCAUAUCCUGGUCAAUCAGAUAUUCUUAUCCUUCACAUCUGAACAACCUGUUAAAAGAGUCCAAAUAAACUUUCUUUCUUCACUUCAUUGAGUGAAGAUUCUUGUAAGUUUGGUUCAUGGGGACCUUCCUGUCGGUGGGUUCAAAUAAGUUGCAUGACACUAUUGUAAUUAUCAUUUACACUAGAAGAAUGACUCGGCUGCGCUCGGGUUACAAUUUUUUUAAUUUUUAUAAAAUAUAAAAUAUAUAAUUUUUUAUUUAAUAAAAAAAAUUAAAAUUUUUUAGUAUUUUUUAAAAUUAUGAUCUUAAAACAAAAAUAAAAAUCAGAUAUUUGAAUUGUGUCAUUCAAUCAUAAUUGAACAGGUAUAGGUUUCUAUUUUUAAUAAAAGAAACUGCUUUAAAAAAUUAUAUGAGGUGUAUUUUUAUAAUUAUGGUAAAAAAGGUAUUUUAUUAAUUUUAAUCAAUUUUGGUAAGGAAAAAAAGAGACAUAACAUACUAUCAAGUGGCUCAUAGGGAAAAAUUAAACCUAAAAUUUUUUUAUAAAAUAUUUUUUUAAUAUUUAAAUUCAAGAAAAGUAGAAAAAAGUAAAAAAAAGAAAAAAAUUUAUAUAACUUGCUCUCAAAUAAAAAAAAAGAACUUUAAAAAAAUUUAUAAUAAAAAUUUUAUAAUUUUUAUAUGUAUUUAUUAAAUAAGUUUAAAGAAAAGUAAAGAAAAAAAAGUAAAAUUUAGAAAAUGACAUGCGAUAGCAAAAGAAAACAUAAGAAAUAUUUCAUCACAAUUGGUUAGAAUGUGUUUGAACAAAAUUAAAUGUCUACAAUGAUUUAUGAUUUUUUUUAUAAUUUUUAUAGGUUACAUAUAGAAACGAAAAUAUUUCAUGCAAAAAAAAUAGGAAAAAUAUUAAUUAAAAAAACAAAAAACCAAAUAGAUGGUUUGUUUGCACAAGAAAUGUGUAAGACAUUCAAUUUUGUCCAAAUUGUCUAAAAUGGACCUCAAUUUCAAUUGAGUGGAUAUUGACCCCAAAUUUUAUUUCAAUUGGGCUUAAGACUAGAAUUUUAUCUUUGGCCCAAAGUUGUGGCCCAAAAUCCAAUUAAGGGCCUAAGUUUUUAUUUUUUAAAAAGGAGCAAAUAAAAUAAAAAUAAUAAAAAGUAAUUAAAAAAUUAAAAAAAAAGAAAGGCCUAUGACUAUGGGUGUCGUCCAUGGCACUAGCAACCCACGAGCCACCCUACCUUUUGCCUAUACCCCCUUUCCCCUUUCAGCCAUGGCAGAUAAGGCCAAGUCUUCAAAAAAUCUAGUUUAAGCUAAAAUGGAAAAAAAAAAAAAAGGUCACAUCAACAGUUGUCCUGGGCUAUCGGUGACCCUUUGAAAACCCUUCAAAAUCUCAAAAAUUAUGAGAUUUCAUAUCCCCUCAUAGUUCUAUAAAUUUAGAGAUCAAGCACAAAACAAAAAGGAAGAAAAAAAGGAGGGAAAAACUUCGCCAAAAAGGAAAAUCCAAAAAAGAAAUCUAUUGUCAAACAAAAUAAAAAACUUUUCCUAAUAUGUAAAAAUCAAAAACAAAAUCCACAUCCCUUGGAACAAGUAAUCAACACCAGAAAAAAAAACAAAUAAUAAAAAAAGAAAAACCAAAAAAAAAAAAGAAAAAGAGUUUUCAACUGAGACUUUGAGAAUAAAUCUAGGUAUUUGGAGAGAGUUUUUUGAAAAACAGGGCUCAAAACGAGAAUCAAGAGGCUGAGAGGAGUUUUUUGGUGACUUUUGGAAGUUUUCUGGUAAUUGGCGACAAUGACGACGAAAGAAAGUGCAUGACGACAACCCACCAUUUUUGUGAAGAGAGUGGAAGAAAUUUUUUGGUUUUGAGGUUUUUUUUCUGUAAAAAGGGGAAGAAAUUAGUUGAAAAAAAUUUUGGUUUUCAUAGGAGAGGGAAGAGUUAAAAUGAUGUUGUUUUUGUUAGGGAAGGAUCCACAUGAACUUGUUACCCAACUGUAGACACCUUAUUUAGUUUAAGGCUCAAACUAAUUGGACCUAAAUCCGAUCCAAGCCUAAUAGUUUAAUUUCCUACACUUCUUUUUUAUGCCUUGUUAGUCUUAUUUAUAUAUUUCUCUUUUUUUAUAUUUUAGUAUUUUAUAUAUUUGGUUCUAAAUUUUUAUCAUAAAUCAUAAAAUCAUGUGGAGUAAUAUGAGCACUAAUCAAGGAUGACCUCAGUAAUUACAUGAUAACUUUAAAUAUUAAAGGAGGAUUGAAAAGAAACAAAAUCAAGGAAUCAAAGUUAGAUUUAAUUUGGAGAAAUUUUAAGGGAUUCUAAGCAUCAAGGAAAAUCAAGACAAUUCUAGAAAUUAAUUAAAUCGGUUUUAAAGAGAAUCAAGAAAAAAAAUCAAUUCAGAGCAUAAUCAAAUUUGCAAUCUUUUCCAUUCAAUUCAAAUCCCUAAAAUUCUUAGCAAAAAGCCCUAUAUAAACACUAAUUAACCACACACAAAAGGGGGGGAAAAUAUUAGGGAUCUUAGUUUUCUGUUUUUAAUAGGAAUCAUUCAAGCAAAUUCUAAGAUUUUUUUUAGGUUCUGUGAAUUUAUUUCAUUUGAAUUUGAUUUGAUUUUUAAGUUUCCUAAAUUUGGGUUUUAAUUUUUAAAUUUGAUUCCAUAUUCUGUUGAGUUUAUGAGUUUUUGCUGGGGUUUUUUUUUUUGGCUAUUGAUUUUGGGGAUUUCUAUUAGGUUUUCAAUAAUCUAAAAACUUUUCUAGGUUUAGGAUGAAUUUUUCGAUUGAAGUUUGAAGUUUUUGCUUGAACCCGACAACCCGAGUAAAGAUCUAUGCUUCAAGCUUAACUCGAUCACGGGUUUUUCCAUUUUUUUUGUCAUCUAUUUUCUAUUUUGAUUUGAUUUGCUUUUUUUAUUUGAUUUUAAUUUUUUUUAGAUUUUUUAUUUUUACUUAUUAUUAUUAUUUUCAUCUUUAUUUUUUUUACUCAUUACUUUAAAUUGAAAUUUUAUUUUUUAUUUUUCAAAAAUACCUUUAUGAAUUUUAUUUUAUUUAUUUAAAAAUAAUAACCGAAAAAUAUUUCUAAAAUAAAUUCAUGAAUCUUACCAAACUAUUGGAGAAUUUUUUCUUGAAUUUAAAUUUUUAUGAAUUCUACCAAAUUAUUGGAGAAUCUCAUAAAUCAAUUUUAUAAAAAAAUAUUAUUAAUAAAAUAUUUUGUUUUUAUCCUACCAAACUAUUGAAGGAUUUGCAUCUUAAAUUAAGUCUUACUAAAUUAUUGAAAGAUUUAUUACGUUUUUAAAAAUAAAUUUACCAGGAAAUCUCAUAAAACUAUUAGGAGAUCUACAUCAAAGUAAAUCUUACCAAACUAUUGAAAGAUUUUAUUAAUUAUUUUCUUGAAUAAAAAUAUAUUAAUGAACCCAACAAUAGAACCUCUUUAGAAUGUGACACUAGUUUCUAUGAAUACUCUUAACGUGAGAAAAUUAUCUUAAACUGCUAUCACACUAUUAGAGCAAAUUUAGGAUUAGUUUCUAAUAAUUAAAUGAUUUGGUAAAAUUAUAAGAAUAUUUUAAGGUUCGAAUAAUUUAAAAUUAAACUAGUACCAUCAUUUGGAUGGGUGCUAUAAUGGUGCUACAACCUUCUUCAUGUGUAACCGUAUCUUGAACUUAGCAUCUAAUUUUUUGGACUAGAAUUUAUUAUUUAAAAAUACCUAAGUGAAUUUUCGGACUCCUCUUUAAAUAUGACAUAUUCUAUCAGGUGGUCAAUCACAUUUAAAUAAAAAAUAUUGGUAGCGACUAUUUUAAUCUAUAUCUAACGAUAGGUUCACGAGUCUAUAUAUUAUGACAUCAGCUCGAGAUUUGCCUGACUCGACUAAAAAAUGUGACAACUAACUAGAUUUUGACCAGUUCAACUGAAUCAAUAUUGAACCGGAUCUGAACCAGCUUGAACCAUAAAAAAUAGCUCUAAACCACUUGAAUCACAGGCAACGACUAUAGGCUGUUGAACUUGAACUGCUUUAGACCGUUGACCAAUCUAGUUUAGGUAUUUUUUUUGUAUUUUAUAUUUACUUUUUUAUUCUUUUAUUAAUAUUUUUUUUAGUAUUUUGUUUAUGUUCAAAAAUAUUCUUUAUAUUAAAAUAAAGUUUAAUUUUUUUUUAUAAUUUUAAAUUUCGUUAAAAAAUAAAACUAAAAGUUUUUUUUAUAAUAAAAAUGAAAAAUGAAAGAGUAAUAAAUAAAAUAAUAUGAAAUUUCCUUUUUUCUCUAUAAAAUAAAAAAGUUUAACUAAAAUUAAUAAUAAAAAUUGAGGAAAAAGAAUCCGACAAUAUGAUUCUACGAAAAUUCAUGAUCCUAGGCUUCAAAAAUAUUAAACUUAUAUUAAAAAUAAUUUUUAAUAUAAUAAUAAUUUAAACUGGACCUGAGCUCAAAUUGUAUUCCAAUGAAAAUUAAUUUUAUACACAAUGCAAUUGUAAGGAAUACUCAUUCGAAAAAUUACUUUGAUUCUCUAGAGCAAUAUUACCUUACAAAGUGAUAAGCCAAUUUAUUGAUUCACGUAUACUAAAUAAAUAUUAAACAUAUACAAAUAUAUUGAUUCUCUCAAUCAAAAUUACUUACAAGUGUAAAACUAAUUAUAAAGUUCAAGUUUUACCACGAAAUUUUUUAUAUAGACAACUCAACAAAACCAGAAAAGGCCAAAGUUAGAUUAAUUAAGCUCCACUACGAAUUUUUUUAAUCAAAACCAUCAACUUUAAACAUAAAACGAAAGAAAAUGGAUGCGUUAACUAUGACAAAUUAAGCACAACCAAGAAAUUUGUACUUAAUCCCCCAAGUUUAUUCGGAAAACAACAAAACCUGUUGCACUGUUUAUAUUGUCAAAGAUGCACAAGUGAGGUUCCGUCAAUCAAAUUGGCACUUUUCUAUCGACUCCAGGUAGCAUUCACCCUUGUAAUAGCCAUGAAAUCGAUCUAAAAACCACUGGCGUUACCAUCUUUAGGCAAUAGCAAGAAACUCCAAUGGCCUACGUCUAUAUAUUCAUUAGAAAACCAAAGACUGAAAAUUGAAUGCCAUGUAAGAUAAAGAAAAUGAGAGAAGAAAAUCUAACAGAUGUUUCUCAAUGCAAAGGUACCAAUACAGUUUAUCUUGAUAGUAAAGGUUGAACAUUGAGUAAAAGCAUAACUAAAUUGUAAGUAUCAGCAAAUGAAAAUUAAUGGUUGAAUGCAGUCCUCCCCUGAAAGAAACUAGGCUCUCUGCAUACAUUGCUAGCUCUAAUGCAAUUCCUUCAAAUUGGAGUGUCUUUAUCUCUUUGUUAUCUCGAUGAUGCCACGCCAAAAUUUGCUAUCUUCGUUAACAAGGAAGAUUUCACCAUCGCUGCCGACUCCUAAUGGUAUAGUGGCAGGAGGAAAAGAUUCAAUGGUGAAUAAUUUUGUCCAAGAUUCUUUAGACCAGGUUCACCCAACACCCAUGCAUCAUAGCAGCCAUACCUCACAUAAUAAUCAUGACAAAAGUAACAUACCAAGUGAUCCGUUGAUUUCCAUUAAAUAGGUAAGAUAGCGUGUUGUUCUACAGUUCUUACCCAAUCUCCCAUCAGGGAAUUGGUGUUGUAACGAAAACUUCAUUACUCAUGUCAAAUGAGAGGAGCAAUUUCUUCACUAUCAACAACUGCCAAACAGUGAUAAAAUCCGUUGGAGUAGACUUGAUCGAUCCCAUGACAAUUGAAGAAUUCAGCAGUUAAGUUGUCAUUGAACUUUCUCCAAGAAUCAGUAGUUAAGUUGUACAAAGCAACUCGGUUACCUCGGGGGACUCUGUCGAAAUCACCCUCCCAAAAUGUGUCAAUCCUAAUUACUUUAUACUCAUCUCUCUUGGAAUCAUAACCCAGACCAGCUACAUCAAUGGUAUUUUCAGAGCUUGGCGGACACUCAAAAGGACACAUAGGGAGAAUUUUAAAUUCCUUAGUCGCAAUGUUCCACAAAAGAAUACCACUAAAACGGUCACAAAGACAAAUUAUGCCAUUGCAAUGACCUAGGAUAUUUAUAUGUAUCGGAUCAUCAGUAAAGGAUGGUAUAUCAAGAUUGGCAACAAACAUCAAGAGUUUGAUUGGAAAUAAAGAGACCAUAGCCUUUCUCGGUGAAAAAUUCACUUGUUUCAUGAGGAGACAGGUCUUGUUUUUACUAAAAGAAUAGUGGGCCGUAAUAAAUUGAGGGCUUUGAAUCAAGCAACACCAAGACUUACCAAGACACCUGAAUCGCUUUAGAGAUUUGACAGGCAAUCUUGCCAGAAUAUCCACCACAAUAUCUUCAGGCAACGAAUGGGUGAUCGCUGCUGCAGCCAUUGAUGAUCUUCCUUGACGGUGUCCCCCUGUGCGUGUGUAAACGAGAGAUUUGAGUAUAUGCAAUACUUUCGAAGGGAUGGGAAAACUUAUGUGAUUUGAUUUUAUGCAGCGUAAAUGGUAACUGACAUUUGACAGGCAACACCUCUUGCAAGUCGUCUGGCAUUCUAUUGGGUUAUUUAUUGUACCAACUAUUAAAUUUAAGAAAAGUGACGUCAUUGCUUAACUGUUAAGUAAGCGGUUGUUUAAACAUCCGGAUUAAUUAAAAUGGAUUUCGAGUUUUUAAUUUUGAUUGUCUGAGCUUUUUAAUCAGAGUUGUUUGAUAUUGGACUUGUGCAAACUUCAUAGUCUUGAGUCCAAAUUUUCCAAUCUAAAAUCACAUUGGCCGAAAUUUAAUUUCAAUCCACUUCUGCUUAAAUGGGUCUUUUGUGCUUAAAAGUUAAAAAGCCUAUGCCAUUCGGAGCUUAAAAGCCCAAAUUUCCAAAUUCAUGCUAUUAAAUUAGUGUUUUAAUUAAAUGAAAGGUAAGGGGCAAACUCCGGUGUACAAAGCUAAUGCUCUCCGUUUUAUGAGAGUUGAUGUGAAAUCUAUAGUAUUUUAAUUAAAUAAAUAAUUUAAUUAACUAAUUAAUGAAAAUUAAAUAAAAAAAGGAAUAAAAAUUCUAAUAAAAUAAAAAUAAGAAAAAAUUGAAAAAUAAAAUAAAAUUAAACGCGAAUGCCAUGCAUGAAACCGCCAGCAACAGUGUCUGCCAACCCUGCAAUUCAGCCACCCUAUCCAUCGAACCGCCAAGCCACCCUCUAGCCAUCAUUGAAGUCGAAAUUAAGCUGCCAACAACCCUCCUUCUUGCUCGGCAUAUUUCUACCUACUUUUUGGUUUUUCUCAUAAACCUAAAAUCUGAAACUACUUAUAAAAGUGAACAAAGAAAUCAACAGAAGCCAUGCUACGCAAUGACAAUUAAUAAAAAUCAAGUACAAUCAUCGAAAUAUGUUGACCUAUAUUUGUCGAAAGUUUUCAAUCAUGGCUCAUUGUAUGUGGCCUUUCUUGUGAGAUUUCACCAUAAGAGUUAAUAAUUGUGAUUUUAAAAAACGUUAAUAGGUUUAAAUAUCAUAUAUAAAACAUUGUGUUUGAAAACGUUUUUAAUGGUAUAUUUUCAUAAAUAAUUUAGUUUGACAUUUUUCAUGUUACAAUUUCAUGUAUUAAAAAACAAAUUAUUAUAAACUUUAAUAAAUAAAUUAUUAUGUUUUUGUUGGUACAACUCUUGAAACCAUAUUGUCAAUUCCAUUUGCACAUUUGUUAUGAUUUUAUGUUAUAAAAUUAAUCGUGCAAAGCACCGACAUAAAAACUUAGUUACAUAAUAAAAUUAAUUUUUUUAAAUUAAAUUAUUAUACAUGUAUUAAAUUAUACAAAAUUAAAUUAACUAAUUAAAAGUUAACAUUCCUCUUAAAAUUUUAUUUAAAUUACUAAAAAUUUCUCAAAUAUCUAUUUCCCAUCCAUAUUUACUUUUCCCUCAAAUCAUUCACCAAAAUCGAAAAAACAAAAUCAAUUUUAACCUUUAAAACCAUGUGAAAUAUAUCAGUCUUACCAAAUUCUUCCAAACCCAUUUUCUUCUUUUCUCGCUAGUAGUAGAGCAUGCCAGCAUAGUUUUCAGCUUGCCAAAUGCCAAUCCCAUUUUUCUCUGUUUCUUGUUCCUCCUCUGUCUCUACUUUUCUUCCCCAUUUUGAGUCACCAAACACAACCAACCACCCUCUUGUCUUGCUCAAAUCCUCACUGUCUCUCAUUGGAAAGAUUUUAAACCGACAUGUCUCAUUUAUCUAUCCCUCUCAAAAUCAAAAUUGGAUAAGACAACAAAGAGCAUAGCCGAAAGUCGACGGGUACNNNNNNNNNNNNNNNNNNNNNNNNNNNNNNNNNNNNNNNNNNNNNNNNNNNNNNNNNNNNNNNNNNNNNNNNNNNNNNNNNNNNNNNNNNNNNNNNNNNNNNNNNNNNNNNNNNNNNNNNNNNNNNNNNNNNNNNNNNNNNNNNNNNNNNNNNNNNNNNNNNNNNNNNNNNNNNNNNNNNNNNNNNNNNNNNNNNNNNNNNNNNNNNNNNNNNNNNNNNNNNNNNNNNNNNNNNNNNNNNNNNNNNNNNNNNNNNNNNNNNNNNNNNNNNNNNNNNNNNNNNNNNNNNNNNNNNNNNNNNNNNNNNNNNNNNNNNNNNNNNNNNNNNNNNNNNNNNNNNNNNNNNNNNNNNNNNNNNNNNNNNNNNNNNNNNNNNNNNNNNNNNNNNNNNNNNNNNNNNNNNNNNNNNNNNNNNNNNNNNNNNNNNNNNNNNNNNNNNNNNNNNNNNNNNNNNNNNNNNNNNNNNNNNNNNNNNNNNNNNNNNNNNNNNNNNNNNNNNNNNNNNNNNNNNNNNNNNNNNNNNNNNNNNNNNNNNNNNNNNNNNNNNNNNNNNNNNNNNNNNNNNNNNNNNNNNNNNNNNNNNNNNNNNNNNNNNNNNNNNNNNNNNNNNNNNNNNNNNNNNNNNNNNNNNNNNNNNNNNNNNNNNNNNNNNNNNNNNNNNNNNNNNNNNNNNNNNNNNNNNNNNNNNNNNNNNNNNNNNNNNNNNNNNNNNNNNNNNNNNNNNNNNNNNNNNNNNNNNNNNNNNNNNNNNNNNNNNNNNNNNNNNNNNNNNNNNNNNNNNNNNNNNNNNNNNNNNNNNNNNNNNNNNNNNNNNNNNNNNNNNNNNNNNNNNNNNNNNNNNNNNNNNNNNNNNNNNNNNNNNNNNNNNNNNNNNNNNNNNNNNNNNNNNNNNNNNNNNNNNNNNNNNNNNNNNNNNNNNNNNNNNNNNNNNNNNNNNNNNNNNNNNNNNNNNNNNNNNNNNNNNNNNNNNNNNNNNNNNNNNNNNNNNNNNNNNNNNNNNNUUACAAUUGCACUAUGUAUAAAAUUACUUUUCCUUGGAUUACAAUCGAGCUAAGGCUCAGUCCGAAUUAUUAUUUUAUGAGAAUUAUAACGAACCAUCAUCAAGACCUUUUUAGCCCCAAAGGCAAACAUUCCUCCCAAAACAAGCCCCACAUAUAUACAUUACUUCCACAAUCAACUUUCAAAUUAAAAGUAUUCUCAAAACUGAUUUAUCUAUAAAUUAAAGACCAAAUUACAGCCAGGACAACUUUAAUCUAAGUGUAUUGAAUAACAGAAUUAUUUUUAAUAUAAAUUUAAUAUUUUUAGAACCUGGAAUUAUAAAACUAAAAAUUGUCUCUUUUUUUUCUUCUGCUUUUGUUCCUAGUUUGUUUGGUGAAAUGAACUUUGGUUUGCUAAUAAAUACACAGAUGAAGGCUCUUGAUGGUUUGUAAUUUCGUGGUAAAACUUGAAUUUUGUAGGGUAGCGUUGCAACCUUUAGUAAUUUUGGUUUAGAGAAUCAAUACACUUGAAGACUGCUUUUCAUCUUAGUAGGAGUCCAAAAACAACUGGAAAAGUUGGAUUUAUUUGCCAUCACUAUUAACGCAAGCAAUGGGGUGAAUCAAUUAAUUGGGUUAUGUAUGGUAAUAAUGCUAUUGAUAAUUGAGAAAUCCUAAGUCAUUUUCAAACAAUAAAAUGGUAUACUUGCACUAUGAAUAAACUAUAUUAAAAACAAUAAUUUCAUCCUUUUCAAUCUGAUUUCUUAAUUUGGUGAUAAGAGUAAACAGAUUAACUUUGAUUAAUUUCUUUUGGAAUCAAAGAGUUUUCUUUGUUAAUGUAAUUGUGAUGUUAAUUAAAGGAAUAAUUUGUUGCUCCACAUAUCUGACUAUAUUCAAAAGUGUAUCACAUUAAUCAAGUGAAGCAUCCAUCUAAAUUUGCCAAAUAAUUGUACGAGUCAUUAUGUUAGUGUUUAGUAUCAUUUUUAAAAUUAACAUGAUAAUUUAAUUAUUAUUGUGAUAAAAUUAUCAAAAUGAUUUGAUUAUCAGUGAUAUUAAAUUACCAUAUUUGGUCCAAUAUUAUAUAUUACUAUUAAUUUUAAAUCAUUUUGUUUGGUGUUUAAUAAAAAAAUAAAUUAUAAAAUACAAAAUAUAUAUCCAAAAUAACAUUGCAAAAAAAAUUUAAUAUUUAUUGAAUUAAUAAUUUAUAAAAUAAUUAAAUUUAUUUUAUAGAAAAUUACAAAACAUAAAUCAAUUUUGAUUAAGAUAAUUUCUAAAAAAAUUAUUAAAUAAAUUCAUUAAAAUUUUUUAAUCAAUAAACAUUUAUUCAACUGCAAUAAAAACUUUUAUUUUUAAAAGAAGUGAUUGGAAAGUCUGAUUUUUUAAAAUUUUUACUAGUUAACUUCUUAAGGUAAUGUUAUUAAAUUUUUCAUUAACUUAAAUUAGUCAAAAAUAAUACUGAAAAUUUUACUUUUUCACAAUGAUAAAAUUUUUUCAUUUUUUAAUAUAGGAAUCAGAUCACACCCUAAUAAUCUUAUUAUCCAAGUGAUUUAAGAUCAUUGUCACAUAAAAUUUUUAAAUUGUUACUAAAUAAAGUGAUGUAAUUAUUGAGUGCAAAUUACUAUAACUUUUAGACUGAUCAUCUCAUACUAAACAUUCUACAUAACUAUUAACAUAUAUAAAUGGUAUUUAAAUUUUAGAGUUGCCAAGAGUACUUACAUGAUCUCUAAUGGCAAGCUAUUCACCAAGAAUUAGAUGGUCCAAGAUUUAUAAUUACAUAUUUUAAUUCCAAAUAUAUAUCUAGAUAAGAAUUCUAUAUAUAUGCAUUAUUUUUUUUACACUUAUAUGCAUUAUUAAAGAUUACAUAAUGAAUACCUCUUGAAAAGUUUACUUUACGAUAGUGUUCAACAGUUGGCCUCCACCAGCAGCCUUAACUUGAGUUCAAUUAGAUAAACUUAGACAAAAUUCUAUAGACCCCACCCUACGAUAAUAAAUUUAUUUUUUCAUGAUUUGGGUUGUAGAUACUUAAUUUUAUUUGAAUUAAUUCUUAAUUAUUUAAUUUAUAUGUUUAAUUUGCAUGUUUCUAUUUGAGUUAGUUUAAGUAUUAAAUUGAAUUAGAUUUGUUUAAGCUUGUUUUGGGUUAGUCAUUUUUUAUUUUUAUUUUGUUGUUAUUAUUAUCAUUUAGAAUUAGUUAAAUUAAUUGAAAAAUUACAAUAAAAAUAUAAUUAAUCAAUUAAUUAAUCAAAUUAUUAUUAUUGUAAUUAUUAUUAAAAAUAAAAUAAAAUAAAAUAGAAACCAACAAAUUAAUGGUUGGCAAUUCAAGCCAUGUGAGGCCAAAAUUUUCAAGCUCUGCUUAGUGCACCAGCCACUACCUUGUUAUAGUCCCAGCUCCAUUACACUACAAUUUUUUGUCCAACUCUACAAUUUUUUAUCUAUGAUGGAGAUUUACAAAUUAAAACGGAGGGAGGAAUUCAUGGCACGGGGAGCAUCCAUUCUUUUUCUCUGGAAGACAAACUUUGCCAAGUACAAAGAUCCCUCGACCAGUCCUCAACUCAAAUCUGUUCCCUUCAUCAACCUUUUUGGACCUGUUUUCUUCACUAGCCGAGCCUCCCAUAGAAACCUUCCCACACCGUAACCUAACUCAUCCACAAGCACCUCUCAAAACCAAAAGAAUACACACAAAAAAAAAAAAGAAACCAAUAGCCCCAAAUCAUGCCAAUCUCUAGAACACCCACAAGUCAAGGUCAUAGCCCCAGCCUACUCGCACCUCCAUGCCUAAAACCAACAUCCAUUUUUUUUCACCUUAUUGCACCCCUGACUAGCCCCUCACCCAGACCCUCAUUAGACCCUCUUAAAGCCAGCACAUAUCUUUACUUUGGUAAGGCUAUACCCUCAUACCUACUGUAUGUACUAAACUUUAACGCACCAACCCUUUUGCAAACACCUCGUUACCCUAAACAGAACCAAAAAAGAAGGGAAAACCACCAACUCCACCUAAAGCUAAACCUUCAUCAAAGCCAAAAAAUUUCCAACAACUAGAAUAAAAAAUCCCACCAAAUAGCCACCAUUAACCUAAAAGAAAAACCCACCAUAAACAGCCCCACCCAAGCCAGCCAAAACCAAAAUCAAAGAAAAAAUCAAAAUAAAAAAAGCACAAUUUUUCUUGUAAGGAGGAACCUCAACUCCAAGCCUCGCUACAAAAAACAAAAACCAAAAAUUAGUCAUAGCUUGCAAAUAAAAAAAAAGAAAAAGAAAAAAAAAAGGUCUCAAAAGGGUUUCAAGUUUAGAGACUUUAAAGGCAUUUAAAGACUAAAUCUUUGGAGAAUGUGUCUUUUAGGGAGAGGAUAAGUACACUAAAAAAUGGUGGCCUUUUGACUGGUGGUGAAGGAGUUCUUACGGUUUGAAACCAAAAGCUUUAGGCUUUGUUCUAAGGAGUUUGGACUAGAUUUUGAGAAAUCCAAUUAGAGAAAAGGAAAAAAGAAAGAAGGUGGAGCAUUUUGGUGUAUUUUGGGCUUAAAUCGGCACCAAUGAAUAGUUACCGAUAGUGGAGAAAGUGGCCAGUUGGCCUAGGGAUCACUAGAUUCUACAUUAGGUUUAGAGAGUAUUUAGGAGAUUUUUUUUGGUAAAAAGUGGAAGAAAUGAUUUAAAAAAAAAUCAACUUUUAUAACCUAAAAAAAAAAAAUCAAUCAAAACGUUGCAUUUUAGAAAGCUGAAACCCAUGCGUAGCCCCGACUUAGAUCUAGGGUCUGUGCACCCUACUCGUUAAAGUCUCUAUUAUUCAGCCCUUGACUAGUUCAAGUGAACUACUUGCAAGCUCACCAACAACCACUGAAAGGUGUGUAAGCCAUUCCAAACUGCCCAUGGACCUCUUAGAUCGCACGAACCGAAUCGAUCUGUAUCAUUGAUCGAUUACUUAGUAUUUUUAUUUUUUUAAUUUACAUUAUUUAUUUAUUAUCUUUUUACUAUUAUUGUUUAUUUUAUACAUAUGUGUUUUCAGAAAAAAAAUUUUAAUUUUUUAAUUUUUUUAAAAAUAAUAAUAAAGUUUAAAUUUUAAUAAUUUUAAAUUUCAUUAAAAAAAAUUUAAAACAAAAGUUUUCUAUAAAGAAUAAAUAAAAAUAAAAAUAACUAAAAUAAGAAUAAUAAAAAUAAUAAAAAAUGAUGGAACAUAAAUUUUUACUUGAUGAUGGAAAGUUAAGGUAUUACGAAUAGUAAUGCCUUAAAAAUCUCUAGGUGAGAAGUUUUUUUUUUUUAAAUAAUACCAGUGUAUUGAAGUAUUUAUAAAAAAAUUUUAAUAUGAUAAAAAUCUCUCUUUUCUUUAAAAAAAUAAUAAUUAAAAAAACUAAUAAAAUUUUUUUAAAAAGAAAAAAAUAAAAUGUGUGCAUCAACAUAUUAUCAUUUGCAUUACAUGUAUGUCUUUAUUUUUAUGAAAGAUAAAUAUGAACAGUCGAAGAUAGGAUUUUUGAGAAUUUCGAGUAGAGAUUCUUAAGAAUUCGUUAGGUAAGAAAGUUUCUACUAAUAUUGCUAAAGUAUUGGAAUAUUUUUAAGAAUUUUUCAAUAUGCAAGGUUCUUGUUUAUUUUUCAAAAAUAAAAUCAAAAUAUGUUAUUUUACAAUAAGGAAAAUUAAGAAAAUUAAAUUUUAAAUACUAAAAUUAAGAUCAUUUUAGUCAAAAUCAAAAGAUAACCCACAAUUAAUUGGUACUGUUUUAAAUGGGCGCUACGGGAGUGCUAAUCCUUCUCCAUGUAUAUCUGACUUCUGAACCCAAACUAUUUUUAUAGACCUAAAAAAUUAUUUUUUUGAUAAAAUUUUAAUUAAUUUUAAAAUUUUUAUUAAAAAGGUAAGUUUUAAUAUGUUGCUAAUCGCACCUAAUUAAAAAAUAUUGGUGGCGACUCUAUUUUAUUUUCAAAUUCAUCUAGAGGCCUGAAAAAUUGUUACGAUAGCUUGGUGACUCCAUUAAGGAUGUCAUUUUUUUUAAGAGUCAAGCCAAAAAAUUAAAAAUGUGUUAUCCAUAAUUUUGAUUUAAUAGUGUUAAUUGGUAUUUAACUUUAAUUCUCUUGAUUUUGAUUUUGUUUUUUUUAAAUAACAAUAGUAAUAAAAAAUUUACAUGCAUUUCAUUUAAAUUAUGUCAUUUGUCCAUUAUUUAUUUUAUAUCUAUUAUUCUUAAUAAAUUGUGGGGCAUGUAGGAUAGAUGUUGUGAUGUCAUUUUCUCUCAUACACAAUGACACAUUUUAUAUCAUGUAUGAGCUCUAUGCCAGCGUUUUUUUCCUUUUAGGAGGAAGUAGAGUACCCAUGCUCUCAUCAGGUGAUACCCUCUGCAAUGACAAGUGAAAUACUCUCACUUGAAUGGAACCAUUUCCGUUUAUAGCCUAUAAUGGGUGAGGAUUAAGGUGCCUUACAAGUCCUGUGUAAACACAAGUGAGAAACAAUUUGAGAAUCUUUAGACGUAUAAAUCCCCACUUAACAUAUAGUGAACCUUAGGGGACUAGCCUUGGAUAGAGAUCUGCCACCUUUUUGUAGAAAUAACCCAAAUAUGAAUUAAAAUUUUGAAAAAGAAGAAAUAGAAAAUAAAAGAAAAGAAUUUUCAUAAAAAAAAAGAAAAGAAAAAAUUCUUUUGAAAUGUUGUUCAUUCAUUUGGUGGUUAUAAAAAAUUUACAUUUUUAGAAAAGGUUUUAAAAUAAAAUAAAGAAAUUUUUUUUAGCAUUAUCCAACAAACAACAAAACAACAAAACAAAAAUUUUCAAAAAUAAAGGUUUUUGCUUGAAUUCAUUGCUCAAAUAAAAAUUAAUGAAAAAGAGAAAAAUCUUUGAAUCCAAUUAUUUUGUGUGAUAAAAAAGUAUGUUAUUAAAAUUUUCCUUUUUAAAAAAAAAAGAAUAAAAAGAAAAAAAAAAAGAAAACCUUAAUUUGAAUGUUUGUUUUUGUCUUCCACAUCUUCAUUGGGUCUUUUACAUACAUUAUUUAUUAUGUUGAAAAAAAAAAUCUAAAAUAGUUAAUACACCCCAUCCCCGUUGCAUCCGUAAUAAAAUAGUACAUGUAAUUACAUUUUAGAUCUUAAUAUGUAACUACAUGCAUCACAUUUCAGGCAUCUAAUAGGUAGUACAUGCAUCCUCUAUGAUAAUACAUGGUAUUUCGAUCUCAUCCGUCAAUAAUGGAAGUAUAUGCUUUUCAUUUAUGGCACAUGCAUCCAUACACAUCUUAAUAGAAUAGGGUAUGCACUCCCUCCUAUUAAUCUUUAAAAAAUGAAAAACUCUUAUAUAGCCAACACAACACUGCUAUUGCAUUUACCAUAUAGAAUGUCUCAUUACAUAGUAAAUCAUGCAUUUUUACAAGUAGUAGAUUAGUCAUGGGUAUAUAUCUCGUCACUUAUGAAGUAUGAUUACAUUUAUAUAUAUGGAUUCAAAAUUUUAGUUAAAAAUAUGAUUCAUUUCAUAUGCUACCAUCUUUGCAACUUGACAUUACAUUCCUUCAUUACAAUUCAUGGAGACAAUUUUUAUCAUUGAGGCCCUAGAACAUAUGAAAAUCCAUUUCUCAGCAUAUUUGCAUUUGCAUUACAUUCUAGGAUCAUUGUAUAAUCAAAUCAGCCUCUGUUCAUAAAGUAAGAAAAUUGUUUAGGACAUUCAUUCAAUAAGGUAAUAAUAUAUAAUUUGUGUGCUAAUAUCCAAAUAAAAUAUCUAUCUAGUAGAAUUAAAAUAGCAAAAAUGAGAGAUUAAUUGGAAGCAAGAUUAGUGCAUUGGAGUUCAAUCAAGAGAAAUUUUAGCACGAGCUUUAGGAGAUAAAACAACAAAUUGCUUAACUAAUAGAAAUGGUUAAAGGUAAUGGUAUGGUAAGUUUGUUGCUCUUCAAGGAUUGUUGUCACUUUCGAUUCCAUCGAAUCAAAAUCAACUGGCUUCUGUUGGUUUCAGGACCUUUUCGAGCAUACUAAGGUAUUGGAUUAUUCGAACAAUCAUUAAAGUUUAGGUGAAUGCAGGAAAAGAAUGGGUGAAUUGGCCACAUAAAUGAUUGAAUUCAAAAGUUUGAUUUCCAAGAUGGAGUCACUUGGAUUCAAACAACCUUCACCAACUAUCCCGAGUCCAAACCCACAUCUAAAUUCUUUUCAUGAAUGUCUUUUACCUCUUUUCCAAGUGCCUAGGAUUAGAACUUGAAAUUUCAUGCAACCUCCGAGAAUUUCACACUUGAAUUCAUGUUUACCACUUUACAUUUCAUAACCACAUGUUUAGCAUGCUAUUCCAUCACCACCUUCUUAACCCAAUUUCUUGAUUCACUUAAACACCAACUAUACCACUGUUUUUCUAGCAAAACUCUUGUAACACUAAAUGAAAAAUUCCUAUUGACCCAAUACCUAUGACUUACAUAAAUUUAUAUCGACUACUCUUAGAAAACUACCUCAUUGCUAUUGUCCCUAAUGAACCUUUCAAACAGCCUUAUUCCAAAUGGUACGACCCCAAUGCCCGAUAUGAAUACCAUUUUGGCAUUGUGGAUCAUUCUCUAGAAGAUUGCACGUCUUUGAAAUAUAGGGUAUAGAGAUUGAUGAAAGUCAAAUAUUUGGAUUUGACACCAAAAUGAAGUUAGUUUUUUACAAGAAUCCUUCAUCAAUCUAUGCUAAGAUAGCAGGUAGUACUGUAAGCAAUAGUAAAGUUGGCAAAGAUAAUGAAUUUAAAAUUAGAAGCUUUGUCCCCACCAGCAAUCAUAGACAACUUCUUUUGGAUUUCUUAUAUGAGGUAAGGACGAGUAUGAAUGAGUUUAGCACUUUAUGGCCCUAGUCUUAGGAUAGUUCAUGAUGUGUAAACUUUGACACUUUUGGGAAUGACUGAAAAAGUCUCUUCACUUGAAUUUUCUAUGAAUAGAUGUCUCUAUUUAAAGGAGCUCGUGAAAUAAAAUGAUGGUUGUAAACAUCUUUCAUUAAACUUUUGAGGCCAAAGAAAUAUUUUUAAAUAAGUCAACCUGAAUAUAGGAUGGAACUUAAGCUCCUUUCCAACAAUAAUAAUAAAAUUUGACUUGCAUAUCAUGCAUCAUUUGUUUCAAUUCAUUAUUUUUCAUGCCAACUAAGGACAAGGAAUGGUUAUUAUGAAUAUAUUUUCAUCAAACCUUUGAAGCAAAAAGAUAUUUUUGAAAGUUUUAAUAAUAGAAUUCAUAUCAAGCAUUUCUAGCUUUGGGUAAUUAAUAAAAGAUUUAAGGAUAAUGCAUCAUAAGAAACAAGAUUGGUUAAAUUUGCAUACUUAUAACACUUGAAUUUGUACUAAAAUCAUGAAAAAUGAAAGUACAAGUCAGAUGGGAUGGAAUGGAAAAGUCCAAGGAGAGAUCAGGGAAAGUAGUUAUAGGGAUGCCAACAAAAUAUAGAUAGACAGUGGUAAGAAUUAAAAUAGAUGGUUAAUAGAUUUUGACAAAGGAAAAAGGAAUGUUGAAAACACAUGGGGCAAGGGCCAAAAUUAACUGUUGAAGAAGCCAUGGGUCAACCUAAGUUCACAUAUGCAUAUGUUCAAGACCCACAUAUGUUAUAAGCACCAUCCAGUAACUCAUUAAUCCUAUAUUGACACUUUUGCCAGGUUAUCUCCAGUUCAAGUAAAUGUCAUUCCUAGGCCUACCCCCUAUGACCCCAUUGUUGUGGAAGAUCCUAAAGAAUUAAAAAAAUUGAAAAGAGUGAUAGAUCCAUCAAAAGAUAUAGUAAUGAAAGAUAAAUAUGACAUGUUGGAAAAAAGACUAAAGACAAUUGAAUGUCAUUAUAUAUAUACGAGUGUUGAUGCUAGCGAGCUUAGCUAGUCUUGAUCUUGUCAUUCCAUCAAAAUUUAAUACCCUAAAUUUUGAAAAGUAUGAUGGAAUGAAAUGUCCCUUGAUACAUAUCACCAUGUACUAUUGAAAGAUGAUGGGCCACAUUCAUAAUGAUAAGUUAUUGCUCUAUUGUUUUCAAGAUAGUCUCAUUGGGUUUGUAGCAAGGUAGUAUGCCCAACUAGAUUGAAGCAAGAUUUGCUCCGAAAUGAUUUGACUAGAGCCUUUUUAGCAUAAUACAAGCAUGUUAAAGAUAUGGUGCCAAAUAGGUUAUCCUUGCAAAAUAUAGAGAAAUAGGGCAACCGAAACUUUCAAAAAAUAUACAUAUAGAUGGAGAGACAUAGUAGUUGUUUAAAUAAUAAUCCCACAUAAUUAAUUUUCAAAGCCAUAAAAUGAAAAGUGUUUUACAAAAAUAAAAUAUUUAAAGAAAAAAAAAGAAGAAAAAGAGAGAAAAAGAGGUUUUCUUUUGUAAUAAAAGAUAGAAGGAGUCUCGAAGUAAUUGAUGAUUACUAUUAAAAAUAAACUCACCCAAUACCUUCACACAUUUCCUUGACUGCUCCCAUGCUUCAAUCCUUUUGAAUAACCUCACUCACCAAUCAUAAUCCUUUAAGAGGGCAUGAACUUCAACUUGCGAACCUUGUCAUCAUUUGAUAUAUUGAGAUAAUAAUAUUUUCUUGGGCAAUGAACAAAAAAGGCCAAUUUUAAAAAUUCAUUUUGAAUUUCAAAAACCAAGCUAUAUACUCUUUCAAAUUUGUAAUUGGUAAUUCAAUUUAUGUCAAAUUUUACCAAUAUAAUUGAACCAUCCAAAUUUUUUUUGCCAUCAUAAACAUGAAAAAUACUUGAACUUUCUUCUCUCAAGUUCCCCUUGUUUCAUGUCUCAAGGCACAUUGACCAAAAGAAGCAAAAUUCCUUCUUGCCUAAGACAAUUUGUUUCAUGCAUUAAUACAUUUUUCCCUUAUUUUACCAAAAAUGCCAUACAAUUUGGAACCAAAAUGAGCCUUUCCAUAAACUAUGUGAUCAAAUUUGAGACAUCAUAUACAACUUAAUUUUUACUAUCAUAAAAGCCUUGAGUGAAAAAUAAGAUGAAGCAUCAGUCAAGUAACAAUGAUUGAUGGUUAUAGAGCAAAAAUAAAGAAAAAAAAUGAAAAGAAGCCUUUUUAUCUCUUUUUUUCAAAUAAUUUGCUCUUUUAACUAAAGGGUCAUGUUUGAAAUGAUGAAUGACCAUCUUUCUCUAUCCUUCAUAUAAAGAAAAUUAUCCACUUACUACCCAUUUGAGCCUAUUAAAUUUUUAGUUACCAAAUGAACACUUGGCCAAUGAUCAUCUUUUACACUAGAGGAUAAAAUAAGGAUAUUUUCAAGAAACCAACUUCCAAACAAGUGUUUGAUAUUGAGAGUGUCUAACGUACACCUUGAAGAUGAAAGUCCAAGACGAAAAGUGAAUAAGACUUCAGUUAAAAUCCUAAGAACUCAAAAAAGUAGUUUGCCAAAGGUGGAGUCAAAUGUUUAAAAAAAAACAAAAAAUGUUUACAAAAAAGAACAAAAAAAAAAGCAAAGAAAGAAAGACAUACACCUCGAAGAUAAGGAUCCGAGGCAAAAAAAUGAAUAAAACUUCAAUUAUAAUCUAAAAAAAAAAGAUAUAAUUCAAGAAAGUAGAAUACUGAAGUUAAAAGUCAGAUGCUUCCAAAAAAGAAAAAAGCAAAGAAAAGAAGAUAAACACUUCAGAGAUGAGAGUCCAGGGUAAAAAAUAAAGAAAUAAAGCUUCAGUUAAAAUCUCAAAAAAAUAAGGAAAAUGGAAUUCAAGAAUGUUGAAUGUUGAAGUCAAAUGUCUUAUAAAAAAAAAAAGACACUUGACUUUUCAUCUAGAGAAUGCUCCGUAAGAUUUUGGCCUAAUAACCUUGAAUAAUAUAUUUUAAGCCUAUUUAUCUAUUCUUUUAGAACCCUAAACUUUGGCUUGAAUUAUAUACUUUAAAAAGUCUAUUCUUAUCAAAUAUGGACACUUGAAUUGAAGAGCUAUGUCCUUGAAAAUUUAUAUAUACUUAGUAUAAUUGGUAAGAUUUUACCAAGUUUUUCAUUGUUAGAAAAUAUAACUCUAAGGUGAAAACCCAAAAAGGACAAUUUAAAGCUAACACCAUUACUGAGGCCCCAAAAAAAUAUUAGAGUUCCAAUAUUCCAUCAAAAUAAAAGGUCAUGAUGCAAAACCUUUUGAAGAAUCAGUACCCAUUACAUUUCACCAAAAAGUGAAAAUUAAAAAUCAACCUUUUUCUUAUCUCAAAUCUUUUUCAAAAAAUAAUGGUUAGUUUUGAUGCACAUUGAAGUAUCAUGUUUUCAAUAAAAAAUAAAGUGUUUUAGAAAAAUGAUCUCUUUUGUAAGCUUAAGAAUAAUCUUUGCAACCCUUGUCGAACCUUCUUUGAGAUAUCUCGACCAAUAAAAAGAAUUGAAAUUGUCAAUUACCCCAAUCCCUAAGCAUUCCAAAUAGUAAUCAUCAAUUUUGUACAAAUUUGAAAGUCAUGAGUUUUUAACUUUUCUCAUUGAUUACAAAGAUAGUUUAUGUGGGGCAACUUUGUAAUCACUUUUGAAAAGUUCAAAGAUUAUUCAAGCAUUUUGUACAAAAUAUUGAGAUCAUUGUUGGUGAAGAGUGAAUAUUAAAAAUUUGAACAAAAAUUUUUUGAGAAAAAAAGAAACAAAAAUAGUCUUCACAUUUGUAACCCUUGUAAAAGACAUUUGACCUACAUGCUACACAAAAAAAAAAAAACCAAAACAAAACAAAAAUCCCACUUGUAUCAAUUACAUGUGCAUCAUGAGAAAGACAUUUGAUUUGCAUGUUGCAAAAAAAAAAAAAAGACAUUUGCAUUUGCAUUACUUGCAUUUGCACUCUCGUGUGCAUCAUGAGAAAGACAUUUGAUUUGCAUGUUACAAAAAUUAAAAAAAAAGAAAGACAUUCAUAGUUGCAUCACUUACAUUUAUAUCAUGAAAAAUACAUUCACAUUUACAUCAGCUGCAUCAUAAUCAAGACAUUCACAUUUGCAUUUACAUCACUGCAUCUGUAUCAUAGAAAAAAUAUUUGUAGGAGCAUUUACAUGAAAGGAAUAUUGGCAUUUAUAUUAUGAAAAGUCACCUGUAUUUAUUUUGAGAGGUAAACAAAGAGAAAUAAGUCUAUUAUAAAAAGAUGACAAAAUGAAAAAAUAGUUUGAUAAGAGACUAAAAUGUCAACAAGGUUUAAAAAGUUAAAAAAAAAAUUAUCUACAAAAAAUUAAAGAGUUGUUGAAAAAAUGAAUGAAAAAGAUGAAAUACAAUACAAGAUAAGACUUAAGUCUAGUCUAACUAUCAUUCAAAUCAAACCAAGAUUAUAUUAACUAGCACUUUAAGCCCAAAUUAGCGACAUCCAAGCCUAAAUUACCUGGCAUUUUAAGCCCAGUUUAGCUUACACCUAAGCCUAGAUCAACUAGCACAUAGAUGAUAUUUAAAUCCCAUUUAGCUAGCACAGUUAAAAUUUUAAGCCAGUUUAGCUGGCACCUAAACCUAUAUCAGCUGGCACUUAGAUGAUAUGUAAGCCCAGUUUAGCUUGCAUUUUAAGCCCAGUUUAGUUGGCACACUAAGCCCAAUCUAGCUAGCACCCAAAUCAAACUAAGCCCAGUCAAGCUGGCACCCAAGAUAAUUUCUAAGACCUUCAGGUAAAAUAUUUUAAUGUUUAAAGUUUCAAUGCCUUUGAUAUGAGGAGCAUUCAAAGAUAUGUAAGACUUUCGGGCAUAAUUUUUAAGACCUGUGGCAUAAUUUGUAAGACUUUUGACCAUAAUAUUCUAAAAUUUCAGAGUCUCAAUACCUCUAAUACGAAGAGCUUUCAAAGAUUUGUAAGAUCUCUGGACAUAAUUAAAUUUUAAAUACCAAAAUUAAGACCAUUUUAGUCAAAAGAUAAUGUAUAAUUAAUUAAUACCGUUUUAAAUGGGUGCUAUGGGAGUGUUAAUCAUUCUCCACGUAUAAUCAACUCCCACACCCAAACUAUUUUUGUAGACCUAAAGAAUUAUCUUUUUGAUUAAAGUUUAAUUAAUUUUAAAAUUUUUAUUAAAAUGGUAUCUUUUAAUAGGUAACUAAUUACAUCUAAUAAAAAAAAUAUUGGUGACAACUCAAUUUUGUUUUUAAAUUCGUCUAAUACCCAAAAAAUUGAUGUGACAUUAGUCAUUGAAAUGAGCUUUGAUUAAAAAAAAAGUUAUAUAUUGUUCAAAUUGUUUCAUUGCACCAUAUAUAUAUAUAUUGAGAAAUAAAAAUAUUUUCUUUUCUUAGAAAAGGUUUUGUAACUUGGUUUAUGUGCAAUGAGAAGAAACAAGAUUAUAUAUGAGCAUCUUCUAUGCAUUUGAUUUUUUUUUUUUUGCCAUCAAUUCAAUUAUGAUAAAUAAAACCCAAUUUCAGCAAAUCUAAUCCAACUAGAUUAUGUUAUUGCUACACAUUUUUUCUCCAAAAAAAAAACUAUCUAUUUAGUUUUUCGUUGUUUUACCACUUUUUUUGCAUGAAAUAAUUUUUCUAUAAAUAACUUAUAAAUAUUAUAAAAAAAUACAAAUCAUUAUUAAUUAUCACAUUGAUUAGAAUAAUAAAUUUCAGUACAACUCAAAAUUAUUAAAAAUGUAUCAAUGAUCAUCAAUAUUUGACAAGUCAUUGAUGCUAUAUAUUCCUUAAUUUAAUCCAUUUUAAUGUUUGUGGUUUUUAAUAUAUUCCUAUGGGAUAUUGAAAAAGUUUAUAAUCCGAUUGAUAUAUGUUAUGAGGUGUAAUUAAUCGAGUUGAAUCAUUCUUAAGAUCGUGUUCAAGUUCAACUUUGAAACUUAUAACUAAAAACUUGAUUCAAAUUAAAAAUUGAGCUCAUUCUAUUAAGCUUAUAUGAUAAAAUCCUAUUAAUAAUUGAGAAAACCAAAAUCAUUUUCAAAUCAUAAGUUUCAAAGUUGAGCUGAAAUUCGAAUUUAACAUUGUUUCAACUCAAUUACAUCUUCUAAAUUAUAAGAACAAAUUAAGUCUUAAAUUCCAUAAAUUUUAGGUUGGCUAUAUUAAAGGCCAAAAAAGAAAUCAUAUUAGGUCGUAAUUUUGAAUUUUCUUGCAUCAUUCAUUUUUAUCAAUAACAACAUUUUCAUCUACUUUCUUAAUUCUCAUAUCAUUUUUUAUUAUUUAUAUCCAUGUUUUUUGUGAUUUACCUUUAAAAACUUUUAUAUCUCCUAAAUUUAUAAACUCAUUUCAUGAUUAGCCUCAUAAUCUAUGUCAAUUAAAUUACAAACUUUUUCAAUAUAUUCCGCAUACAAAUAUACAGCAUUAAUGGAUUAAAUUGAAGAAUAUAUAGCGUUAAUUACUUGCCUAAUAUUGAUGAUCAUUGAUAUAUUUUCAAGAAUGUUAAGUUAUACUCAAAUUAAUUAUGCCAAACAUAGUGGCUAGAAUUCAACAAAAAUCAUAUAUUGGCCUAGAAUUACUUUAAUAAUUCUACAUAUUGUUUGAUCGAAUUACUUGAAUAACUCUAUAUAUAGUUUGACCACUACAAUUAUUAGAGACAUGAAAACAAAUACAUAUGAUAAGAUGCCAAUAAGAAUGUUAUUAAGAUGGUCAAUUUUUACUUCACUUUUAACCCAAAUGAAACAAUUAAAAAUUUCUCUAAUAUGUUAAACUUCAAACUCAACUGGUCCCUUAGAAAAGAAAAAGAAAAAACUCUUUAAAUUAAAGAACAAUAUUAAUAUAUUAAUUACAUAUAAAUUAACCAAAGAUAAUUGAUUUUCUCAAAUAAAAGCUAAUGACAAUUGAUAAUGAUUUGUGAUUUUUUCAUAAUAUAUGUCAUAACAUCUAGAUCCAGGGAUCUAUCACUAGACAUUGACUUAAGGAGUCGUCACCAAUCUAUUUUAUCUAGGUACGAUUGGUCACCUAAGGAAUCUAUCCUUUCAGGGAACACCUAAGUUUACGGAUCCUUAAAAGAGUAGGUUCGGGUCUACUAACCAGAACAAGGUUCUGGAGUUCGGUUAUGUGUGAGAAAGGUUAUAGCACCCUCAUAGUGCCCAUCAAAAGAUGGUACCAGUUUAAUUUUGUGUUAUCCAAUAAGCCUUAAAAAUUUACCAAGUAGUUAGUUGUUGGAAAUUGUUCUCAAUUAACUUUAAUACUUUUAGCACAAAAUUGAGAAAAUCCCCUCACCUUAAGAGCAUGCAAGAAAACUAUUGUUUCACUUGCGGAGACUUCAUCGUCGGAUUAUUUAACAUUAAAGAAAAUUCAAAAGAAAUAAAAAAAGGAAAAAAGAAAGAUGAUUGCUUUUGUACAACGAAAAUUGAUACUUUCAACUUUUUCUCAAAAAUAUUUUUUGAAAACUUUAAUUUCGAGAAAAUUGAUACUUUCAACUUCUCCUAAAAAAAACCUUUUUUGAAAAUUUAUUUUUAAGGAAAAUUGAUACUUUCAACUUUUCUCCAAAAAAUAUUUUUUUGAAAACUUUAAUUUUGAGAAAAAUUGAUACUUUCAACUUUUCCUCAAAAAAAACUUUUUUGAAAAUUUAUUUUUAAGGAAAAUUGAUACUUUCAACUUUUUCUCAAAAAUAUUUUUUGGAAACUUUAAAUUCAAGAAAAAUUGAUACUUUGAACUUUUUCUCAAAAACAUUUUUUAGAAAGCUUAUUUUCAAGGAAAAUUGAUACUUUCAACUUUUUCUCAAAAAUAUUUUUUUUGAAUUUUAUUUAAAGAGAAAAUAAUAAUAAUAAUAAAAAUGAAAAUAAAAAUAAAAGAAAAUAAAUAAAAAUAGAAAAAAAUAUUAAACAAAUCUAAUCUAAUAAAUAAUAAUAAUAAUAAUAAUAAAUAUAUAAAAAAUAAAAACAAAAAAAAACCUGAAAAUGGCUCGGCUUACGGCUCGGCUCUGCUUGACUUAAGGAAGAAAAAUGGCUCGGAGAAAUGGCUUAGGAGUGUCAGCUUGGCUAGGGUAACGGCUCGGAGAAGCAGGUUGAACGCGGGUCGAAAGCGGGUCGACGCUCGGGUUGGGUUGCCCGAUUUCAAAGCGCGCGGAUCCUAUUGGCACAGUAACGCCAAAACGACGUCGUUUUCAAUGGGUAUAAAAGGCUAAUUCCUUCAUUUUUUCAGCAGACCGAACUUUCCCUCUUUCUCUUCCUUCAUCUUCUCUCCCUUCUCUCUAAAAUAGCCGAAGAACUCUGAUUGAAUAUUCACCAAAUUUUGGAAAUUUCAUCAAAAUCUAGGUUUUUCAUCGGAAGUUCACCAGAAAGUUGUUCAGUUUUUGAAAAUUCUUGCUGGAAACUGGGUAGCUGGUCGAAAAAUUCAAACUUGGUCGGAAUAAUCAUCGAAAAAUUCAACCUUCGUCGAAAAAUUCAACCAAAUUUUGGAAAUUUUCCAAAAAAAAAAUUGCAAAAAUUCUCCAAAAAUUUCGAUCGAUUCCUAGAUCUGUUCUAAAUGCACCAAAACCUUUUUAGCCUUUAAGUCUUCUCUGUGCUUGCCUUUUUUCCUCUCAACCAGUAUCUUCUUUUUUUUCUCUGUUUUUCCUUUGAUCCAAGGGUUCAUUUUAUAAGGAUUGAUCAGAAGAGUUUCUGAUCAAUCCCAACUCCUCUUUGGAUUAGGAUUCAAUCAUUGAAUCCAAUAUGGACUCUGAUUGAAUCCCCAUUCACGGUAGAAUUCUUCAAAAUUGUUCCAAUCUCUAGCCAAAAAAAAAUUGAAAAAGAAAAUAAAAAAUCAAAUAAAUAAAAAAAUAUUAAUAGAUAAUUAAAGAAAAAAAUCAGAUAAAUCAAAAUAUUAACAGAUAAAAAUAAUACUAGAUAAAUUACAAUAGAUAAAUAAUAAUAAAUAUAUAACUAGAUAAAUAAAAUAUAUAUUAACAUAAAAAAAUAAAAAAUAAAUAGUAAUAAUAAAUAAAUAACAAAUACAUAAGAUAAAAGAAAAAAAUAUAAAAUAAAAAAUAAAUAAAUAAUAAAAAAUAAAAAUAAUAAAAUAUAAAAUACAAAAUAAUAAAAACAAGGUGGACCUACCCAUUUGGACCAGGCCCAAAUGAUCUGGGCUUGGACCAAAUUGGGUGUCUACAGCUGCCCCUCUUUGCACAUUUUCUGUGAAACAGAAAUUGCGCAAAAACGUAGACACCCAUUCACAACUCAACUCGACUCUUUUUUUUUCUUUUUUUUGUGUUAAAGAUUUGAUCAGAACUCCUCUAAGCAGAGGCUUAACGACUUUGAAGAUGAAUAAAGCUCCUCUAAUCAGAGGCUCAAUGACUUUGAAAAAUAAAUAAAGCUCCUCUAAUCAGAGGCUCAACAACUUUGAAGAUGAAUAAAGCUCCUAUAAUCAGAGGCUCAAUGACUUUGAAAAAUAAAUAAAGCUCUUCUAAUCAGAGGCUCAAUGACUUUGAAAAAUAAAUGGCUCCUCUAAUCAGAGGCUUAACGACUUUGAAAAAUAAAUAAAGCUCCUCUAAUCAGAGGCUCAACGACUUUGAAAAAAUAAAUGGCUCCUCUAAUCAGAGGCUCAACAACUUUUGAAAAGUAAAUGGCUCCUCUAAUAAGAGGUUCAACGAUUUUGAAAAAUAAAUAAAGCUCCUCUAAUAAGAGGCUCAACGACUUUGAAAAUGAAUAAAAUGCUCCUUGACAACCAUGUCCAAAGGAGUUGAAAUCGUAUUUAAAGGAAUUUCAGGAGAUUAUGCCCAAAGGUCUUAUAAAUCAGCCCUGAUACCAAGAAACAUCCUAUUUCAAGGAUUAGGAACUUACCUGACAAGCUUUUACUCAAAUUUGAAAAUGUAUUCACAUAUGUCUUCUCUAUAUGGGAUUUUGGAAUACCCCUACUUCUUGAAUUUAUGUAGUAUAUGCUAUGCAAUGUAUAUGAAAUUCAAUGCAUGUUAUGCAAAAGUUGGCUAAUUAACUCCUAUUCAAUUAUGGUACUUAAAUUUCUCAAGCUCUUUUCUUGGGCCCCGAACCUUUGAUUCUUCAAAAACCAGAUUACGCUGCUCUUCUAAGAUCGAGCCAGUGUAACUCUCAAUCAUCUCUUCCACUCACAUUCUUUCUAUAAAAAAUCUCUUUCCAAAUUCAAUGUCCUUAUCAGGAACUGAACAUCUCAAUCCUGCCUUUAUCACUCUUGACUUAUUCAAUCUAAUGUAAAAAUCUUUCAUGCCAUUAUUCAUUUAUCAAUUAUUAUUUCAAACUCAAAAAGUAAGAAUGCAUUUGCAUAUUUCUUCCAUUGUUAGGUAUUAAGAAGAAAAUAAUAAGAAUGGUUGAGAAACAGUCACCAAAAAAAGACACAAAGAGUGAAAUAGAAUGUCUUUUAUUAGCAAAGUGUUGGCAAACUUUGGCCAGGAAAGAAUUACAAGGAUAAGUGAGAGGACAAAGCCCAAAAAUGAACAAUCGGAUAAUCAUGAUAACAUAUCUCAAGGUUUUUCUGAAAACCCAACCCUCUGAUGUAUUUAACAACUUGGAGCUCCUCCGAAUUUGCUAGCCUCCAUGACAAUGGAUUUGCUGUAUUCUCCUUAUCUAAGCUGCCUUUUCAGGUUUUCAACUUAGACAAACCCCCUAUGACUCAAACCACCCUUUUAAGGUUUUCACCUUGAGUCCUCCUUUUUCAUUCACUUUUUCUUUUUCUUUUUCCUCUUUUUUUUCUUUUUUCUUUUUUCAUUUUUUCAUUUUUCAUUUACAUUUCUUUUUUUUCUUUUUUUUAUUAUUUUUUAUUUCAAGCAUAGUAUUUUUUCACAGCAUCAGAAUUUAUAGGAUGGGAUAAAUCAUUUCUAUCCAUCUCAGUCAAUAUCAACGUUCCACCUGAGAAAGCUCGUUUCACCAUAUAUGAUCUUUCCCAAUUCGGAGUCCAUUUUCCUCUACUAUCGUGCUAGAUCAAGAGGAUUCUCUUCAAGAUCAACUCUUCUUCUCGAAAGCAAUGGAAUCGAAUCUUCUUAUCAUGAGCCUUCAUCAUUUUUCUUUGAUAUAGCUGACCAUGGCGCAGUGCAGUCAAUCUCUUUUCUUUUAUGAAAUUUAAUUGUUCAUAACGUUCUCGAAUCUAUUCGGCUUCUUCCAACUCAACUUCUUUUAGAAUCCUCAAGGAGGGGAUCUCUACUUCCACUGGUAGUACAGCUCCAUCUCAUAAACCAAAGAAAAUGGAGUUGCCCCAGUAGAGGUACGAACUGAUGUUCGAUAUGCAUAUAGUGUAAAUGGUAAUUUCUCAUGCCAAUCUUUAUAAGUCUCGAUCAUCUUUUCCAGAAUCUUUUUUAUGUUCUUAUUAGCUGCCUCAACUGCCCCAUUCAUUUUCGAACGGUAUGGUGUCGAGUUAUGAUGCUUGAUAUUGUAUUGAGCACAUAUUUCUUGCAUCAUCUUACUAUUUACAUUCUUGACAUUAUCUAAAAUAAUUCUCUCUGAAAGUCUAUAUCUACAGAUGAUCUCUCUCUUUAUGAACUUACAAACCACAGAUCGUGUUACGCUUGCAUAUGAUGCUGCCUCUACCUAUUUUAUGAAAUAAUCUAUCAUCACAAAAAUGAAUCUAUGCCUAUUAGAAGCCUUUAGGGUGAUAGGACCAAUGACAUCCAUGCCCCACAUUGAGAAUGGCUAAGGUGGUGCCAUAACAUGUAAAGCAGAUAGUGGAGUAUGGAUCUUAUCAACAUAUAUCUGGCAUUUAUGGCAUUUACAAGCAUAAUCAAUGCAAUUAUUCUCCAUCAUCAACCAAUAAUAUCCUGCUCUCAUGAUCUGUCUCACCAUUAUAUGUCCACUAGUGUGUGCCCCACAUAUUCCAUCAUGCACCUCUUCAAUGAUUUUUCUCGCUUCAACUUUGCUUAUGCACCUCAGUAAUACCUGAUCCUGACUUUUUUUGUACAGAACAUCCCCAUCCAGGAAAAAGCUCAUAGCUAAUCUUUGGAUGACCCUUUUAUCAUUUUUUAUUACUUGAAUUGGGUACCGUUGAUCCUUAAUAUACUGUAAGAUAUCAUAAUACUAGGGCUUCCCGUCUUCCUCCUCUUCUACAUUAAAGUAAUGAGCUAGCAUAUCUUUAACAUCUAGCUUGAUGGGUUGAAUGUCAGUAUUGUCAUUAAUUCGAAUCAUUGCAGCCAAAGUAGCCAAUGCAUCAGCAAUCAAAUUCUCUUUUUGAAGUAAAUGAUCAAACUGGACAUCUUCAAAUUGUUUUAUCAACUCUAGAAUAUACUUAUGAUAUGGAAUGAGUUUUGAAUCUCUCAUUUUUCAUUCCCCUUUCAACUAAUAUAUGACUAAAGCUAAAUCCCCAAACACUUUUAAUGCUCUCACUCCUCUAUCUAUAGCAGCCUGUAAGCUUAUGACACAUGCCUCAUAUUCAGCAAUAUUAUUUGUGCAAUUAAAAUUUAACCUUACUGUUACAUGGCAGUAUUUUUCUCCUGGAGAGAUCAGAAUUGCCCCAAUUCCGUGCCCCAAGGCAUUGACAACUCCAUCAAAAUACAUUCUCCAACAUUUUUCUCCAUGCUUUCCUUUUCCUAGUUGAGAAAUAGUUAUUAGGUCUUCAUCAGAGAAUUCCAACUUCAUUGGUUCAUACUCUUCAGUAGCACGAUCUGCUAGAAACUCCGCUAUAACGCCCCAUUUUAUUGUCUUUUGGCUUACAUAUAUAAUAUUAUAUUUCGAGAGCAUUACUUGCCAUCUAGAAUUUCUUCUAGACAAAGAAGGCUUUUCGAAGAUAUAUUUAAUUGGAUCGAGUUUUACUAUGAACCAUGUGGUAUGAUAGAGCAUAUACUGUCUGAGUCUUUUAGUGGUCCACGCUAAUACACAACACAUUUUCUCCAGUGAGGAAUACUUUGAUUCAUAUUCUGUGAACUUUUUACUCAGAUAGUAAAUAGCUCACUCCUUUCGGCUAGACUCAUCUUGCUGCCCCAACACAUAUCCCAUCAAAUUUUCAUAUACUGUCAAGAAUAAAAUUAAAGGUUUUCUGGAACAGGUGGCACCAACACUGGAAGGUUUGACAAGUAUUGCUUGAUUUUAUCAAACGCCUAUUGACAUUCCUCAUUCCAUUUUCCAGGAUUAUUCUUAUAAAGAAGCUUAAAUAUGAGAUCACAUUUAUAAGUAAGUUGAGAGAUAAACUGAGAAAUGUAGUUCAAUCUCUCUAAAAAACCUUGAACUUCCUUUGGUGUACUGAGAGGUGAUAGAUUCUGAAUGACCCGUAUCUUAUCUGGAUCAACUUUAAUUCCUCUUUUACUGACCACAAAACCUAGUAACUUUUUCGACUUUACCCCAAAGGUGCACUUGGCUGGGUUUAAUUUGAGCUGGAAUCUUCUCAACCUCUCAAAUAACUUUCUGAGGCUGGUAACAUGAUUUUCAUUCUUACAAGACUUUGUAAUCAUAUCGUCUACAUAUACCUUGAUCUCUUUAUGCAUUAUGUCAUGGAAGAGUGUUACUAUGACCCUUUGAUAUGUUGUUCCAGCAUUCUUUAACCCAAAAGGCAUAACCUUGUAAUAAAAGGUUCCUCACAUAGUCAUGAAAGUGGUCUUUUUCAUAUCAUCUGCAGUCAUUUUUAUCAGAUUAUACCCUGAGAAACCAUCCAUGAAGGAGAAAAUUAAAUGUCUAACCAUAUUAUCUACCAGCGUGUCGAUAUGAGGUAAAGAAAAGUUAUCCUUUGGACUAGCCUUAUUCAAGUCAUGAUAGUCUACGUACAUUCGUACCUUUUCAUUUUUCUUAGGAACUGAUACUAUAUUGGCUAUCCACUCUGGAUACUUAGCCACUUGUAGAAAACCUGUGUCAAAUUGUUUCUUCACCUCUUCUUUGAUCUUUAGUAGCAUUCAGGUUUCAUCCAUCUCAGUUUCUACUAGACUGGCUUAUAUUCUAGCUUUAAAGGUAAUCUAUGCUCCACUAUCUCCGUGCUUAGCCCUGGCAUAUCCUGGUAAGACCAAGCAAAUACAUCUACGAAUUCUCAAAGUAAGUCUGCCAAUCGUUGUCUAUCUCCUAAUGAAAGAGAAGUGCCAAUUCUGACAUCUUUCUUAUUCUCUUCAUCCCCCAGAUUCACUAAGUCAACUAUCUCCUGAUGAGGCUCAAUUGACUUAUUUUCUUGUUCAAUCAAUCUCAUUAGGUCCGAAGGCAUAACAUAUUCCUCAAAAUUCUCUUCAUUGUCAAGUUCAUCAGUGUUAAUUGAAUUCUCAAAACUAACCUCUCGAUUGUUAUCAUGAUUAUCUUCAUGUUCAUUUAAAAACAUGAAAUUGAAUGAAAUAUGUUGGCAAGAUGUGUUUGAAAGAUGGAAAUAAUGAAGACACAAGAAGAAAUGAAUGAAAAUGCAUCUUCCUAAUUUUUAUUAAAAAUAAUAAAAGAUAAAUGGCCCAAACAAGAAAGACCACCCCAAUGCCUUGGGCAAUAGCUAUUGGGAUGUUACAAUUACAUUGUAUGAGUUUCAAAAGUCAUAGGCAUCUUGAUGGCACUCCAAUUAUUCAGCUCAUAAUCUAACGGACAAAGGCGAACCCACCCCUUUUGAUUAAUCUCCCCUUCAUCUUUAAUAGCAUCAAUGGUUAAUUGGGCAAAAGCGUCUUCCACAUUUUUUUCUGUAUCUGGAUACAUGAAUCCUCCAAGUCUGAAAGUCUCAUACAGGUGUGGGAUAACCAUUAGUCUUGCUAUCUUUCUGACUGACCUUCUCUUGAUCUCCCAUUCUGCCAUCUCAUAGCCUAGGCCUAACCUGUCGCUAUUGUCUAUCACUGUUGGGGGUUUCUUUAUUCCCUGUAAGUUUUUACCUAGCCCUGAUCCUAGAUACCAACCCUUAUUGAUGACUUGGCUCAUCACUAUCCUUGAAAAAGAUUGAUUUUUAAAUCCCUCGCCCACAGAAUUAACCAAUUUAAAAGAUCGAUAGGAGCAUUCCAAUGCUUCUUCAGCAGCCUCUACAUAUGGAGUAUUCAAUGGUUGGGUCACUAGCAUGUCUUCCUUCCCAACUACCACUACUAGUUGACCUUUUACAUUAAACUUAAUCUUUUGGUGCAAAGUAGAUGGCACAGCUCUUACCAUGUGAAUCCAUAGCCUUCUUAAUAGAUAAUUAUAAGAUGGAAAGAUAUCCAUCAUUUGAAACUUCACUUUGAAAGUGCAUGGCCCAAUUUGCAAGGCAUCUCGAUAUCCCCCAGGACUUCUCUUCUGGUUCCAUCAAAAGCUUUCACAAUCAUUUGACUAUUCUUCAUAUGAGAGUAAUCAAUGGGUAGCCUUGUCAAAGUUGACAUAGGCAUGAUAUUGAUAGCAGAGCCAUUAUCAAUAAAGACCUUGGCUAUGAUAUGGUUUUUGCACUUAACCGUGAUGUACAGAGCCUUGGCAUUUCUUUUUCUUUCCAAUGGAAUCUCAUCAUCGCUAAAUGAAAUGUGAUUCGACAUGACUAGAUUUCAAUCAAGUGAUUCACAUAUUCAACAAAUACAUUAUGUGCCACGUAUGCUUAAUUCAACACUUUUAGUAGGGCAUUUCGGUGUGGCUUUGAGUUUAGCAGCAGUGAUAGUAAUGAGAUUUGGGCUGGCAUUUUAUUCAACUGUUUCACAACUGAAUACUCACUAUGUUUUAUCAGCUUCAAGAAUUCAUAAACCUCUCUUUCUGAUACGGGUUUUGGGCGAUCUUUCUCAAGUUCUACUUUAGGGUUAUUCCGUCAUUCUCCUUUCUUGACCUUCUCUCUUCGAGCUUUCUCCAAUAUUUUUGGAGUGUAGCACCUUCCACUUUGGGUAAUACCUCCUACACCAAUUAUAUUGGAAGUGUCAGCUUUGGAGACAUCCUCUUCUUGCCUUUGAACCACUGUAUCACAGCCAUAUCUUCAGGUUACAGCCUUAUCAUCCUUGUACGGGAAAAGAGUCGAAACUUUAAAAGUUACCGACUUGGGAAUAAGUUUGUCUAUGAUUGACUUUGGCUUGUUCCCACAAUGAAUUGUCACUGGCUUUGGAAAUAGCUUUGCAGGCUUAUCGAUCGUGGAUACCUCAACACUUUUUAAGUCUUCUCGUUCUUCAUAGACCUUCAUCUGAUAUGAAUCCAAGAGUUUUUGUACCUCUUGGAGAAAUUGCUCACAGGUUUCAAUGGAAUGGCCUAUUGCCCCAUUAUGAUACUUACAACUAGUACUGGCUAUAUAUGUUCCAUGAUAGCUAUAUGGACUUACUAGUUGUAUCAUGUCAGCUUUUCAUAGAACAUCGAACAGUUGGCUGAGAGGUGUCUUAAUAUCUGUCACUUUUUUCUUCACAUGGCGCUCCUGUUCUUCACUUAUAGCAUUCACAUUAUGAUUCGGUAAGGGAUUGCCACUAACAUUCGGUGCAGUCACCCUUUCCGUAUCAAAGCAAAUCAUUCCAUCCUUGAUCAACAGUUGCACUUUGUGUUUCAGGGCAGUGCAAUUUUUGGUGAAGUGACCAGCAAUCCCAUAAUGGUAGUCACAGUGGGCUAUGGGAUCGUACCACUUAGGGUAAAGUGGCUUGAGGGGUUCCAAUUUACUAGGAGCAAUCAAAUGACUAUUGUAAAGCUCCUUAUAUAAUUCUAUAUAAGUCAUUGGAAUUGGGUUAAACACAGGUUUCUCACGGGUAGUUCGUUGCUCCCGUGAACCACCAAUGGGGUUAGUUGGGCGAUUUUGGGGUCUUGGGGUAGGCUGAGUGUUAGGACUGUAUAUGGUAUUUUGAGGCCUAUGAGGUGUUUGAUAUGUUUGGGGGUAAGGUGACUAUAUAAAUGCUUGGUAUGGGUAAGGGGAAGUGUUAUUUACAGUAGGAUAAUAUGAUAGGUAUCCUGGUGGGGAGUAAGGUUGAUAACCCUCAAAUUACUAUCUAUCAAAGCUCACAGCUUGAGCUUCAGUCUCUUUCUUCUUCGAGACUCUCUUGCUAGAUGCUUCAUUUCCUUUCUUCUUGCCAUUCUUGAUGGCACUCUCAAUAAUUUCUUUCGAAAUUACCAUAUCAGCAAAGUUUUUUAUCGCAUUCCUUAUCAUCUUUUCAUAAUAGGGAGGUUUUAAAGUGCUAACCAACAGCACUGUGGUCUCUUUCUCAGUUAGUGGAGGUUGUACCUAAGAAGCUAUAUCCCUCCAUCUCUAGGCAUACUCUUUAAAAGACUCAUUUGCCUUUUUCUCCGGGUUCUGUAAAGACAAACGAUCAGUGGCCAAAUCGAUAAUAUGUCGAUAUUGACUGAUGAAGUCAUGAGCCAUAUCGCUCCAAGAGUGAAUGCGGGUUCUAUCCAGCUGAACAUACCACCUGGCAGUAGAGCCAGUAAGGCUAUCUUGGAAAACAUGCAUCAAGAGUUUUUCAUCAUGAGCAUGAACUGCCACUUUUCCGGCAAUACAUGGUGAUGUGGGUUUUAGGGCACUUCGUACCACCAUAUUUUUCAAAUUCUGGUACUUUGAACUUAUGAGAAUGACCACAUCAGGGACUAAGCAAAGCCCAGCAGCAUCAACUGAACCACAGAAACCAAAUCCUUCCAUAGCCCGCAGCCUAGAUCCGGGGAUCUAUCACUAGAUAUUGACUUAAGGAGUCGCCGCCAAUCUUUUUUAUCUAGGUGUGAUUGGCCACCUAAAGAAUCUAUCCUUUCAGGAAACACUUAAGUUUAAGGAUCCCUAAAAGAGUAGGUUUAGGUCUACUAACCAGAACAAGGUUCAGGAGUUCGGUUACGUAUGAGGAAGGUUAUAGCACCCUCAUAAUGCCCAUCAAAAGAUGGUACCAACUUAAUUUUGUGUUAUCCAAUAAGUCUUAAAAAUUUACCAAGUAGUUAGUUGUUGGAAAUUGUUCUCAAUUAACUCUAAUACUUUUAGCAAAAAAUUAAGAAAAUCCCCUCACCUGAAGAGCAUACAAGAAAGCUACUGUUUCACUUGCAGAGACUCCAUCGUCGGAUUAUUUAACAUUAAAGAAAAUUCAAAAGAAAUAAAAAAGGAAAAAAGAAAGAUGAUUGCUUUGUACAAGGAAAAUUGAUACUUUCAACUUUUCUCCAAAAAUAUUUUUUAGAAACUUUAAUUUCGAGGAAAAUUGAUACUUUCAACUUUUUCCCAAAAAUAUUUGUUCGAAAACUUUAAUUUCGAGGAAAAUUGAUACUUUCAACUUUUCCUCAAAAAAAACUUUUUUGAAAAUUUAUUUUUAAGGAAAAUUGAUACUUUCAACUUUUCCUCAAAAAUAUUUUUUUUGAAUUAUAUUUAAAGAGAAAACAAUAAUAAUAAUAAAAAUAAAAAUAAAAAAAGAAAAAAUAUUAAACAAAUCUAAUCUAAUCAAUAAAUAAUAAUAAUAAUAAAUAAAUAAAUAUAUAAAAAAAAAUAAAAAAAAUGAAAACGACUCGGCUCGGUUUGGUUUAAGGAAGAAAAAUGGCUCGAAGAAGUGGCUUAGGAGUGUCGACUCGGCUCGGCUAACGGCUCGAAGAAGCGGGUUGAACGCAGGUCGAAAACGGGUCAACCCUCGAGCCAAGUCGCCCGAUUUCAAAAUGGGCGGAUCCUAUUGGCACAGUAACGCCAAAACGACGUCGUUUUCAGCAGGUAUAAAAGGCUAAUUCUUUCAUUUUUUUAGUAGACCGAGCUUUCCCUCUCUCUUUCUUCCUUCCUCUUCUCUCCCUUCUCUCUAAAAUACCCGAAAAACUUCGGUUAAAUAUUCACCAAAUUCUGAAAAUUUUGUCAGAAUCUAGAUUUUUUGCCGGAAGUUUCGAAAAGUUGAUCGAUUUUUAAAAAUUCUUGUCGAAAACUGAACAGCUGGCCGAAAAAUUCGAACUUGACCGGAAUAGUCACCGAAAAAUUCAACAUUUGUCAGAAAAUUCAACCGAAAUUUGAAAAUUUUUCAAAAAUUUCUAAAAAAAAAAUUCACAAAAAUUCUCCAAAAAUUCCUAUCGAUUCUUAGAGCUAUUCUAAACGCAGCAAAACCGUUUUAGCCUUUAAAUCUUCUCUGUGCUUGUCUUUUUUUUUCUUUGUUUUUCCUUUGAUCCGAGGGUCAUUUUAUAGAGAUUGAUUAGAAGAGUUUCUGAUCAAUCCCAACUCCUCUUUGGAUUGGGAUUCAAUCAUUGAAUCGAAUAUGGACUCUGAUUAAAUCCUCAUUCACGGUAGGAUUUUUCAAAAUUGUUUCAAUCUCCAACCAAAAAAAAAAUCUGAAAAAAAAAAUAAAAAUCAAUAAAUAAAAAAUAUUAAUAGAUAAUUAAAGGAAAGAUAAUAUAAAUCAAAAUAUAACAGAUAAAAAUAAUACUAGAUAAAUUACAUAGAUAAAUAAUAAUAAAUAUAUAACUAGAUAAAUUAAAAUAUAUAUAUUAACAUAAAAAUAAUAAAUAAAUAACAAAUACAUAAGAUAUAAAGAAAAAAUAUAUAUAAAAUAAAAAAUAAUAAAAUAAAGAAUAAUAAAAAUAAAAAUAAUAAAAUAAUAAAAUAAUAAAAUAUAAAAUACAAAAUAAUAAAAACAAGGUGGACCACCCAUUUGGACCAAACCCAAAUGAUCUGAGCCUGGAUCAAAUUGGGUGUCUACAAUAUAUAUAGGUUACUUAUAGGAAAAAAUUUUAUGCAGAAAAAUAUAUAUAAGUACAAAAAUCAAAAACCUCAUAGAUAGUUUUAAAACAAUAAAUUUAUAAGAAUGACAUUUAGUUGGAUCAUGUUUACUAAAAUUGGCUUUUCAAUUAAUAACAACGUAAAAAUCAAAUGCAUAAAAGAUUGUUGUAAAAUUUUGAUUUUUAUGUAUGUCACAUCAAAAAAGAUUUUUGAUUUUUGUAGAUGCCACGUAAAAAAAAUUAGGAUAAAUUGAAAGCUAAAUGAUAAGUUUAUCAUUUCAUUCUCUAGCAUUGGAGUUUUUUUUUCUUUCAUGCUUUUCUCUCCAAGUAUCAUGGCAACCACGGCUUUGAUUAUCUUCACAUUCUUUUUGCUUUUUUACAUUGAUUAUUUUGCUGCAAAUUAGCAGUUCUUUAAAUUGGCACGACAAUGGUCUCGUUCAACUUGCAAUCAUCCAAAUGUGCGGUAUACAUUUUUCCUCUGAUUUUGAAUUUCACGAAUCAGGGAACCAAUAAGACAAAACCAUAUCUCAUUAACUGUAGGUCCACUCCAUAUAAUACCAAUUCAGUCAGUUUAAUGAGAGUUAUCUGUCAUAUAUGUAAUCAUUCUUGCAUUGUGUCAUAUUACCAAAUAAAAUCAAUUAAUGCUUUUAAAAUUUUUUCUUUGAUAGAUCACAAUGUUGAAACCUCACAUGUUGGUUAGUUUGGUCAAGUCCUAUUAUGCCAAAUGAUGUUUUUUGGGGCAUGAGUGGAUAAAGCAUGGGAUUUGUUAUGAAUAUAAUUUUAAUCAAUUUCCCUACUUCAAAUUGGCUUUGGAUAUCAAAGAUUGUGUAGACAUCUUCAAAGUUAUUACCUAUGCUGAAAUCACUCCAACUCAUUUUAGAAUAUAUAAGCAUGCAUCUAUUACAAUGGUUAUAAAUAAUAAGAUACAUAUUGAUCUUAAACUUCGAUGCAACAUGGACAAAAAAACUUUUAAAUUGCAUGAGGUUGUAUUGUGUAUAGAUGACCAUGGAAUUAAUUUCAUCGAUUACUCUCAAAGAAUGAAUAAUCUGGUUAAUUAUUCAAUGUGCAAAUGUGCACCAGGGCUUGUCUUUCCUCAAUAAAAUGUGAAGGGUAGAAAUGUAAACGUAAUGCCAACUUAAUAUUAAUUUGAAUAAAGGUAAUUAUAUGAUGCCUUUGCAUGUAAUUAUGCAAGUAACUUGGUAUUUUGCAAAUCUAAAACUUUUUAGUUUCUUGGCAUAAAUGUAGCCUUUUAUUUGCUCUUUAAUUGUUUGGUUUACUAAAACUAUCAAAUAAAAUUUUUGGUUUGGAGAAAUCUUGGUGGCAACUAUAUAUCUUUUGGCCCUAAUUUACUUGGCUUCUAUUUUUUCAUGUUUCUUUUUAAUCUUCGUAGAGAUCAUCAAAUUGAAAACUGUUUUAUUUUUUCUCUUUUCGUCCCUACACUACAGCAAAAUGGCAUUUUAGCAACAGUUUUGUAGCGGCCUUCACUUACAAACGUUACUAGCUUUCGUGUUUUUAUAAAACUUCAGGCGUUUAUUAUCCAAACACCACUAAAUAUACAAUUAGCGGCAUUGUUACUUAUAAACGCCACCAAUACUUGAUAUUAGAGGCGUUUCUCGAGUAAAAUGCCUUGAAUAUUUUUUUUAAGUUUUGGUGAAUAGUUAAGGUGUAUUUUUUACAGACAACGCCUUUAAUAAUCACGUCAAAAAAAAUUGUAUAAGAUUAAUGAAGGCGUUAUCUACAAGAUACACCUUUAAUAAUUAUUUCGAGGCUUAUUAAAUUUAUUCUGUUCAGAUAUUAUUCAAUAUUAAGCUUGUCAAUUUGUUUGGAUUGUAUGGAUGAUUCUCGUUAGGUUGUUGGUUCGAUUUGUACUUUAGCAUUUUUUGGGCUUAGGCACAUAUAAUUUGUUAUUGAUUAUUCUAGGCAUUUUUUUGGCAAAACGCUUUCACAGAUUGCUUUAAAAAAAUUUUCAUAUAAGGGCGAUGGCGUUUUUCUUGGAGAGACGCCCUUAAUAAUCGAUAGGAAAACUAUGGAGUCGAUUCUUGAAGACAUUUUUGGCCGAACUCACCUUCUAUAAUCGAAUGAGUAAAUAAUUUGUUUAUUUUUAAAGGCGGUUUUGUAAAAACUACCUUCAAUAUUCCAUUGACAAAACUUGGAUGUGAUGAUUGAAUGCGUUUUUAGCUCGAUACGCCGUUAAUAUUCCCAAUGAUAAAUUCUAAUUGUAGAAUUAUUAAAGGUGGCUAUAUCCAAAAACGCCUUUAUAAACAUUUUAUUGGGCUUAUUGAAGGCGGUACCCACAGGAAAAUGCCCUUUAUAAUCCAUUCGAUUAAUUCGUAGUUGGUAUUAUUGAAGGUAUUUUUUGCCCUAAAAUGCCUGUAAUAUUCCAGACAAUAAUUUUUUGGGGGAUUAUUGAAGGCGAUUUUCGUAAAAAAAAUACCUUUAAUGUUUUAUGUUAGUGGUGUUUGAAGGUGUUUUCUUGCUAUAAACGCCUUUACUAAUCGCAUGAAAAAAACAUAAUUGAUACUUUAUAUGUGAAGUCAGUUGUAGGUUUAUGCUCAGAAAAACGUUUGCUGUCAGUUAUAUAUUUAUGCCCAGAAAACAUUUGGUUUAUAUACUGAUACUAUGAAUUACAUUUUCAAAUUUGCAAAAUGAACAUUGUUGUAUUUCAAAAAAUUGACCACACAUAUGAAAAUAAAACUAACAACAUUGCUAUAUUAAUAUACUUUUCUGAAAUAAUCAUGCUCAGUAAUUUAUUCAGUACACAUUUGUAUUAAUAUUAAGUAUAAUAAUAAUAUUAAACCAAUACCCCCAAUGUACAAAGUUAAAGUUGCUAUUCAAAAUGGCAUGUUAAAAACAUUAUAACAAUUUGUUCCAUAUAUAUUUACAUUAAACCAACAAUGUCUAACCUGAAGGUUUAUCAACAUUGAUAAAUGACAAAACAUAAUCACACCAUUCUUUAUGGACUUCAUCCAGCUCCUCUUCCGUGAAGCUUUCUUUACCCUCCCACUAGAAAAAAUAUCAGAAGUAAAUGUUAAGCAUUGAGAACAUAAUGUACCAUUUUAUUUUUUGAAUAUAUAACGAGUAUAUGAAAUUUAUACUAACCUUGAAUGGUGUGGUCAUAAAAUCAUGUAACACUAUCUUCCACAUAAAACGAAGGACAUAAUAUCCACAUUCAGUAUUAUCGGGUUGACGAGGUACCUGAAAGUUAAAUUGACAAGUUUUAGAAAAUAUUUAUCUACAAAAACUCGACAUUAAAAGAAUAAAUUUGACAUUUGUGAAAGUGACACCCAUUUCGGUUUCUUUAUCUUCUUGUUGAAUGCUUUUAUUACCCUAAAUUAAAAAUAAAAAAAUUAGUGUUACCAUAAAUAAAAUUUCUUAUGAAGAAACAGAACAUAUAUGAUAUAGUAAAGUACUGUAAUACUUCUUUAUAAAAGUUUGAAUAUCGGGAUUAAGCAUCACCGUUGGAUUAACUGAAUUAAGAAGGUAUGACGUUAAGGAUUUGGUGUCAACCACAAUAAGCACCAAAUGAUGACUGUAAAAUAAUAACAAUCAAAUACUCAGAAUACGCAUCAGAUCAUAGAAUGGAGAAAGUUAGAGUAAUUAAGGUUGGAAUAUAGCUUACUGUGCAUUAUACGAGAGCAAAUAAUAAUCAACUGAUCAUUUCAUGCAUUGGAUCACAUGAUUAGCAUGAUAUAUGACUGUGCCACUCUGCUCACUAAUGAAGUUGAGGUCAAUAAAUCUACACAAGCUACUAUACACUCAUGCAUACAUCCACAAUGCCAAUCAUACAUUUUAUAAAAAAAAUAGUUAUACAUAUAAUCUUUUUUGCCAUUUCCUCCAUUGCUUCAUCUAUGAAGGAUCCAUCCUUACGUAGAUGUCCUUGUUUCCAGACAUCCCAUUUGAAAACUUCUGUGUUUGAGCUCAUAGAUUCUUAUUAAAUUACCGUAAUAAAAGAAUCAAAAUGUAUGAAAUGAAUGUUCAUAAUUAUUCAUUAAUGAGUAUAAAUGAAGUGUGCGAAUACAUACAAGCUGAAACUUCACAUUUGCAUUUGUUUUUCUUGCUGUCCAAUGGUGAUAUGGCUGUUUUGCCUUAAUGUCCCGAUGUUGUUCUUUGACUUUCUACAAAAUCAAGAAAUUAUGUCAAUCAUAUAUGAAGAUCAAAGGCUAUAUUGCAUAAAGACUUAUAAACUUGGACUAAUUUGGUUAUGGGUUUACGUAUUAAGAAAUCUUCUGAAAGUCGAUAUUGAACAAAAUUUAUCUAAUCCUCAACAAUUAUGACAUCUGCAUAUGCUGCAGGUGGAACAGCCAAAACAUCACCUUCAUUAGUUAGCGAUAAAAUAUAUUAGGUUGUCAAUUUGCUUUUAAAGUCUCUGAAAACAUUUUCAGCAAAUUGUAACACAAUCUUUUUAUACUCAAUUGGGACAUCGAAUCAUUCAUAAAUAAGUUAACACAAAUAGUUUCAACACAUUGAAUUUCAAUUAAAUGAUUAUAUAACAAAUUUUACGAAAUAGUUGAAUAAACAUACCACAACGGACUGCCAUAUCUCAUCAUUUAAAUCAUCAGGAACUCGUCACCAAUCAAUAUACAUAAUUAAAAUCCUCCGACGAACAAUAGCUGCAAUAUGAAUAGCCAUAUUGGCAGCACCUUUCGACACAGGCUACCCACUUCGAUUGAAUUCAACAUGAAUUUUUUCGUCAGCCACUUUGAUUUAUUUAUUUAGGCCCCUUCUAUUUCUUUUUUGGCCUACACUUCUUUCUUCUGCCUGUUCAUUAGAAGAAAAAUGAUUUUGUGUGGAGUCUAUAUUACCUAUAAUAUUGAUCAUAAUUAUACGAAUUAGACAAAAUGUCCCUAUAAAUUGAUCAUUGUACUUAAUUUAAUACAACCAAUACCAUACUAUGUACAAAAACAGCAUUUAGCACGUCAUUCAGCAAUGUGAUCAUACACACCCUUUUGCAAGCCACUCAAAAAUACUAUUCAACCCCCAUUCAAACCCAUUCAACAAAACAAUAUCAGACAACAAGGUUCAGCAAACCAUUCAGCAUGAAAAAUGACUUUUUAGACCUUCAAUAUCAUAUAAUUCGACAAUACAAUAUCAGUCAACAAGGUUCACCAAACCACAAUAUUGAAUGCGUACUACAUAGAAAUAGCAUACUUGCAAUAGGAAUAGAAUCUUGGAUGACUAUGCUAACGGUGAUGUUAUUGAAAAAAAUAUAAACCCAUAUGUCAACAUUAAGGAACUGAAAAAACAAAAAUUCUUUAUUGAAGGUGUAAAUAAAAUAGUAAACUAAAAAAAAAGACUUACUAGUUAAAACAGAGGAUCGUAGUAAUGAUUUGUUGAAGGUUAGUGGUGACGAAUGGGAGAAACAAAGGAAUGGUUUGCUAGAAAUCUGUUUAAGGGUUUGGUUUGUUUGGUAGAAAAACACAGCUUCUAAUCAUUCUAUGUACUAGCCCUCUACAAAUUCCUAAGUUCAAAAUAAGGAAAUGAAUAUAAAAUUAAUUAUUAAAGGCAUUCCCAUGGAACAAAUCCUUCAAUAAGCACUUGAAAGUUUUAUUUAGAAUUUUUGAAGGUGUUUAUUACAAAAAAGAUGCCUUUAAUUAUACGCCUUUAAAAUUGUCCAACCAACUUAUUAAAGGCGUAUGCUAAAAAAAAUGCCUUCUAUAAUCAUUAAAAAUUAUAAAAGGUGUUUUCAGUUAUAAAUCACCUUUAAUUAUUUUAGAUUUUUCAAAUUAUUGAAGGCAGUUUAUAAUAAAAGAUGCCUUUAAGAAUCCGGGUAAAUUUGUUUUUAGAAAAUUAUUGAAGGCAGCGUUAUUUGCAAUCGCCUUCAAUAAUUAUGUUCAAACUAUGAUGCUAAUUACUAAAGGUAUUUUUCUUAGAUAUUCGCCUUCAAUAACAUUGUUACAAUUUGUGUGGCGAUUUAUAGAAGGCAUUUUAAAGUAGAAGACGUCUUUAAUAAUCUCAAAAAUAUAUGGAGGGAAAAUUUUAAAGGUGUUUUCAGUUAUAACAAAUGCCUUCGGUAAUGGAUUAUUAAAUUUAAAGGUAUACUAAAGGCGUCUUUUCUAUUAAAUGCCUUCCAUUACCAUCGUGGUAUAUUGAAGGCAUUUUAUAAUCAAAGCCGCCUUCAAUAACAGUGAUGCAAUAUGUCUACCUCUAUAUAGAAGGCAUGUUUCAGUACAAGUCGCUUAUAUUAAUUCCUAAAAGAUUUUUGUGGGAAAAUUUUGAAAGCGUUUUCAAUUAUAACAAAUGCCUUCGGUAAUAGAUUAUUAAAUUUAAAGGUAUACUGAAGGUGCCUUUUCUAUUAAACGCAUUCCAUUACCAUCAUGGUUUAUUGAAGGUGUUUUAUAAUUAAAGCCACCUUCAAUAACAGUGAUGCAAUUUGUCUGCCUCUGUAUAGAAGGCAUGUUUCAAUACAAGUCACCUUUAUUAAUUCCCAAAAGAUUUUUGUGGGAAAAUUUUGAAGGUGUUUUCAGUUAUAACAAACGUCUUCGGUAAUAGAUUAUUAAAUUUAAAGGUAUACUGAAGGCAUCUUUUCUAUUAAAUGCUUUUCAUUUCCAUCGUGGUAUAUUAAACGUAUUUUAUAAUCAAAGCCACCUUCAAUAAUAUUGAUGCAAUUUGUCUACCUCCAUAUAGAAGGCAUGUUUCAGUACAAGUCAUCUUUAUUAAUUCCCAAAAUAUUUUUGUAGGAAAAUUUUGAAAGCAUUUUCAAUUAUAACAAACACCUUCAGUAAUGGAUUAUUAAAUUUAAAGGUAUACUAAAGGUGCCUUUUCUAUUAAAUGCCUUCCAUUACCAUCGUGGUAUAUUGAAGGCAUUUUAUAAUCAAAGUCGCCUUCAAUAAUUAGGGGAUAUUUUAUGUACGAAAAUUAUUGAAGGCAUAGUUUUCUGCAACCAUCUUCAAUAACUACCUAACACUAUGGUAGGAAUUAUUAAAGGUGUCUUUCUUGGAUAUACGCCUUCAAUAAUAGUUUUAUAAUUUGUGUGGCGAUAUGUUCAAGGCGCCUAUAAUAUAUUCAAAAAAUAGUUAUAAAGGAAUUAUUGUUGGCAUUUUUUGUUAGUCAACGCCUUCCAUAAUCCUGUCCAAUAAAUAUCUUCCCAAACUUAGCGUAUCCAAUCACCAACUUUAAGCUUCAUCUUCAAUAUUAUACUAUUUCUUUUUCCAGACCAAGUACAAUUUACUUUACCUUUCUUUCUGCUUUUAGUAUUCGAACAUUGUCUUUUACAACCCUAUUUCGACUAUUCAUAACUUGUUGACUUUAGCUUUUACUUCAUUUGACUAUUCUUUCAGCUGUUGCAAUUUGUGAUUUUUUUUUGGUGAAAAAUGUUUUCUCCAAAACCCACCUUAUUUCACCUGAUGUCAGCCCCAACUACAAAUACUCUUGGGUACUAUCUACGUUAGCAGUAGAGUUUCAGCAAUCAUAAUAUCUAGUAGCUGAUAAAUUAUUUGACAACAAAGAGUUCUUAUUUUGUGUAAGUACUACUCUUAUUAUCAUAAUUUGUUUAAAUCAUAGUAAACUAUGCAAAUGUACAGUUCAUUUUCAUAUUAAUUAUUUAUAUACAUUUGGUCUAAUAAUGUAGCAACUAAUAAAUGGAUAAGAGUUGGAUACAAAAGUCAAGAUUCAGGCAACAGUACAGAGAUGGAGUGGUAAAUUUUCUUAAUUUUGCAUUUAAGAAUACAAGUGAAGAUAAUAUAAUAUUAUGCACAUGUGUGAAAUGUGGUAAUAUCGAAUGGCAAAUACGUCAAGUUGUUUAUGAGCAUUUAAUUUGUAUUGGAUUUCAUCGGGAUAUGUUAAUUGGUAUUUUCAUGGAGAGUCUGUACCGUCAAGGUCUUCCACUACAGUUUUUUCAACAUCAAAGGCUGUCCAUCACCAACAUAAUCCCUUUAUGGCAGAUGACAUUGAAGGCAUGUUGCGAGAUGCUUUUAACAUUCAUAACCAAAAUUUUCCUAAUCUUUUUCCCCAAAAUGAAGGAUUUAAUUAGUCCAAUGUUGAAAUGCAUGAAUUUGGUGAACCUGGGAUAGGUGUACGUGACCUCAAUGAACCUAAAGGAGAAGCAUCAAAGUUUUAUAGAUUGCUUGACGAGAUGAAUGAAGAACUUUUUGAGGGAUCAAGGCAUUCAAGGUUUUUUUUCUGUGUUCAUCUUUUUCACUUGAAAUGCUUAUGUGGAUGGACGGGAAACUCUCUGACUUUAUUAUUACAGUUUAUGAAAGAAAUGUUUCCUUUUGUAAAAAUCCUUAAAUCUUGUAAGGAAUCAAAGAAGAUGAUCAAGGAUUUAGGUCUCAAAUAUGAGAAAAUUCAUAGUUAUUCCAAUGAUUGCAUGUUGUAUUUGGAGGAUAGAAAAAAUCAAGAAUCUUGUCAUUUGUGUAGUGUUUCUCGUUGGGUCAACAAAAACCUGGAUGAAAGUUUAAAUGAUGAUGGUGAUGAGGUAUGUGUUAAAAAGAAGCCUGUUAAGGUUUUACGUUAUUUUUCAUUAAUACCAAGACUUCAAUGACUCUACAUGUCUUUCAAAACUGUAGAUUCAAUGAGGUGGCAUUAAAAGAAACAGACGGAUGAUGGAUCAUUAAGGUAUCCUAUGGAUUCUUUGACAUAGAAGUCAUUUCAUUCUAGGUUUCCUAACUUUGCAUCUGAUCCUCAAAAUGUUAUGCUUGGACUAGCAUCUGAUGGAUUCAACCCAUUCUAAAUGAUGAGUACUUCUUAUAGUACUUAGCCAGUUGUAUUGAUUCCUUAUAAUUUGCCACCAUGGAUUGCUAUGAAGCAACAGUCAUUUAUAUUGUCUAUGAUAAUUUUUUAGGAAAAAGGUUCAGGUAAGGAUAUAAACAUCUACUUAUAACCUCUUAUUAAAGAGUUAAAGCAAUUACAAGAAAGAGUUAAUACCUAUAAUGCAUCAAAAAUAGAGAACUUCAAUAUGCGUGCAGCUUUAUUAUGGACUAUCAAUGAUUUUCCUGCUUAUGCGAAUUUAUCUUGUUGGAGUAUAAAAGGUCGUUAUGCUUGUCCAUGUUGUGCUGCAUAGACAUGUUUGACGUGGUUACGUAAUGGUAGAAAGUUCUAUUAUAUGGGACAUCAUCAAUGAUUAGAUGAUAAUCAUCGAUUUAGAUUUCAAAAACAUAUGUUUGAUGGAACUGAAGAGUUAAAAAGAUCAUCUUUACCCAUUAGUGGGUCUAAUAUCUUGUCAAAAUUAAAAGAUAUUAAUUUCAUAUAUGAAAAAAUGACUUUAUCAAGAAAAAGAGUAAGGUACAUCUAUAAAGGUGUAUGGCCUUGUAUUACGCAGAUUUGUGAUAGUCAUACAGAAGUUGGUGAUCUUAAUGUUCAAAGUGAUGAAGAGGACGAUGAAGUAGAUCACACCAAUGAGAAUGAGUUAUGAAAAAAAAAGAAGUAUUUUUUUUUUAGUUGCCUUAUUGAAAAUAUAAUUUAUUAUGCGAUAACCUUGAUUUGAUGCACAUAGAGAAGAAUGUUUUCAAAAAUUUAAUCGAGACAAUUCUCAAUGUGCAUAGAAGAUCCAAAGAUGACUUAAAGAGUCGACUUGACCUAGUUGAUAUGGGGAUUUGCCUAGACCUUCAUUCGAUGGUGCUUCCUAAUGGCAAAUAUCGAUUGCCUGCUGCUUGUUUUGGGAUUUCUAAAGCUGAAAAAGAUGUGUUUUGCAAGGUUUUGAAAAAUGUCAAAGUUUCAAAUGGCUAUGCGUCAAAUAUAUCAAGAUGUGUGAAUAUGAAGGAGCAAAAACUUUUUUCAUUGAAGUCACAUGAUUAUCACAUUUUGAUGCAAGAUUUGCUUCCAAUUGCUUUACGUUCAUCAAUGUCAAAGUAAGUGACUACUAUGGUAAUUGAAUUGAGUAACAUAUUUAAAUCUAUAUGUCAGAAAUGUAUGAAUAUGGUAGAGCUUGACAAAGUUCAAGAUUGAAGUGCGAUUACUUUAUGCCAUUUAGAAAAGAUCUUUCCUCCAAACUUCUUCACUAUUAUGAUGCAUUUGGUUAUCCACCUUCCAUAUGAAGUAAAGGUCAGUAGGUCAGUUUAUUAUCAAUGGAUGUAUCCUAUUGAAAUGUAUUAUUUUUUGAUAGAUUGAAUACGUUUUCAUUGAUUAUCAAGCCAAUCUACUUAAACUAACAUAUAACUAAUGUUUUAUGCUAUAGGUUUUUAAGGAGGUUAAAGUCUUAUUGUCACAACAAAUGUUAUCCAGAAAGUUUUAUUGCUAAAGGAUAUUUAGCAAAAGAAUGUAUGAUAUUUUGUUUUCGUUAUUUGGAAGAUGUUGAAACAAGAUUUAAUGGACUUUCGAGAAAUGUUGGUAUGCAGCAUACAGACUCGGCUUAUAAUUAUCUUUUUUAAAGUUUUGGACAACCUAUAGGUAUAGCUGAAUUUGUGGAGUUAGAUGAUAAAUCUUGGGCACAAGCACAUCGAUAUUUUUUUUUUCAUUAUGACUCAAUUGAAUCGUUUCACACGUAAGUUGUUUAGCAAGGAAAUUAUUCAUUACAUUAGGCAUACUUUAUUGUGUUUCUUUUUUUAGUGUUAAUACUUAACUCAUGAUGCUUUAUAGUGAGUAUAGAAAUAAUUUGAGAGAUCCUGCACAUUAUCGACAAUCAAACCCUCGAGAGGUUGAUAAGUUAUUCGCUAAAAACUUUCAUGAAUGGUUAGGAGCAACUAUAAGUAAUGCCAUGCUUCCCAUUUUUUUUUAUCUACAUAGAAUGCUUACGGUAAAAAUAAUAUUAAUAACAUAUAUAUAUUUAUCCCAUUUUUAUAGAUUUUAGUGGAAGGCUUGUUAGUGAAGAGGUGAAGUGUCUUUCACACGGUCCGAACUAGAUUGUGAAACGAUACAAAGGUUUCAUCAUCAAUGGAUUCAGAUUUCACACAAAAUCCCAUGAGAGAUUUCAAAGUACAUAAAAUUUAGGAGUUGUUGUGACUUCAUCAACUAUUAGCUAUGCUAGUGCUAGGGACAUAAACCCCUCAGAGGGAAAUAUUGACUAUUAUGGCAUGAUUAAUGACAUCAUUGAGUUGAAUUAUUAUGGGAAGUGGAAAGUUGUCUUAUUUCGGUGUGAUUGGGCUUAUGUGAAUAGUGCAGAGGUUUUUAAGAAAGAUCAGUACGGAUUUACACUUGUGAAUUUUUCUCGAUUAAUUCACCCUAGGACAAUAACUCAUCGAUGAACCUUAUGUAUUUUCAUCUCAAGUAAAACAAGUAUUUAACUCUGAAGAUCUGAAACGAAUAAGGUUGGUUUGUUGUUUCUUCGAAAACACACCUAGAGACCUUAUUUGAUAUGGGGUUUAGAUGCCAAAGGAUGAAGAUGAUGUGAAUCAAUGAAACUGAAUGUUAUCUUUUUGCCUGAACAAAAACUUGGAUGAAAUAUCUUCAGUACCUAUGCUCAAUUGUGUCUGCAAAGAUAUUACUCAAGACAGACAUUUGAACGAACCAUGAUUCCCUGCCACCUAUAAUUUUGCCAAUUCGAGUGGUUUUAAAACAUAAUGUGUAAAUAAUAGGUAUGUAAAUAAUGUCACAUUUAUUAUUGUAAAUUAUUGUUUUAUAUAUCUUUUGAACUAACAUUUUUUAUAUAUUCACUUUUAUGAUGUAGGUAAGCUACAAUGCGAGAAAUAGGUUGAAAGAAAAACAUAUCAGAGAUAUUACUUCUAAACUAUCUACGGCACCUANNNNNNNNNNNNNNNNNNNNNNNNNNNNNNNNNNNNNNNNNNNNNNNNNNNNNNNNNNNNNNNNNNNNNNNNNNNNNNNNNNNNNNNNNNNNNNNNNNNNNNNNNNNNNNNNNNNNNNNNNNNNNNNNNNNNNNNNNNNNNNNNNNNNNNNNNNNNNNNNNNNNNNNNNNNNNNNNNNNNNNNNNNNNNNNNNNNNNNNNNNNNNNNNNNNNNNNNNNNNNNNNNNNNNNNNNNNNNNNNNNNNNNNNNNNNNNNNNNNNNNNNNNNNNNNNNNNNNNNNNNNNNNNNNNNNNNNNNNNNNNNNNNNNNNNNNNNNNNNNNNNNNNNNNNNNNNNNNNNNNNNNNNNNNNNNNNNNNNNNNNNNNNNNNNNNNNNNNNNNNNNNNNNNNNNNNNNNNNNNNNNNNNNNNNNNNNNNNNNNNNNNNNNNNNNNNNNNNNNNNNNNNNNNNNNNNNNNNNNNNNNNNNNNNNNNNNNNNNNNNNNNNNNNNNNNNNNNNNNNNNNNNNNNNNNNNNNNNNNNNNNNNNNNNNNNNNNNNNNNNNNNNNNNNNNNNNNNNNNNNNNNNNNNNNNNNNNNNNNNNNNNNNNNNNNNNNNNNNNNNNNNNNNNNNNNNNNNNNNNNNNNNNNNNNNNNNNNNNNNNNNNNNNNNNNNNNNNNNNNNNNNNNNNNNNNNNNNNNNNNNNNNNNNNNNNNNNNNNNNNNNNNNNNNNNNNNNNNNNNNNNNNNNNNNNNNNNNNNNNNNNNNNNNNNNNNNNNNNNNNNNNNNNNNNNNNNNNNNNNNNNNNNNNNNNNNNNNNNNNNNNNNNNNNNNNNNNNNNNNNNNNNNNNNNNNNNNNNNNNNNNNNNNNNNNNNNNNNNNNNNNNNNNNNNNNNNNNNNNNNNNNNNNNNNNNNNNNNNNNNNNNNNNNNNNNNNNNNNNNNNNNNNNNNNNNNNNNNNNNNNNNNNNNNNNNNNNNNNNNNNNNNNNNNNNNNNNNNNNNNNNNNNNNNNNNNNNNNNNNACACAGUCACAAAGACAAAUUAUGCCAUUGCAAUGACCUAGGAUAUUUAUACUCAUUGGAUCAUCAGUAAAGGAUGGUAUAUCAAGAUUGGCAACAACAUCAAGAGUUUGAUUGGAAAUAAAAGAGACCAUAGUCUUUCUCUGUAUAAAAUUCACUUGUUUGAUGAGGAGACAGGUCUUGUUUUUACUAAAAGAAUAGUGGGCAGUAAUAAAUUGAGGGCUUUGAAUCAAGCAACACCAAGACUUACCAACACACCUGAAUCGCUUUAGAGAUUUGACAGGCAAUCUUGCCAGAAUAUCCACCACAAUAUCUUCAGGCAACGAAUGAGUGAUCGCGGUUGCAGCCAUUGAUGAUCUUCCUUGACGGUGUCCCCCUGUGCGUGUGUAAACGAGAGAUUUGAGUAUGUGCAAUACUUUCAAAGGGAUGGGAAAACUCAUGUGAUUUCAUUUUAUGCAGCGUAAAUGGUAACUGACAUUUGACAGGUAACGCCCCUUGCAAGUCGUCUGGCAUUCUAUUGGGUUAUUUAUUAUACCAACUAUUAAAUUUAAGAAAAAGUGACGUCAUUGCUUAACGGUUAAGUAAGCGGUUGUUUAAACAUCCGGAUUAAUUAAAAUGGAUUUCGAGUUUUAUUCGGAUGUUCCUAAUUUUGAUUAUUUGAGCUUUCUAAUCAGAGUUGUUUGAUAUUGGACUUGUGCAAACUUGAUAAUCUUGAGUCCAAAUUUUCCAAUCUAAAAUCACAUGGGCCAAAAUUUAAUUUCAAUCCGCUUCUAGUUAAAUGGUCUUUUGUGCUUAAAAGUUAAAGUCAUUUGAGGCUUAAAGCCCAAAUUUCCAGACUCAUGCAAUCAAAUUAGUGCUUUAAUUAAAUAAAAGGUAAGAGGCAAACUCCGGAAUACAAUGCUAAAAUUUUUCGUUUUACGAGAGUUAGGUUGAGAUCUAUAGCAUUUUAAUUAAAUAAAUAAUUUAAUUAAUUAAUGAAUAUUAAAUAAAAAAGGAAUGAAAAAUUUAAUAAAAUAAAUAUAAGAACAAAUUGAAAGAAAAUCAAAUCACAAGCAGAUACCGUGCAAGAAACCACCAGCAACAAUGUCUACCAGGCCUGCAAUUCAGCCAACCUAUCCCUUGAAUCGUCAAGCCACCCUACCAGCCAUCAUUGCAGUCGAAAUUAAGCUGCCAACAACCCUCUUUCUUACCCCGCAUAUUUCUACCUACUUUUCGUUUUUUCUCAUGAACCUAAAAUCUGAAACUACUUAUAAAAGUGAACAGAGAAAUCAACAGAGAGGGAAAUUUUGAAAAAGAAAAAAAAAACUUCAAAAACAAAAUCUGUUACCAUCACUACCAGUACCCUUGUGCUACUAGCACACCCACUUAGCAAAGAACCCAAACUCGUCACCAAUUUCAUCUAAAAGCCAUCAAAGCUAUACCAUGACCACCAUCAUCCACCCAAAAGCAAACACAAAAAACCCCUUCAACCCUUUGCUCACCAAAACCACCACACCCAUCUAAAUAGCCAAAUACGCAGAACCUUCAUCAAAUUCCAUCUGGAAUAAAAAAGUCCUACUCUAUUUUCAUUCGAAAACCAUCACAAAAAAACCAAAAAGAAACUAAUUUCCCUAAAACCCAAAAAAUACACUAUCAAAAGUAAAAAAGGCAAUAAAUGAGAAGAGUAAAAGAUAGAGAUUUUUGUUGGUUUUGGCAGCUAAUCGGCCAUGAGUAUUCUUGGAAUUUUUUGACUUGGAUCUAGGUGGCAUAUAGAUACUCAAUCUUUCGUUUACUUACACACAGUGAGGAAGAUUAUUAAUGGCUGCAGUAACAAUCACCCAUUCGUUGCCUGAAAAUGUUGUGGAGAAGAAUUUUGGUUAAGGUCAUGGUUACGUUUUCGGUCACAUUAAAUUUAUUAUGAUUGUGAAUGUAAUAAUAAUUAUCGGUGUAACGGAUACAAUAACAAUAGUUACCUUCAUUGUGAUAGUAAUUUUUUUUUUAUUUUAUAUAACUACAAACAUCUUGUUUUACUCAAAGUCCGAACCAUAAAUUGAAUUUUUUAUUUAUUUUAUUUUAUUUUAUUUUUAUUAAAUUUAUAUAUACAUAUGUUAUUUUUUAUUUCUUUAUCUAUUUUUAUUUUUUUGUUAUUUUUAAUUUUAUUUAAUUUCUUUGAUAUCCUUAUCUUCAAAUUCCAUUUAUAUUUUCUUUAAAUUAUCUAAUUAUUUUUAAAAAAAUCAAACAGAUGAAGUUUGGAUGAUAUUAUCUUAGGUGGUAAACGAUAGGAUUGAUUUCAAAAGAUAAUCUAGGUGUUUAUUUGAAAUAAAUUUAAUCCUAAUUGAAUUGAGAUUUUGCUAAAUCUUCCCUUAUAAAUAGAUUUGAAAUCAUCACACAACAAUCACACUCACAACAGUAAGCAUAGUGAACAAUAAGAGAUAGAAUUUUAACAAGAAAGAUAGCAGCAACAAAUAGAGAGAAAAUAAAGAGCAUCCAAAAUUUUUUAAAAGAGAAAAGUUUUUAGCAGAAGGAUUUUUUAGAGUUUUUAAGUUGAGAGAAUUUAAUUUGGUAUUUUUUUAAGGAUUUCAGGAGCUAAAAGUUUAAUUUGGUGUUUUGGAGCAAAUUUUUCUAAAUUUCUAAAAUUUAUUCUAGAAAUUCUAGAAUCCAACCAAAAUUUCGACAAACUUCAAAUUUUUCGAUAACUUAAUUUGGUAUUUUUUUUAAGGAUUUCAGGAGCUAAAAGUCUAAUUUGGUGUUUUGGAGCAAAUUUUUCUAAAUUUCUAAGAUUUAUUCUAGAAAUUCUAGAAUUCAACCAAAAUUUCGACAAACUUCAAAUUUUUCGAUGACUCUCUAACAAUUUUUUUCAAUUUUCGACAAUAUUUUUCAAAAACUGACAAAGCAUUCGAUCGACGUUCAUAAGCUUUAGAAAGAGAAGCAAAGAAAGGGAAAGAAAGGAGAGAAAGAAAAAAGAAAUCUAAGGAAAGAAAAAACAAAUUUGCAAGUUUUACAAUGUCCUAUAACGGUGUCGUUUUGAGUAAGGUUAAACCCUAAGAUCCAUGUGUUUUGCAUUGACCCAAUUCGAACCAUACCACACUACCCAACGACUCACAAUCCUCCUAAGCUAAUUGAGCUUCUAAGCCGAGCCAACUAGUCUUGAGCCGUGCCAUAUCCUGUUAUCCUCUGUGCUUAUAGUCGCACCUUCUCAGCCACUAAACCGAGUCAAUCUUGUUGGUAUAAUUUCAUUUUCAUUUAUUUAUUUAUUUUUCAUUUAUUUGUAUAUUUUCUUUAUUAAUUGUUUAUUUGUUUAUUAUUUUUAUUUAUUUAGUGGUUUAUUUAUUUGUUUAUUUUAUUUAUUUAUUUAUUUUAUUUGAUUAUUUAUGUAUUUAUUUAUUUGUAAAUAAUUUUUAUAAAAAAAUAAAAAAAAUUCAAAUAAAAAUGAAUCUUAUUACAUAUUGAAGGGUUCAAAUUUCUAAAAAUAAAUUUUUGAAUAAAAAAUGAAUCUUACCAACAUGUUGGGUGGUUUAAAUUUCUAAAAAAGAAUUUUUGAAUAAAAAUGAACCUUGCCAAUAUAUGGGAGGCUUCAAAUUUAAAAAAAAAAAUGAAUUUUUGAAUGAAAAUGAACCUUACCAACAUAUUGGAGGGUUAAAAUUCCAAGAAAUGAAUUCUUCAAUAGAAUAAAGUCUUACCAACAUAUUGGGGGGCUUGUGAUUUUAAAAAUAAGGUUUUACCAAUAGAUUGGAGAACCUUAUGAAUUUCUCAUAAAAAUUAAAUUUCAAGGUAAAUAAAAAAAAUAGUCUUCAAAAAGCCUUACCAACAUAUUAAAGAGCUUGUGAUUUUAAAAAUAAGGUUUUACUAAUAGAUUAGAGAACUUUAUGAUUUUUAAUUAAGAUUUAAAAGAAAAAGAAUAGUUUCCGUAUGAUCCUACCAAUAUAUUGGAGGAGAAUCUUUGAUAGAAAAUCUUACCAAUAUAUUAGAAGAUAUUUUAAAAAAUAAAAUAAAUUAAUAGAUGGUUUGUUUGCACAAGAAAUGUGUAAACACCCAAUUUUGUUCGAAUUGUCUAAAACAGAUCUUGAUUUCAAUUGAGUGGAUAUUGGGCCCAAAUUUUAUUUCAAUUGGGCUUAAGACUAGAAUUUUAUCUUUGGCCCAAAGUUGUGGCCCAAAAUCCAGUUAAACUACUAAGUUUUUAUUUUUUAAAAAAGAGCAAAUAAAAUAAAAAUAAUAAAAAGGUAAUUAAAAACAAAAAAAGAGCCUAUGACUAUGGGUGUCGUGCAUGGCACUGGCAACCCAUGAGCCACCCUACCCUUUUGUCUGUACCCCUUUCCCCUUUCAGCCAUGGCAAAUAAGGCCAAGUCUUCAAAAAUCUAGUUUAAGCUAAAAUGGAAAAAAAAAAGUCACAUCGAUAGUUUUCUAGGUAGCAGAUAAGCCGCUGGUGACCCUAUGAAAACCCCUCAGAAUCUCAAAAAUUAUGAGAUUUCAUCUCCCCUCCCAAUUCUAUAAAUUUAAAGAUCAAGCAAAAAACAAAGAGGAAGAAAGAAUAAGGGAAAAACUCUACAAAAAAAAAAACCCAUAAAAGAAAUCUUCUGUCAAACAGAAAAAAACCUUUUCCUAAUAUAAAAAUAAAAAACAAAAUCCACAUCCUUUAGAAUAGGUAAUCAACACUAAAAAAAAAAAAACAAAUCAUAAAAAAUGAAAAAAUGAAAAAACAAAAAGAAAAGGAGUUUUCAACCGAGACUUUGAGAACAGAUCUUGGUAUUUGGAAAGAGUUUUUUGAAAAACGGGGCUCAAAAUGAGAAUCAAGAGGUUGAGAGGAGUUUUUUGGUGACUUUUGGAAGUUUUUUGGUGAUUGGCGAUGAUGACGAUGAACAAAAGUGCAUGACGACAACCCAUCAUUUUCUGGGAAAAAAGUGGAAGAAAUUUUUUGGUUUUGAGGUUUUUUUUUUUUUUUUUUUUUUUGUAAAAGGGGGGAAGAAAUUAGUUGAAAAAAAUUUUGGUUCUCAUAGGAGAGGGAAGAGUUAAAAAGAUAUUAUUUUGGUUAGGGAAGGAUCCACGUGAAUUUGUUACCCAGCUGUAGACACCCUAUUUAGUUUGAGACUCAAACCAAUUGGGCCUAGAUCUAAUCCAAGCCCAAUAGUUCAAUUUCCUACAUUUCUUUUUUAUAUCUUGUUUGUCUUAUUUAUUUAUUUCUAUUUUUUUAUAUUUUAGUAUUUUAUAUAUCUAGUUCUAAAUUUUUAUCAUAAAUCAUUAAUCAUGUGGAGUAAUUUGAGCACUAAUCAAGGAUGACCUCGGUAAUUAAGACUUAAACACGAUAUCUUUAGAUAUUAAAGGAGGAUUGAAAAGAAACAAAAUUAGAGAAUCAAAGUUAGAUUUAAUUUGGAGAAAUUUUAAGGGAUUCUAAAAAUCAAGGAAAAUCAAGACAAUUCUAGAAAUUAAUUAAAUCAGCUUUAAAGAGAAUCAAGAAAAAAAUCAAUUCAAAGCAUAAUCAAAUUUGCAAUCUUUUCCAUUCAAUGCAAAUCCCUAAAAUUCUUAGCAGAAGGCCCUAUAUAAAUACUAAUUAACCACACACAAAAGGGGGAAAAAAUACUAGGGAUCUUAAUUUUCUGUUUUUAACAGAAAUCAUUCAAGCAAUUUUUGAGAUUUUUUUUUGGGUUCUGUGAAUUUAUUUCAUUUUGAAUUUGAUUUGAUUUGUGAAUUUCCUAAAUUUGGGUUUUAAUUUUUAAGUUUGAUUCUAUAUUAUGUUGAGUUUAUGAGUUUUUGCUGGGGUUUUUUUGUUGGUUUUUGAUUUUGAAAUUUCUAUUGGGUUUUUAAGAAUCUGAAAACUUUUCUAGGUUUAGGAUGAAUUUUUUGGUUGAAGUUUGAAGUUUUUGCUUGAACCCGGUGACCUACGUAAAAAUCCACACUUCAAGCUUAACCCAAUCGCAGGUUUUUCUUUUUCUUUUCUUUCAUCCUAUUUUCUAUUUUCUAUUUUGAUUUGAUUUGAUUUGAUUAUUUUAUUUUAAUUUUAUUUUUAGAAUUUUUAUUUUUACUUAUUAUUUUUUUUCAUCUUUAAUUACUAUUUUCUCAUUACUUUAAAUUGAAAAUUUUAUUAUUUAUUUUUUAAAAAUACCUUUAUGAAUUUUAUUUUAUUUAUUUAAAAAUAAUAACCAAAAAAUGUUUCUAAAAUAAAUUCAUGAAUCUUACUAAACUAUUGAAGGAUUUUUCAUAAAUUUAAAUUUUUUAUGAAUUCUACCACAUCAUUGGAGAACCUCAUAAAUCAAUUUUAUAAAAAAAAUUACUAAUAAAAUACAUUGUUUUCAUCCUACCAAAUUAUUGGAGGAUUUGCAUCUUAAAUUAAGUCUUAUCAAACUAUUGAAAGAUUUAAUACAUAUUCUAAAAAUAAAUUUACAAGAAAAUCUCAUCAAACUAUUGAAAGAUCUACAUCAAAGUAAAUCUUAUCAAACUAUUGGCAAAUUUUAUUAAUUAUUUUCUUGAAUAAAAAUAUAUUAAUGAACCCAACAAUAAAACCUCUUGAGAAUGUGACACUAGUCUUUAUGAAUACUCUUAAGGUGAAAAAAUUAUUUUAAAUUGCUAUCAAACUAUUAGAGCAAAUUUAGGAUUAGUUUCUAAUAAUUAAACAAUUUGGUAGAAUUAUAAGAAUAUUUUAAGGUUUGGAUAAUUUGAAAUUAAACUAAUAUCAUCCUUUGGAUAGGUGUUAUAACCUUCUUCACGUGUAACUGUGUUUCUGAACCUAAAAUAUGAUUUUAUGGACUAGAAUUUAUUAUUUAAAAAUAUCUAAGUGAAUUUUUGGACUUCUCUUUAAAUAUGAUAUAUUCUAUCAGGUGACCAAUCACAUCUAAACAAAAAAGAUUGGUAGCGACUCUUUUAAUCUAUAUCUAACAGUAAGUUUACGGAUCUAUAUGUUAUGACAUCAAUCCGAGAUUUGCGCGACUCAACUAAAAAAUGUGAUAGUUGACUAGAUUUUGAUCAGUUUGACUGAAUCGGUAUUGAACUGGCUUGAACCUCAAAAAAUCAUAUCUAAACCAGCUUGAACCAUAAAAAACAACUCCAGACCACUUGAAUCACAGGCAACAGCUAUAAACCGUUGAACCUUAACCGCUUUAGAUCAUUGACCAGUCUAGUUUAGGUUUUUUUUUUGUAUUUUGUGUUUACUUUUUUAUUCUUUUAUUAAUAUUUUUAUAGUAUUUUUUUAUGUUCCAAAAUAUUCUUUAUAUAAAAAUAGAGUUUAAAAUUUUUUUAUAAUUUUAAAUUACGUUAAAAAAUAAAAAUAAAAGUUUCGUUUAUAAUAAAAAUGAAAAAUGAAAAAGUAAGAAAUAAAAUAAUAAUGAAAAUUUCCUUUUUUUUUCUAUAAAAUAAAAAAAGUUUAACUAAAAUUAAUAAUAAAAAUUGAGGAAAAGGAAUCCAACAAUAUGAUUCUAAGGAAAUUAAUGAACUGAUUCUUAUGAAAUCUCUAUGUGAUAAGAUUUUUUUAAAUACUGCUACAGUAUUAGAAUAUUUAUAAAAAAGUUUAAAUAAUAAUAAAAAUUCCUUUUUCUUCAACUUAAAAAAAUAAAUAGUAAAUAAUAAAAAUGCAUUAACUAAUAAACAAUUUUUUCUAAAAGAAAAACUAUAUUUGUUCUAAAAAAAUUACUCGUAAACAAACAGAGAAAAAAGAAAAAUUUUUAUCUGAUGAUCAGAUUCUAAGAUAAUUCAAAUAAUGAUACAUAAAAAAUCUCUAGGUUAAAAGAUUUUUUUAAUACUACCAGUAUAUUAGAAUAUUUAUAAAAAUAAAUUUCAAUACAAUAAAAAUAUUUCUUUUCUUUUAAAAAAUCUAUAAAAAUAUAUAAUAAAAAAUCAAUAAACAAAUUUCUUUAAAAAAAAAGAGAAAUAAAUAAAACAUGCACCCUAAUUUUUAAUCAUUUGCAUCACUUGCAUAUCAUUUAAUUUUUAAAAAAUAGACAUGAGCCUCCGAGGACAAUAUUUUAAAGAAAUCCAAAUAGUGAUUCCUAAGAAAUCCCUAAGUAAGAAAAAUUCUUUCAAUGUUACUAACGUACUAAAACAUUUUUAGAGUUUUUUUCAAUAAUAAGGUUCUAAUUUUUUUAAAUAAAAUUUAUUAAUCUUAAAUAAUAAUAAUAAUAAUAAUAAUAAUAAAGAAAAAAUUUUAAAAAAGAAAAAGGGGGUGAAAUAACAAAAAUGAAAAUGAAAAUAAAUUAAUAAAGGUAGUCAAGGGAAUUAUUUUUAAAUACCAAAAUUUAGACCUUUUUGUUAAAAUUAAAGGAUAACACAUAAUUAAUUGGUACCAUUUUUUAACAGGCGCUGUGGGGGUACUAAUUCUUCUCUAUGUAUAAUCAACUUUCAAACCUAAACUGUUUUUACAAACCUAAAAAUUAUCUUUUAAUAAAUUUUAAUUAAUUUUUAAAAUGUAACCAAUUACAUAUAGCCAAAAAAGAUUAGUGGAAACUCCAUUUAUUUUUAAAUUUGUCAAGUGGCUUUAAAACUAUUAUGACAGUUUAACAACUUCGUUGGGGAAGUAUUUCUAAGAAUUAGGCCAAAAAUUAAUUAUGAUUUAACAUCUUAACCAGUAUCUAACAUUAACUCCCUUGAUUUUGAAUUUGUUUAAAAAAAUAAAAAACAAAAAAAACCAAUAUGCUAAUAAUAAUGAAUAAUUAACAUCUUUUUUUAAUUAUUUUCUUUUAUGUAUAUGAUUCUCAAUAAAUUAUAGGGCAUUUGUGUUAAUUUCCCUCACACAAUAAAACUUUGCAUCUCAUGCAUGAGCUCUAUACUUGGUUUCUAUCCCUUAUAAGAGGAAGUAAAAUAUUUAUGCCUUCAUGAGGUGAUAACCUCUGCAAUGGUAAGUGAAAUACUUUUACUCAAACUGAACCAUUUCCAUUCAUAGUUGGUAAUGGGUGAGAAUCGAGAUGUCUUACUAGUCCAAUAUAGACGAUAGUAAGGAAUAAUUUGGGAACCUUUAGAUGUGUGUCGAUCCAAACCAAGCAUAUAAUACGCCAUAAGAGAUCAACCAUAGGUAGAGCCUCUCCAAUCCAAUUAUAGAAGGCACCAAAGUUUGGAAUAAUUAAGGAUCAUAAUAAUUCUAAAAUGUGCAAAAUAGAAAAAAAUUGUGUUUCAAACAAACCGAAAAAAAUACAAAAAAACAAAAAAAAGGGCUUUGUUACAAAACAAAAAUUUACAAAAAAAAAAAUUUUUUAGAACAUAAAAAUAACAAGCAAUUAGUAAAAAGACUAAUAUUUUGUUUGGUUAUGUAGCACCCUAAAUGUUUAUGACUAAGGGAAAAUUAAUUUUUUUUUCUAAUCUCGAAUAACAUCCUUAUACUAAUUCGAUUUUGUUUCCUUUUUUCUUUUUUCUUUCUUUUUUGCAUAAACCACAUUAUGCAAUUUUCCAUUGAGAUAUUUGCUCAAAGACAUUUUUCUUCUGAAAAUCUCUUUUCAUAGAUCUUGUAGAGCUACAAAUUUGCUCAUCAUUCAUAAGUGUCACAUAUGAGUCAUAUAAAGAGGUGUAUAUUUGGUCAAAAAAAGAUCAGUAAAAGAAUGGAGAUUGUUUGCCUAUCGGUUAUGUGUCAAGGUUGCCUGAAAAUGUGCAUUUGGAUCUUACACAAAACAAUUUAAAAGAUUUGUCUGUCAUUUGGGGUUAACUAAGUGAAGAGAGAAAGAAAAGAUUUAGUGAAAAGUAUCAACAGAUUGCAUCCCUAAUUUCGGUGAUGAUUAAGGAACAAUUGAUUCAAGCAGCUAUAUAGUUUUGGGAUCCAUCCUCCAGAUGCUUCACUUUUAACUAAGAGGAUUUGAUGUCGACCAUUGAGGAAUACUCGAUUUUGCUUGGGAUAAAACUAAAAUGUCUAGAGAAGGUGUUUACUUAGAAGCCGAAAUAGAGUUACCGUAAAAAGUUGGUGAAACUUAUAAGGUUCAAUGUUGAAACUAUAUAUUCUUUCAUAAAAUCUAAAGGCAAACAUCUUGAUAUCCAUCGGGAUUUUCUUUGUAAUUUUGUUUAAUGGCAUUUAGAUGAUGAUAAGGGGAUAACUAUUUUUGCUUUGGCAAUAUACGGCAUGGUGGUCUUCCUAAAAACUUUAAGCUAUAUUGAGAAAACUGUGGUGGACUUUUUCAAGUAAGUUAAAACCUAAACAAUCAAUCCUUCACCAGUGAUCUUAACUGAAACCAUAAGGUCAUUAAACUUCUAUCAAUAAAAUAGGAAUAAGUGCUUCAUAGGAUGUGCACUAUUGUUGUAAGUAUGGUUAAAAAGUUAGUUCAAGUGUGAGAAAAGUGCAUUCUCAAUGCUAUAUCUUCGAAGCAAGGAACUGGUUAAAGAAUUUUGUAAAAGCCAAUGGCCAACAUUAAAGACCAAAGAAGAAUGGAUCACAUUCUUACAAAGGCUUACCCAAGAUGAAAUAGAAUGGAUGGUGCUUGGGAUGCCUCACGUGCUUAUACUAUAUUGAGGAGGAAAUGAGCCAUGGAUACCAUUAUUGGGACUACGGGGGUGGUGAGCUAUGCCCUAUUAAUGUUGCUAAGGCAUUUUGGUGCAAAAUAGUUUAUUCUUACUACUCACGACCUUGCUAAAGUAAAGUUCAAUUAUAAGGGCUCCAAUGCACCAAGAACAUCAAAAAAAUUAAUCUAAGUAUAAAAAAGACACAAAAGUCGAGACUAGGGCCUUUCCUCAACAAGGUCAACCUUGAUUACUAGAUUUUGAGGGCAAAAUAGCUUAGAGAUAUGGUACUUCCUCCCUAUGAUGGCUCACAUCAAUUAGCUAACCUUUAGGUAGAACCAUAAUUAUCAUAAUUUGAGCUUGUUAGAAAAGAAUUAGAAACUGAAAAAGAGAAAGUAAAAAGAGAAAAUUUGAAGCUUCAUGAGAAAAUGGGACAACUAAGAUACGAAGUAGAAAUAUGAGGGAAUAGAUUGAAAAAGGUUGGGAAAUAAAGGAAUGUGGCUAAUAAUGAUUUAAAAGAGUUGUACCAAGAAAAAAAAAUCAUGAGUCCAACUCAAAACUGGAAAAGUUACCAAAUCUUAAUUGUGAAAUAGAUGAGUUCCGAAAAGAAAUGAAUCAUUAGAAAGGCAAGGCUCAAGAAAGGCAAAAAGAGGUUGUCAGAAUUUCUCAAGAGUGUCAAAAUUGGGAGAAAUUAUACUUAACCAUUUCAACAAGAUUAGUGAAAUGUCAUAAGGAAACGGAAAGGUUGCAAGUCGAGCUUGAAAAGAGAAAAAACAAAAACUCAAAAUGUUGAAUGAAAAAUAGUCACUUUGCCAAGUGAUCCAAGGAUUAGAGCAUCGGUUGCAAGAUCACAAGAAUCACAUUUCAACAAUUAUGGACAAAUGGCAAAGAAGGGAAAUAGAUUAGAGCUUCACAUGUGGCUUGAAAAUAGAUGUCUAUAUUAAAUGGAAAAUAAAAAGCUUGGGAAGGCAAUAAUGCAUAAAGCAUCUGAUUUCUCAUAAUUUAUCUUUUGUCCCAACCCGUUUUCAUAUGUCUUUAGUAGUUUCCUUACACGCUUACCUUCAAUGUUGUUUGCUUUAAUGAAAAGCAAACUAUCAUUGGCAAAAAGAGAUUGUGUUAUCCUCGGGCCGCUUACACUAGGUCGCACCUCUUGCAACAGACCAUUGUCUUGAUAUUUUGUUAACAGUGCCGAGAGGUCCUCAGUGCAAAUGAGAAAAAGGUAGGGCAACAAUAGGUCCCCAUGUCUCAAUCCUCUUUUCGGGAUGAUAGUCUCUGUUAAGCUACCAUUAAUCACCACUCUGUAAAAAACUGUUCUCACGCAAUGCAUCAUACAAGAAUUCCAUCUUUCAUGGAAGCCCGAUUUCCUCGUAGCAGACUCGUUGAAAUCCCAAUCAACCCUAUUGUAAGCCUUACUCAUGUCCAAUUUCAAUGCUGCCCAACCUGUCUUCCUCUUACAUUUAAGUCUCAAGGAGUGUAUUAGUUCGUAAGCUACCAGAACAUUAUCAGUUAUAAGCCUACCUGGGAUAAAAGCACUUUGGUUCUAUUAAUACAAUGGGGUAGAAUCUACUUCAAUCUAUUGGAAAGGGAUUUUGCAAUAAUUUUAUAAAGGACGUUGCAGAGACUAAUAGGCCUAAACAUCGUCAUCUUUGUUGGGUUGGGUGUUUUAGGGACCAGAACUAUUUGACUAUCAUUUAACCCUGCUAAGCUAUUUCCUUCAUUACGGACAGAUAGACAGAAAUUUGUAACUUUCGAUCCUAUAGCGUGCCAGUAUCUAUGAUAAAAGAGGGUUGGCGUACCAUCUAAGCCCUGGGCCUUUGUAAGGUGUAUCUAUUGUAUGGUAACUUUUAUCUCUUCUGGAGUAAAAUGCUCUGUGAGUAGAGUAUUCAUUUCCUUUGCUACAAGUGAGGGGAUUGCUUUUAGAAUCUCCUGCAUGUUCGUGGGCCCCUGGGACUUAAUGAGGUUUGAGAAAUACUCCACGGCUGCGUGCUCCAUUUCAUGAACUCCCUCUUGCCACAUGCCCGUUCCAUCAUUUAAACCUUUGAUCCGAUUUGUUCUUAUUCUAUGGGUGGCAUGUGCAUGAAAAAAUUUGGUAUUCUUGUCUCCUUCUCUUAGCUAGUUCACUCUUCCACGUUGGCUCCAAAAUAAUUCUUCUUGUUCAAGCUUUUCAUUCAUUUUUGUUUUGACUUCCAUUCUUGAGCCAAGGUCUCGCUGUCCGGCACUUGCCCACUGACUUCCCUCAGCUGUUUGUGUAGGAUUUUGAUUUCUUCAUGUAUCCCACAAAACUUUCGCCUCCCCCACAACCUCAGCCUUUGUCUAGCCCCAUUCGGUUUUCCAUUCAGUGCCUUUUCCCGGUUCUCCUCCCAAGCAUCUUCAAUGACCUUCUUACUGUCUGGGUCUUUCAACCAUAUUGCCUCCAGGCACAUCCGUCUCCUCCUGGUGUCAACUGCUUUCCUCUUAUGCUUGCCUAUCGUAUCCACCAAAAUAGGACAAUGGUGUAAUAUGGGGCUUACUAGGUGCCGUACUAUGAAGUCGGUAAAUAAGUCACCCCAUUCACUGUUCACUAGCGUUCGGUCUAAUCUUUGAUGUAUUACAGACCCAGUUGUUGACUCCCUUGCCCAUGUAUAUUCGGUACCUUCAAACCUAGAUCAAAGAAUCCCGUAUCUGUUAGUAUAUCCUUAAAAGCUUUCAUCUGCCAUUCAAGUCUUACAUUACCCCCAUCCUUUUCACUAUCAUAGAGUAUCUCAUUAAAAUCUCCAAAGCAUAGGCAAGGAAGUAAGCUUUGUUACGUCAACCGUCGAAGUAUGUUCCAUGCUUGGUUCCUUUCUCUCACAUUCGAUUUUCCAUAGAAACCCGUAGACCUCCAUUCCAUUCCUUUUUUAUCCUUUAUCUUCAUAUCAAUAUGAUACUUCGAGAAACCCAAUAAUUUAAUGCUUUUAUCCUCCUUCCAUAACAUACCCAAACUCCCACUCCUACCCCGUGCUUCCAUACCAAAAGCCUCGUACAUUUUACAUUUCACCCUUAUUUUUUCCAGCUUUGUAUUAUUUAAGAUAGUUUCGCACAAGAAAAUUACCUCGGUAUCUUCUUUCCUCAUAAUGUCCUGAAGGGCUCGACCUGCUCCAGGUUCCCAAUCCCUCAACAAUUCUAGGCUGGGCACUUCAUUGUUCUCGACGGGACUGGUGCUCAGUCUCCAUCGUUUGUUCUGUAUUACCCUACACAUCCAUUUCCUCGAUUAACUUGCACUUUUUCCCCACUGUGGCUAUUUCCAUUUCAGUUUCCUCCUCAUGCAUAUUCUUUUUCUUCCCUAAAUCACAUGGUUCCCCUACUUGUUCAACCCUAGGUUCUCUUGCCAAUUUUUCCAUUUAUGCUUUCAGUAAUCUGCCUUCCCAUCUUUGCUCGAUCCAGAAACAUUGCCUAGCAGUUCUGCCUUCUUCAUUGUUUCUGCUUCACCCAUUUCUCUUUCCCAGCCCCCGUUUGGCCCUACGACAGGAAUGUCCCUCCCAUGCAAGUCAUUAUUAGUUCGCACAAGGUCCACCCAUUUCUCUUUCCCAGCCCCCGUUUGGCCAAAUGACUCCAUUCCACCCUAGGCUCCACCAGACAUGUUAUGACCAUCAAUCAAAGUCAUUGAUUAUCUUUAUUUUUUGCAGAUUCCCUCCUAAGAUUUUGCCCGUUUUCAUCCUCAUCACCCCCAUUCUCGGGAUAGUAUUGACGAGUCCUCUGUUCCAUCCGCAGACCGUUACCCUCUCCCCCACGCAGGGAUUCAAAUAUCAAUGUUAUAGUGGAAUAGAGGCCGUGAAAUCACGGUAGCGCCACCGCUAUUAAGAAAAAAAUAAUUGAGAAAUUUAAUCACACUCAAAACGGUGUACAACGGACCGUUAUUACCGCUAUCCCAUUUUUUUCGUUAACACUUAGCACAAAUUAUAAUAAUAAUAAAAAAAAGCUUUCAAGUUUUAAUAGUGAACAACCAAGAUUCCCCAAAAUUAGAAUAAAACAAGAAGAUUGUAAAAGCAAAAAUAAAGACAAAAGCUAAAAGAAAAAAAUCCCUGCUCAUAACUCAAUCUCGUUCUUUCUUUCCUCAGUUUCAAAAUUCAUCUAAAAAAUCUUAGAUACUAUUAACCAUUCAAUUAGUAACUACUCAAAUUCAAAUUAGCUUCAAAUCUUUAAUCAAUAAUCAAAAUAAAAAAAGGUAAGAAAAAAUUAAGUUACAUUUUUUUUAUAUAAAAUUUUUGUAAAAUAAUGCUAAUAUUUGUAUUUGUGAUAAUAUGAUCUGAGUGAGAGAGAUAAGAGUAUGUGAGAAAGAGAGAUCAAGAAAAAAUAAGAAGUUUGGUUGAGUUGAUUUGAGAGAUCGAUCGUCGAUGCCAUCAAAACAUGAAGAGGAGUAGAGAAAAAUUUAGGGUUGAAAGAGAAUAAGGGGUUUCUUAAUUUCUUAUCUUAGAAUGGGGUGAAGGGUGAAGGGUUGGGUGGGGUGAGGUGGGGUGUUUGGGGGGGGGGUAAGGUGGGGGUAGGGUGAGGGGGUGUGGAUUCGGUGAGGUGGGGUGCAUUGGAAGGUAAGGUGGAGGGGUGGGGUAAGGUGGGGUGAAGUGGGGUGCAUUGGAGGGUAGGGUGGGGUGGGUGUUUUUUAUUUAAUUUUAUAAUGAAUUUUAUUAAAAUUUAAAUUUAAAAUUUUGUAAUUUUAAAAGUUUGUUUAGGUAAAAUUUAGUUAGAGGAUUGAUAUUUUAUAAUUGAAAAAAUUAAGAGAUUAAUAAUUUAAUAUGAAAUAUAUAGGGAUUUUAGAUGAAAAAUUUUAAUAAAUUUUUUUGUGUAAGUUAGAUGAAAAAUAAUUAAAAUUAAAUAUUAUAGUUUGAUUUCAUUAUUUAUUAAUUUAUAAUUUUAUAUUUGAAAUUUAAUAAUUUUUUUUGUUAUUUUGGUAUUUAUAUUGUUGUCAAUUCUUUGCUAUUAAAUUAAUUCUUAUUAAUUUAUUUUUAUUUUUGUGUAAUUAUUGAAUAUUCUAUUUAUUAUAUAAUAUAUUAAAAGUAAUUUGUGAUAAAAUUUUUUUACAUCAAUUAGUAUAUCAAAAAUAUUAAAUUACUUAAUAAAUUUAGCAUUUUAUGAUCUAUUACUUUUAAGAUUAAAAACUAAAAAUUAAAAAAUUUAAUAUAGAUUUAAUUUUUAAUGAUGAAAUAAGUAACAUUAAUAUUUUUAAAUAUAAGUUUAUUUUGUUUUUAUACAAAAUAGUAAGCAUACCAUCACGUGAAAAGUUCCCAAGCAAAGGAAUAGAGGGUGCACCAAGUGAUGAUAUAGGUUGGCAUUUUGGAACACCUGUGCCAAAUAUCAAAGGAAAUGUUUUAUGCAAACUUUGUGGUAAAGUUGUAAAAGGAGAAAUAACACGUUUCAAGGAACACAUUGCUUAUAAAAUUGGCAAUGUUGCACCAUGCCCUAACGUUACUGGUAUGUUAUGUUUUUAUAAUUCCUUUGAAAAUAUUAUUGUUAAUUUCUCAAUAAAAAUUACAAAAUUACAUAAGCAUGUACAACUAAUUUUUUCUUUUCCUUAAUUAUAUUAUUAAUAGGUUUAGUAAGAGAAAGUAUGAUGAACUUCUUCAAGAAAGCAAAUCAAAGAAAGUUGAGAACAAAAGGAGAAAGGAUGAAUUCUUAUCACAAUUAAAAGGAGAAGACUAUGACUAUGAAGGUUUUAUUGAUGAAGACAUCGCUAUUAGACAAGCCAUGUGAGAUAAUAUCCAAUCACAAUAUGAGUGGCACCAAAGACAAGAAUUCAGACAAAGAACUGGUGGUUGGAGUAACAUACAUGAAGAAGGAUAAAGCUAUCAUGGCUCAGUUGCUGAAUAUUUUGAGGAAAAAACAAGGAAAUCAACUCCAAAUGAGUUUGAAUUUUCAUUAAGAGGGGCUAUACCUGAAUUAAUUAGAAGUAAGAGUUCAAAGCAACCAAAAAUAAGUGAUUCAUUUUUAAAGACAUUAAUUUCAGUUGGCAAACUCUCCAUGGUUGCAUAAUUUGGUUUCUGUGGCAGCAAAAAUUGGCCAACAUGCGAAACUUCCAACACCUUAUGAAGUCUUAGAUGUGUAUUUAGAGUUUGAGUAUCAAUAAAUUCAUGAAUGGGUUAAUGGAUUAAAAGCUCAUUGGAAUGAAUUGGGUGCCACUUUGAUGUGUGAUGGUUGGACUAACAGGUUGAAUCAAAUGCAUAUCAUUAAUUUCCUUGUUUACUGUAAUAAAGGGAUCGUUUUUUGGAAAUCUAUAAAUGUCUCAAAUGUUCGUAAUAGAAAUGCAAACUUCUACAGAUUAUUGGAUGAAGCUAUGGAAGAAAUUUGGGAAAAAUACAUUGUUCAAAUAGUCACUGAUAAUGAGGCAGCACUUAAGGCUGUAAGAAAAAGACUAAUGAAGAAGAGACAACAUUUGUAUUGGACAGCAUAUUCAGCUUAUUGUUUGAACUUGUGCCUUAAGGAUAUUGGCAAGAAAAAAAAUGUGGCAAAGAUUUUGGAUGAUGCAAAAAAAGUGACUUGUUUUAUAUAUAAUCACAUUUGGACUAUUAAUUUGAUGAAGAAAUAUACACAAGGGAAGCAAAUACUUCAUUCUGCUCUUACCCGAUUUGCCACUCAUUUUAUAUAGUUAGAAGAAAUAACAAGGCAAAAGCAAGGUUUGAGAGAGAUGUUCAAUUUAAAGAUUAGUACUUAGUAAUUAGUAUAACUAUUUAAAUCUAGCAUCUUUUUAUGAUAUCAUUAUUUAAAAUAUUAAUUUAAAAUAUAUUACUCUAAAAAUUUAUUGUUGAAUAUAUACGAAUUUAAAAAAUCAAAAUGGAGACAACAAAAAUCAAGGCCUACUUAUGAAGCCAGAAAAAUCAUUUUGGAAAAAGAUUUUUGUAAAAAAGCAAGUGAUAUAAUAAAAGUUUAUGAGCAUUUGGUAAAAGUGUUGUGCCUUGUUAAUGGUGAUGAAAAACCAAUAAUGGGAUUUAUUUAUGAGGUGAUGGAUAGAGCUAAACAAGCAAUUCAGCAAAAUUUUCGUUAUUAUGCUAAAUAUAAAAAGAUUAUUGAUAAUAGAUAGAGUUUCAUGCAUUCUGACUUACAUUCAGCUAGUAAGUAAACCAAGAAUAUAGAUUGUAUUUAAAAAAAUAUAUUUACUUUUUAUGCUUAAAUUGCUUAUAUAUUUAUUUUUUAUUACUUUAAUAUAAUAUUGUUAUGAAUUAUUGGCAAGUUACUAUCUAAAUUCAUAAUUUUAAUUUGGAGUGGAGCAUUUUGAAAAUGUACUUAAAGAAACAUUGAUGGUACAAUAGUAGUUAUUGAAAGAUUAGAAUCUUAUAUAGAUACUCAAAUCAUAAUGAUUAAUUAGGUUAGUAUUUAAUACUAUUUUCUAACUUUGACAUUUAUUUUAUGCAUUAAAAAUAAAAUUAUUUUUUAUUUAUUCAUUUAUUAUUGUAUUUUCAAUUGAUGUAAUUGCUAUUAUUUCGAGACAAGCAUGAAACAUUUGGUACUCCACAAGCACAAAGAGCUUGGAAGCAAAUGAAUCUAGGUAAUUAAUAAAUUAAAUAAUUAUAAUUUAUUUAUAUUAUUUAAUUGAAUAGUACAUUCAAAUUUAAUUUAAAUAAUUUUAUACAACUGAGUGGUGGAUGAUAUAUGGCACUUGUGUUGUUGAAUUACAAAAACGAGCAAUCAAAGUGCUUAGUCAAACAACAUUUGCAAUAAAUUGUGAACGUAACUGGAGCACAUUUAGCUAUAUUCACACCAAAGCAAGAAACAGAUUGAAGUUCGAAAAAAUUUAAAAACUUGUAUAUACCCAUUACAACAUGAGGUUGAGGAUGAGACAUCAAAAAAGAAUGAGCAUUGAUGAGAUAAAUAAUAGUUUUAAUCCUGUUAGCCUUGACCAUAUUUUUGAAUAUGAUGAUCUACUAAUAGAAUGGCUGCAAGAGAAAGAAAAUCCUCAGUUAGAUGGUCAAAACUCUAAUUGGUUACCUGCAAAUAAUUCUAAUAAUGAAAUGAAUGUUGAAUAGUCACACCAAUCACAAGAAAGGAAUGUGUCUCAUUCAAAUUCAAGUCCAACACCAAGUUAGAGUGAUAAUGGUGGCGAUUUAAGUUCAAAUUAUGGUGAUGGUGAUAGUGUAAAUUUUGGUGGUAAUAUUGACGCAAAUUAACCUUAUAGCCCACUUGGAGGAAAAUUUGGCCUUGCUGCUACUAGUAGACUUUUUAUUAACAUGGCAGAAUAUGGAGUAAAUCCAUCUACUGAAUCUAAUAGGGGUCAAAGUGCACAUACAACUCGAUCAAAAGGAAAAGCUAAGAAGCACCACUAUGAUAUUUCUAGAGGUUUUUCAUCUUCAGGUAGGAGACUAAAUUCUAGUAACUUUGAGUAUAGUGAAUCAUCCACUAGUACUCAAGGACGUUACUAUCCACUGAAACAACCUAAUUUUCAACAUUCUCAUGGUUAUCCACCUUUAUAUAGUUAUUAUCCACUAUAAAUGUAUCCUCCACGUCAAGUGUAUCAUCUACCUCAAAUGUAUCAUUCACCUCAAAUGUAUCAUCCUCAAAUAUAUCCUCCACCUCAAAUGCAUCAAGAACAAGGGCAAGCCACAGGGAUGGGAAUUGAGUCAACUUGAUUCUCAAAAUGAAAAUAGAGAAUUUGAUCCUUCUCGUCAUUUUACCAUGUGGUAAAAUUUGAAAUAUAUAUAUUAAUAGUUAUAGUUGAUAGAAUUUGAAAUUAUUAUAUUUUUAAGUUUGUAAUUUUAUUAAAUAUAAAUGCUUGGUAUUUAAUAUAUUAUGUUUUGUUAAUAUCUUGAUUUGUUUAGAAUUAACAUUGAAUAUGAACUUGGCUCAAACAAAAAAUUUGUUGCUAAAUUAAAUACAAAUGUUUUAUUAUAAUCUAACUAAAAUUGUGAAUAAUUUUUUUUAAAAAUAAAAAAUAUAGUAUGAUAUAUUUUAAAAAUCAUUAAAUAAGAGUUUUUAUGAUUAUAAAAAAUUAUAUUUUAUAAUUUUUAUAUUUUAUAAAAAAUUGUGCAAAAUUAAAAAAAAUUCACGACCGUGAUGACUUUGAUAACUGCAAUGAUCUCCGUUAUAUCCGAAAAUAUGAUAAAUAUGAUAUGACUGAAAAUGUGAUCGCGAUCGCUAUUUAAAUCCCUACCCUCACGUUGAUUGACCAUGUUUAGUUUUUGAGUCAGGCCACCAUCAACCGCCACCUUUGGAUGUUUGCCUCCCUCAUUGUGUUGCUUUUCAUGAUUUCUUCUAUGCAUUUCUUCUCUCAUCUUUGGCUUCCUUUCUCUCAUGCUAAUUGUUUGUGUUUUAUCGAUGAUGCCCUUAGCCACCUUUCAUACUGUUUCACAUUCGAUUUUUUAGCAAGGCAUGGAUUUUUCUCACAAUCAUCCUCUAAAUGUCCGAGUCUACCGCAUUUAUAACAGAAACUUGGCAAUCUCUCAUAACUCAAUUGUCCCCAUGUCUUACUCAUACCCUCUUUAUUUGUAAGUAAAAUGGCUCUCCUUAAUGGUUUAUUAACAUUCACCUCCACCCUUGUUCUCAGAAAGCAUGUCCAUCCUCCUUUCUCCAAAGUUAAAUCCAUUUCUUUUAGGGACCUCAACUUCAUUCCAAUUCUUAGUGCAGUUUCUUGAUCCCUCAGACCUAAGGGUAAGCCAUAUACCCUUAUCCAAAAAGUAGUGUUAUUAAAAAUGUAAUCCUUGGCCUUAGCCCUUCAUCUUAUUCCUUGAAGAGUAAUAGUUGUUUGUCAAAAAACCACGGUGCACCAUCCUGGACUCUUUUUUUAUAGGCCAUCGUUGCAAAUUUGAACAGAUAAAUGUUCGCUUCUAGAUUUACAAUCUCAAACCCCUUUACUACCCUCCAAAGAAGUCUUAGUACACCUUUCGUUGCUUCUUUAUUAUAUGGCCUUGUUGUGAGCAACGUUCCGACAAUCCAUGCUUUCUUUUCUUCCCUUCCCCUUUCGUUUUCAUCCACUUUUGUAACAACACCUCUACGCUUCUCCUCCAUUAACUUUAGCUUAUCCCACAUUCCUUCUAAAUCCUCCUCCAUUGAUAACUCCCUUCCACUUCUGAAUGAACUUUACUGACUAAACUAUGACUAUCUAGGCCUUAAAGGAACCUCCAUAUGUAACCCUUAGGCAAUACUCACUUAUAGGCUCAUAAGAUUGCUUCCUUUCAUAGACACCCAUAGAGAUUAUCGAAUAAAUUUUUUAAGUCGACUGGCUUUUUUAGUAGUCAUAUAUGCGUCAAAAUGCCCAUAUCUAAGAAAAUACUCAAAACAACAAACAAAGCCAACCUUCAUUUUUUUUUUUUUUGAGCUAGACAAUCACAAUUUUGAUUAUCCUUUGCUUACAAAUUCCAUGUAUGGGUCUUUUUCUUAUCUAGGUUUCAUAUUUACUCUUGAGAAUAAAUUAAAUUAGUUUUAAAACAAAUAUUAAUUUGGUAAUUUGGUCACUAAUAUAUAUAUAUAUAUAUUCUCUUUAACAUUAAAUUACCAUAACCAACUAAAUAAACUUUAAGAUCCAAAUAUUUUGAUGCUCAUUUAAGCAUUAUAAUUUAAAAUAAAAUAAUACUCACAAUUAUAAAAACUGAACAAAUAAAAUAUAAAAGAAAGACAUAAAAAUAGAAAAUAAAAAUAUAACUAAAUAUGUCACUUUUUUUGUAAACGAUUGACGUGGCAAAAGCUAUAAAAAUAUGGUUUUUUCAUAUAAUAAUAAAACAAAUGUUAAUCGUGAUUCAAUUACAUAUUAAACUAAGGUAACACAUUAGUGUUAUCAUCAUUUUACUAUUAGUGAUAUUUUUAAUCAUUAAGAAAAUAAUAUAAUUUUUUUACAAUUGUUUUUGUUUGUAUUUAAAACAUUAAAACCAUUUAAUUAUGCAAAAUUUUUAAAAAAUUAUUAUAAGUCUACAAAGAUUUUGUAAUGACAAUUUUCUUGUUUUUAAGAAACUGAUAGAUAUUUUGUAACAACUAUUUUGAUCAUUGUGUAAUAUAACAAUGACUAAAAAAAGUCUUUACACAUCUAAUAAUAUUUUGAAAUGAAUUAUUAUUGUUUUUUUGUCAUUAUGAAUAUGGCAAGGAUAUCAUAACAAUUUUAUUGUCAUUGUAUAAAAUAUUUAAAAUGUUAAUUAGGCAAUGAUAAUAAAAAGUCACUGCAAAUAUAAUAGGAAUUCAUAAAUUUUUUUUAUCAUUACCAAUUUUAUAGGAAUUCAAAACAACAAAAAUUAUUGUUGUAUAAAAUAUACAAAAAAAAAAAUCAAAUAGGCAUUGAUAUAAAAAAUCAUUGCAAAUAUAUGAGACGUUGCAAUAAUAUUUUAAAUCAUUGCAAAUUUAAUAAUAUUUCGAAAUAACUUUUUGCUAUGAAUAUGGUAUGGAUAUCAUAACAAUUUUUUUGUUGUAUAAAAUAUUUAAAAUGUUAAUUAGGAAUAAGAAUUUAAAUUCGUUGCAAAUAUAAUAGGAUUUCAUAACAAUUUUUUUAUCAUUACCAAUUUUAUAGAUAUUCACAAUAACAAAAAUUAUCUUUGUACAAAAUAUAAAAAAUUCAAAUAAACAAUGACUAUAAAAAAUCAUUGCAAAUAUAAAAAGAUUUUGCAACAAUAUUUUUAGUCAUUGCUAAAAUCUCAUUUUCUAGUAGUGCUACAAUUAAUCAAUUAUAAUUCAAAAUUAUAUGAAGUCAAUCAAAAUUUUAUAUAAAACCUACAUUUAUAAAUUAUAUAACACUACAAAUUUAUUAUUAUAAUUGAACAAUUAAAAAAUCGUAACAAAAAAAUGACAAGUGAAAUAUUCUUCAAUAUUUAGCACCAUGCAUCACUUGAAGAGUUAAGUUAAGAUUUCUUUUGUCGAAAAUCGUAUCAUUUAAAUAUAUAUAUAUAUAUAUAUAUGCACAUAUCCUGAGAGAAAUUAUAAAUUAUAAAUGAACAAAAAUGAUAAUACUCAAAUGAGUCUUUGAACUUUACUCAAAAAUGAAAAUAAAUCAAUUAUCUUUUAUUGCAUUAAACUAAUGGUCUAAACUUUUAUUUUAUUGUAAUUAAAUCCUUGAUAUUGUAAAAUAUUUAAUCUUUUGUUAAGUUUUUUUAGUUUAAUAAUUUAAUUUAUAGAAAAUUCUUACUUAGAUUUAUUUGGAUGAAUUGAAUGACAAAUAUUUGAGGGAAUAAUAUUUUAAAAAUUAUUUCAAUUGGACAUUAUUCAUCCACUUUUGAGAUUUAAUAGGAAUAAUUACAAUGAAAUAAAAGUUUGAAGAAUGAUUAAUAUGAACAUGAUCAUAUAUUGAAAUAUUGCAAAAGAUUUAUUUGAUUUACAAAAGCACAACAAAAGCAUUGUGAAAGUUAUGCUGACUUGAUUUUGGUUGGGGACACAUCACUCAUUCAAAAAUUGUUUGUUGUUCAUAGCAUAAAUCCUUAAACACCAAUGUAAUAGAUUCUUUAAAGAGUUUUUUUUUCUCUGUCGAUCUCUUUCUUUUUCUUUCUUAUUCUCUAUGUGACUCAUCACAUAAUCCCACAUGAAUAACACUUAUCUCAUUUUAUGGAUGAAUGCUAUUCCUUUUUUUUUUUUUUCAUAUGUUGAGUAUGGGUACGGAGAAUGGGUAUAAUAUAAAAAAUUGAGGAUAAAGAUGGAGAAUCCUCAACCCAUCUCAUAUCCUACCCAUUGAAAUUGCUAGUUUUUACUUGGUUUGAAAUUCAAACCAAUUCUAAUCAACUGUUCAUGGUAGUUAUUUGAUAUAGGAACUUAUCCACCCAUUGUAGAUGGAUAUUUCCUACAUCUCCCGGUUGUAUAAAAUGGUAGCAAACCUCAUGAUCAAGAUAUCAUUUUUUCUACUAUUUGCAAUGGGUUUAUAUAUAGAAAUAAGUUGUGCGAUCAAUUUACUUUGAGAGCUUAAUUGCUAUAUGAUUGUUAGGUGCAUAUAGCAACUCAAAAUCACAUUUAAUCACUUAUACAACUAUUAGGUAUGCAUAGUAAUUCUUAAGUAUAAGUAGAGUAAGCAUGCAGCAUUUUAGAUCCAUUUAAUCACAUUUUAAGUUCUUCACAAUUUCUCUUUUAUCACAUUACAUGAUAUACUUAUGCAUUUAUAAUUAUGUUUAAUGUUUCAAACAUAAUUGGUCGACCUGUGAAUUCAACCAAAUGUGACACUAGAAUAAUUUUCCUUUUUUCUAUAAUCUCUCUAUUUCAAUUCAACUACUAUCAAGAUGUUUCAUUAGAUUGAAUCAUUCAUGAUCAUUGGUGACAUUUCAAAAUAGCUAACAUUGAACGAAAACUUUAAGAAACAGUCGAAAGUCCUUGAAGGUAUUAAAUAUUAUAUCCUUUGAUUUCAAGAGUCUCACACAAUAAGAAACAUAAAUAUAUUCUUUUGUUACUUUUGUUGGUCGAAUAAUGCAUAUGUAGUAUGAAACACAUACUAUAGAUUACUCUCCUUUUCUCAAGAAACUUAUGUCUUUAUCAAUAAAUAUAUAACUUUUUUAAAAAAAUUUAUUAUAAAUAUAAAUUAAGCAGACUUUCAUAUAUAGCAUCAAAUACAUACUUAGAAUAACAUUUUAUUUCUUUUUUAUAAGAAGGAUAUAGCAUAUUUUGUGAAACUUUCACUUAAUACAUAAAUAAUUCUUUAUAUAGUCCACAAUAAGUUCUCAUGUUAUUGAAUUGCAUAACCCCUCAUCACUAUCAAAAACAUAUAUACUAAUACUGAAUUACUAAAGUAUAAUCACACUUCAAAAAUCUUUAAUAUGUUAUGAUAGGUCGAAAUCAACCAUGUCUAUAUAUACUAAUUUUAAUAUAUGAUGGCUUUGAAAGUUUCCUUGUGUUUUAUUUUAUCCAAUCAAACUAUCAACAUUGCAUCACAGAUCCCAAAAUGGAAAAUGCCAUGCAGAAUUCCAACAGAAAAAAGAGAAACACCCAAAACUUCCUAGUUUCUACAUUUAAAUAAAGAAUAACAAGCAUUAGCUGCUUGACUUGAUGCAGGCCAGUACCUCUCCAUCUCGUCUGGUAAAUAGUGUUAACACUCCGGCCUCCACACCCAAUGCAAUUGUUCCAGCAAAUCCAAGGCGUGGAAAAGUGAGAUAUUUUUCUUCUUUUGCUGUAUUAUUAAUUGAAAUACUAUAUAAGAAAUUUAUAUGCUUUGAUUGCUUUUACAUAUUUAAAAAGAAAUUAUAUACUUAUCUAUAUUUAUAUCUUCUAUAUGUAAAAGUAUUAAUCCCAAAGUAUUAAAAGUAAUUAACAUAUGAAAAACAAGAUGUAUGUCAAUUUUUUUUUAAUUUUGUUUGUAGAAUUAAAAAAAUUUAUUGACAGUAUAUCAAAUAAUAACUCCAUAUAUAAAUACCCCUAUAAAAUUAUAAAUAUAUCAAAAUUUAGAACAAUAUGAAUGACUUAUAAUUAACUAUAUAUGUUUUUAUAAUAUAGAAUUAUUAAAAAUGACUUACAAUUUUAUUGUAUCAAUGAAAACAACGAUAGCAAGAAUUAUAGUAUCAAUGAAAACAAUAUAAAUUAUAGGAUGAAUCCUUUGACUUAUAAUUCUAUGACAUAAUUUUAUAAUAGUAUGGAUUCUAUAUAAUUUAGAAAAUAUGGGAUAGAGGAUAGAAUUUUUUUAGAUAACUUAUACUAUAUAACGAAGUUGUUCAUCAAAUUUUGAAUUCUAAAGAAGGGUUUAGAAUAAAUUUUACCUUUGAGAUAUAAAAAUAUCUUUUUGAUAGUUGUCUAAGGUGUGUCAUAUCUUAUUAAUUUUCAUUCUUAUAUCUCAUUCUUAACGAAAAAUACUAAUAAUAAGCCAAAGUUAAUUGAUGGGAGUACUUCAAUAUUAAAAAAAAAAAAAUACAUAAAACAAUUAUUUGAUUUAAGAUGAGGUAUAUCCUUGAGUACUAUUUAUAUAUUUAAUUACUGGUUUUUUAAGAGAUCAAAAUUCCAUAUUAAAAAUAAUUUUAGUUAAUCCCUUAUAAAUAUAUUAAUGACUAUUAUAAUUAAGACAAUAACUUAUAAUAUUGUAAUUUGUUGGUAUAAGUAAAGUAAUAUUGCUAUCACUUAUAAUCAAACGCGUUUGAAUAUCUAAUAAUAAAUUGAACACAAUUUCAUUUGGUAUUUUUUCUUAAUUGCUUCAUAUUUUAUAAAUAUAUUUAUAAUUUCAUAUUUCUUAUACAUCCAUCUGCAACGCACGCAUUGCGUGUGUGGCAAAAAUUAGUGUUUUAAAACAUUGCUGUUGUUAUAUGUUUCAGAAUAUAGUUGAAGAAGUAAAGACUGCAGCCCUUGAAGCAGUAAAGAUUGCAAUCCGUGAAGCUAUAAAGAGUGUAGUACUCAAGUUUUGUUCCAUCAUGUAAACAAUCAUGCAAUUAAAAGAAAGUACAUAUUUCUGAGAAACUUUAGGUAGUACUUGAAGCUAAAGUCUUGAGAAUUGAUGCUAGCUGUUCUUCAAUAUUUUCAAAGAUUAUGAAUAAAGGUAGAUACAACGAUUCAUGUAUUGAUAUUAUAUAAAAUAUUAAAAUUUAUAUAUUUAUAUUAUAUUUUAUAUAAAAAUUAUAUAUCAACUAAUAAUAACAUAGAAAUUAAUGCUAAGACCACAGAGAGUUUGGAGGAAAAUCAGAAACAGGAAAAGCAAUCUAAAGCAGGAAUAAGACAAGAGGAUGUGCAUGUUAAUAAUGACACAGGGGAAACUCACGUGCACGGAGAAACCAACAAGGCUCAUGGGGCAUGUAAAAUAAAUGUGACAAAUACAAAAAGGAAAAGAAUAGCAAGGCAACAAGGCGCACGUGGAGGCUCAAAAGGUUCGGCUGGAAACAAAAGAAAAACAGAAGAUUUCUUCGACCAAAUGGACCUUAUGGAAGUUGAUGGGCUGGAGAAAAAAUUUAAAACAGAUGAGGGCAGCAAUAACCUGUUUGUAGAGACAUUGGCGGUGAUUGGUUCCCAGUCCCGCCAAUCGUCAUGAAAACCAUAAUCUGGAACUGCCGUGGGCUUGGGAACCCACGGACAGUCAGAGCUUUGAAAAAGCUCGUUCAGAAACAAGGUCCCUAUGUUGUCUUUUUGUGUGAAAUAAAUUUAAAUUCAAUUGAGUUUGAUAGGAUCCGAAGGAAAUGCAGGAUGGCUAACAGCUUUGUAAUUGAUCGCAUAGGUAGAAGCGGUGGGCUAGCUAUGAUGUGGAGAGAUGACUACACACUUCAACUAAGAACUUUCUCCAGAUACCAUAUCGAUAUGGAAUUUAUUGAGGAUGACAAGCCAACAUGGAGAAUAACGGGAUUUUUUGGUGAACCCGAAAUUGAGAAACAUUUCCUAGGCGCUUCUAAGGGAGCUAGCAUCGCAAUCACAACGACCAUGGCUGUGCGUGGGUUACUUCAAUGAGAUUCUAAAUGAUAGUGAGAAAAGUGGGAAGUGCUUGCGACCUGAGAAGCAAAUCACAGCAUCAGAGAAGCAAUAGAGGAUAGUAAUUUGGUAGACUUGGGUUUCAUGGGUACAUGGUUUACAUGGACAAAAGUCUGGAAGGCUGAAGACUUAAUCAGAGAGAGGAUUGAUCGAUGUUUAGCUACUAAAGGAUGGUGUGAUAUCUUCCCACAUUUUUUGGGUAGAACACUUAAGAAGGUCAAGAUCGGACCAUUGCCCAUUAUUGUUAAACACAAGUGGGAGCAACAAACAAGGCAAUGGCACGAAAAAACACCAUUUCUAUUUCGAAGAAAUGUAGUGUAGGGAGCUGGAAUGUGAAGAGGUGGUAGCAGAAAAGUGGAAAACGAACAAUACGGCAGAAAAGUGGAAAGCCAACAAUAGGCGAACGGUGGAAAGGAGGAUUCAUGAGGUAGGCAACACUUUGAAGAGGCGGCAUGACCAAAACUAUGGAAAUGUUAGCCGCCAGAUUGACGAACUCAACCAUAAACUAAGUUGGUUGAAAAGUCAAAAAGUGGAUGAUGGCAUCAUGGGUGAGGAAAGCAGGGCAAAAAAAAAUGCUGGAUGAUUUGCUGGAGAAAGAAGAAAUUUUUUAGAAACAAAGAGCAAAGGUGGACUGGCUGAGAGAAGGAGACAGGAACACUGCAUACUUCCCUACACAGGUGAACAACCGAAGAAGGAGAAAUUUAGUUACAGGACUCAAAGAUGACGAUAGAAAAUGGUGUGUAGGGGAGGGGGAAAUGUACAAUAUCACAAAACACUACUUUGAAAAGCUCUUUGAAUCCCAAGAAUCACAAAACAUAUAAGAUAUCUUACAGAUGGGGGACCACCGAGUUACAGACGAGAUGAAAAAGCUCCUUUUAGCAGAGUUCAAACCAAAUGAAAUAGUCCAAGCACUCAAACAGAAGCACCCUACAAAAUCAUCUGGACCUGAUGGUAUGCCUGCCCUUUUCUACCAAAAAAAUUGGCAUGUUGUUGGCAGUGACAUAAUUUCGUUUUGCUUGGAAGUCUUAAAUGGUCACCAGCAUUUGCAUGAUAUUAACAAAACAUACAAUGUCCUUAUCCCAAAGGUCAAGAACCCCAGAAACAUGACUCAAUAUCGCCCUAUAAGUCUAUGCAAUGUGAUCUACAAACUGAUUGCUAAGGUUUUGAUGAAUAGAAUGAAACUUGUUAUACCUAUGUGUAUUAGUGAGUAUCAAAGCGCAUUUGUUCGUGGUAGGCAACUUACAGAUAAUGUGCUUGCUGCAUAUGAACUUAUAAAUUCAAUAAAGAAUAAAAAACAAGGGAAGAACAGUUUCUUUGCACUAAAGCUAGAUAUGAGUAAAGCAUAUGACCGGGUGGAGUGGCCUUUCAUUGAGGCUAUUAUGGCCAAAAUGCGGUUCCAGACAAGGUGGAUUUCGACUAUUACGAAUUGUGUUUGCUCUGUCUCCUAAUCCAUAAUCGUCAAAGGAAGCAUCACUAAUAGUUUUGCCCAAGCAGAGGUCUUAGACAGGGUGAUCCCUUGUUACCAUAUUUGUUUCUAUUAUAUACAGAAGGACUGUCUGCCUUAUUAUCCAGAGGCCAAAGGAGUGGAGAAAUCCAAUGUGUAAGGUCAAGCAGAUCUGGUCCCCGGAUUACUCGUCUUUUCUUUGCUGACGAUAGUUUAAUGUUCGCUAGAGAUAGCGAAAAGAUGGCGAGAAGGUGAAGAACAUGCUAAAGGUAUAUGAAGAAAGCUCGGGCCAGAAAGUUAAUUUUGAUAAAUUAGCCCUUUUCUUCAGCAAUAACACCACUAGAGGCCAGAGGGAAACACUUCAACGAUUGUUUGGGAUCAAUGCAACCACAAAUUCAGAAAAGGACUUGGGUCUGCCAACCUUAGUGGGAAGGGGAAAGAAGAAAGCUUUUAGAAGCAUCAAGGAGAAGGUGCAAACUCUGAUCCAAAAUUGGCGUGGGUGAUUUUUAUCUUUGUUAGGAAAAGAAGUAUUCAUAAAAGCAGUUCUUCAAGCUAUUCCAGCUUACACGAUGAAUUGCUUUCUUCUACCAAAAUCUCUAGUGCAAGAACUAACAAGCAUCAUAAGUAGAUACUGGUGGAGAAAUAAGACAGAGGGGAAAGGUAUACACUGGCUCAAAUGGUCAACAAUGAGCAUGCCAAAAACUAUGGGUAGGAUGGGCUUUCGCGAGCUGGAAAAAUUCAAUAAAGCUAUGUUAGGGAAGCAAGGCUGAAUAUUAAUCGAUGAUACUGGAUCUUUAUGCUACAAAGUCUUGAAGGCCAGAUAUUUUCCCCAUAAUAGUUUUCUAGAGUCAAACCUGGGUUACAAGCCAUCUCUAAUAUGGAGAAGUAUUUGGGAGGUGAAACAGGUGUUGAUUAGUGGAAUAAGAUGACGAGUGGGUGACGGAAAAAGCAUCCGAAUAUGGCAGGACAAAUGGUUACCCAUAGAAGGAAAUUUUGAACCUAUUUCAAGACCAAACAGCAUUGCGGAGGAUGCCACAAUUGAGGCUCUGAUCGAUGAAGAGAACGGAAGGUGGAAAGAGAACUUAAUACGGAUGGAAUUUAAUCAAGCUGAAGCUGAUGCAAUCUGUGUGAUUCCUCUAAGUAGAAGGGUUAUGGCUGAUAAAUUAAUUCGGCAUUUUAACAAAACUGGGGAGUACAUAGUAAAAAAUAGGUACCGGGUGCAAUCCGAGGUUGAUACAGAUGCAGGAAACCAAUUCGUGGUAUGGAGGAAAAUUUGGAGGGCAUUGAUACCACCUAAAGUAAAACUCUUUGCACGGAGAACCUGUCACGAAAUCCUGCCAACGAUGGAGAAACUAGCAGCUAAAAUCAACAAUGUUAAUCCGUGCUGCCUAAGAUGUGGAAUAACAAAUAAGUCUGUCUUGCAUGCUUUAAAGGACUGCUCUAACCCAUCCAGAAUACUGUCUAAGAGCAACGAUGUGAAACAGAUGGUACAGAUAACAAGUCAAAGUUGCAAAGAGUGGCUGGAAACUACUGCAAGGAUACUAUCAAAUACAGACAUUGAAAAUUUUCUUAUGUUACUUUAGUCAUUAUGGGAAGACAGAAACUCGAAUGUGAAGAGGGGGCAAUCACAACCGGAAAACACCAUUGAGCAGAAAGCCAAAAUAUUGUUGACUGAAUACAAAAGUAAGUCUCUAUAGAAAAAUAACCAAAGCAACACAAUGGUAAGGAAAUGGGAGGCAGCACCAGAAACGCUCCACAAAGUCAAUUUCGAUGGUGCUCUAUACUCUCACAGCAGAAAAGGAGACGUUGGAGUUCUCUUACGAGAUCACAGGGGACAAGUUGCAGGUGCAGUGGCAUUCAUAGUGAACCUAGUAUCAGAUGCUUGUGUAAUAGAAGCAAUAGCAGCAGUAAAAGCGUUGGAGUUUGCAACACAAAUGGGAUGCAGGAAGAUUGUGCUUGAAGGAGACUCUCGGAUAGUUUCAAACUGUUUGACAAAAAAGGAUGAGGUACUAUCCAACAUAGGCCCAAUUAUUCAUGAUGGCAGAAGAUGGGUAAGGAAGUUUGAUAUAUGCAUGAUAGAACACACGAAGAGAGAAGGAAAUGAGGCAGCUCAUUCACUUGCACAAUAUAGUUUGCAGCUAAAUAGCGACAGGUUUUGGGUAGAGGAUUUUCCAGAUUCGAUAACUUUAGCUGUACUAAUGGAUAUUGCAAGUUUAAAUAAAUGAAAGGAGAUUUUAUAUUAAAAAAAAAAUUAUAUGUCAUAAUUCAUGUCCAAAUGCGUUUUUUUUUGUGAAACCCAUACAUAAUUAUUAUUAAAAUUUUAAACUAUGUUAUUUUCGUAUCCUUUAUUCUAAUCGUGUUCAUGUUGUAUCACUAUAUUAUAUUUUAGAUUAUUAGAUUUAAAUAAAAGUGUUACAAGGACUAGGUUCUUUGUGUAGGCCUAAUAGCAAAGUAACAUUUAAUUUAUUUAAAAUUUCCUAAUUUAUCAUUUUUUAAUAUUUAUUUAUUUGAAGAACAUAUUAUACAUUUAUACUUUUUCAAACUUACAACCUUUAAAUACUAAUUUUAAUAACAUGUUAACUGAUUCAAAUUUCAGUCAACAGUAACAUUUAAUAUUUUAAAAGUAAAACAAUUGUAAGAUGAGUUGAUAAACAUAUUUUAUUUAGUGAUUUGGAUUUUGUUUAGCAUUGCUAUUGAAAGUAGUUUUUGCAUUCAAAAGCUAUUUUUGACGUAAACACAAUGCUAAAUGAUAAAAAUUUUUGGCUUUCAAUCCAAAAACUUGAUUUUCCAACCCAAAUCAAAAAGCUUCUUAAGAAAUGCUUUUGCAGCGAAAAAGUGUGUUUUGCAUAAAAAAUUACUUUAUCAUGUUUAUAUUUCUAAUAUUUUAUUAUUUUUAGUAAAUUUCAUAAAAAUAAUCUAUGGUUAAGGCCAAAAUAAAAGUAUCCCUUAGAGAUUUAAAACGUGUCACUUAACUACCAUAUGAUUUAUUUUAUUAUUUUUUAUCCAAAACUAUUACUUUUUCUGUUUUUUUAUUUUUAUUUUUUUUCUUCUUCUUCAUCUUAAUCCAUCAUCUCUCUCUAAAACAAAACCAAUUCUUUCUCUAAACCCAAAUCAAUCCACAAAUAACAACCUUCAAACCACUAGAACCUCUACACCACCACCACCAUUACAAGUUCACAUUACCACCAAACUUCAUUGUUAACUCAUUCUCUCUCACUAAAAAUUCAUUCCCCAAAACCACCUGAUUUCACAUACAUUAAGCCUAUCACCAUUUUCAUUGUUGACCUAAGUAGAUAAAUAUAAUUGAAAGCUUUCAUUAAUGAAAACCUUUUUUACUAUGGAUAAGGUGCUACUAACAUCAUUUAAGAGGCAACUUAAAAGACCCAGUUAUUUGGACAACUUGUCAUCUAACUUGGUCAAGUUUUGCCGACAAUUUCUUUCACAUUAAAUCAAGCUCGAGGCCUUGUUAUCCCCAUACCAAUUUUCAAAUUUAUACCAAAAGCUUUACUGCAAUUUAAUAGAAAAUAAAACACCUCUGACAAACUAAUAAUCACAUGAAGAUAGUUGUUACAUCUUAUGUAUGUCCAAAAGUUUUAUAUAUCAAAAACUGCUCCCAGCAACAUAAGCAUAUGUUUCACUCCAUAAAACCAAGAAUCUAGGACUGGAAAGAGUAGAUAUGGGUAGACCAUGAAGGAAAAUUUUAGAUUAAUUUAGAAAUACACAGAAAACCCAUUCACCUUACUAACGAAAUGGGAGAAUAGGAGCUUACUCUCCACCUCUAGAUUAAGGAAUGGUAUUCUUAGUUCAUGAAUCCUUAGCUGUUGUAAAAGCAGCAGUUUGACAAAUUCUUCAUUGAUGAACAUCACAAUUAUAUACACGAGCAAUAGUUACAUGGGUAAUGACACUAAAACGAUAAAGAACUAAAAACCAACAAAUGUUGAGAUAUAUAAUAAACAUAUGGAGAAGUCAUUAAGCAUGAUUAAGGCAGACAAACUAAUUAUAUAUUUUUCCAUCCUUUGCAAAUGAACAGAACUUAUAGUUUGGCACCUCUAGGGUUGAACCAUUUUGCACACAUCCAAUGAAUUUUUAGUGAGAGAAAAUGAGUUAACAAUGAAGGCUGGUGGUGAUAUUAACUUGUAAUGGAGGUGGUGGUGUAGAGGUUUUGGUAGUUUGAAAGUUGCUAUUCGUGGAUUAGUCUAGGUUUAGAGAGAAAAUUAGUUUGAUUUUAGAGAGAGAGAAUGAAAUUUUAGAGAGAAAGGAUGAAUUUUUAGAGAGAAAGGAUGAAUUGAGAUGAAGAAGAAGAAAAAAAAUAAGAAAUAAAAAGAAACAAAAAAGUAAUGGUUUUGAGUAAAAAAAAUAAUACAACAUAUUGAAAAGUAGUUAAAUGUUACGUUUUAAACCUCAUGGGGAAUUUUCAUUUCGGUCUUAACCAUAUGGAAUAUUUCUAAAAUUUACCCUAUUAUUUUGUAAAUAUAUUUUUAAACAUUUCAAUUACUCACAUCAAUUUUUCAAUGUAACACCAAACACUUAGAAUUUCUAAUUAUACUUUCUCAUCACAUUUUUUAAAUAUAUAUUUGAAAUGCAAUAGCAAUGCUAAAUUAACCCUUAGUAUAUAUAUUUUUGAUAGUGGUAAGGUGUUAUGCUAUUCAAUAACAUGAGAACUUAUAAAAUGUGUUUGAUGAAUAAGAUUAUAAUAGAACAAGAACAGAGAUUCAAAUAGUGGUGGAGUAGCAAUGUAGCAGCCGCUAUUUCAUAGUAACGCCAUUGUCUGCCACUACUAUUGACGAAAAAAGGACGAGAAUUUGAAUCACGACAGUAGCGGUAGGUAGCCACCACGAAAAAUGGCAAAUCGAUGAGUAGUGGUAAUAUCGGUCUGUUAUCAAUCGCUACUUCGUUUUUGGUUCAAACAUUCUAUGUAAAAAGCAAAAUAAAAAAAUCAUUUAGGUUAAAAUCUUCAAAUAAAAAAUUAUCUUAGGCUGGUAGAGACUUCAAUCCACAAAUACAUCCUUACAAAACAUCAAGCACAAGCAAUGCAACACUUAAAUUACUUUUUUUGUUGAAAAUUUUGAAAGCUUCUUGUGAUUUUUUGUUGAAUGAAACUGGACUCUGUUGGUGAAAGUUGCUAUGUGUGCUAAAUUGAAACUCUUGAUAAGAGAGAGUUAAGAGGCAAAUAGAGAGACUGUGAGUGGGAAUUGGUAUUAUGGGUGUGUAGGAAUGUUGAAAUCGGUAUUUGGGUUUGUGGGAAUUGGGAUGAGAGAUAACCUGGGUGAAAAAUGAGAGGGAAAUCGAGAAUGGGUUGGAGAUUGGGGGAAAGUUAAGGAAAAUAAAGAGUGAAGAGUUAAUGGUAAAAAUGCAAGGCAUAAGGGGUUUGUGGAUUUUUUUUUGGAAUUUUUUAAUUUUUGUCUAAUAGGGAUUUUUAUUUAGAGAAAAAUUUAUUAAUUUAUGAUUUUAUAUUUGAAUUUUAGUAAUGAUUUUUCUAUUGUUAAUUUUUUUAAGAUUAGAUUAGUUCUGAUUAUUUUUUGUAUAAUUAAAUAAUAAUUGAAAAUGUUGUUUAUUAUAGAAUAAAUAAAAAGUAAUUUAUGGUAAAAAUGUUAAAUUAAUAAAUAUGAAAUUACUUAAUAAAUCGAGCUUUUUAUAAUCUAAUAAAAUUAUAUUUUUUAAAUUUGUACUAUUAUUAUAUAUGAUACUUGACAUUUAAUAUGUUUUACUUUAUUAAUAUAUAUUUAGUUUGCCUGAAAUUAAUACUAAAUAUGAACUUUUCUUAAGGAAAGAUUUGUUACUAAAUCAAAUAUAAAUACUUUAUAUAAUCUCAAAAAAAUUAUGAAUAAUUUUUUCUAAGUAAAUAAAAUAUUAUAAACCACUUUUUAAAUUACAAAAUAAGAAUUUUUAUAAUUAUAAUUAUAAUUACUUCAUUUUGUAUCAAGUUGUGUAAAUUAAAAAAAAUUCAUGACUACAAUAACUACGAUGAUCUCUGUUAUAUUUGCAACCAUGAUAAACAUAACACGACAAAAAUAUAACCUUGACCAUAAUUUAAAUCCUUGGAUAGGAUAAAUUGAUAUUAUAAAUAUGAUUAAAUUAAAUAAUAUUAUCUUAUUUUAUGUUUAAUAUGUGCAAUAAUUUAGAUAAGAUAAUUUUAUUUAUUGAUUAAAAUUAUCAUUUUUCAAAGUUUAUAAAAUUUAAAUUAUUAAUGUAAUUUUUAAGGGUAUAAUAAAACAUGUAAAUUUAAUUUCAUGGAUUAAAACUAAAUUUCUUCACUUUGAAAGGAUUGAAUCACUUUAUAUCAAAAAAUUAAUUAAUCUUCCUUAAAAUCCUAUCCAUUUUUUAUAUAUAAAUCAAUUAUAAUAUAAAAUAAUUAUUAUUCUAUUCUUUUCAUCAUCUUAUACAUCCAAGAUGGCCCCAACUACAUAAAGAAUUAUUUGUGUAUUAAGUGAAAGUUUCACUAAAAUUUGUAACACCGUCCAUCGGAAAAUGGCCUUUCAGCAGUUUUUUUUUUAUGUAGUACAAUGUCAAAACAUCCCAAAAACUAAGUUUUCGAGUCCCAUCUUUGUUCAACAGAUUGAACAACUCCCUGUUCAUCAUCCGUACAUGGUUUCUUUGCUUCAUCAUCACCAUCAAAUUCUCGCGUCUUAUUUUGCCAUCUCUGUUUGGAUUCAUGGCGUCGAAAAAUCCAUUUGCCCUUUCCUUGAUGUUCUCCGGUCUGAUUCAUAAUAUGCCUUCGCAGCCACUCUUAAUUCUUCCAUUUCUCUUCAGGCGUGAUUUAUGUAGGACAAAAUUUUUGCAACUUUUUACAAUAAUGUCAUGAUGAAUGAAUGCUUUGUUACAAUUUUAAGAAAUGAAGACUGAAGGGAAGAUAAUUUUUAUUAUUUGUGACCUUCUAUGUGUUUUAACAAAUUAUUAUACUUUAAACUAAAGGUGUUUGAAUUGAAAAAGAUUUUUAAUUUGAUUCUCAUAUAGCAUCUAGGCAGACUCCAUUCCCCUUCAAAGGAAAUAAGGAAGGUGGGUGGGACAAAGGAAAUAACAAAUUUCCUGUAUUGGCAAGUGGAGGAAAGAAGAAGAAGUGGAAACAAAUAAAUGAGAGCAAAUAUUAGACUAGGAUGUGUAGAUAGUUGGAAUAUGUGAAAACUGUACAAUAAUACUGUGAACAGGUAUGCUGCCCAUACUAGCUCCAACUGAAUAAUCCAAAACUAGUAGACAGCUGUUUAAGUAUAGCAUUUGUCAGUUGAAUAAGUAGUUGACAUCUCACUUGGACAUUGAGGUGAAUCCCAUGGUAGAUUUGGAGACAAGCUGAAAGGAAAUCCUAUUGGUUGGAUAGUCCCCCAACGGUUAUCCUCAGGGGUUGCAUUCGAAUUCUUCCUCGUGCCCUCCUCACUUUCUCCUACACCUGUAUUGCCUUGCAUAUCUUGGGUUAAACUGAUUAAGAAGCCGCUGUAUUGGUGUUGUUGCCCUCCGAAAUCUAUACUGUCGGAGGCCUUGCUAACAUCAGUGAUCAAUGGUGGGCUUAAUAGCAUGUGAUCAAGCCGUGAAAACAUGAAGUUGUAGUGAAGGUCUCCAUUGGAAACAGGAAGUGAAGUUGGUCUAUGGACUGUAGGAUUGAAUGAUUUAUAAGAAGGAAUAUCUGGAGCAGAAAAACUAGCAUUGGAGACUUGUUGUAGUUCACUAUUGCUGCAUAACUGUAUUGCUGAUCCCAUUUCGGUUCUGCAAGAAAUGUUCUCUGAACUGAAUUGACUCAACUUAGUGCAAGGUAAACCUUGGUGGAGUAUAUCAGAUGCUGUAGUUUCUGGAAAUGAGGAUAUCCAAGAGUGAGAAAGAGCUUUCUGAGCCAUUGAAUUGGUCUUUUUGAAUAUCUUACAAAUAGCCCAUGCAUCCUGUGGAAUAUGGCAAAUUAAAGAAACUCAUAAUUUCAGACUGUUCAUAAUUAAAGAAAACAUUGGACAAUUAAUUCAACGAUCAUUACAUUAGCAGGAAGGCUUUUGUUUAAAAGCUUAUUUGGUGGUGUUGAGUCUGAGAGUGAAGGUAGCCGAAAUUCAUGCAUCAUCCAGUCUGUUUUAAUCCCUUUGGCAGCUCUUCCUCUGUAGAACACAAGGGACUUCUUCAAACCAAUACACUCGGUGCCAUCAGAUGAGUAAAUAGGCCUGUCUGUUCCAGUUGCCUUCCAAAAUCCGGCUUCUGUGACUCUGUUAGGCCUUGCACUAUUUCUGUAUUUACGGUCUCUUGGGCAGUAGAAAUACCACUCUUUCUCCCCUGAAGCUGCUGGCUCUGCUUAUAAAAUGAAAAAAAAGAAAAGUACUCGUAACUUUUCCUCAUAGCUAGAGGGACCAAGAAAAAGUAACAGACAAGUUUUUGGACACUGGACAGCAGUGAUGUUGAAACUUUUGUGAGCUUAUGCCCCAGAAUCUAUCACUAAGGAUUGAAAGGAAAUUUCUUUAAGUUUCUUGGAAGCCAAACAAAGAUGAAUUUGCUUUAUUUGAGUAAAGUGAAUCACCAUAGAAGGAAAGUAAAGCCAAAUUCUGACCAAGUACUCAUGUAAUAGAGUAUGGAAAUGAUGAAAACUCACUUGGUAGAUCCCAUGGUUCAUGUUUAUAUAUGUCUACUUGCUUGAUCAACUCAAUGGGCAAAGGUGUCUGCUGAAUCUUUUUCUUAAGGUAAAAUCCCUCAUCUGUUGGAUGAAAUCGAAAACCAGGCAGCAUCACAUCUUCAACCUUAUCAACAUCAUUCUUCUCAUCCUUGUUACUUUUACUUCUCUCCUCAGAGUACGGCAACAAGUUAAUGAAAAUUUGUAUAAACUGGAUAUAAAACGCAAAGGCCUAAUUGCGUUCGAAAUCCUGAAAUUCGAAGCUAAACUAUUGAUGAAACAAUUGGAGCCUAUGCUCUGAAGCAGUUCCUGGACAUGAACUCAAAGACAGAACCAAGUUUACAGUACGAGCUUAGUUCACUUGUUUCAAAGCCAUUAUAAGCUUCCUGGAAAGGGUUCUGCCUCCGAAGCUAAGGCCGCCCUUUCAGGUUUACUCUAAGGGAGAGCGUGUUUAUGCGAAAGUCACGAUGACUUUGGUGAGAAUUUGAGCUUAAGUUGAGCCAAGCUAAGCUCUCUCUAAAGAAUGGAUUUUCAUGGAAACUCAAGUCAAGGGAAUAAGAAUUUUAAUUCAACUCCUUUUUAUUCUCAACCCCAUAUGAACCUGUUUCAAUCCAAUUUAAUGAUCUGAAUAUGACUCCAAAACCAGCUGUUUUUUGGGUUUUUCAAAAUCAAAUUGUUUUCACACACCUGAAAAUCAAAGAUAAGAUGACAGAGCAACCUUCCAAUGUAUCAUACUAUUUUAAUGUUUUUUUUUCUUUGCCUAAAUUAAUCUUUGCUUGAAUACUAUUUAAAGUUUUUUGGGUCAAGGCUGGACCAACUAUCAACACAAUAAUUUCAAUUUUAUAUUUAAAUCCAUGAGAUUCUCUCAAAAUUCCUCUAAAACCCCUUUUGGGGAAAAAUAUUAAUUCUUAUAACCUUGAUCCAAAAGCUACCCUUUCUAUUCCUUUCCUCAUUUUAUGUCACAUAUGAACAGAUCAGCGGCCAGAGGCCAAAACUGGACCCACUUGACCCCUCCUGAAAACACAUCUUGCUGUAUACAUGAAAGGAAUCAAUGAACAAUUUGUUAACGUAUUAAAAAGGAUUUAUCCAUGCAUCUUGGAUUUAGAGUCUUUUUUUUUUUUUUUGUAGAAAGUAGUUAACACUAAUGAUUAUGGAAACGUUAGGCAAACAGUUCAGCUUUGAGAUUAAUGUGAUUGCACUCAGUUAAAAAUAGACAGUUCGAAAGAGAUUAGCAGCUCAACUACUUGAAAUACUACUGGUAAGACCAAUGAUAUUGACAUGAUUAAUUAAAACUUUAAGAUUGUUUUUUCUCAUUUUUAAUUGUCUUUCAAAAGCAAUUAAUUUUAACAUUUGUGGGGUAUCUAAGCAUUUGCUCAGUCAAUUAUGAUUGUUUUGGUUACCCAAAGUUAUGGGAAUUUUCACUGAGAAAAAUGUAUACCAUGUGCUAAUAAUGAUAAUGGGAGGGCAAAAGGACUGUGCUUAAAUAUUUAAAUUAAUUGUCCUGCUAAGUUUGCUAUAGCCAAUAUUGUCUGGUAGAUGGAUAGCAAGUGAUACAACAUUUAAUAAUUAGGUAAAGAUCCUUUGGUCAAAUGGCCGAAUGCACUCGUUGAGAACUCUUGCACGUUCCUUAACCUUGGGCCUACAAAAAUGGGUCAAAAUCUUACAAUCUAAGCUAUUCCAUCUCUUUCUAUAUAUGUGAAAAUUCACCUCAUAAACAUAAAUCAAGUUCCCGACGUGAAAAACCCACAUGAAGGUUAUUGACUAAUACCAACCUUCUAUAAUCAGGCCAGCAAAUUAUUUUCUAAUAGUAAUGUUUUCAAACUAAACUACUCUCCAUCGCCAUGUCACUUAUUUAUUAAACUAUUUUCAAGUAUUUAACAUGUGAUGUGUUCUGUUUCCGAACAAAAAAAAAUUCAAGUAUAUAUAAUUCUUAGUAAUGUACUCAUUUAAAUUGCAUUGCUCAAUGGUACAAACAUGUCAUCAACUGAAGUGUGGAAUUCACAAUUUAGAAGUGAAAAAAGUUCUAUUUAAUUAUGCAUCUAUUUUUGCUUUUGGGGUUCAUUCACAAUUGUACAAAACAAACCGGUAAUGAUAUAUUAAAUUUGAUAGUCAUCAGAAAUAUGAGAUAGAAUAUCACCUUGAUUUUCAAUAGAAAAAUUCAUGUUGUCAAAGUAGGAUCAAUAAGAGCCAAAAUAAGUCAAUAAAAUAAGAAAAUGACCAAAUUGCAAAUUUUCAAGCUAUAUUACUCCUUUGUAGCUAGCCUCAAGCCGUCAAUAUUGUCAUCAUGCAAGGGGAUCGAUGAAGCUUGGUAGAAGCAUGAGGAAAAUCAUUUUCGCUUAUUAUGAAUAUUUUUAUAAUCCUAUAUAUAUAUAGUUGCAAUAACUUGAUUGCUUUCUUGUAAAGUUAAAACUAAAAUCCUUUUUUUUUUCCUAAUUGUCAUAAUGCAAAGCCGCUAAACCCCAUUCGAACUAAUUAAAACUUGAGUUGUGUAAGAAAGGAAUUUUAUUUCAAUAAAAAUUCUAAUUUAGAGUUGUAAUAUAUAUAUAUAUAUAUAUAUUAUAAAAGAAGUUAUAACUUGAGAUAGAAAUAAAAGUUACAUAUGCUAAAAUUUAAAUUUCAAGUUUUUAAAUGCCAUAUUUUAAGAGCGAUUGUAUGGAUUAACUGAUUUAAGCUUCAAAUUCAAAUGUAAUACUCUUUGCAUAAUAAUAAUUAUAAAAAAAAACACAACCAUGAUCUUCUUUAUCAAAAGAAAUGAAAAAACCCAAUUUUGUUAGGAUCAAAUUGAAUUUAUUUGAUUUUUAUGCUUAAUUUACUUAUUCUUAUUUGCACUGGUUUAAGCAUUAAAUCGAAUUGGAUUUGUUUAAGCUUAUUUCGGAUUAGUCAUUUUUAAUUUUAUUAUUAUUACUAUCAUCAUCAUCAUCAACAACAACAUUUAAGAUUAAUCAAAUUAAUUAAAAAAUUAUAAAAAAAAUAAUUAAAAUUAAAUUAAAAAAUUUACAAAAAAGGGGCAGAAAAAUAGAAAACAACAAAUCAAUAGCUAGCAAUUUAGGUCAUGUGAGGUCGAAAUUUUCAAACCCUACACUCUACCAUUACUUUGUACUCCACUACUUUACCAUAUUGAAGCUUUGGAUUGUUGUUACAAAAUUGCCAAAUAAAAAUAAAGAUGAAGAUACAUAAAAAGGAGGGGCCGACACCAAGGGAAGCAACAAUUUUUUUCAAGUUUCGGCUUCUUUUCCCAAGUCAUCAACCCUACCCAACUAUCAACCAACACCUAAAAAUCCCAUCACCUAGCCUUCACUCACCCUAGCACAGUUUUUUUCUUCUACACACCUUACCAGAACCCAACUCAAGCCUUCAUUUACCUCUCAAAUCACCUGGCUUGGCACCUCGCCGAUAGCUAUUAACCCUCUUCAAUAUAGAAUCCAUAGCCACCAGCCAAAAUCCUUCCAAACAAUAACACCUCCAUUCCAUUGCCCUGGUAUAAACCCAGCUUAAGCCCUUCACUAGCCUUGCCCAAUACUAGCUUCGGCCUACCUUUUAGCGCAAGCCCCUUACCAAAAGCCAUCAAUUGAUUACCCUUAUUCAAGCUACCACCUUUACCAAUCUUAUCUAGUAUCAACCCUAGCCUACACCCAAAUGAAUUAUGACCAAAAGGUCAAUUUUUGCUCACCCCCACCUCACCAGAACCUUUCCUUACAUGCACCAACCCAUAGCACAUACCAAAACCACAACCAAAAGUCAUCCUUUAAUUGCCUUUAUUUAUCUUAGCUACGACAUUCCCCAGCCUUGAAUCAUAUCGACUUUGGCCUAUGACUAAACGAAUCACAACCAAAAGAAUAGCUUUGGCUCACCCUUACCUCACCAAAACCGUCCCUUACACACACUAGCCCACACCACACACUAGAGCCCACACCAAUUUCCUUGAAAGCCCACUGUUGUUUCCCUAAAACUAUUCCCCACAACCAGGAGGUAACAACCCCACCAACACCCUUCCACUCCUUUACAAACUAUCACACAUUCAUUACCAACCACCCAAUCCAAUCCUAAACCUUCACCAUGAAACUAUCUACCUUCAUCAUUAUUUCUUAACCCAUAACAAAAAUAAAACUCCCUAUUCCCCUUCACUACCCACCAUAAAAACCCUUAAGUUGCACUAGAAACCACUCCCAAACAACCUUUCCAACCUAUAAAAAAAAAUCACUAGAAAAACCCACAAACAAGAUAUAAAAAAAAAAUAAAAACAAAAAAACCACCCAAAACCAAAAUCUAAAAAAAAAAUCAAAAUCUUCCCCAUAGGGAGGAACUAUAGCACCAAAAUCUCCUUAUUCAACAAAAAAAAGUCGUACUUCUCUUAAAAAUAAAAUAAAAUAAAUAAAUAAAGCAAAAACUUUAUGAAUUAUUAGGCUUAAGAGAACUCCUAAGAAGGUUAUUGGGUUCGUGAAAGAAGAAGAAAUGGUAGCAAGCUAUCAUUUACAACAGAAGAACGACAAAGUGAGGAGGAGCUUAGGCGACUCGAGCUUUGGUUCUUGGGAAAAAAAAGGAAAGAGAAAAAAAAAAGAGAAAGACAAAUAAAAAAAAGGGGAAAAUCAGAGUUGUCGGCCAUUGGUAAUGGCGAAUGAUGGCUAUAGGCAUGAUGAUCUGCAUGUGGAAUGGUGUCAAUAGGAACUCGGUGGAAAGCUAUUGGUUUUUCUUUGAAAAUGAGAUUUUUUUUUUUAGAAGAGGUUGGAAAUGAUUUUCAAGAAAAUUUGGCUUUUAUAACAAAAAAAAAAUGAAUCGGGUCAAAACUAACCUACCCAACUGGCUAACCAAAACCUGUGGCCCAUGACCUAUUAGCCAACUCACUUCAGUGGCUUAAUCUCCCUACACAACAUUUUGGGUGAUAGUUGGGCUUCAAGCGCUUAAACUUGGUGGACCUGCGACUUUGGGCUUCAACAUCAAAUUUGUGGUAUAAUUCUUAUACAUUUUUUUUAUUUUUUUGUUUGAAUGCUUUUACAUUAUUCAUGAUAAUUAUAUUUUUAUAAAAUAAGGUUGCCUUGAAAUCAUUAAUAAUGCUUGUGAAAGUAUCAACACUAUAGAUAAUUAUAUAUACAUAUAUAUAUAUGUGUGUGUGUGUUUUUGUGAGAAUUUUUAUUAUUGAAUGUUUAAAGAAAAUGAAGAUUUUUUCAAUGAUAGGACUCCAAGAAGUCCGAGUAAUAUUCUUGAAAAUUUUCUAGGUGAGAAAAUAUUUCUAAAAAUUACCAAAGUGUUAGAAUAUUUAGAAACUUUUUUCAAUAUAAAAAUUUUAUUUAUUUAUUUUUUCUUUAAUUUGAAUAAUUUUCUUAAAAGAGACAAAAAUAUAAAAUAUAUAUAAAAGUAUGCAUUUUUUAAUAAAUAAAUUUAUUUCUAGAUAAUUAUAUUAUUAUAUAAUUUUUAAAUAUCAAUAAUUAUUAUAAAAUUAAAUGAAAAAAUUAUCAAGGAUAAAAUUUUAAAAAAAUCCAAGUAGUGAUUUUUUUUUAAAUCUCUAAGUAAGAAAAUUUAUCUAACAUGCCACCAACGUAUUGAAGCAUUUAAAAUAAUUUUCGAUAAUAAUUUCUCAUUUAGUAAUAGAAAUGAAGUUUUAGAAAAUAUCAUUUAAUUUUAAAUUAUAGAUAUAAAACUUUCUGUUUUUUAAAAUAUAAAUAUUAGAGAUAGAUAUAAGCCAUCGAGUAUAGGAUUUUAAGAAUUCUGAGUAGCGAUUUCUAAAAAAAUUUUAAGUGAGAAAGUUCCUCUUAAUAUUUUAAAAGUAUUAGAAUAUUUUUAAAAAUUUUUCAAUAAAUAAGGUUCUUAUUUAGUUUUUCCAACCAAGAAAAAAAUAAAAAUAAAAAUAUGUUGUUUUACUACAAUAAAGAAGAAAAUUAAUUUUUAAAUACCAAAAUAAGAUCAUUUUGUCAAAAUUAAAGGAUAACGCAUAAUUAAUUGAUACCAUUUUAAAUGGACGUCGUGAGUGCGCUAAUCUUUCUUUACAUGUAAUCGAUUCCUAAAUUCAAAUUAUUUUUGUAGACCAAAAAAUUAUUUCUUUAGUAUAUUAGAAUUAAUUUAAAAAUUUUAUUAAAAGAAUAAGUUUUAAUUUGUUAUAAAUCACAAAUAAUGAAAAAAAAAGAUAAGUAAUGAUUUUUUUUUAAUUUUCAAAUUUAUCUAGCACUCUCCAAAAUUGUUACCACAAAAAGACCACAUAAACUAAGAAUAUUUCAUGUUUAAUUAAUAAUUGUCUUAGAAAACAAAGCUUUUGGUAUCAAUCAUUUUUGGGUGCCAGUUAAUUCACCUGAAUUGAAAUUUUAUACUUUUAAUUUUUAUAUUAAAAAAAUUUGAAUGAAAGAUACAAAAUUACAGAUUAUUUUUUCUUGUGAGUGAGAAAAGAAGCAAAUCCUUGAGCAAGACGGUGAUUUCAUUUAAAAUUACAAAAUUAAUUGGAAUAGGUAAAUGUCACUUUGAUUGUGAAGUGUUGGAUUCCAACACAGUGUUCCAAGCACAGAAGCAAAAAAGAAAAGACCACAGAAAACAAAAUUUCCAAAUUUUGUUUAAAUUAUGUGGAUGGUCUCCAGAUUCUUGACCCGUUUACAAGUUAGCCCACAAGGGAUGAGAGGAUUAACAAAUUAAAUAAACCAAUUAAGAUUAAUAAAUGCAUUAAUCAAUAAAUAAAUAAAACAUGAAAAUUGACGUGAUCUUGGAGACAAAUGAUAUCAUCUAGCUAGCUAGGAAAAGCACAUUAUCAUAAUAUGCGUUGAAUUGUUUAGUUCUAAAUGAUUAGGAUUAAAAUUCUAAUAACUUUAAAUAUAUAUUUUGAAAAAAAAGGGAUCCGGAUCUUCUUGUUAAAGAGUGUAUAGGAGCAGAGGUUAAGCAUAAUUAAUUAUUGUUUUAAAAAAUAUUUUUGCAUUUAAUGUUUUGUUCUUAUCAAAUUUAAUAGGAAACAACGCAUUAAUUGUAAUUUAUUUCUUUAAAUAUCAUUUUAAUCUGUGCCUAGUGGCAUUUGUUAACAUUUUUCAUAAUUAAUAAAUUCAGUAAAUUAAUUAAUAAAUAAAUCAAAAUUCAUUUUGCAAUCAUUAAAAUAAUAUUUGUAAAUGCAAACAUCAUUCUGGAGGUUGAUUUUGGAAAUUAUAAGGGAGUUCAUAGAGAUAAGGGAUAUUGGAUGAUCAAUUAAGUAAGAAAGUCGAGGAAGUAAAAAAUGGUGCUUUAAGUUUAAAUAUGAAAGUUGAAAAAGGGAAAGAGGUUGAAUGUACUCAAAAUUAUGGGAAUUUGAUGCGGAAUCAGAGGAGUGCAAAUGUGUUUGUGAAGAGAUUGAACAUUGUGAUGAUUAUAUUUCUAAUAACAAAUUGAAAUUUUCGAGGAAAAAGGAGAAAGCGUAAAAAAUUCGAUUGGAGUAAAAACAGGCUCACUCAAAGACUGCAAUGCGGAUAUCUAGGUCACCGGUGAUUUUGAAGGAUGAUACUUGUAUCUCAGAUAAUGAUAUAAGACGAAUGAAUUCUUUACAUAAACAUGAGGCUUUCAAAACUUGAGAGCUUAAAAAAUUUUUGGGCUAUCCCAUGCAGGUGAUGAAGAGCUUAUCAUUAUGAACAAAGAAAGCGAGAUGAUUAUGUUAUCAAUUAGUAGUUUAUGACUACCUUUUGGAGUUUUGAUGAAUCUUUUGGUUCGUUGCAUCUAUUAUAUUCACUUAAAUUCUUUGCUAGUAGUGUUCUCGUUAAGGGUGGUCAUGAAAUUGAUUUUUGUUUAUUUGUUAUUGUUCUGUAGUAUCUAAAUGCUAUGGGGUUCGAUCUUUUUCUAUCAAUUAGGUGGAUUAUCUGUUGUUCUUUUGUUCUCAAGUAAGUGUUUCGUAUUACUUCUAUUGUUUGUAUUGAAACUCUUUUUGCUAACAAUUACUAGUUUUGUAAUCGGUUGCUUUAAUAAACUUGACUUAGCAAAAAAAUUGUAAAUACAAAUUAAUUCAUCUAAAAAAUAUUACCGUACAAUUAAUUGCCUAUCUACAAAAUACAAUGACUAAUUUGCUCGUGGACAUGCGUGAAAAUUUAACUCCUUUGAAUAUUUCCUUGCCUUUGCUUAUAUAUUUAUCUAUAAAAUUACUCAUGCACUAAGAAAAUUAAAUACUAAGAACUAAUUAAAGACAGUAGAAAAACGACAACCUGGGAUUUUUGUUGACAUGACAUGAUUAAUUAAUCUUGAUGGUCUAAAUGAAAUUAAGAUUUCUCAAUGUAAAGAGCAUGAUUAGGCAGAUCAAUUAUGCGUGAGUGCAGAUUAUUAAUUAAUUGGACAUUCAUACGACAAAUGCUGAGAUGAAACAAAGUUUUUUCAUAUUAUCACCUAUCUCAUUUUCGCAAUUAAAAAAACAAAAGGUAGCUAGUUCAUCUGAUGGGGAUUUUUCUACCAAUUUCAUGUGUGCCACAUAUAUGUAUAGAAAUAAAUAUAUAUAAAGAGAUCCAUUUAUAUUAGUGCAAGAGUUAUACAUAUUUUUUAUAAUUGGAUCAAAAUUAAAUCUAUGACACUUACACUUUCACUUACAACUAUAGGGAAUAAGUUUUUAACGAAAAUUUUUUUCAUGUUUAGUAAUGUUUUAGAAACGUCAUUAAAUGAUUUGUAGUGAUUUUAAAAAAUGCCGCUAAAAACAAUGGUUAUACUUGUAGUAGAAAAUAUAACGACGUUUCAAGAAAAAAUACUAUUAACUUAAUGACAUUUGAACACAAAAAUACUAUUAAAUUUAACAGUGUUUGUGUGUAAAAAUGCUGCUAGAAUAUAAAAAUUAGCAAUGUUAGUAACAAAAAAAAACCAUUAAUUUCUAUAAUUUAGCAAUAUUUUUACGCAUAAAUACCGCUAAAUUAAAAAAAAAUCUAUUUUUUUAUUUAUUUCAAUAUUUAUUAUUAUAAUUAAAUAAAAAAUAUUUAAAAAAUAAAAACAAAUUUAAAUUCAUAAAUUGAAUAUUAUAAAUAUUUAAAUAUCUAAAUAUAUAAUUUAUUCCAAUAUACAAAUAACACAAAUUUAAUACAAUAAUAUUGAAAUUGUUUCAAUACAUUAACCACAAGAGAAGACACAUAUUGGCUGCCUUGGCACGUUCAAGCAAACAAGAAAAAUUCAUUUUACCGGGUUCAAAGGUUUGUAGUUUCUUCGCCAACAUGAAUAUGUUUCCUGAAAUGCCCUACCUAAUACCAUCAAAAGGUUCAUUUUAUUUGAAAAUAUUCAAAAGCACUCGAUACUAUAAUCAAUUCCGUAUUUGGGAGUAAAUAAAUAAAAAUAAAUAAAUACAAAGCAUUUGAGCUAAAAUUAGCUCGAGUAAUUAGGGCCAAUAUUUUUCCAAGAAUGACAGAAAAAAUUACGUUGGACCUUAAAUUUCUGCAAAAAGAAGUGCAUGUCAUCUAGUGAUCACCAAAUUAAAAAGCUAAGUAGAAAUUAAAGCAGAAAAUUAUUGUUUUUAAUUUUUUACAACUUUUUUUUUUUAAUUUUGAAGUAAUAUUACAAUGCACUUAACAAUUAAACCAAAUGCACAAUUACCUUAGGCAAUGAAUUAAUUAAAAACCUAGUUCUUCUACUGAGUUUGAACCUUAUUGUCAACCGUCAACCACUCCUGAGAUUACAAGAACACAAGCAAGAGCUAAAAAUAAUUAUUCAGAAAAAAAAAAUGGUAGUCAUACAUAAUUAAGAAUUUAACAAUUAAAAAGAAAUUACAGAAGGAAAUUGAGUAGAUACUUCCUAAUUUUAAAUUACUAAAAUUUUAUUUGACAAUAUGAUUUUUGUCUCAUUGUGAAAUUUGAUCAUAAAUGCAAAGGCAAUACAAGAAAAAGAUUACGAUAAAAUAUCCUAACUAUGCGACAAUGCUGUUUUUCUAAUCGCAAAAACAGAUAAGAACCUAGUUUCGCAAUUAUGGUCAUGGCAUGGGCAAUAUGGCAUUACAGAAAUGAAGCUGUUAUUAAUAGCAUCUACAGGACGUAUCAAAGUACAGUGGCUUUCACCCAAGAAUAUAUAGUUCAAUAUCGAGAGGCUCAGGAUAAACAGUUGACUGUAACCCAGCAAAAGCAGGUGAAAUGGAGGGCACCACGAGAGAAUGUUAUAAAGUUAAAUUUUGAUGCUGUUCUGGACAUAAGAAACAGAAGAGGUGGAAUCAGGGUAGUAGCUAGAGACUGGAAAGGAUAAGUGAUGGGGGCUGCGUGCAGGAUAGCAAAGUGGUGUAGGCAUGCGAGGAUGGUAGAUGCACUAGCUGUAACAACGGCUACCAUAUUUGCUAAAGAAAUGUGUAUCUAAAGAAUUGAGCUUGAAGGAGACGUGUUGACUGUCAUAAAUCAAAUACUACGGAAUGAGGGGUGCCUAUCUUUUUAAAAGGUACUAUUAUUGAUGAAGUGAAGCCUCAUCUGAGCACCUUUAUGGAAUACUUUUGUCAGCAUAUACAGCGUGAAGCAAACACAGUUGCUCAUGCAUUAGCAAAAAAGGCUUUGGGAUAUGAAGGGAAUGCGUUUUGGGUAGAGGAGAUCCCAGACGAUAUUUAUGUAUUUUCCUUAAAAAAAAAGCAACUAUUUUUAAAUUCAAAUCAUAUUUUAAAUUCUCUUAAAUAUAUAUAUAUAUAUUUAUCUUUCUAACUUUAAGUAAUUUUUUUUUUUAUAAUUGAUUUCAGUUGACUCGUGAUACAAUUCAGACAAAACUUUAUAAAUGGUAUAGAUAUUUUCUUUUAUUAUAUAUAUAUACAAUCAUAUAAUCAACAUAUUUAUAUAUUAUGAGCUCAAGGCUUAUUAGUAUGAUUAGUUCACUCAUCUUCUUUAGAAAGUAGAAUCUCCCAAGACUAGGAUUCGAUUACUAACAAUUAUAAGUUCUCUUUCCAGAUUUCCUCUUUAACUCUUAGAGUAUCUUUAAAUGAAGAAUUUUGAAAUGUUUCAAUUCAUAAUAACUGCAGUUGUAAUUGCAUUAUUUGGAAAAAAAUUUUAAUUAAAUAUUGGAAUUAAAUUAAAAAAUAAUUGUAAUAAAAAUAAUGAUAUUAGAUAUAAAAAGUAUAAUAUUAAAAAAUACAAUAUAAGUGUCCUUAGAUUUAUAAAAUUGUAUAGAUAUUACUAAAAAUAUAAAAACUAAAAAAAAUUAUAAUGAACUUUUGUCGUUAAAAUUGAAGAAAAUAAAUCUUAUCAACAGUGGUUCGAUAUUAUCUUGAUCACUUAAUUAUCAUUUUUAAACAUGCCAUUAUAACAUUAAUAUAUAGUUAGGAUAAGAUUGAAAUUUAUAUUUUUAAUAAAAAUUACCAAUCAUAUCUAAAUGUGUACAAUUUUAGGACAAUUUUUUUAAUUUUAUUCAAAAAUGAUAAAAAACAAUAAUAUCAACAAGUUAGGUCUACAUUGGACCUCACUUACACUAGACCUUUAUAUUAGACCUUACUUAUAUUAAACCUAUCUCAAAUAUACUAAUAGUUGAGUUUUUUAAUUUCACAAGUAGGAUUAAAACAAUUAUACACAUCAUUUAUAUAUUUUAAAAAAAUAAUUAAAAAAAAUAAAAUGAGACAUGUAUCAUCAUCUUAACGUCAUUUAUGGAGUUAAAAAUUUUUUCAUUUAAAAAAUAAGAUAAAAAAUUACUUCUUUUUUUUUUUAAUCAAAGCUUAAGAUAAAAAAUAAAAUACAAAUUUAAAAAUACAAAUGUCCAAAUUUUCUAAUACAAAAAUCAAUUGAAUAAACUCCUAAAAUCCUGUGAAAUUUCUUAUUUUUUGAAAAUUUGUCUUUUGUUUAGACAUCGAUUUUGUCCGGAUCUACUGUUCCUAUUUUAAGUAUAUCAAUACUAAUAUUAAUAAUAAUAAUAAUAAUAAUAAUAAUAAUAAAUAUUUAAAAUAUAUAAAAAUUAAAAAUUAAAAAAAAGAAGGGAAAUGAGACAGAAACCAGGGGCUGGUACGGCGCCGUUGCUGCCCCCCUGUCAGCCUCCCGACCAACCCCCUGCCAGCCUCCUGACCAACCCCCUGACCAGCUCCCUUUCAGCCCACCUAUAGCCAUCCUAUAGCCACCCAGAUCUCCCUAAAUUGAAGCCUUUUAAAAUCCCCAACCAUUUUCCCCCUUCUUCUCUCUCGGCUUUCUAAAAAAAAAAAAGAAGAAAAACCCAUUCGAUACCCACGAAAACCCUCGAGCUCCGACGAACCCUUCCCCCCUCAAAACACCCUCAAUAACCCCAGACAGUCCCCCAUUCCUACGCAAAAAGAAAAACCAAACUUCAAAUACCUCCCCUAAAAUACACAAACCGAAAACAAAACAAAUCUACACAAACACAUAAAAAUAAAAAACAAAACAAAACACAGUCCUCCCCGUAUUGAGUAACCCAGUGCCAAACUACCUGCAAGAAAGAAGAUAUAUCAGUUUUUGUUCGCAACCAAAAAAAGGGAGAAAAAAUGAGAGAUCCAAAACUUUGAAGACUGAUUCACGACGGUCAAGCCACUUUCAGGCCAAACGAAGGUCGGAUCUGGAAAGAGGGUGUCCAGAGGAACCUUCGGUAACUUUCUGACCAUUUUUCGAUCACCGACGACCACCGCCGGCGGUGACUCACACGGCGGACGGUGCAGGCAUGGCACCGAAUUUCGGCGAGACCAGAGACCCCCCAGAGCCUUUUUUGGUGAAACCAAACAGACUGAAAAAAAAAUUUCAAACUUUUAUAGAAAACAGAGGACCAAAACGACGUCGUUUUGAGCCUAAGACCAAAAUGACGCCGUUUCAAGCUUAGAGGAUCCGCAAGUGGAUCGAACCCGACUCGAGAUUCGCGUAACCCGACCCGACGACCCACUUUAGCCAGCCUUGAAUCGGUUCAGAUGAACCGCCAGUGAACCGGUCUGAAUUGUUGGUCGCCCAAACCAUCGAUCCAACCGUCGAACCGGUCAGACCACCUGAACCACUGAUCCAAUCGCCAAAUAGGUCAAACCGCCCGGAUUAGCGUUGACCGAACUGUUGACCGGUUCGGUUCAGGUAAAAUUUUUUUUUUCUUUCUUUCUCUAAAUUUUUUUUUAUAUAUUAUUGUUUUUGUCAUUUUAUAUUCAUGCAUGAUAAAUGUUUAAAUUUAUUAUGAUAAAUGUCUAAUUGUUAUUGAUAAUAAUAAAAUGAAUAAUAUAAAACAAUAACUAAAAAAUAUAUUAAAAAUAUUUAAAUAAUAAUAAUAAUAAUGGAAUAAACUUUCUAUUUUCCCUACCUAGAUGUUGGAGGGAAUAAAAUUUUUUUUUCAAACAAAUAAUUCCAUCUAGAUGUUGGGGAAUUAUUAUUAAUAAAAUUUCAUAAAUAUAUAUAUAUAAGAAAUUCUUAAUUAGUUUCUCAAAAUUUAUAAAAAAAAUAAUAAAAAAAUUGAACUUGCUCCGAAAGUCCGCUUAGAUAAUGGAGGAUUUUUAGAGAUGUUCGCGUUUUAAUUAAACCUCAAACCCUAAACUUAAACCUUAAAUACUUUUUUUUUUAAUUUUUAAAAUCCUAAGUUUUUAAAACCCUUAAAAAUUAAAAAUCCCCUAAAAUCCAAAAUCUCUUAAAAUCCAAAGUCCUAAAAAUCCUAAGGACUUGUGUGAAAAUUCUAUUUGAAGCAAUUUGUUCCCAAAUAUCGCCUAGAUGAUGGGGUAUUUAGGAAAUUUUAUUUUGAUAAAUCUUUUCAUACAAGUUCUUAAUUCACAUUAAUAAUAAGAUUAAUAAAUAAAAAGUAUAAUAAAAUUGAGAUCUUAAAUAUAAACAGUCGCACCUAAGCUCUGCCUAGAUGUUGGAGAUUCAGGGUGAUCUCAUUAUACUUAAGAAUCCAAUUCUUAAAUUGCAUUUUACAUGGCAUUCAUUAGCAUUCAUACAUUAUCGUGUUAUCAUCAAUAAUUGUUUGCAUUAUUCUCUUUUUAAUUACUACUUGGUGAUAAAAUAUUUAAUAAUAAAAAAGAAUAAUACUUAAAAAAAAAUCUUUUUGUGAUAUUAUAAAAUAAAAUAAAAAUAACAUUCCGAAAGAAAUAAUUAUUGGUACUCUACUAGAUGUUGGAGAGUUACUAACAAUCAUUUUCUAUAAAGAUUGUUAUUUCAUUUUAAAGAUUAUUGUCUUGAAUCUUAAGCGAAAAGAGUUAUUUUUAAUUCUGCUUAGAUGUUGAAGAAUUUUAAGAUAAUUCUUUAACUUAAAGAUUUUCACAAUAUUUCUAAAUAAAAAUUUUAGCAAAAAAAUAUUUUUAAAACGAAGGGAAUUAAUAUUAAAUUUCAAGUCAAAAUCAUUUUAUCCAAUACCGAAAAUAGCGCAUAAUUGAAUGGUACCAAUUUAUGGGCGUUAUGGGGGUGCUAGUCCUUCCCCACGUAUAACCGACUCUUGGACCCAACCUGGUUUUUCGUAGACCGAAAUUUAUCUUUUUGAUAAACUUUAAACUCAUUUUUAUAAGUUUUAUUAAAAGGAUAAACUUUUGGGUGACCAAUCACACCCUAACAAAGAUUGGUGGUGACUCCCCUCUUUUUAUUUUUUUCGAUUUUAAAAUACUACGUUUUACGUAUGGCGGUCCCAAAACCGAUACGACACUUUGCUUCUUUUUUUUUUUCUCUUGAACCGUACCCACACAACUAACUCCAUCAUGAAGCUGUGCCAACAGAAGUUCUAUUUCUCCCAGACUUCCAACAUCUUUCAAGAAUAACUGUAAGUCAAUCUCCUUCCAUAUUCCAUAUAGUGAUGAUAGAACUUUUCAAAAUAUGUGUUUAAGAAGUUUGACACAAACAAUAUCCCUCCAUUUUAGGAAGAAUUCGGUAGCCACUAAAAAUCUAUCAUAUCCUGGAAAUUUGAUGCUAGUUCAACGAUGAACUUUUUGUGUUUCUUGAUUCAAAAAUGAAUCUUUAAUUGUUCCAAAACGAUUAUUUUGAUCAAGUUUUUGGAAAGACUCAUUUGUCCAAAGCAGAAUCUUAUAAAGGAAGUAGAAAGUUCCAAUAUUUAUUAGUUGAAAACACUUUCUAGAUUCAAGUUGGAGACCUUGUGUUUGAUCGCAAUAGUCAAUUUUGAUCAUAAAAGAUAAAAGAUGCAAUAAAAGAUGGCAAAUAAAAAUCAACUACAUUGAAAAGUUACACUUGCUAAUGAUGUACAUGAAUCGGGUUAGAUCCGAUUAAGGUUUUGUUUAUUUUAUAGAAAAUUACUUCGAAAAAAUAAUUUUAGAAAAAUAUUUAUAUUUUUUGAAUUGAAAAUUUUUUUUUAUUUGAAUGCGUUAAAGAAAAAUAUUGUUCUUUAUUUGAUUGCUUUUUAAAAAUUUUAAUUUUUUAAAAAAUAAUAUUAAUAUAACUAUUAAAAUAAUAAAAUUUAUUUAUUAUUAAAAUAUAUUGAAAUUAUUUAUUAUUAAAAUUAUUAAUAUUAAAAAAGAAUUACAUUUUAAGAAUAAUAUUUAGUAUUAAAAUAUUAUGUUAAUAUAAAAUAUUUAAAAUAAAACUAUUUAUUAUACUUUAUAUUAUUUAUUAAUAUAUUAAUAUUAAUAUAAUAUUUAUUAAUUAAAUUAAUAAUAUUAUUAUAUUAUUUAUUAAUAUAAUAUUAUUUAGUAAUUUAUUAUAAUAUUAUUUCUUAAUAUUAUUUAUUAAUAUAUUAUAUUAAUAGUAUAUUAUUUAUGAAUAAUAUAUUUUUUGUUAAUAUAUUAUAAUUUUAUUUAUUAAUAUAAUCUUAUUUAUAAGUAAAAUUAUAAUUAAAAAUAUUAAUAAAUAAUUCUACUCAUAAUCAAUUUUUUCUAAAAAAUAUUAUCUCUUUUUUAAAUUCGUAAGAUAAUUUUUUUAAAAAUGAUCUUAUUUUUCAUUGAUUAAUAAGUUAUUUUCUGUUGACUAACCAAUUUUCAACUAAACAAACACCAAAAAAUAUGAAAAUAAUUUUCUGAAAGUCAUUUUCCGAUGAAACAAAUGACCCUAACUCUUAUUAUCACUUAAAAUUUUUCAUAAGAUCUCAUUUGAAAUAGUUAAGUUUGUUGAUUAGUGAAAAUAAUAUUAAAAUAUUAUUUUUUUAAUAUUAAUGUUUUAAUAUUUUUAAAUAAAUUUAUUUUUAAAAUAAAAUUUAUUAAUAAAAUAAUAUUUUGUACUAGUCAAGCUCAAACUAUAAUAUUAACCAUUAUAUUAUAUCAAAGAUGCCUUCCUUUGAUCAAAUUGGCUCUUUUCUUUGCACUCCAGGUAGCAUUGACCUCUGUAAUUGCCAUGAAAUCCAUCUAUAAACCACUGAUGUUACCAUCUUAAAACAAUAUCAAGAAACUCCAAUGGCCUUCAUCUAUAUGAUCAUUAGAAAACCAAAGACUGAAAAUUGAAUGCCAUGUAAGAAAAAAGAAAAUGACAGAAGAAAAUCCAUCGGAUGCUUCUCAAUUCAAAGUAAGGUUGCAAUACAAUAUAUAAUAAUACUGAAAGGUUGAACAUUAAAUAAAAGGCAUAACUAAAAUGCAUGCAUGAGGAAAUGAAAACUAAUGGUUGAAUGUAGUUCCUCCAUGCAGAGAAACUAGGCUCUCUGCAUACAUUGCUAACGCAAAUGCACACCCUUCAAAUUGGAGUGUCUUUAUCUCUUGGUUAUUUGGAUGAUGCCAGGCCAGAAAGUCGCCUUCUUCAUUCUCAAAGAAGAUUUCACCAUUGCUACCGACUCCUAAUGGUAUAUGCACAUAAGGAAUAGGUUCAAUGGUGAAUAAUUUUGUCCAAGAGUUCUUUAGACCUAGUUCACCCAACACCCAUACAUCAUAGCAUUUAUUUCUCACACGAUAAUCAUGACAAAGAAACCCACCAAGUGAUCCGUUGAUUUCCAUUAAAUAGGUAAGAUAGUAUGUUGUUCUACAGCUCUUACCCAAACCCCCAUCAGGAAAAGGUGUUGCAACGAAAACUUCAUUACUCAUGUCAAAUGAAAGGAGCAAAUCUUCAUUAUCAACAAUUGCCCAACAGUGAUAAAAUCCGUUGGAGUAGACUUGAUUGUUCGUAGAAACAUAGAAGAAAUCAACAUUCAAGUUGUCAUUGAACUUUCUCCAAGAAUCAGUAGUCAAGUUGUACAAAGCAACUCGCUUACCUCGGGGAGCGCUGAGGUCGUUAUAUUUGAAAUUUCCGUCCCAAAAUGUGUCAAUCCUAAUUACUUUAUACUCAUCUCUCUUCGAAUCAUAACCCAGACCAGCUACUUCAAUACAAUUUUUAUAGCUUGGCGGAUACUCAAAAGGGACGCAUGGGGAGAAUUUUAAAUUCCUUAGUCCCAAUGUUCCACAAAAGAACACCACCAACACUGUUCCAAAGACAAAUUAUGCCAUUGCAAUAACCUCGGAUAUCUAUACUUAUUGGGUCAUCGGGUAAAGGAAGGAAUAUCAAGAUUGGCAACAAGAUCAAGAGUUUGAUUGGAAAUAAAAGAGACCAUGGUCUUUCUCUCUAUAUAAUUCUCAUAUUUGAUGAGGAGACAGGUCCUGUUUUUACUAAAAGAAUAGUGGGCAGUAAUAAAUUGAGGGCUUUGAAUCAAGGAACACCAAGACUUACCAACACACCUAAAUCGCUUUAGAGAUUUGACAGGUAAUCUUGCCAGAAUAUCCACCACAACAUCUUCAGGCAGCGAAUGGGUGAUUGCUGCUGCAGCCAUUGAUAAUCUUCCUUCACGUGUUCCCCUGUGCGUAUGUAAACGAGAGAUUGAGUAUACGUACGCCACCUGGAUCCAAGUAAAAAAAUCCAAGAAUACUCACCGCCGAUUAAACUGCCAAAACCCAACAAAAAUCUCUAUCUCUUACACUUCUCCUUUACUGCCUUUUUAAUUUUUGAUAGUGUAUUUCACGUGUUCUGGGGAAAUUCUUGUGUUUUCGAAUGAAAUAGGUUUUUUUUUUUUUCUUUUUAAUUCUAGAUAGAAUUUGACGAAGGUUCUGGGUAUUAGGCUAUUUAGGUGGGUGUGGUGGUUUCGGUGAGCAAGGGGUUGAAAGUGGUUUGGGCUUGGUGUUCCAGGGGCUAGGAUGUUGGCUCUGGUAACUUGGUCGUUGGGCAUUGGUAUUGAGCUAUCUGUGUAAAGGAGAUGGGCUUUGCACUGGGCAAGGAUUUCGACGCUGGUGGUGAUUGUGGUCGUGCUUGGGGGUGUGCCAGUGGAUGAGAAGGCUGGCAGUUGAUGACGGUGGGUGUCUGUGUUGAGAAGGCCCGUGUGAGCUCUCUGUGUGCUUCGGGUGGUGACAACGGCCUGUCUGAAGCAUUGGUAGGUAAGGUGAGAGUUGUGUUAAAAAAAAUCCAUAAAAAAAGUUAUGGACAAAAGCGUAAUUCGUGAGUGUGAGCCCAAAGUUCCUUUAUCAAAACCCUUUUAUUAAUGUCUCAUGUUAUGGAUUAAGUUUAAUGGACGUUCGAGGUCCAAAAGUAAAAUAGAAAGACAAUCACUCUAAUUCAAUCUUGAUUAUUGUUUGCUUGUUACAAAUAAAUAGAAUGGAAAAUAAAUCCUACUUUUCUUACUGUGUUUUAAAAAUUCAUCGCACCAAGCGAAAAAAUGUCUUAAAUAUAUUGAUUCUCUUAAUCAAAAUUACUAAAUGUUGUGAUACAAAAGUUAGCUACGAAAUUAAGGUUUUACCAGGAAACUUAGCAAUUUAGAUAAACUCAACAAAACCAAAAGCAUUGACCUCUAUAAUAGCCAUAAAAUCCAUCUAAAAAAAUAUAAAAAUUAUCAUCUUCAUGCAAUAUUAAGUAACUCCAUCAAUGGCCUAUAUCUAUAUAUUCAUUAGCAAACCAAAAGUUCAUUUCACCAAACAAACUAGCACUACAGGGAUUUUUGUUUUUAGCGGUGUUUUUUUUACCAUUUAACGGCGUUUAUUAACACCACUAUAAGUUUGCGGCAUUUGCGAAAAAAUGCCACGCAGAGUGCCACCUAUUCACGCGUCGCAGUAAAUAACGGCGUUUUUGAAAAAAAUGCCUCAAUAUUAGCGGCGUUUGUAUUUGAAACGCCGCCAUUUUAGCGGCGUUUAUAUCUUUUAGACGCCGUUACUUUAGAGGCGUUUGAAUAUGAAAACUUGUCAAUAUUAGCGCGUUGUUGUAAGAAAACACCGUUGAAUUGACGGCGUUUGUAAUAGAAAAUGCCAUUACUUUAGAGGCGUUUAAAUCUGAAAACGCCUCAAUAUUUGCAGUGUUUGUAUGUUUUAGGUGCCGCUAAUUCAGUGACAUUUUUAUAAGAAAAAUGCUGUUGCUUUAGUGGCGUUUCUAUAAAAAAGCCAUCAAAGUAGCAGCGUUUGCUGGAAAGAGCGCGCAACUUAUAGUAGCGUUUUUUGCUACAAACGCCACUAAAUUAUUCAUUUAGCGGCAACGCCUAACGCAAACGCAGCCAUUAUGUAAAAAUGUAUUUUUUCUUAUAAUAAAUUUUAUUUUCAGUAAAGAGCUAAAUUUUAGAAACUAAAAUUAAUAUAACUUCAUCCAUAUUUAAAUAUACAUCUAAUUAAUACAAAGUUUAAUAAUUAGUAUAAUAGCAUUCAAAUAUUAUAAAUACAUUAACCAAAUAACAUAUUAAAAUAUAUGAAAUGGAUAACUACAUACAUUUUGCUGGCUGCCAAUUGAUGAAGAAAAUUUUUCACUUUGGUCACUAGCGUGCUCAACAACUUACUAAAUAAUACCAUACAAUUUUUAACACUUCAUUGUAUGCUUAUUUUUUGUUUAAAAAUUUUAAUAUUUACUAAAUAUAAUACCUAAGUUGACGGAGCACCAAGAUCAUUUCCUGGAAAUUGUUGUUGCACAAAAUUCAUAAGAUGAUUGAAUCGAUCAUGCAACUGCUGAAAUUUUGCACGCUCUAGCUCCAUUCUAGCACGUUCUUCUUCAAUUUUGGCACACUCCUAUUCUCUUUCUGCUUCCAUUUGUUGAAAACGUUGUUGCAUAGUUUGCAACUCCCCUCUCAAUAGUGAAAUGUCUCGCGAAGACUGGAUUUGCUGAGAGUGUAAAUUACGGAGAGUUAUGUCCUUAGUAGGCAGAUGGUGUUGGACCCAAUCCAAGGCCUCGAACUCGUCCAUGCCUUUCUUUUCCAGCAACUUCGAUGAAUAUCUGAUUUUUCAUUUCUUGCAUGUUGAGAGAACCUUCAGCUGCUAUUUCAAUCUCAGCUGCCAUUUUAUCUUUUGCUUUCGCUUGUGAAUUUGUCACAAACAACUAUCAAGUUUAAUGAUUAAUUGAUUAUAUGUUAAAAAGAGUUAAUAUUUACUUUAUGUUAAAAUAGAUGAUACAAAUUACCACAAUUUAUUGCAUUUUGACAUUCAUGUAAGAUUAUCUUUUUUUGUGUGUGUUACACAAAAAGUUUCGCACGUUCAAUUGUAUGGCCCUUCUCAUUCUCCUAUAGAAAAACAUAUGUUAUUUGAUAGGAUACAUAAUAACCACAACUUAUUUAUGCAUAUCAAUCAUGUCAAUCAAGUAUUACAAUACAAUAACUUUAAUAUUCUUUAUUUAUAUUUUAGCCCUGUAACAACACAAUAGUCUUAGAUAUACGCAAUGAAUAAAAUCAUUUUAGGCUUUCACACACUUUGAUCAUAGAAACCAAAUUCAAUUAGUUUCUCCCGGUUUAAUAUAAAGGAUUGAAGCCAAUCAAUAUGUUGAAAGCCAUCCAAAAUUUAUUUGGAUAUUUGCCUUUCAUAUGCAAAAAUAUUCCUUAACAGACAUAAUUGACAACUUUUUCUCCCAUAUCAACCAUAGAAACCAAGUUCAAUCAAUCGGACAAGCUUAAUAUCAAGUCUUGAAGCUAUCGAAACUGUUAAAAUAUAACAAUAACAACAACCAGAUAAUAAAGGUGUAAAUAUGCAUAAACAGUAACUUUUCAUACAUAUCAUCUGUGUAACUAAGUUUCAAAACUUUUGAUAAGUUUAGAUCAUGUAUUAAAAUAAUAAAAUCUAUUAAAACAGAACAAUAAAUGUUAAUUUUCACAUUUACCUUUUAACAGCAGAAAAAGUGCUUUCAUUGGAAUAAGUUAAGUAUCAUAAACUUACGAUUUCUUUUUGCUUUCUUGCAAAACUUUUUGAUCUACUUGUGUGGCUAUAUUUCUGUUGCUUUCUGCUACCAAUCCCAAUCUGUUCUCUUUCAUGUCAAAAAAAAUAAUUGCUUAUAUGAUAUAAAUACAAAUAUUACCAACUGAAACCAUUAAACAUUUUCAUCAUUUCAUUCUAUUAUAUGAAGUUAUAAACUAGUACCUCUUAUUUUCUUGAGAAUCAAAAUCUAACCAGUUGUUCACAUUGCCACCUAAUCACAUUACAGGGUAGAUUUUACAUCAUCGCCUCUACAGUAGUAUUUUGAUCGAAAUACUUAUUCUUCAAACUAUAUUUAUAAUCUUUCCAUUUCUUUUCCAAUGACUUAAACACAAAUGAAGUUGGUAUUUCAAGUACAAAUCUUGCCUGUAAUAAUACAAUAAGAAAUGUUUGAAUAAGUAAACAAAGUGUUAAAUAAAAAAUUUGAAUAUAUCUAAUUAAUUAUACUAAUACCUCACUAAAGUUUAACGCAUUGGCCUUAACUUCUUCUGGUACAUUAUGCCAUGUUUCAUAAUGAAUAGGCAAUUUCAUUCCAUUACGGGCUAGCAUACCUAGAAAUCCAGCCAACAAUUAAGCCUCUUCACCAAUUGGUUGCCUAUCAGAGUUUACAAAUACUAUAAUAUGUUCGUUAGGAGGGAGUGCAAACAGUUCCUUCAAAGUUGUCUAGCCUCUGGUCCUCCAUUGACCAUUGUUAUCAACUGCAACAAAUAUAAAAUUUAUUUGUAAAAUCACAAUACUUAUAUCAUUAUACGCGAAUUUUAAAAUUGGAGUAUAUCAUACCUGCAUUCAAAUUUAAAGCAUAAUCAAUUGAUGGGGUACUAUCUAAACCUAGACCUCCCGUAUUAUCAGAUCCAAUAUCAGUUGAAGGGUUAGAAGUGACGGAGUUAGAUCGGACUAUACGUUUAUUUACCUCUAAAUAAUGCGGUCCAUAGCCAACUUCUAUAGGUGCCGUAGAUAGUUUAGAAGUAAUAUCUCUGAUAUGUUUUUCUUUCAACCUAUUUCUUCCGCAUUGUAGCUUACCUACAUCAUAAAAGUGAAUAUAUAAAAAAUGUUAGUUCAAAAGAUAUAUAAAGACAAUAAUUAUACAAUAGUUAAUGUGACAUUAUUUACAUACUAUUAUUUACCGCAUUAUGUUUUAAACACUCGAAUUGCAAAUUAUAGGUGCAGGGAAUCAUGGUUCGUAAAUGGCUUGAGUAAUAUCUUCGCGAACCCAUUGAGUGUAGGUACUGAAGAUAUUCUCAUCCAAGUUUUGUUCAGCAAAAAGAUAACAUUCAGUUUCAUGAUCAACAUCAUUUUGGUAUCUAACCCCAUAUCAAAUAAGUCUCUAGGUUUGUUUUCGAAGAACAACAAACCAACCUAAUUCUUUCAGAUCUUCAGAGUUAAAUACUUGUUUUACUUGAGAUGAAAAUACAUAAGGUUCAUCGAUGAGUUGUUGUCCAGGGUGAAUUAAUUGAGAAAAAUUCACAAGUGUAAAUCCGUACUGAUCUUUCUUAAAACCUCUCGCACUAUUCACAUAAGCCCAAUCACACCGAAAUAAGACAACUUUCCACUUCCCAUAAUAAUUCAACUCAAUGAUGUCAUUAAUCAUGCCAUAAUAGUCAAUAUUUCCCUCUGAGGGGUUUAUGUUCCUAGCACUAGCAUAGCUAAUAGUUGAUGAAGUCACAACAACUCCUAAAUUUUAUGUACUUUGAAAUCUCUCAUGGGAUUUUGUGUGAAAUCUAAAUCCAUUGAUGAUGAAACCUUUGUAUCGUUUCACAAUCCAAUUCAGAUCGUGUGAAAGACACUUCACCUCUUCACUAACAAGCCUUCCACUACAAACCUAUAAAAAUGGGAUAAAUAUAUAUAUGUUAUUAAUAUUAUUUUUACCGUAAGCAUUCUAUGUAGAUAAAAAAAAUGGGAAGUAUGGCAUUACUUAUAGUUGCUCCUAACCAUUCAUGAAAGUUUUUAGCGAAUAACUUAUCAACCUCUUGAGGGUUUGAUUGUCGAUAAUGUGCAGGAUCUCUCAAAUUAUUUCUAUACUCACUAUAAAGCAUCAUGAGUUAAGUAUUAACACUAAAAAAAGAAACACAAUAAAGUAUGCCUAAUGUAAUGAAUAAUUUCCUUGCUAAACAACUUACGUGUGAAACGAUUCAAUUGAGUCAUGAUGAAAAAAAACAUAUCGAUGUGCUUGUGCCCAAGAUUUAUCAUCUAACUCCACAAAUUCAGCUAUACCUAUAGGUUGUCCAAAACUUUAAAAAAGAUAAUUAUAGGCCGAGUCUGUAUGCUGCAUACCAACAUUUCUCGAAAGUCCAUUAAAUCUCGUUUCAACAUCUUCCAAAUAACGAAAACAAAAUGUCAUACAUUCUUCUGCUAAAUAUCCUUUAGUAAUAAAACCUUCUGGAUAACGUUUGUUGUGAUAAUAAGACUUUAACCUCCUUAAAAACCUAUAGCAUAAAACAUUAGUUAUAUGUUAGUUUAAGUAGAUUGGCUUGAUAAUCAAUGAAAACAUAUUCAAUCUAUCAAAAAAUAAUACAUUUCAAUAGGAUACAUCCAUUGAUAAUAAAUUGACCUACUGACCUUUACUUCAUAUGGAAGGUGGAUAACCAAAUGCAUCAUAAUAGUGAAGAAGUUUUGAGGAAAAUCUUCUCUAAAUGGCAUAAAGUAAUCGCACUUCAAUCUUGAACUUUGUCAAGCUCUACCAUAUUCAUACAUUUCUGACAUAUAGAUUUAAAUAUGUUACUCAAUUCAAUUACCAUAGUAGUCACUUACUUUGACAUUGAUGAGCGUAAAGCAAUUGGAAGUAAAUCUUGCAUCAAAAUGUGAUAAUCAUGUGACUUCAAUGAAGAAAGUUUUUGCUCUUUCAUAUUCACACAUCUUGAUUUAUUUGACGCAUAGCCAUUUGAAACUUUGACAUUUUUCAAAACCUUGCAAAACACAUCUUUUUCAGCUUUAAAAAUCCUAAAACAAGCAGCAGGCAAUCGAUAUUUGCCAUUAGGAAGCACCAUCGAAUGAAGGUCUAGGCAAAUCCCCAUAUCAACUAGGUCAAGUCGACUCUUUAAGUCAUCUUUGGAUCUUCUAUUCACAUUGAGAAUUGUCUCGAUUAAAUUUUUGAAAACAUUCUUCUCUAUGUGCAUCAAAUCAAGGUUAUCGCGUAAUAAAUUAUAUUUUCAAUAAGGCAACUCAAAAAAAAUACUUCUUUUUUUUCAUAACUCAUUCUCAUUGGGGUCAUCUACUUCAUCGUCCUCUUCAUCACUUUGAACAUUAAGAUCACCAACUUCUGUAUGACUAUCACAAAUCUGCGUAAUACAAGGCCAUACACCUUCACAGAUGUACCUUACUCUUUUUCUUGAUGAAGUCAUUUUUUCAUAUAUGAAAUUAAUAUCUUUUAAUUUUGACAAGAUAUUAGACCCACUAAUGGGUAAAGACGAUCUCUUUAACUCUUCAGUUCCAUCAAACAUAUGUUUUUGAAAUCUAAAUCGAUGAUUAUCAUCUAACCAUUGAUGAUGUCCCAUAUAACAGAACUUCCUACCAUUACGUAACCAUGUCAAACAUGUCUAUGCAGCACAACAUGGACAAGCAUAACGACCUUUUAUACUUCAACAAGAUAAAUUCGCAUAAGCAAGAAAAUCAUUGAUAGUCCAUAAUAAAGCUGUAUGCAUAUUAAAGUUCUCUACUUUUGACACAUUAUAGGUCUUAACUCUUUCUUGUAAUUGCUUUAACUCUUUAAUAAGAGGUUAUAAGUAGAUGUCUAUAUCCUUACCCGAACUUUUUUCCUCAAAAAUUAUCAUAGACAAUAUAAAUGACUGUUGUUUCAUAGCAAUCCAUGGUGGCAAAUUAUAAGGAAUGAAUACAACUGGCCAAGUACUAUAAGAAGUACUCAUCAUUUAAAAUCGGUUGAAUCCAUCAGAUGCUAGUCCAAGCAUAACAUUUUGAGGAUCAGAUGCAAAGUUAGGAAACCUAGAAUGAAAUGACUUCUAUGUCAAAGAAUCCGUAGGAUGCCUCAAUGAUCCAUCAUCCGUCUGUUUCUUUUAAUGCCAUCUUAUUGAAUCUAUAGUUUUGAAAGACAUGUACAGUCGUUGAAGUCUUGGUAUUAAUGAAAAAUAGCGUAAAACCUUAACAGGCUUUUUUUUGACACAUACCUCAUCACCAUCAUCAUUUAAACUUUCAUCCAGGUUUUUGUCGACCCAACGAGAAACACUACACAAAUGACAAGAUUCUUGAUUUUUUUUAUCCUUCAAAUAUAGCAUGUAAUCAUUGGGAUAACUAUGAAUUUUCUCAUAUUUGAGACCUAAAUCCUUGAUCAUCUUCUUUGAUUCCUUACAAGAUUUAAGGAUUUUUACAAAAGGAAACAUUUCUUUCAUAAACUGUAAUAAUAAAGUCAGAGAGUUUCCCGUCCAUCCACAUAAGCAUUUCAAGUGAAAAAGAUGAACACAGAAAAAAAACCUUGAAUGCCUUGAUCCCUCAAAAAGUUCUUCAUUCAUCUCGUCAAGCAAUCUAUAAAACUUUGAUGCUUCUCCUUUAGGUUCAUUGGGGUAACGUACACAUAUCCCAUGUUCACCAAAUUCAUGCAUUUCAACAUUUGACUGAUUAAAAAAGAUUAGGAAAAUUUUGGUUAUGAAUGUUAAAAGCAUCUCGCAACAUGCCUUCAAUGUCAUUUGCCAUAAAGGGAUUAUGUUGGUGAUGGAGAGCCUUUGAUGUUGAAAAAAUUGUAGUGGAAGACCUUGACGGUACAGACUCUCCAUGAAAAUACCAAUUAACAUACCCCGAUGAAAUCCAAUACAAAUUAAAUGCUCAUAAACAACUUGAUGUAUUUGCCAUUCGAUAUUACCACAUUUCACACAUGGGCAUAAUAUUAUAUUAUCUUCACUUGUAUUCUUAAAUGCAAAAUUAAGAAAAUUUACCACUCCAUCUCUGUACUGUUGCCUGAAUCUUGACUUUUGCAUCCAACUCUUAUCCAUUUAUUAGUUGCUACAUUAUUAGACCAAAUGUAUAUAAAUAAUUAAUAUGAAAAUGAACUUGUACAUUUGCAUAGUUUACUAUGAUUUAAACAAAUUAUGAUAAUAAGAGUAGUACUUACACAAAACAAGAACUCUUUGUUGUCAAAUAAUUUAUCAGCUACCAGAUAUUAUGAUUGCUAAAACUCUACUGCUAACGUAGAUAGUACCCAAGAGUAUUUGUAGUUGGGGCUGACAUCAGGUGAAAUAAGGUGGGUUUUGGAGAAAACAUUUUUCACCAAAAAAAAAUCAUGAAUUGCAACAGCUGAAAGAAUAGUCAAAUGAAGUAAAAGCUAAAGUCAAUAAGUUAUGAAUAGUCGAAAUAGGGUUGUAAAAGACAAUGUUCGAAUACUAAAAGCAGAAGGAAAGGGAAAGUAAAUUGUACUUGGUCUGAAAAAAGAAAUAGUAUAAUAUUGAAGAUGAAGCUUAAAGUUGGUGAUUGGAUACGCUAAGUUUGGGAAGAUAUUAUUGGACAGGAUUAUGGAAGGCGUUGACUAACAAAAAAUGCCAACAAUAAUUCCCUUCUAACUAUUUUUUGAAUACAUUAUAGGUGCCUUGAACAUAUCGCCACACAAAUUAUAAAACUGUUAUUGAAGGCGUAUAUCCAAAAAAGACACCUUUAAUAAUUCCUACCAUAAUGUUACGUAGUUACUGAAGGUGGUUGCAGAAAACUAUGCCUUCAAUAAUUUUCGUACAUAAAAUAUCCCCUAAUUAUUGAAGGUGACUUUGAUUAUAAAAUGCCUUUAAUAUACCACAAUGGUAAUGGAAGGCAUUUAAUAGAAAAGGCACCUUUAGUAUACCUUUAAAUUUAAUAAUCCAUUACUGAAGGUGUUUGUUAUAAUUGAAAAUGCCUUCAAAAUUUUCCUACAAAAAUCUUUUGGGAAUUAAUAAAGAUGACUUGUACUGAAACAUGCCUUCUAUAUAGAGGCAGACAAAUUGCAUCACUAUUAUUGAAGGCGGCUUUAAUUAUAAAAUACAUUUAAUAUACCACGAUGGAAAUGAAAAGCGUUUAAUACAAAAGACGCCUUCAGUAUACCUUUAAAUUUAAUAAUCUAUUACCGAAGACGUUUGCUAUAACUGAAAACACCUUCAAAAUUUUCCCACAAAAAUCUUUUGGGAAUUAAUAAAGGUGACUUGUAUUGAAACAUGCCUUCUAUACAGAGGCAGACAAAUUGCAUCACUGUUAUUGAAGGUGGCUUUAAUUAUAAAACACCUUCAAUAUACCAUGACGGUAAUGGAAUGCGUUUAAUAGAAAAGGCACCUUCAGUAUACCUUUAAAUUUAAUAAUCUAUUACCGAAGGCAUUUGUUAUAACUGAAAACGCCUUCAAAAUUUUCCCACAAAAAUCUUUUAGGAAUUAAUAUAGGCGACUUGUACUGAAACAUGCCUUCUAUAUAGAGGUAGACAUAUAGCAUCACUGUUAUUGAAGGCGGCUUUGAUUAUAAAAUGCCUUCAAUAUACCACGAUGGUAAUGGAAGGCGUUUAAUAGAAAAGGCGCCUUUAGUAUACCUUUAAAUUUAAUAAUCCAUUACCGAAGGCAUUUGUUAUAACUGAAAACGCUUUUAAAAUUUUCCCUCCAUAUAUUUUUGAGAUUAUUAAAGGUGUCUUCUACUUUAAAAUGCCUUCUAUAAAUCGCCACACAAAUUGUAACAAUGUUAUUGAAGGCGUAUAUCUAAGAAAAAUACCUUUAGUAAUUAGCAUCAUAGUUUGAACAUAAUUAUUGAAGGCGAUUGCAAAUAACACUGCCUUCAAUAAUUUUCUAAAAACAAAUUUACCCGGAUUCUUAAAGGCAUCUUUUAUUAUAAAACUGCCUUCAAUAAUUUGAAAAAUCUAAAAUAAUUAAAGGCGAUUUAUAACUGAAAACACCUUUUAUAAUUUUUAAUGAUUAUAGAAGGCAUUUUUUUUAGCAUACGCCUUUAAUAAGUUGGUUGGACAAUUUUAAAGGCGUAUAAUUAAAGGCAUCUUUUUUGUAAUAAACGCCUUCAAAAAUUCUAAAUAAAACUUUCAAGUGCUUAUUGAAGGCAUUGUUCCAUGGGAAUGCCUUUAAUAAUUAAUUUUAUAUUCAUUUCCUUAUUUUGAACAUAGGAAUUUGUAGAGGGCUAGUACAUAGAAUGAUUAGAAGCUGUGUUUUUCUACCAAACAAACCAAACCCUUAAACAGAUUUCUAGCAAACCAUUCCUUUGUUUCUCCCAUUCGUCACCACUAACCUUCAACAAAUCAUUACUACGAUCCUCUGUUUUAACUAGUAAGUCUUUUUUUUUAGUUUACUAUUUUAUUUACACCUUCAAUAAAGAAUUUUUGUUUUUUCAGUUCCAUAAUGUUGACAUAUGGGUUUAUAUUUUUUUCAAUAACAUCACCGUUAGCAUAGUCAUCCAAGAUUCUAUUCCUAUUGCAAGUAUGCUAUUUUUAUGUAGUACGCAUUCAAUAUUGUGGUUUGGUGAACCUUGUUGACUGAUAUUGUAUUGUCGAAUUGUAUGAUAUUGAAGGUCUAAAAAGUCAUUUUUCAUGCUGAAUGGUUUGCUAACCUUGUUGUCUGAUAUUGUUUUGUUGAAUGGGUUUGAAUGGGGCUUGCAAAAGGGUGUGUUUGAUCACAUUGCUGAAUGGCGUGCUAAAUGCUAUUUUUGUACAUAGUAUGGUAUUGGUUGUAUUAAAUUAAGUACAAUGAUCAAUUUAUAAGAACAUUUUGUCUAAUUCGUAUAAUUAUGAUCAAUAUUGUAGAUAAUAUAGACUCCGCACAAAAUCAUUUUUCUUCUAAUGAGUAGGCAGAAGAAAGAAAUGUAGGCCAAAAAAGAAAGAGAAGGGGCCUAAAUAAAUAAAUCAAAGUGGCUGAUGAAAAAAUUCAUGUUGAAUUCAAUCGAAGUGGGUAGCCUGUGUCGAAAGGUGCUGCCAAAAUGGCUAUUCAUAUUAGAGCUAUUGUUCGUUGGAGGAUUUCAAUUAUGUAUAUUGAUUGGUGACGAGUUCCUAAUGAUCUAAAUGAUGAAAUAUGGCAGUCCGUUGUGGUAUGUUUAUUCAACUAUUUCGUAAAAUUUGUUAUAUGAUCAUUUAAUUGAAAUUCAAUGUGUUGAAACUAUUUGUGUUAACUUAUUUAUGAACGGUUCGAUGUCCCAAUUGAGUAUAAAAAGAUUGUGUUACAAUCAGAUAAAAAUAUUUUCAGAGACUUUAAAAGUAAAUUGACAACCUAAUAUAUUUUAUCGCUAACUAAAGAAGGUGAUGUUUUGGCUAUUCCACCUGUAGCAUAUGCAAAUGUCAUAACUGUUGAGGAUUAGAUAAAUUUUGUUCAAUAUCGACUUUUAGAAGAUUUCUUGAUACGCAAACUCAUAACCAAAUUAGUUCGAGUUUAUAAGUCUUUAUGUAAUAUAGCCUUUGAUCUUCAUAUGUGAUUGACAUAAUUUCUUGAUUUUGUAGAAAGUCAAAGAACAACAUCAGGACAUUCAGGCAAAACAGCCAUAUCACCAUUGGGCAGCAAGAAAAACAUAUGCAAAUGUGAAGUUUCAGCUUGUAUGUAUUCGCAUACUUCAUUUAUACUCAUUAAUGAAUAAUUAUGAACAUUCAUUUCAUACAUUCUGAUUCUUUUAUUACGGUAAUUUAAUAAGAAUCUGUGAGCUCAAACACAGAAGUUUUCAAAUGGGAUGUCUGGAAACAAGGACAUCUACAUAAGGAUGGAUCCUUCAUAGAUGAAGCAACGGAGGAAAUGGCAAAAAAGAUUAUAUGUAUAACUACUUUUUUUAUAAAAUGUAUGAUUAGCAUUGUGGAUGUAUGCAUGAGUGUAUAGUAGCUUGUGUAGAUUUAUUGACCUCAACUUCAUUAGUGAGCAGAGUGGCACAGUCGUGUAUCGUGCUAAUCAUGUGAUCUAAUGCAUGAAACGAACAGUUGAUUAUUAUUUGCUCUCGUAUAAUGCACAGUAAGCUAUAUUCCAACCUUAAUUACUCCAACCUUCUCUAUUCUAUGAUCUGAUGCGUAUUCUGAGUAUUUGAUUGUUAUUAUUUUACAGUCAUCAUUUGGUGCUUAUUGUGGUUGACACCAAAUCCUUAACGUCAUACCUUCUUAAUUCAGUUAAUCCAACGGUGAUGCUUAAUCCCGAUAUUCAAACUUUUAUAAAGAAGUAUUACAGUACUUUACUAUAUCAUAUAUGUUCUGUUUCUUCAUAAGAAAUUUUAUUUAUGGUAACACUAAUUUUUUUAUUUUUAAUUUAGGGUAAUAAAAGCAUUCAACAAGAAGGUAAAGAAAUCGAAAUGGGUGUCACUUUCUCAAAUGUCAAAUUUAUUCUUUUAAUGUCAAGUUUUUGUAGAUAUAUAUUUUCUAAAACUUGUCAAUUUGACUUUCAGGUACCUCAUCAACCCGAUAAUACUGAAUGUGGAUAUUAUGUCCUUCGUUUUAUGUGAAAGAUAGUGUUACAUGAUUUUAUGACCACACCAUUCAAGGUUAGUAUAAAUUUCAUAUACUCGUUAUAUAUUCAAAAAAUAAAAUGGUACAUUAUGUUCUCAAUGCUUAACAUUUACUUCUGAUAUUUUUUCUAGUGGGAGGGUAAAGAAAGCUUCACGGAAGAGGAGCUGGAUGAAGUCCAUAAAGAAUGGUGUGAUUAUGUUUUGUCAUUUAUCAAUGUUGAUAAACCUUCAGGUUAGACAUUGUUGGUUUAAUGUAAAUAUAUAUGGAACAAAUUGUUAUAAUGUUUUUAACAUGCCAUUUUGAAUAGCAACUUUAACUUUGUACAUUGGGGGUAUUGGUUUAAUAUUAUUGUUAUACUUAAUAUUAAUACAAAUGUGUACUGAAUAAAUUACUGAGCAUGAUUAUUUCAGAAAAGUAUAUUAAUAUGGCAAUGUUGUCAGUUUUAUUUUCAUAUGUGUGGUCAAUUUUUUGAUAUACAACAAUGUUCAUUUUGCAAAUUCGAAAAUGUAAUUCCUAGUAUCAAUAUAUAAACCAAAUGUUUUCUGGGCAUAAAUAUAUAACUGACACCAAACGUUUUUCUGAGCAUAAACCUACAACUGACUUCACAUAUAAAGUAUCAAUUAUGUUUUUUUCAUGCGAUUAGUAAAGGCGUUUAUAGCAAGAAAACACCUUCAAUCACCACUAACAUAAAACAUUAAAGGUAUUUUUUUACGAAAAUCGCCUUCAAUAAUCCCUCAAAAAAUUAUUGUCUGGAAUAUUACAGGCAUUUUAGGCAAAAAAAUACCUUCAAUAAUACCAACUACGAAUUAAUCGAAUGGAUUAUGAAGGGCAUUUUCCUGUGGGUACCGCCUUCAAUAAGCCCAAUAAAAUGUUUAUAAAGGCGUUUCUGGAUAUAGCCACCUUUAAUAAUUCUACAAUUAGAAUUUAUCAUUGGGAAUAUUAAAGGCGUAUCGAGCUAAAAACGCAUUCAAUCAUCGCAUCCAAGUUUCGUUAAUGGAAUAUUGAAGGUAGUUUUUACAAAACCGCCUUUAAAAAUAAACAAAUUAUUUACUCAUUCGAUUAUAGAAGGUGAGUUCAGCCAAAAAUGUCUUCAAGAAUCGACUCCAUAGUUUUCCUAUCGAUUAUUAAGGGCGUCUCUCCAAGAAAAACGCCUUCGCCCUUAUAUGAAAAUUUUUUUAAAGCAAUCUGUGAAGGCGUUUUGCCAAAAAAACGCCUAGAAUAAUCAAUAACAAAUUAUAUGUGCCUAAGCCCAAAAAAAUGCUAAAGUACAGAUCGAACCAACAACCUAACGGGAAUCAUCCAUACAAUCCAAACAAAUUGACAAGCUUAAUAUUGAAUAAUAUCUGAACAGAAUAAAUUUAAUAAGCCUCGAAAUAAUUAUUAAAGGUGUAUCUUGUAGAUAACGCCUUCAUUAAUCUUAUACAAUUUUUUUUGACGUGAUUAUUAAAGGCGUUGUCUGUAAAAAAUACACCUUAACUAUUCAUCAAAAAUUAAAAAAAAUAUUCACGGCAUUUUACUCGAGAAACGCCUCUAAUAUCAAGUAUUGGUGGCGUUUAUAAGUAACAAUGCCGCUAAUUGUAUAUUUAGUGGUGUUUGGAUAAUAAACGCCUGAAGUUUUAUAAAAACACGAAAGCUAGUAACGUUUGUAAGUGAAAGGCCGCUACAAAACUGUUGCUAAAAUGCCAUUUUGCUGUAGUGUAGGGACGAAAAGAGAAAAAAUAAAACAGUUUUCAAUUUGACGAUCUCUACGAAGAUUAAAAAGAAACAUGAAAAAAUAGAAGCCGAGUAAAUUAGGGCCAAAAGAUAUAUAGUUGCCACCAAGAUUUCUCCAGACUAAAAAUUUUAUUUGAUAGUUUUAGUAAACCAAACAAUUAAAGAGCAAAUAAAAAGCUGCAUUUAUGCCAAGAAACUAAAAAGUUUCAGAUUUGCAAAAUACCAAGUUACUUGCAUAAUUACAUGCAAAGACAUCAUAUAAUUACCUUUAUUCAAAUUAAUAUUAAGUUGGCAUUACGUUUACAUUUCUACCCUUCACAUUUUAUUGAGGAAAGACAAGCCCUAGUGCACAUUUGCACAUUUGAAUAAUUAACCAGAUUAUUAUUCUUUGAGAGUAAUCGAUGAAAUUAAUUCCAUGGUCAUCUAUACACAAUACAACCUCAUGCAAUUUAAAAGUUUUUUUGUCCAUGUUGCAUCGAAGUUUAAGAUCAAUAUGUAUCUUAUUCUUUAUAACCAUUGUAAUAGAUGCAUGCUUAUAUAUUCUAAAAUGAGUUGGAGUGAUUUCAGCAUUGGUAAUAACUUUGAAGAUGUCUACACAAUCUUUGAUAUCCAAAGCCAAUUUGAAGUAGGGAAAUUGAUUAAAAUUAUAUUCAUAACAAAUCCCAUGCUUUAUCCACUCAUGCCCCAAAAAACAUCAUUUGGCGUAAUAGGACUUGACCAAACUAACCAACAUGUGAGGUUUCAACAUUGUGAUCUAUCAAAGAAAAAAUUUUAAAAGCAUUAAUUGAUUUUAUUUGGUAAUAUGACACAAUGCAAGAAUGAUUACAUAUAUGACAGAUAACACUUAUUAAACUGACUGAAUUGGUAUUAUAUGGAGUGGACCUACAGUUAAUGAGAUAUGGUUUUGUCUUAUUGGUUCCCUGAUUCGUGAAAUUCGAAAUCAAAGGAAAAAUGUAUACCGCACAUUUAGAUGAUUGCAAGUUGAACGAGACCAUUGUCGUGCCAAUUUAAAGAACUGGUAAUUUGCAGCAAAAUAAUCAAUGUAAAAAAGCAAAAAGAAUGUAAAGAUAAUCAAAGACGUGGUUGCCAUGAUACUUGGAGAGAAAAGCAUGAAAGAAAAAAAACUCCAAUGCUAGAGAAUGAAAUGAUAAACUUAUCAUUUAGCUUUCAAUUUAUCCUAAUUUUUUUUACGUGGCAUCUACAAAAAUCAAAAAUCUUUUUUGAUGUGACAUACAUAAAAAUCAAAAUUUUACAACAAUCUUUUAUGCAUUUGAUUUUUACGUUGUCAUCAAUUCAAAAGCCAAUUUUAGUAAACAUGAUCCAACUAAAUGUCAUUCUUAUAAAUUUAUUGUUUUAAAACUAUCUUUGAGGUUUUUGAUUUUUGUACUUAUAUAUUUUUCUACAUAAAAUAUUUUCCUAUAAGUAACCUAUAUAUAUUGUAGACACCCAAUUUGAUCCAGGCCCAGAUCAUUUGGGCCUAGUCCAAAUGGGUGGUCCACCUUGUUUUUAUUAUUUUGUAUUUUAUAUUUUAUUAUUUUAUUAUUUUUAUUUUUAUUAUUUUUAUUUUAUUAUUUUUAUUUUUAUAUAUUUUUUCUUUAUAUCUUAUGUAUUUGUUAUUUAUUUAUUAUUAUUUUAUUUUAUGUUAAUAUAUAUAUUUUAUUUAUCUAGUUAUAUAUUUAUUAUUAUUUAUCUAUUGUAAUUUAUCUAGUAUUAUUUUUAUCUGUUAAUAUUUUGAUUUAUCUGAUUUCUUUCUUUAAUUAUCUAUUAAUAUUUUUUUAUUUAUUUGAUUUUUUAUUUUUUUUUCAGAUUUUUUUUUGGUUGGAGAUUGGAACAAUUUUGAAAAAUCCUACCGUGAAUGAGGAUUCAAUCAGAGUCCAUAUUAGAUUCAAUGAUUGAAUCCCAAUCCAAAGAGGAGUUGGGAUUGAUCAGAAACUCUUCUGAUCAAUCCCUAUAAAAAGACCCUCAGAUCAAAGGAAAAACAGAGAAAAAAAAGACAAGUACAGAGAAGAUUUAAAGGCUAAAAAGGUUUUGGUGCGUUUAGAACAGCUCUAGGAAUCGAUAGGAAUUUUUGAAGAAUUUUUGUGAAUUUUUUUUCUGGAAAUUUCUGAAAAAUUUUUAAAUUUCGGUUGAAUUUUCUGACAAAUGUUGAAUUUUUCGGUGACUAUUCCGGCCAAGUUUGAAUUUUUCGGCCAGCUGCUCAGUUUUCGGCAAGAAUUUCUAAAAACCAACCAACUUUUUGAAACUUUCGGCAAAAAAUCCAGAUUCUGACAAAAUUUUCAGAAUCCGGUGAAUAUUUAACCGAAGUUUUUCGGGUAUUUUAGAGAGAAGGGAGAGAAGAGGAAGGAAGAAAGAGAGAGGGAAAGCUCGGUCUGCUGAAAAAAUGAAAGAAUUAGCCUUUUAUACCUGCUGAAAACGACGUCGUUUUGGCGUUACUGUGCCAAUAGGAUCCGCCCAUUUUGAAAUCGGGCGACUUGGCUCGAGGGUCGACCCAUUUUCGACCUGCGUUCAACCCGCUUCUUCGAGCUGAGCCGACACUCCUAAGCCACUUCUUCGAGCCAUUUUUCUUUCUUAAGCUGAACCGAACCGAGCCGUAAGCCGAGCCAUUUUCAUUUUUUUUAUUUUUUUUAUAUAUUUAUUUAUUAUUAUUAUUAUUAUUUAUUUAUUAGAUUAGAUUUGUUUAAUAUUUUUUCUAUUUUUAUUUAUUUUUUUAUUUUUAUUUUCAUUUUUAUUAUUAUUAUUAUUUUCUCUUUAAAUAAAAUUCAAAAAAUAUUUUUGAGGAAAAGUUGAAAGUAUCAAUUUUCCUUAAAAAUAAAUUUUCAAAAAAGUUUUUUUUUGAGGGAAAGUUGAAAGUAUCAAUUUUCCUCGAAAUUAAAGUUUUCAAAAAAAUAUUUUUGAGAAAAAGUUGAAAUUAUCAAUUUUCCUUAAAAAUAAAUUUUCAAAAAAGGUUUUUUUUUAGGAGAAGUUGAAAGUAUCAAUUUUCCUCGAAAUUAAAGUUUUCAAAAAAUAUUUUUGGAAAAAAGUUGAAAGUAUCAAUUUUCCUUGUACAAAGCAAUCAUCUUUCUUUUUUCCUUGUACAAAGCAAUCAUCUUUCCAGCUAUAAGGAAAAUCUCAUGAUGAAAAACUCUUGAUGCAUGUUUUCCAAGAUAGCCUUACUGGCUCUGCUGCCAGGUGGUAUGUUUAGCUGGAUAGAACCCGCAUUCACUCUUGGAGCGAUAUGGCUCAUGACUUCAUCAGUCAAUAUCGACAUAUUAUCGAUUUGGCCCCUGAUCGUUUGUCUUUACAGAACCUGGAGAAAAAGGCAAAUGAGUCUUUUAAAAAGUAUGCCUAGAGAUGGAGGGAUAUAGCUUCUUAGGUACAACCUCCACUGACUGAGAAAGAGACCACAGUGCUGUUGGUUAGCACUUUAAAACCUCCCUAUUAUGAAAAAAUGAUAAGGAAUACGACAAAAAACUUUGCUGAUAUGGUAAUUUCGAAAGAAAUUAUUGAGAGUGCCAUCAAGAAUGACAAGAUGAAAGGAAAUGAAGCAUCUAGCAAGAGAGUCCCGAAGAAUAAAGAGACUGAAGCUCAAGCUGUGAGCUUUGAUAGAUAGUAAUUUGAGGGUUAUCAACCCUACUCACCACCAGGAUACCUGUCAUAUUAUCCUACUGUAAAUAACACUUCCCCUUACCCAUACCAACCAUUUGUAUAGUCACCUUACCCCCAAACAUAUCAAACACCUCAUAGGCCUCAAAAUACCAUAUAUAGUCCUAACACUCAGCCUACCCCAAGACCCUAAAAUCACCCAACUAACCCCAUUGGUGGUUCACGAGAGCAACGAACUACUCGUGAGAAACCUGUGUUUGACCCAAUUCCAAUGACUUAUACAGAAUUAUAUAAGGAGCUUUACAAUAGUCAUUUGAUUGCUCCUAGUAAAUUGAAACCCCUCAAGCCACUUUACCCUAAAUGGUACGAUCCCACAGCCCACUGUGACUACCAUUAUGGGAUUGCUGGUCACUCCACCAAAAAUUGCACUGCCCUGAAAUACAAAGUGCAACUGUUGAUCAAGGAUGGAAUGAUUUGCUUUGAUACGAAAAGGGUGACUGCACCGAAUGUUAGUGGCAAUCCCUUACCGAAUCAUAAUGUGAAUGCUAUAAGUGAAGAACAUGAGUGCCAUGUGAAGAAAAAAGUGAUAGAUAUUAAGACACCUCUCAGCCAACUGUUCGAUGUUCUAUGAAAAGCUGACAUGAUACAACUAGUAAGUCCAUAUAGCUAUCAUGGAACAUAUAUAGCCAGUAUUAGUUGUAAGUAUCAUAAUGGGGUAAUAGGCCAUUCCAUUGAAACCUGUGAGCAAUUUCACCAAGAGGUGCAAAAACUCUUGGAUUCAUAUCAGAUGAAGGUCUAUGAAGGACGAGAAGACUUAAAAAGUGUUGAGGUAUCCAUGACCGAUAAGCCUGCAAAGCUAUUUCCAAAGCUAGUGACAAUUCAUUGUGGGAACAAGCCAAAGUCAAUCAUAGACAAACUUAUUCCCAGGUCGGUAACUUUUAAAGUUUCAACUCUUUUCCUGUACAAGGAUGAUAAAGCUGUAACCUGGAGAUAUGACUGUGAUACAGUGGUUCAGAGGCAAGAAGAUGAUGUCUCCAAAGCUGACACUUCCAAUAUAAUUGGUGUAAGAGGUAUUACCCGAAGUGGAAGGUGCUACACUCCAAAAAUGUUGGAGAAAGCUCGAAGAGAGAAGGUCAAGGAAUGAGAAGGAUGGAAUAACCCUAAAGUAGAACUUGAGAAAGAUCACCCAAAGCCCGUAUCAGAAAGAAAAGUUUAUGAAUUCCUGAAGCUGAUAAAACAUAGUGAGUAUUCAGUUGUCGAACAGUUGAAUAAAAUGCUAGCCCAAAUCUCAUUACUAUCACUACUACUAAACUCAAAGCCACACCGAAAUGCCCUGCUAAAAGUGUUGAAUUAAGCAUAUGUGGCACAUAAUGUAUUUGUUGAAUAUGUGAAUCACUUGACUGGAAAUCUAGUCAUGUUAAAUCAUAUUUCAUUUAGCGAUGAUGAGAUUCCAUUGGAAGAAAAAAGAAAUGCCAAGGCUCUGUACAUCACGGUUAAGUGCAAAAGCCAUAUCAUAGCUAAGGUCCUUAUUGAUAAUGGCUCUGCUAUCAAUAUCAUGCCUAUGUCAACUUUGACAAGGCUACCCAUUGAUUACUUUCAUAUGAAGAAUAGUCAGAUGAUUGUGAGAGCUUUUGAUGGAACCAGAAGAGAAGUCCUGGAGGAUAUCGAGAUGCCUUUGCAAAUUAGGCCAUGCACUUUCAAUGUGAAGUUUCAAAUGAUGGAUAUCUCUCCAUCUUAUAACUGUCUAUUAAGAAGGCUAUGGAUUCACAUGGUAAGAGCUGUGCCAUCUACUUUGCACCAAAAGAUUAAGUUUAAUGUAAAAGGUCAACUAGUAGUGGUAGUUGGGAAGGAAGACAUGCUAGUGACCCAACCAUUGAAUACUCCAUAUGUAGAAACUAUCGAAGAAGCAUUGGAAUGCUCCUAUCGAUCUUUUGAAUUGGUUAAUUCUGUGGGCGAGGGAUUUAAAAAUCAACAUUUUUCAAGGAUAGUGAUGAGCCAAGUCAUCAAUAAAGGUUGGUAUCUAGGAUCAGGGCUAGGUAAAAACUUACAGGGAAUAAAGGAACCCCUAACAGUGAUAGACAAUAGCGACAGGUUAGGCCUAAGCUAUGAGAUGGCAGAAUGGGAGAUCAAGAAAAGGUCAGUCAGAAAGAUAGCAAGACUAAUGGUUAUCCCACACCUGUAUGAGACUUUCAGACUUGAAGGAUUCAUGUAUCCAGAUACAGAAAAAAGCGUGGAAGACGUUUUUGCCCAAUUAACCAUUUAUGCUAUUAAAGAUGAAGGGGAGAUUAAUCAAGAGGGGUGGGUUUGCCUUUGUCCAUUAGAUUAUGAGCUGAAUAAUUAGAGUGCCAUCAAGAUGCCUAUGACUUUUGAAACUCAUACAAUGUAAUUGUAACAUCUCAAUAGCUAUUGCCCAAGGCAUUGGGGUGGUCUUUCUUGUUUGGGCCAUUUAUCUUUUAUUAUUUUUAAUAAAAAUUAAGAAUGAUGCAUUUUCAUUCAUUUCUUCUUGUGUCUUCAUUAUUUCCAUCUUUCAAACACAUCUUGCUAACAUAUCCCAUUUCAUUCAAUUUCAGGUUUUUAAAUGAACAUGAAGAUAAUCAUGAUAACAAUCGAGAGGUUAGUUUUGAGAAUUCAAUUAACGCUGAUGAACUUGACAAUGAAGAGAAUUUUGAGGAAUAUGUUAUGCCUCCGGACCUAAUGAGAUUGAUUGAACAAGAAAAUAAGUCAAUUGAGCCUCAUCAGGAGAUAGUUGACUUAGUGAAUUUGGGGGAUGAAGAGAAUAAGAAAGAUGUCAGAAUUGGCACUUCCCUUUCAUUAGGAGAUAGACAACGAUUGGCAGACUUACUUUGGGAAUUCAUAGAUGUAUUUGCUUGGUCUUACCAGGAUAUGCCAGGGCUAAGCACGGAGAUAGUGGAGCAUAGAUUACCUCUAAAGCCAGAAUGUGAGCCAGUCUAGCAAAAACUGAGAUGGAUGAAGCUUGAAAUGCUACUAAAGAUCAAAGAAGAGGUGAAGAAACAAUUUGACAUAGGUUUUCUACAAGUGGCUAAGUAUCCAGAGUGGAUAGCCAAUAUAGUAUCAGUUCUUAAGAAAAAUGAAAAGGUAUGAAUGUACGUAGACUGUCGUGACUUGAAUAAGGCUAGUCCAAAAGAUAACUUUCCUUUACCUCAUAUCGACACGCUAGUAGAUAAUACGGUUAGACAUUUAAUUUUCUCCUUCAUGGAUGGUUUCUCAGGGUAUAAUCAGAUAAAAAUGGCUGUAGAUGAUAUGGAAAAGACCACUUUCAUGACUAUGUGAGAAACCUUUUAUUACAAGGUCAUGCCUUUUGGGUUAAAGAAUGCUGGAACAACAUAUCAAAGGGCCAUAGUAACACUCUUCUAUGACAUAAUGCAUAAAGAGAUCAAGGUGUAUGUAGACGAUAUGAUUGCAAAGUCUUGUAAGAAUGAAGAUCAUGUCACCAGCCUCAGAAAGUUAUUUGAGAGGUUGAGAAGAUUCUAGCUCAAAUUAAACCCAGCCAAGUGCACUUUUGGGGUAAAGUCAGAGAAGUUACUAGGUUUUGUGGUCAGUAAAAGAGGAAUUAAAGUUGAUCCAGAUAAGAUACGAGCCAUUCAGAAUCUGUCACCUCCCAGUACACCAAAGGAAGUUCGAGGUUUUUUAGAGAGAUUGAACUACAUUUUUCAGUUUAUCUCUCAGCUUACUUAUAAAUGUGAUCUCAUAUUUAAGCUUCUUUAUAAGAAUAAUCCUAGAAAAUGGAAUGAGGAAUGUCAAUAGGCGUUUGAUAAAAUCAAGCAAUACUUGUCAAACCUUCCAGUGUUGGUGCCACCUGUUUCAGGGAAACUUUUAAUUUUAUACUUGACAGUAUAUAAAAAUUUGAUGGGAUGUGUGUUGGGGCAGCAAGACGAGUCUAGCCAAAAGGAGUGAGCUAUUUACUAUCUGAGUAAAAAAUUCAUAGAAUAUGAAUCAAAGUAUUCCUUAUUGGAGAAAAUGUGUUGUGCAUUAGAGUGGACCACUAAAAGACUCAGAUAGUAUAUGCUCUAUCAUACCACAUGGCUCAUAGUAAAACUCGAUCCAAUUAAAUAUAUCUUCGAGAAGCCUUCUUUGUCUAAAAGAAUUGCUAGAUGGUAAGUAAUGCUCUUGAAAUAUAAUAUUAUAUAUGUGAGCCAAAAGAUAAUAAAUGGGGCAUUAUAACGGAGUUUCUAGCAGAUCGUGCUACUGAAGAGUAUGAACCAAUGAAGUUGGAAUUCUCUGAUGAAGACCUAAUGACUAUUUCUCAACUAGGAAAAGGAAAGCAUGGAGAAAAAUGUUGGAGAAUGUAUUUUGAUAGAGUUGUCAAUGCCUUGGGGCACAGAAUUGGGGUAAUUUUGAUCUCUCCAGAAGAAAAAUACUGCCAUGUAACAGCAAGGUUAAAUUUUAAUUGCACAAAUAAUAUUGCUGAAUAUGAGGUAUGUGUCAUAAGCUUGUAGGCUGCUAUAGAUAGAGGAGUGAGAGCAUUAAAAGUGUUCGGGGAUUUAGCUUUAGUCAUAUAUCAGUUGAAAGGGGAAUGAAAAAUGAGAGAUUCAAAAUUCAUUCCAUAUCAUAAGUAUUCUAGAGUUGAUAAAACAAUUUGAAGAUGUCCAAUUUGAUCAUUUACCUCGAGAAGAGAAUUUGAUUGCUGAUGCAUUGGCUACUUUGGCUGCAAUGAUUUGAAUUAAUGACAAUACUGACAUUCAGCCCAUCAAGCUAGAUGUUAAAGAUAUGCUAGCUCAUUACUUUAAUAUAGAAGAGUAGGAAGACGGGAAGCCCUAGUAUUAUGAUAUCUUACAGUAUAUUAAGGAUCAGCGGUACCCAGUUCAAGCAAUAAAAAAUGAUAAAAGGGUCAUCCAAAGAUUAGCUAUGAGCUUUUUCCUGGAUGGGGAUGUUCUGUACAAAAGAAGUCGAGAUCAGGUAUUACUGAGAUGCAUAAGCAAAGCUGAAGUGAAGAAAAUCAUUGAAGAGGUGCAUGAUAGAAUAUGUGAGGCACAUACUAGUGGACAUAUAAUGGUGAGACAGAUCAUGAGAGCAGGAUAUUAUUGGUUGACGAUGAAGAAUGAUUGCAUUGAUUAUGCUCGUAAAUGCCAUAAAUGCCAGAUAUAUGUUGAUAAGAUCCAUACUCCACUAUCUGCUUUACAUGUUAUGGCACCACCUUGGCCAUUUUCAAUGUGGGGCAUGGAUGUCAUUGGUCCUAUCACCCUAAAGGCUUCUAAUGGGCAUAGAUUCAUUUUUGUGAUGAUAGAUUAUUUCAUAAAAUAGGUAGAGGUAGCAUCAUAUGCAAGCGUAACACGAUCUGUGGUUUGUAAGUUCAUAAAGAGAGAGAUCAUCUGUAGAUAUAGACUUUCAGAGAGAAUUAUUUUAGAUAAUGUCAAGAAUGUAAAUAGUAAGAUGAUGCAAGAAAUAUGUGCUCAAUACAAUAUCAAGCUUCAUAACUCGACACCAUACCAUUCAAAAAUGAAUGGGGCAGUUGAGGCAACUAAUAAGAACAUAAAAAGGAUUCUAGAAAAGAUGAUCGAGACUUAUAAAGAUUGGCAUGAGAAAUUACCAUUUGCACUACAUGUAUAUCGAACAUCAGUUCGUACCUCUACUGAGGCAACUCUAUUUUCUUUGGUUUAUGAGAUGAAAGUUGUACUACUAGUGGAAGUAGAGAUCCCCUUCUUGAGGAUUCUAAAAGAAGUUGAGUUGGAAGAAGUUGAAUAGAUUCGAGAACGUUAUGAAUAGUUAAAUUUCAUAGAAGAAAAGAGAUUGACUGCACUACGCCAUGGUUAGCUAUAUCAAAGAAGAAUGAUAAAGGCUCAUGAUAAGAAGAUUCGAUCCCAUUACUUUCGAGAAGGAGAGUUUAUCUUGAAAAGAAUCCUCUUGAUCUAGCACGAUAGUAGAGAAAAUGGACUUCAAAUUGGGAAGGAUCAUAUGUGGUGAAACGAGCUUUCUUAGGUGGAGCAUUGAUAUUGAUUGAGAUGGAUGGAAAUGAUUUAUCCCAUCCUAUAAAUUCUGAUGCUGUGAAGAAAUACUAUGCUUGAAAUAAAAAAAUAAUAAAAAAAGAAAAAAGAAAUGUAAAUGAAAAAUGAAAAAAUGAAAAAAGAAAAAAAAAGAAAAAAGAAAAAAAAAAGAAAAAGUGAAUGAAAAAGGAGGACUCAAGGUGAAAACCCUAAAAGGGCAGUUUGAGUCAUAGGGGGUUUGUCUAAGUUGAAAACCUGAAAAGGCAGCUUAGAUAAGGAGAGUACAGCAAAUCCGUUGUCAUGGAGGCUAGCAAAUUCGGAGGAGCUCCAAGUUGUUAAAUACAUCAGAGGGUUGAAUUUUUAAAAAAACCUUGAGAUAUGUUAUCAUGAUUAUCCGAUUGUUCAUUUUUGGGCUUUGUCCCCUCACUUAUCCUUGUAAUUCUUUCCUGGCCAAAGUUUGCCAACACUUUGCUAAUAAAAGACAUUCUAUUUCACUCUUUGUGUCUUUUUUUGGUGACUGUUUCUCAACCAUUCUUAUUCUUUUCUUCUUAAUACCCUACAAUGGAAGAAAUGUACAAAUGCAUUCUUACUUUUUGAGUUUGAAAUAAUAAUUGAUAAAUGAAUAAUGGCAUGAAAGAUUUUUACAUUAGAUUGAAUAAGUCAAGAGUGAUAAAGGCAGGAUUGAGAUGUUCAGUUCCUGAUAAGGACAUUGAAUUUGGAAGGAGAUUUUUUAUAGAAAGAAUGUGAGUGGAAGAGAUGAUUGAGAGUUACACUGGCUCGAUCUUAGAAGAGCAGCGUAAUCUGGUUUUUGAAGAAUCAAAGGGUUCGGAGCCCAAGAAAAGAGCUUGAGAAAUUUGAGUACCAUAAUUGAAUAGGAGUUAAUUAGCCAACUUUUGCAUAACAUGCAUUGAAUUUCAUAUACAUUGCAUAGCAUAUACUACAUAAAUUCAAGAAGCAGGGGUAUUCCAAAAUCCCACAUAGAGAAGACAGAUGUGAAGACAUUUUCAAAUUUGAGUAAAAGCUUGUCAGGUAAGUUCCUAAUCCUUGAACUAGGAUGUUUCUUAGUAUCAGGGUUGAUUUAUAAGACCUUUGGGCAUAAUCUCCUAAAAUUCCUUUAAAUACGAUCUUCAACUCCUUUGGACAUGGUUAUCAAGGAGCAUUUUAUUCAUUUUCAAAGUCAAUAAGCCUCUGAUUAGAGAAGCGUUAUUUAUUUUUCAAAAUUGUUAAACCUCUGAUUAGAUGAGCCAUUUACUUUUCAAAAGUUGUUGAGCCUCUGAUUAGAAGAGCCAUUUAUUUUUUCAAAGUCGUUGAGCCUCUGAUUAGAGGAGCUUUAUUUAUUUUCCACAGUCGUUAAGUCUCUGAUUAGAGGAGCCAUUUAUUUUUCAAAGUCGUUGAGCCUCUGAUUAGAGGAGCUUUAUUUAUUUUUCAAAGUCAUUGAGCCUCUGAUUAGAGGAGCUUUAUUCAUCUUCAAAGUCGUUGAGCCUCUAAUUAGAGGAGUUUUAUUUAUUUUUCAAAGUCAUUGAGCCUCUGAUUAGAGGAGCUUUAUUCAUCUUCAAAAUCGUUAAGCCUCUGCUUAGAGGAGUUCUGAUCAAAUCUUUAACACAAAAAAAAGAAAAAAAAAGAGUCGAGUUGAGUCGUGAAUAGGUGUCUACGUCUUUGGGCAAUUUCUAUUUCACAGAAACUGUGCAAAGAGGGGCAGCUGUAGACACCCAAUUUGAUCCAAGCCUAGAUCAUUUGGGCCUAGUCCAAAUGGGUAGGUCCACCUUCUUUUUAUUAUUUUGUAUUUUGUAUUUUAUUAUUUUAUUAUUUUUAUUUUUAUUAUUUAUUUAUUUUUAUUUUAUAUUUUUUUUCUUUAUAUCUUAUGUAUUUGUUAUUUAUUUAUUAUUUAUUUAUGUUAAUAUAUAUAUUUUAUUUAUCUAGUUAUAUAUUUAUUAUUAUUUAUCUAUUGUAAUUUAUCUAGUAUUAUUUUUAUCUGUUAAUAUUUUGAUUUAUCUGAUUUUUUUAAUUAUCUAUUUUUUUUAUUUAUUUGAUUUUUUUUUUCAAAAUUUUUUUUUGGCUAGAGAUUGGAACAAUUUUGAAGAAUCCUACCGUGAAUGGGGAUUCAAUCAGAGUCCAUAUUGGAUUCAAUGAUUGAAUCCUAAUCCAAAAAAGAGUUGGGAUUGAUCAGAAACUCUUCUGAUCAAUCCUUAUAAAAGGACCCUCAGAUCAAAGGAAAAACAGAGAAAAAAAAGAAGAUACUGGUUGAGAGGAAAAAAGGCAAGCACAAAGAAGACUUAAAGGCUAAAAAGGUUUUGGUGCAUUUAGAACAGCUCUAGGAAUCGAGAGGAAUUUUUGGAGAAUUUUUACGAUUUUUUUUUUGGAAAUUUUUGGAAAUUUUCCAAAUUUUGGUUGAAUUUUUCGACGAAGGUUGAAUUUUUCGAUGAUUAUUCCGACCAAAUUUGAAUUUUUCAAUCAGCUACCCAGUUUCCAGCAAGAAUUUUCAGAAACUAAGCAACUUUCUGGUGAACUUCCGGUGAAAAACCUAGAUUUCGAUGAAAUUUCCAAAAUUUGGUGAAUAUUCAAUCAGAGUUCUUCGGGUAUUUUAGAGAGAAGGGAGAGAAGAUGAAGGAAGAGAGAGAGGAAAAGUUUGGUCUGCUGAAAAAAUGAAGGAAUUAGCCUUUUAUACCCAUUGAAAACGACGUUGUUUUGGCGUUACUAUGCCAAUAGGAUCCAUGCGUUUUGAAAUCGGGCAACCCGACCCGAGCGUCGACCCGCGUUCAACCUGCUUCUCCGAGCCGUUACCCUAGUCGAGCUGACACUCCUAAGCCGUUUCUCAGAGCCGAGCCGUAAGCCGAGCCAUUUUCAGGUUUUUUCUGUUUUUAUUUUUUAUAUAUUUAUUUAUUUAUUUAUUAUUAUUAUUAUUAUUAUUAUUAUUAUUUAUUAGAUUAGAUUUGUUUAAUAUUUUCUUUUUUCUAUUUUUAUUUUUAUUUUUAUUAUUAUUAUUUUCUCUUUAAAUAAAAUUCAAAAACAAUAUUUUUGAGAAAAAGUUGAAAGUAUCAAUUUUCCUUGAAAAUAAGCUUUCUAAAAAAUGUUUUUGAGAAAAAGUUCAAAGUAUCAAUUUUUCUUGAAAUUAAAGUUUCCAAAAAAUAUUUUUGAGAAAAAGUUGAAAGUAUCAAUUUUUCUUAAAAAUAAAUUUUAAAAAAAGUUUUUUUUGAGGAAAAGUUGAAAGUAUCAAUUUUUCUCAAAAUUAAAGUUUUCAAAAAAAUAUUUUUGGAGAAAAGUUGAAAGUAUCAAUUUUCCUUAAAAAUAAAUUUUCAAAAAAGGUUUUUUUUUAGGAGAAGUUGAAAGUAUCAAUUUUCCUCAAAAUUAAAGUUUUCAAAAAAUAUUUUUGAGAAAAAGUUGAAAGUAUCAAUUUUCGUUGUACAAAAGCAAUCAUCUUUCUUUUUUCUUUUUUUUUAUUUCUUUUGAAUUUUCUUUAAUGUUAAAUAAUCUGACGAUGAAGUCUCUACAAGUGAAACAAUAGUUUUCUUGCAUGCUCUUAAGGUGAGGGGAUUUUCUCAAUUUUGUGCUAAAAGUAUUAAAGUUAAUUGAGAACAAUUUCCAACAACUAACUACUUGGUAAAUUUUUAAGGCUUAUUGGAUAACACAAAAUUAAACUGGUACCAUCUUUUGAUGGGCAUUGUGAGGGUGCUAUAACCUUUCUCACACGUAACCGAACUUCAGAACCUUGUUCUGAUUAGUAGACCCGAACCUACUCUUUUAAGGAUCCUUAAACUUAGGUGUUCCCUGAAAGGAUAGAUUCCUUAGGUGACUAAUCGCACCUAGAUAAAAUAGAUUGGUGACGACUCCUUAAGUCAAUGUCUAGUGAUAGAUCCCCGGAUGUAGACGUUAUGACAUAUAUUAUGAAAAAAUCACAAAUCAUUAUCAAUUGUCAUUAGCUUUUAUUUGAGAAAAUCAAUUAUCUUUUGUUAAUUUAUAUGUAAUUAAUAUAUUAAUAUUGUUCUUUAAUUUAAAGAGUUUUUUCUUUUUCUUUUCUAAGGGACCAGUUGAGUUUGAAGUUUAACAUAGUAGAGAAAUUUUUAAUUGUUUCAUUUGGGUUAAAAGUGAAGUAAAAAUCGACCAUCUUAAUAACAUUCUUAUUGGCAUCUUAUCAUAUGUAUUUGUUUUCAUGUAUCUAAUAAUUGUAGUGGUCAAACUAUAUAUAGAGUUAUUAAAGUAAUUCGAUCAAACAAUAUGUAGAAUUAUUAAAGUAAUUCUAGGCCAAUAUAUGAUUUUUGUUGAAUUCUAGCCACUAUGUUUGGCAUAAUUAAUUUGAGUAUAACUCAACAUUCUUGAAAAUAUAUCAAUGAUCAUCAAUAUUAGGCAAGUAAUUAAUGCUAUAUAUUCUUCAAUUUAAUCCAUUAAUGUUGUAUAUUUGUAUGCGGAAUAUAUUGAAAAAGUUUGUAAUUUAAUUGACAUAGAUUAUGAGGCUAAUCACGAAAUGAGUUUAUAAAUUUAGGAGAUAUAAAAGUUUUUAAAGGUAAAUCACAAAAAACAUGGAUAUAAAUAAUAAAAAAUGAUAUGAGAAUUAAAAAAGUAGAUGGAAAUGUUGUUAUUGAUAAAAAUGAAUGAUGCAAGAAAAUUCAAAAUUAUGACCUAAUAUGAUUUCUUUUUUGGCCUUUAAUAUAGCCAACCUAAAAUUUAUGGAAUUUAAGACUUAAUUUGUUCUUAUAAUUUAGAAGAUGUAAUUGAGUUGAAACAAUGUUAAAUUCAAAUUUCAGCUCAACUUUGAAACUUAUGAUUUGAAAAUGAUUUUGGUUUUCUCAAUUAUUAAUAGGAUUUUAUCAUAUAAGCUUAAUAGAAUGAGCUCAAUUUUUAAUUUGAAUCAAGUUUUUAGUUAUAAGUUUCAAAGUUGAACUUGAACACGAUCUUAAGAAUGAUUCAACUCGAUUAAUUACACCUCAUAACAUAUAUCAAUCGGAUUAUAAACUUUUUCAAUAUCCCAUAGGAAUAUAUUAAAAACCACAAACAUUAAAAUGGAUUAAAUUAAGGAAUAUAUAGCAUCAAUGACUUGUCAAAUAUUGAUGAUCAUUGAUACAUUUUUAAUAAUUUUGAGUUGUAUUGAAAUUUAUUAUUCUAAUCAAUGUGAUAAUUAAUAAUGAUUUGUAUUUUUUUAUAAUAUUUAUAAGUUAUUUAUAGAAAAAUUAUUUCAUGCAAAAAAAGUGGUAAAACAACGAAAAACUAAAUAGAUAGUUUUUUUUGGAGAAAAAAUGUGUAGCAAUAACAUAAUCUAGUUGGAUUAGAUUUGCUGAAAUUGGGUUUUAUUUAUCAUAAUUGAAUUGAUGGAAAAAAAAAAAAUCAAAUGCAUAGAAGAUGCUCAUAUAUAAUCUUGUUUCUUCUCAUUGCACAUAAACCAAGUUACAAAACCUUUUCUAAGAAAAGAAAAUAUUUUUAUUUCUCAAAUAUAUAUAUAUAUGGUGCAAUGAAACAAUUUGAACAAUAUAUAACUUUUUUUUUAAUCAAAGCUCAUUUCAAUGACUAAUGUCACAUCAAUUUUUUGGGUAUUAGACGAAUUUAAAAACAAAAUUGAGUCGUCACCAAUAUUUUUUUUAUUAGAUGUAAUUAGUUACCUAUUAAAAGUUACCAUUUUAAUAAAAAUUUUAAAAUUAAUUAAAAUUUAAUCAAAAAGAUAAUUCUUUAGGUCUACAAAAAUAGUUUGAGUUUGAGAGUCGAUUAUACGUGGAGAAUGAUUAACACUCCCAUAGCACCCAUUUAAAACGGUAUUAAUUAAUUAUACAUUAUCUUUUGACUAAAAUGGUCUUAAUUUUGGUAUUUAAAAUUUAAUUAUAUCCAGAGAUCUUACAAAUCUUUGAAAGCUCUUCGUAUUAGAGGUAUUGAGACUCUGAAAUUUUAGAAUAUUAUGGUCAAAAGUCUUACAAAUUAUGCCACAGGUCUUAAAAAUUAUGCCCGAAAGUCUUACAUAUCUUUGAAUGCUCCUCAUAUCAAAGGCAUUGAAACUUUAAACAUUAAAAUAUUUUACCUGAAGGUCUUAGAAAUUAUCUUGGGUGCCAGCUUGACUAGGCUUAGUUUGAUUUUGGUGCCAGCUAGAUUGGGCUUAGUGUGCCAACUAAAUUGGGCUUAAAAUGCAAGCUAAACUGGGCUUACAUAUCAUCUAAGUGCCAGCUGAUAUAGGUUUAGGUGCCACGUAAACUGGCUUAAAAUUUUAACUAUGCUAGCUAAAUGGGAUUUAAAUAUCAUCUAUGUGCUAGUUGAUCUAGGCUUAGGUGUAAGCUAAACUGGGCUUAAAGUGCCAGCUAAUCUUGUUUUAAAGUGCCAGGUAAUUUAGGCUUGGAUGCUCGCUAAUUUGGGCUUAAAGUACUAGUUAAUAUAAUCUUGGUUUGAUUUGAAUGAUAGUUAGACUAGACUUAAGUCUUAUCUUGUAUUGUAUUUCAUCUUUUUCAUUCAUUUUUUCAACAACUCUUUAAUUUUUUGUAGAUAAUUUUUUUUUAACUUUUUAAACCUUGUUGACAUUUUAGUCUCUUAUCAAACUAUUUUUUCAUUUUGUCAUCUUUUUAUAAUAGACUUAUUUCUCUUUGUUUACCUCUCAAAAUAAAUACAGGUGACUUUUCAUAAUAUAAAUGCCAAUAUUCCUUUCAUGUAAAUGCUCCUACAAAUAUUUUUUCUAUGAUACAGAUGCAGUGAUGUAAAUGCAAAUGUGAAUGUCUUGAUUAUGAUGCAGAUGAUGUAAAUGUGAAUGUAUUUUUCAUGAUAUAGAUGUAAGUGAUGCAACUAUGAAUGUCUUUCUUUUUUUUUUAAUUUUUGUAACAUGCAAAUCAAAUGUCUUUCUCAUGAUGCACACGAGAGUGCAAAUGCGAGUAAUGCAAAUGCAAAUGUCUCUCUUUUUUUUUUGCAACAUGCAAAUCAAAUGUCUUUCUCAUGAUGCACAUGUAAUUGAUACAAGUGGGAUUUUUGUUUUGUUUUGGUUUUUUUUUUUUGUGUAGCAUGUAGGUCAAAUGUCUUUUACAAGGGUUACAAAUGUGAAGACUCUUUUUGUUUCUUUUUUUCUCAAAAAAUUUUUGUUCAAAUUUUUAAUAUUCACUCUUCACCAAUAAUGAUCUCAAUAUUUUGUACAAAAUGCUUGAAUAAUCUUUGAACUUUUCAAAAGUGGUUACAAAGUUGCCCCACAUAAACUAUCUUUGUAAUCAAUGAGAAAAGUUAAAAACUCAUGACUUUCAAAUCUGUACAAAAUUGAUGAUUACUAUUUGGAAUGCUUAGGGAUUGGGGUAAUUGACAAUUUCAAUUCUUUUUAUUGGUCGAGAUAUCUCAAAGAAGGUUCGACAAAGGUUGCAAAGAUUAUUCUUAAGCUUACAAAAGAGAUCAUUUUUCUAAAAUACUUUAUUUUUUAUUGAAAACAUGAUACUUCAAUGUGCAUCAAAACUAACCAUUAUUUUUUGAAAAAGAUUUGAGAUAAGAAAAAGGUUGAUUUUUAAUUUUCACUUUUUGGUGAAAUGUAAUGGGUACUGAUUCUUUAAAAUGUUUUGUUCAUGACCUUUUAUUUUGAUGGAAUAUUGGAACUCUAAAAUUUUUUUGGGGCCUCAGUAAUGGCGUUAGCUUUAAAUUGUCCUUUUUGGGUUGUCACCUUAGAGUUAUAUUUUCUAACAAUGAAAAACUUGGUAAAAUCUUACCAAUUAUACUAAGUAUAUAUAAAUUUUCAAGGACAUAGCUAUUCAAUUCAAGUAUCCAUAUUUGAUAAGAAUAGACUUUUUAAAGUAUAUAAUUCAGGCCAAAGUUUAGGGUUCUAAAAGAAUAGAUAAAUAGGCUUAAAAUAUAUUAUUCAAGGUUAUUAGGCCAAAAUCUUACGGAGCAUUCUCUAGAUGAAAAGUCAAGUGUCUUUUUUUUUUUAUAUAAGACAUUUGACUUCAACAUUCAACAUUCUUGAAUUCCAUUUUCUUUCUUUUUUUGAGAUUCUAACUGAAGCUUUAUUUAUUUAUUUUUUACCAUGGACUCUCAUCUCUGAAGUGUUUAUCUUCUUUUCUUUGCUUUUUUCUUUUUUGGAAGCAUCUGACUUUUAACGUCAGUAUUCUACUUUCUUGAAUUAUAUCUUUUCUUUUUAGAUUAUAACUGAAGUUUUAUUCAUUUUUUUGCCUCGGAUCCUUAUCUUCGAGGUGUAUGUCUUUCUUUCUUUGCUUUUUUUUUGUUCUUUUUUGUAAACGUUUUUUGUCUUUUUUUUAAACAUUUGACUCCACCUUUGGCAAACUACUUUUUUGAGUUCUUAGGAUUUUAACUGAAGUUUUAUUCACUUUUCAUCUUGGACUUUCAUCUUCAAGGUGCACGUUAGACACUCCCAAUAUCAAACACUUGUUUGGAAGUUGGUUUCUUGAAAAUAUCCUUAUUUUGUCCUCUAGUGUAAAAGAUGAUCAUUGGCCAAGUGUUCAUUUGGUAACUAAAAAUUUAAUAGGCUCAAAUGGGUAGUAAGUGGAUAAUUUUCUUUAUGCGAAGGAUAGAGAAAUAUGGUCAUUCAUCAUUUCAAACAUGACCCUUUAGUUAAAAGAGCAAAUUAUUUGAAAAAAAGAGAUAAAAAGGCUUCUUUUCAUUUUUUUCUUUAUUUUUGUUCUAUAACCAUCAAUCAUUGUUACUUGACUGAUGCUUCAUCUUAUUUUUCACUCAAGGCUUUUAUGAUAGUAAAAAUUAAGUUGUAAAGGAUGUCUCAAAUUUGAUCACAUAGUUUAUAGAAAGGUUCAUUUUGGUUCCAAAUUGUAUGGCAUUUUUGGUAAAAUGAGGGAAAAAUGUAUUAAUGCAUGAAACAAAUUGUCUUAGGCAAGAAGGAAUUUUGCUUCUUUUGGUCAAUGUGCCUUGAGACAUGAAACAAGGGGAACUUGAGAGAAGAAAGUUCAAGUAUUUUUCAUAUUUAUGAUGGUAAAAAAAAAUUGGAUGGUUCAAUUAUAUUGGUAAAAUUUGACAUAAAUUGAAUUACCAAUUACAAAUUUGAAAGAGUAUAUAGCUUGGUUUUUGAAAUUCAAAAUGAAUUUUUAAAAUUGGCCUUUUUUGUUCAUUGCCCAAGAAAAGAUUAUUAUCUCAAUAUAUCAAAUGAUGACAAGGUUCGCAAGUUGAAGUUCAUGCCCUCUUAAAGGAUUAUGAUUGGUGAGUGAGGUUAUUCAAAAGGAUUGAAGAAUGGGAGCAGUCAAAGAAAUGUGUGAAGGUAUUGGGUGAGUUUAUUUUUAAUAGUAAUCGUCAAUUACUUCGAGACUCCUUCUAUCUUUUAUUACAAAAGAAAACUUCUUUUUCUUUCUUUUUCUUCCUUCUUUUUCUUUAAUUUUUUAUUUUUGUAAAACACUUUUCAUUUUAUAGCUUUGAAAAUUAAUUAUGUGGGAUUAUUAUUCAAACAACUACUAUGUCUCUCCAUCUAUAUGUAUAUUUUUUGAAAGUUUAGGUUGCCCUAUUUCUCUAUAUUUUGCAAGGAUAACCUAUUUGGCACCAUAUCUUUAACAUGCUUGUAUUAUGCUAAAAAGGCUCUAGUCAAAUCAUUUCGGAGCAAAUCUUGCUUCAAUCUAGUUGGGCAUACUACCUUGCUACAAACCCAAUGAGACUAUCUUGAAAACAAUAGAGCAAUAACUUAUCAUUAUGAAUAUGGCCCAUCAUCUUUCAAUAGUACAUGGUGAUAUGUAUCAAGGGACAUUUCAUUCCAUCAUAGUUUUCAAAAUUUAGGAUCUUAAAUUUUGAUGGAAUGACAAGAUUAAGAUUAGCUAAGCUCGCUAGCAUCAACACUCGUAUAUAUAUAAUGGCAUUCAAUUGUCUUCAGUCUUUUUUCCAACAUGUCAUAUUUAUCUUUCAUUACUAUAUCUUCUGAUGGAUCUAUCACUCUUUUCAAUUUUUUUAAUUCUUUAGGAUCUUCCACAAUAAUGGGGUCAUAGGGGGUAGGCCUAGGAAUGACAUUUACUUGAACUGGAGAUAACCUGGCAAAAGUGUCAAUAUAGGAUUAAUGAGUUACUGGAGGUGCUUAUAAAAUGUGGGGGUCUUGAACAUAUGAAUAUGUGAACUUAGGUUGACACAAUGGUUCUUCAACAGUUAUUUUUGCCCUUGCCCCAUGUGUUUCAACAAUUCUUUUUCCUUCUGUCAAAUCUAUUAACAUCUAUUUUAAUUCUACCAACUGUCUAUCUAUAUUUUGUUGCAUUCCUAUAACUAUUUCCCUGAUCUCUCCUUGGACCUUUUCCAUUCUAUCCAUCUGACUUGUACUUUCAUUUUUCAUGAUUUUGGUACAAAUUCAAGUGUUAUAAGUAUGCAAAUUUAACCAAUCUUGUUUCUUAUGAUGCAUUAUCCUUAAAUCUUUUAUUAAUUACCCAAAGCUAGAAAUGCUUGAUAUGAAUUCUAUUAUUAAAACUUUCAAAAAUAUCUUUUUGCUUCAAAGGUUUGAUGAAAAUAUAUUCAUAAUAACUAUUCCUUGUCCUUAGUUGGCAUGAAAAAUAAUGAAUUGAAACAAAUGAUGCAUGAUAUGCAAGUCAAAUUUUAUUAUUAUUGUUGGAAAGGAGCUUAAGUUCCAUCCUAUAUUCAGGUUGACUUAUUUAAAAAUAUUUCUUUGGCCUCAAAAGUUUAAUGAAAGAUGUUUACAACCAUCAUUUUAUUUCACGAGCUCCUUUAAAUAGAGACAUCUAUUCAUAGAAAAUUCAAGUUAAGAGACUUUUUCAGUCAUUCCCAAAAAUGCCAAAGUUUACACAUCAUGAACUAUCCUAAGACUAGGGCCAUAAAGUGCUAAACUCAUUCAUACUCGUCCUUACCUCAUAUAAGAAAUCCAAAAGAAGUUGUCUAUGAUUGCUGGUGGGGACAAAGCUUCUAAUUUUAAAUUCAUUAUCUUUGCCAACUUUACUAUUGCUUACAGUACUACCUACUAUCUUAGCAUAGAUUGAUGAAGGAUUCUUGUAAAAAACUAACUUCAUUUUGGUGUCAAAUCCAAAUAUUUGACUUUCAUCAAUCUCUAUACCCUAUAUUUCAAAGACGUGCAAUCUUCUAGAGAAUGAUCCACAAUGCCAAAAUGGUAUUCAUAUCGGGCAUUGGGGUCGUACCAUUUGGAAUAAGGCUGUUUGAAAGGUUCAUUAAGGACAAUAGCAAUGAGGUAGUUUACUAAGAGUAGUCGAUAUAAAUUUAUGUAAGUCAUAGGUAUUGGGUCAAUAGGAAUUUUUCAUUUAGUGUUACAAGAGUUUUGCUAGAAAAAUAGUGGUAUAGUUGGUGUUGGAGUGAAUCAAGAAAUUGGGUUAAGAAGGUGGUGAUGGAAUAGCAUGCUAAACAUAUGGUUAUGAAAUGUAAAGUGGUAGACAUGAAUUCAAGUGUGGAAUUCUCAGAGGUUGUAUGAAAUUUCAAGUUCUAAUCCUAGGCACUUGGAAAAGAGGUAAAAGACAUCAUGAAAAGAAUUUAGAUGUGGGUUUGGACUCAGGAUAGUUAGUGAAGGUUGUUUGAAGCCAAGUGACUCCAUCUUGGAAAUCAAACUUUUGAAUUCAAUCAUUUAUGUGGCCAAUUCACCCAUUCUUUUCUUGCAUUCACCUAAACUUUAAUGAUUGUUCAAAUAAUCUAAUACCUUAAUAUGCUCGGAAAGGUCCUAAAACCAACAGAAGCCAGUUGAUUUUUAUUCGAUGGAAUCGAAAGUAACAACAAUCCUUGAAGAGCAACAAACUUACCAUGCCAUUACCUUUAACCAUUUCUAUUAGUUAAGCAAUUUGUUGUUUUAUCUCCUAAAGCUCGUGCUAAAAUUUCUCUUGAUUGAACUCCAAUGCACUAAAUCUUGCUUCCAAUUAAUCUCUCAUUUUUGCUAUUUUAAUUCCUACUAAGAUAGACAUUUUAUUUUGAUAUUAGACCAAAAAUUCUAUAUUAUUACCCUUAUUGAAUGAAUGUCACUAAACAAUUUCUAACUUAUAUAGCACACAGGGCAUGAUUAUGAUUAUGACAAUGAUACCUAAAGAAUGUAAUGCAAUGCAAAUAUGCCUGAGACAAUGGAUUUUCAUAUGUCUAGGGCCCCAACUGAUAAAAAUUUUUGUCAUCCUUGAAUGUGUAUGCAAGGAAUGUAAUGUCAAGUUGCAAGGAUGGUAGCAUAUGAAAUGAUGCAUAUUUUAUAAACCCUAACAUUUUUGAAUCCAUAUAUAUGAAAUGUAAUGGCAUACUUCAUAAGUGACGAGAUAUAUACCUAUGACUAAUGCUACCUACUUGUAUGAAAUGCAUGGACUUACUAUGUAUAUAAGACAUGUCUGUAUGGAAUGCAAUGCAUGUGUUGUGUUGGCUUAAUAAGGUUUUCACUGUUUAAAGAUAUGCAAUAGGAGGGAGUGCAUACCCUAUCUAUUAAGAUGUGUAUGGGAUGCAUGCGCAUAAAAUGAAAAGCAUAUACUAUCCAUUGAUGAGGAUGAGAUGAAAUACAUGUAUUAUCAUAAGGAUACAUGUACUACCUAUUAAGAUGCCUAAAAUGUGAUGCAUGUAGUACAUAUUAAGAUACCUAAAAUGUAAUACAUGUACUAUUUUAUUAGAAUGCACGGGAUGGGGUGUAUAUACUAUUUGAUUUUUUUUUCAAACAUAAUAAAAAUGUAUGUAAAAGAUCCAAUGAAGAUGUGAAAGACAAAACAACAUUCAAAUUUAAAAUUUUCUUUUUUCUUCUUUUUUUCUUUUUUUUUUAAAAAAAGGAAAAAUUCAAUAACAUACUUUUUUAUCACACAGAAUAAUUGGAUUCAAAGAUUUUUCUCUUUUUCAUUAAUUUUUAUUUGAGCAAUGAAUUCAAGCAAAAACCUUUAUUUUUGAAAAUUUUUGUUUUGUUUUUUUGUUGUUUGUUGGAUAAUGCUAAAAAAAAUUUCUUUAUUUUAUUUUAAACCUUUUCUAAAAAUGUAAAUUUUUUAUAACCACCAAAUGAAUGAACAACAUUUCAAAAGAAAUUUUUCUUUUCUUUUUUUUUAUGACAAUUCUUUUCUUUUAUUUUCUAUUUCUUCUUUUUCAAAAUUUUAAUUCAUAUUUGGGUUAUUUCUACAAAAAGGUGGCAGAUCUCUAUCCAAGGCUAGUCCCCUAAGGUUCACUAUAUGUUAAGUGGGGAUUUAUACGUCUAAAGAUUCUCAAAUUGUUUCUCACUUGCGUUUACACAGGACUUGUAAGGCACCUUAAUCUUCACCCAUUAUAGGCUAUGAACGGAAAUGGUUCCAUUCAAGUGAGAGUAUUUCACUUGUCAUUGCAGAGGGUAUCACCUGAUGAGAGUAUGGGUACUCUACUUCCUCCUAAAAGGAACAAAACACUGGCAUAGAGCUCAUACAUGAUAUAAAAUGUGUCAUUGUGUAUGAGAGAAAAUGACAUCACAACAUCUAUCCUACAUGCCCCACAAUUUAUUAAGAAUAAUAGAUAUAAAAUAAAUAAUGGACAAAUGACAUAAUUUAAAUGAAAUGCAUGUAAAUUUUUUAUUACUAUUGUUAUUUUUUAAAAAAAAUCAAAAUCAAGAGAAUUAAAGUUAAAUACCAAUUAAGACUAUUAAAUCAAAAUUAUGGAUAACACAUUUUUAAUUUUUUGGCUUGACUCUUAAAAAAAAUGACAUCCCUAAUGGAGUCACCAAGCUAUCAUAACAAUUUUUCAGGCCUCUGAUGAAUUUGAAAAUAAAAUAGAGUUGCCACCAAUAUUUUUUAAUUAGGUGCGAUUAGCAACAUAUUAAAACUUACCUUUUUAAUAAAAAUUUUAAAAUUAAUUAAAAUUUUAUCAAAAAAAUAAUUUUUUAAGUCUAUAAAAAUAGUUUGGGUUUAGAAGUCAGAUAUACAUGGAGAAGGAUUAGCACUCUCGUAGCGCCCAUUUAAAACAGUACCAAUUAAUUGUGGGUUAUCUUUUGAUUUUGACUAAAAUAAUCUUAAUUUUAGUAUUUAAAAUUUAAUUUUCUUAAUUUUCCUUAUUGUAAAAUAACAUAUUUUGAUUUUAUUUUUGAAAAAUAAACAAGAACCUUGCACAUUGAAAAAUUCUUGAAAAUAUUCCAAUACUUUAGUAAUAUUAGUAGAAACUUUCUUACCUAACGAAUUUUUAAGAAUCUCUACUCAAAAUUCUCAAAAAUCCUAUCUUUGACUGUUCAUAUUUAUCUUUCAUAAAAAUAAAGACAUACAUGUAAUGCAAAUGAUAAUAUGUUGAUGCACACAUUUUAUUUUUUUUAAAAAAAAUUUUAUUAGUUUUUUUAAUUAUUAUUUUUUUAAAGAAAAGAGAGAUUUUUAUCAUAUUAAAAAUUUUUAUAAAUACUUCAAUACACUGAUAUUAUUUAAAAAAAAACUUCUCACCUAAAGAUUUUUAAGGCAUUACUAUUCGCAAUACCUUAACUUUCCAUCAUCAAGUAAAAAUUUAUGUUCCAUCAUUUUUUAUUAUUUUUAUUAUUCUUAUUUUAGUUAAUUUUUAUUUUUAUUUAUUCUUUAUAGAAAACUUUUGUUUUAAAUUUUUUUAUGAAAUUUAAAAUUAUUAAAAAUUUAAACUUUAUUAUUAUUUUUUAAAAAAUUAAAAAAUUAAAUUUUAUUUCUGAAAACACAUAUGUAUAAAAUAAACAAUAAUAGUAAAAAGAUAAAUAAAUAAAUAAUGUAAAUAAAAAAAUAAAAAAAUACUUGAUGUAGAUCGAUCAAUGAUACAGAUCGAUUCGGUUCGUGCGAUCUAAGAGGUCCAUGGGCAGUCUGGAAUGGCUUACACACCUUUCAGUGGUUGUUGGUUAGCUUGCAAGUAGUUCACUUGAACUAGUCAAGGGUUGAGAGACUUUAAUGGGUAGGGUGCACAGACCCUAGAUCCGAGUCGGGGCUAUGCAUGGGUUUCAGCUUUCUAAAAUGCAACGUUUUGAUUGAUUUUUUUUUUUAGGUUAUAAAAGCUGAUUUUUUUUAAAUCAUUUCUUCCACUUUCUACCCAAAAAAAUCUCCUAAAUACUCUCUAAACCUAAUGUAGAAUCUAGUGAUCCCUAGGCCAACUGGCCACUUUCUCCACUAUCGGUAACUAUUCAUUGAUGCCGAUUUAAGCCCAAAAUACACCAAAAUGCUCCACCUUCUUUCUUUUUUCCUUUUCUCCAAUUGGAUUUCUCAAAAUCUAGUCCAAACUCAACAAAGCCUAAAACUUUUGGUUUCAAACCGUAAGAACUCCUUCACCACCAGUCAAAAGGCCACCAUUUUUCAGUGUACUUAUCCUCUCUUUAAAAGACACAUUCUCCAAAGAUUUAUUCUUUAAAUGCCUUUAAAGUCUCUAAACUUGAAACCCUUUUGGGACCUUCUUUUUUCUUUCUCUUUUUUUUUUUUAUUUGCAAGCUAUGACUAAUUUUCGGUUUUUGUUUUUUGUAGCGAGGCUUGGAGUUGAGGUUCCUCCUUACAAGAAAAACUGUGCUUUUUUUAUUUUGAUUUUUUCUUUGAUUUUGGUUUUGGCUGGCUUGGGUGGGGCUGUUUAUGGUGGGUUUUUCUUUUAGGUUAAUGGUGGCUAUUUGGUGGGAUUUUUUAUUCUAGUUGUUGGAAAUUUUUUGGCUUUGAUGGAGGUUUAGCUUUAGGUGGAGUUGGUGGUUUUCCCUUCUUUUUUAGUUCUGUUUAGGGUAACGAGGUAUUUACAAAAGGGUUGGUGCGUUAAAGUCUAGUACAUACAGUAGGUGUGAGGGUAUAGCCUUACCAAAGUAAGGAUAUGUGCUGGCUUUAAGAGGGUCUAAUGAGGGUCUUGGUGAGGGGCUAGUCAGGGAUGCAAUAAGGUGAAAAAAAAUGGAUGUUGGUUUUAGGCAUGGAGGUGCGAGUAGGCUGGGUGUCAUGAGCCAACCUUGUAUAGGGCCAUGACCGAGACUUAGGUUGCCAUGAGCCACCCAUGUAUAGGGCCAUGGCCGGGUAGACCCCUUGUGUUAGGAAAAGUGUCCCCAUUUCAAAUAUUGUAACGGUUACUGGUAGCAUAGCUCUAAAAUCUCUAAGGCUCUUUAGGGGGGUGAACCGGCAGCGUAGUGUUGGGCUGUCUCACCGGGUGCUAUGCGAGCUUAGGCCACCCACCUAGGGCUGCCCCCUGGCCCUGGUGAUGGUGGGAGGUCCCGAUGUAUGAUUCCCGUUUUUAAUGAAAUUCACCUCGAUUGAAUGUCCGAAUGUUGCCUCGAUGCGUUUCUUUCUUUCUUGAUGUGAAUGUGCCUUGUUGUGUGUGUGCUUGAGAUUGAUCUCGAUGUAUUGUGCCUUAUUGUGAAUGCUUGGGACUAACCAUGGUUUAUGGUCAUUUGUUCAGAUAUCGAGCUAUUGAAGGCUGACUUGGGUGGAAGCGUCCAUUCAAGUGCCGCACGGUCUAUUGCUUGUUGAGAGAAAGCAUAGUCCGUGACACGUGGUAUCAGAGCACGGUUGAGAAGUGCUAGAAAAUGGAUGAGAUGGCCACAAGUGGUGGACCGGAUCAUCAGCAGAGAAUUGAGGAAUUGGAGGCCACGGUGGCCACAAUGAAAACCCAUAUGGUGACCAAAGAUCGUGUGAGGGAGAUCGAGACAACCCAGCGAGAGUUUCCGAUACUCUCCACAAUGUGAGCGAGGAGGCUAGAGAUGCCUUGAUUAUCCUCCAAAAGGAGUUUGAAGAGCUCAGAGCACAGGUGAGCAUUUUACAAAUGGCUAUGGCUAGGUUGGGCUCGAGCUCGAUGAAAAGGGGGGAGAAGACCCAGGGUGCCGGAGCCUCGAUGUUAUGAGGGGGCAAGGGACGCCAAGGAACUUGAAAAUUUCUUGUUCGACAUGGAGCAGUACUUUCGGGCUGUACACAUAGACUCUGAGGAAGACAAAGUAGCAAUGGCAUCGAUGUACCUCAUAGGGGAUGCCAAGCUUUGGUGGCGCUCCAAGUUUGUCGAUGACGAGUGCCCAAUUAAGACUUGGACGGACCUAAAGCAGGAACUGAAAAACCAAUUUUUCCCUGAAAACGUGGAGUACAUGGCUCGAAAGAGACUCCGAGAACUGGCGCAAAUAGGGACGGUGCGAGAGUAUGUAAGGAACUUCUCCACCUUGAUACUGGAUAUUCGAGACAUGUCCGAGAAGAACAAGAUGUUCCAUUUUCUUGAGGGCCUCAAGCCUUGGGCCAGAACAUAACUACAAAGGCAAAAAGUACAAGAUGUUGCCACGGCCAUGGCUGCGGCUGAACGUCUCCACGACUAUAACGAUGUCUCCUUAAAGCGAAAAAAUCCCCCACCAGUUGGCAGUAGCUUCAACUUUGGGAGUGGGGAAAGAUGAUUAGGCCAGACCGACCCUUCAGUGGGGGAUCAGAUAGGCAGUUUUCGGUCGAGAUGGCACACAACCUAGAUCGAGCAACACAAUGACUUUCAAGCCUAGGCAACCGCUGGCUUGUUUUUUUGCAAGGGGCCAACCGGGUGGCUGAAUGCCCACAUAGAGGAGCCCUGAAUGCUUUGAGAACCUCAUCUCAAGAGUCGGCAAAAGCGCCAGAGAGCGUGGAAGAGAUCGAGGAAGAGCCAGCCAGGAUGGGCUCGAUAAAGUUCCUCAAUGCCCUUCACACCCAGUUGAACACUAUAAGAAAUGAGCAAAGUAGAGGAUUGAUGUAUGUGAACCUAAUCAUCAAUGAGAAAGCCACCAAGGCCAUGGUGGAUACGGGUGCAACUGAUACAUUCAUCACGCUGGAAGAAGCAAAGAGGUGUGGCCUUCAGAUUAACAAAGACUGUGGACGGAUGAAGGCGGUCAAUUCGCCAGCCUUCGCGAUCAGUGGAAGCUCCAAGGGUGUGACAACCAAACUGGGGCCGUGGGAAGGGAAGGUAGACUUUACGGUCUCCCCCAUGGAUGACUUCGAUGUCAGUUCUCGGAUUAGAUUUCAUGAUGCUGGCUCAAGCAAUCCCUAUUCCCGUUGCUAGCUGCUUGUUAUUCUUAGGGAACACCCAUGUGUGGUACCAGCUAAUAUUUUGCCAAAGAGUGGAAGAAAAUGAUUUUAGCUUUGCAAUUCAAGAAAGGGGUAAAGAGAGGGAAACCCUCUUUUGUGGCCAUGCCGAUCUACAAAGAAGGGUCAGAAGUAGAACCAAUACCGAUAGCGUGAAAAAAGUGUUGGAAGAGUUCAGAGAGGUGAUGCCAGAGACGUUGCCUAAGGUUCUACCCCCGCGACGAGCAGUGGACCAUGAAAUUGAACUCCUCCCAAGAGCAAAACCCCCUGCUAGAGCUCCAUAUCACAUGGCCCCGCCAGAGUUGGCCGAACUAAGAAAACAGUUAGAUGAGCUUUUACAAGUCGGAUUCAUCAAACCAUCAAAGGCUCUUUCGGAGCGCCUGUGCUAUUUCAGAAGAAGCAUGAUGGAAGUCUGCGCUUAUGUGUUGACUACAGGGCCCUGAACAAAGUCACCGUAAGAAACAAGUAUCCUAUCCCCCUUAUAGUAGACUUGUUUGAUCAAUUGAGCCGGGCCAAGUACUUCUCCAAACUGGACCUGAGAUCUGGAUACCAUCAGGUCAGAAUCCUUGAGGGAGAUGAGCCGAAGACCACUUGUGUAACACGGUAUGGUGCAUUUGAAUUCCUUGUUAUGCCUUUUGGACUAACCAAUGCUCCUGUCACAUUUUGUACACUGAUGAAUCAGGUGUUCCAUGAUUACCUAGACAAGUUUGUAGUCAUCUAUUUAGACGAUAUAGUGGUGUAUAGCUCCACGUUGGAAGAACAUCAAGAACACCUGCGCCAGGUAUUUCAAAGGCUACAGACCAUCGGCUAUAUGUAAAAAGGGAAAAGUGUGCAUUUGCUCAGACCCAAAUCCAUUUUCUCGAUCACAUUGUCAAACGUGGCCACAUCCGAAUGGACAUGGAAAAGGUCAGGGCCAUCAAGGAGUGGACAACACCGAAGAAUGUUAGUGAGCUCCGCUCAUUUUUGGGUCUAGCCAACUAUUAUAGAAGGUUUGUGGAAGGGUACUCUCGUAAGACCACGGCCCUCACGGAGCUAUUGAAGAAAGAGCAUAAAUGGUGUUGGACGAAUGAGUGCCAAGAGGCCUUUGAGGGAUUGAAGGAUGCUAUUAUGAAGGAUCCCAUCUUAGCUCUCCCUGAUAUUGAAAAGCCUUUUGAAGUCCAGACGGAUGCAUCUGAUUUUGCUAUUGGAGGUGUGCUUUUACAACAACAUCACCCGGUAGCAUUUGAAAGUAGGAAGCUGAGCGAAGCUGAAAGGAAAUAUAUGGCCCAGGAGAAAGAGCUCCUUGCGGUGGUCCAUUGCUUGAGGGCUUGGCGGCAUUACUUGUUGGGGUCGCAUUUUGUCGUGAAGACAGACAAUGCAGCCGUUAGCCACUUUCUCACCCAACCAAGGCUCACGGCGAAACAAGCUAGGUGACAGGAAUUCUUAGCGGAGUUUGACUUUUGUUUUAAGCAUACCGCUGGAAAGACUAAUCAAGUGGCAGAUGCUUUGAGCAGACGACCAGAGUUAGCAGCCCUCAGAAGAAUGGCCCCAAUGACGGCUAGCAGAGCCACUACAGGCAUUCAUAAGUUGAUUGGAGAUCAUCUAGGGAAGGACCCGCAAGCCUGUGCCAUUUUGAAGCUAGUGGAAGAAGGGAAGUCCAAACAUUUCUGAAAAGAAAAUGGGGUCUUGUGGACCAAGGGACCUCGAGUAUUUGUGCCAAGAGCAGGAGGUCUGAGACAGAUGCUGAUGAGGGAAUGUCAUGACACCCCAUGGGCGGGACAUCCGGGCUGGCAACGUACGUUGGCGUUAUUGAAACAAGGAUACUAUUGGCCUCAAAUGCGACAAGAUGUGAUGGAAUAUACAAAGACCUGCCUUAUUUGCCAACAAGACAAAGUUGAGAAGAGGAAACCUGCUGGCAUGCUUGAACCAUUAUCGGUACCCACCAAACCGUGGGAAAGUAUCUCCCUCGAUUUCAUCUCGAGCCUACCCAAGGUUGGCGAUCUUGGAGCUAUCUUGGUGGUGAUUGACCGGUUCUCUAAAUACGCCACAUUCAUUCCCGCUCACAAGUAUUAUACAGCAGAGGACACAGCUCGACUAUUGUUUAAACAUGUGGUCAAGUAUUGGGGACUCCCCCAAAACAUUGUCAACGAUAGAGAUCCAAGAUUCACGGGGUCCUUUUGGAGAGAACUUUUCAAGAUUUUGGGGUCCCAACUCAACAUCUCCUCAAGCUAUCACCCUCAAACUGAUGGCCAAACAGAACGGUUCAAUGGAUUGUUGGAGGAAUACUUGAGGCACUUUGUCCACGCCAACCAAAAGAACUGGCCUUCAUUACUGGACGUUGCUCAACUCUGUUUUAAUUCCAACAAAAGCUCUUCCACCAACAAGAGCCCAUUUGAGGUGGUCACCGGACAAUUACCAAGGCUACCCCACACUUCCUUGGAACAAUAUGGAGGAAAGAAUCCACGAGCAUUCAACCUCAGCAAGGAGUGGAAACAAAACACGGAGAUUGCACAAGCCUACUUGGAGAAAGCAUCAAAACGGAUGAAAAAUGGGCAGACAAGGGUCGUAGAGCUCAGCAAUUUCAAGUUGGGGAUUUGGUUCUUGUUCGACUAGUUCCUGAACAAACCAGAUUCUUGAGAAAGAGAGAUCGUAGAUUGGUGCGCAAAUACGAAGGUCCAGUAAGGGUCCUUUCCAAGGUGGGGAAUGCUUCUUACAAAAUCGACCCUCCGAAGUGGAUGAAGGUGCACCCAGUAUUUCAUGUGAGCAACCUGAAACCAUUCCAUGCAGAUCCUACAGAUGCUAGUCGAAGUGAGCCAACCAGAGCCGCCAUCACCAUGAAGCCACCCUCAGAGCGUCGAGUCGAAGAGAUCUUAGCUGACAGGAAACCAAGAUAUCUCGAAGACUAGUUCGGGAGUACUUAGUGAAGUGGGAAGGACUAGGCCUAGAAGAAACCAGCUGGGAGAGAGAGCACGACCUCCAGAGAUUUCAAAGGAAGAUCGAAGAAUUUCAAGCUACCAAGUCGACUAGGACGUCGAUAGAAUAGGUGGGGGAGGAUGUCAUGAGCCAACCUUGUAUAGGGCCAUGACCGGGACUUAGGUUGCCAUGAGCCACCCAUGUAUAGGGCCAUGGCCGGGUAGACCCCUUGUGUUAGGAAAAGUGUCCCCAUUUCAAACAUUGUAACGGUUACUGGUAGCAUAGCUCUAAAAUCUCUAAGGCUCUUUAGGGGGGGUGAGCCGGCAGUGUAGUGUUGGGCUGUCUCACCGGGUGCUAUGCAAGCUUAGGCCACCCACCUAGGGCUACCCCCUGGCCCUGGUGAUGGUGGGAGGUCCCGAUGUAUGAUUCCCGUUUUUAAUGAAAUUCACCUCGAUUGAAUGUCCGAAUGUUGCCUCGAUGCGUUUCUUUCUUUCUUGAUGUGAAUGUGCCUUGUUGUGUGUGUGCUUGAGAUUGAUCUCGAUGUAUUGUGCCUUAUUGUGAAUGCUUGGGACUAACCAUGGUUUAUGGUCAUUUGUUCAGAUAUCGAGCUAUUGAAGGCUGACUUGGGUGGAAGCGUCCAUUCAAGUGCCGCACGGUCUAUUGCUUGUUGAGAGAAAGCAUAGUCCGUGACACUGGGGCUGUGACCUUGACUUGUGGGUAAGUGCCAGUUCACUGGGUUGUUUGGAAGGUGGUUUUGACUAAGGCAUCACGGGGGUUUUGAACUUGGUGUAAGGGUUGUGGAGACUAGUGAAAAAUGGGUGUUCUAGAAAUCGGCAUGAUUUGGGGCUAUUGGUUCUCUUUUUUUUUGUGUAUUCUUUUGGUUUUGAGAGGUGCUUGUGGAUGAGUUAGGUUACGGUGUGGGAAGGUUUCUAUGGGAGGCUCGGCUAGUGAAGAGAACGGGUCCAGAAAGGUUGAUGAAGGGAACAGAUUUGUGUUGAGGACUGGUCGAGGGAUCUUUGUACUAGGCAAAGCUUGUCUUCAAAGAAAAAGAAUGGAUGCUCCAUGUGCCAUGAAUUCCUCCCUCCGUUUUAAUUUGUAAAUCUCCAUCAUAGAUAAAAAUUGUAGAGUUGGACAAAAAAUUGUAGUGUAUUGGAGCUGGGACUAUGACAAGGUAGUGGCUAGUGCACUAUGCAGAGCUUGAAAAUUUUGGCCUCACAGGGCUUGAAUUGCCAACCAUUAAUUUGUUGGUUUCUAUUUUAUUUUAUUUUAUUUUUAAUAAUAAUUACAAUAAUAAUAAUUUGAUUAAUUAAUUGAUUAAUUAUAUUUUUGUUGUAAUUUUCAAUUAAUUUAACUAAUUCUAAAUGAUAAUAAUAACAACAAAAUAAAAAUAAAAAAUGACUAACCCAAAACAAGCUUAAACAAAUCUAAUUCAAUUUAAUACUUAAACUAACUCAAAUAGAAACAUGUAAAUUAAACAUAUAAAUUAAAUAAUUAAAAAUUAAUUCAAAUAAAAUUAAAUAUCUACAACCCAAAUCAUGAAAAAAUAAAUAUAUUAUCGUAGGGUGGGGUCUAUAGAAUUUUGUCUAAUUUUAUCUAAUUAAACUCAAGUUAAGGCUGCUGGUGGAGGCCAACUGUUGGACACUAUCGUAAAGUAAACUUUUCAAGAGGUAUUCAUUAUGUAAUCUUUAAUAAUGCAUAUAAGUGGAAAAAAAAUAAUGCAUAUAUAUAGAAUUCUUAUCUAGAUAUAUAUUUGGAAUUAAAAUAUGUAAUUAUAAAUCUUGGACCAUCUAAUUCUUGGUGAAUAGCUUGCCAUUAGAGAUCAUGUAAGUACUCUGGCAACUCUAAAAUUUAAAUACCAUUUAUAUAUGUUAAUAGUUAUGUAGAAUGUUUAGUAUGAGAUGAUCAGUCUAAAAGUUAUAGUAAUUUGCACUCAAUAAUUACAUCACUUUGUUUAGUAACAAUUUAAAAAUUUUAUGUGACAAUGAUCUUAAAUCACUUGGAUAAUAAGAUUAUUGGGGAGUGAUCUUAUUCCUAUAUUAAAAAAUGAAAAAAUUUUAUCAUUGUGAAAAAGUAAAAUUUUUAGUAUUAUUUUUGACUAAUUUAAGUUAAUGAAAAAUUUAAUAACAUUACCUUAAGAAGUUGAUUAGUAAAAAUUUUAAAAAAUCAGACUUUCCAAUCACUUCUUUUAAAAAUAAAAGUUUUUAUUGCAGUUGAAUAAAGGUUUAUUGAUUAAAAAAUUUUAAUGAAUUUAUUUAAUAAUUUUUUUAGAAAUUAUCUUAAUCAAAAUUGAUUUAUGUUUUGUAAUUUUCUAUAAAAUAAAUUUAAUUAUUUUAUAAAUUAUUAAUUCAAUAAAUGUUAAAUUUUUUUUGCAAUGUUAUUUUGGAUAAAUAUUUUGUAUUUUAUAAUUUAUUUUUUUAUAUAAUACCAAACAAAAUGAUUUAAAAUUAAUAGUAAUAUAUAAUAUUGGACCAAAUAUGGUAAUUUAAUAUCACUGAUAAUCAAAUCACUUUGAUAAUUUUAUCACAAUGAUAAUUAAAUUAUCAUGUUAAUUUUAAAAAUGAUACUAAACACUAACAUAAUGACUCGUACAAUUAUUUGGCAAAUUUAGAUGGAUGCUUCACUUGAUUAAUGUGCUACACUUUUGAAUAUAGUCAGAUAUGUGGAGCAACAAAUUAUUCCUUUAAUUAACAUCACAAUUACAUUAACAAAGAAAACUCUUUUAUUCCAAAAGAAAUUAAUCAAAGUUAAUCUGUUUACUCUUAUCACCAAAUUAAGAAAUCAGAUUGAAAGGAUGAAAUUAUUGUUUUUAAUAUAGUUUAUUCAUAGUGAAGUAUACCAUUUUAUUGUUUGAAAUGACUUAGGAUUUCUCAUUAUCAAUAGCAUUAUUACCAUAUAUAACCCAAUUAAUUGAUUCACCUCAUUGCUUGCGUCAAUAGUGAUGGCUAAUAAAUCCAACUUUUCCAGUUGUUUUUGGACUCCCUACUAAGAUGAAAAGCAGUCUUCAAGUGUAAUUGAUUCUCUAAACCAAAAUUACUAAAGGUUGCAAACGCUACCUACAAAUUCAAGUUUUACCCACGAAAUUACAAACAUCAAGAGCCUUCAUCUGGUAUUUAUUAGCAACCAAAAGUUCAUUUCACCAAACAAACUAGGGACAAAAGCAAAGAAAAAAAAGAGACAAUUUUUAGUUUUAUAAUUCCAGGUUCUAAAAAUAUUAAAUUUAUAUUAAAAAUAAUUCUCUUAUUCAAUACAAUUAGAUUAAAGUUGUCCCGGCUGAAAUUUGGUCUUUAAUUUAUAGAUAAAUCUGUUUUGAGAAUAAUUUUAAUUUGAAAGUUGAUUGUGGAAGUAAUGUAUAUACGUGGGGUUAGUUUUGGGAGGAAUGCUUGCCUAUGGGGCUAAAAAGGUCUUGAUGAUGGUUCGUUAUAAUUCUCAUAAAAUAAUAAUUCGGACUGAGCCUUAGCUCGAUUGUAAUCCAAGGAAAAGUAAUUUUAUACAUAGUGCAAUUGUAAGGUAUUCUUAUUCGAAAAUUUACUUUGAUUCUCUAAAGCAUUAUUACCCUGCAUAGUGAUAAGCGAAUUUCUUGAUUCACUUAUGAAGUAUAGUAAAUAAAUAUUAAACAACUCUCUAUCAAAUUACUUACGGUUGCAAAACUAAUUAUAAAGUUCAUGUUUUAUCACGAAAUUUGGCAUAUAGACAACUGAACAAAAUCAGAAAAGGCCAAAGUUAGAUACUAAUUAAGCACCACCAGCAAUUUUUUUUAAUCAAAGCCAUCAAACUUUAAACAUAAAACAAAAGAAAAUAGAUGUAUUAACUAAGAAAAAUUAGGUAUAACCAAGAAAUUUGUACUUAAUCCCCCAAUUUAUUCGAAAACAACAAAACCUGUUGUACUGUUUAUAUUGUCAAGAUGCACAUGUGAGCUUCCUUUAAUCAAAUUGGCUCUUUUCUUUGAACUUCAGGUAGCAUUGAACCUUGUAAUGGCCAUGAAAUCCAUCUAAAAAUCACUGACGUUACCAUCUUAAUGUGAUAGCAAGAAACUCCAUUGGCCUUCAUCUAUAUAUUCAUUAAAAACCAGACUGAAAAUUAAAUGCCAUGUAAGAAAAAAUAAAAAUUAGAGAAGAAAGUCCAACAGAUGCUUCUCAAUACAAAGGUAACAACACAGUUUAUCUUGAUAGUAAAAGGUUGAACAUUGAAUAAAAGCAUAACUAAAUUGUAAGUAUCUGCAAAUGAAAAUCAAAGGUUGAAUGCAGUUCCUCCCCUGAGAGAAACCAGGCUCUCUGCAUAAUUGCCAGCUCUAAGGCAAGCCCUAGAAAUUGGAGUGUAUUUAUUAAAUGCUAAUCACUGUGAUUUUGAUACUGAUCACUUCAUAUCAAACACUCUCCAAAUGAAAAGCACGUCUUCAAUAUAUUGAUUCUCUAAAUCAAUAUUCCUAAAUGUUGCAAAGUUAACUAUGAAUUCAAGUUUUACAUGAAAUUCGCAAUCUAAUAAACUCACAAAACCAAAAAGCACUGAUCUCUAUAAUAGCAUAAAUCCAUCUACAAAAUGCAGACAUUACUUCUUCAUGCAAUAUCAAGUAACUCAUCAAUGGCCUAUUCUAUAUAUUCAUUAGCAAACCAAAGUUCAUAUCACCAAACAAACUACGGACGAAAGGAGAAAAAAUAAACAAUUUUUAAUUUGAUGAUCUCUACGAAGAUUAAAGAGAAACAUGGAAAAAUUGGAAGCCAAGUGAAUUAGGGCCAAAAGAUAUAUAAUUGCCACCGAGAUAUCUCCAAACCGAAAAUUCUAUUUGAUAGUUUUAUUACACCAAACAAGAGCCAAUAAAAGGCUGCAUUUAUUGCAAGAAACUAAAAAGCUUCCGACUUGUAAAAUACUAAGUUACUUGCAUAACUAUAUGCAAAGACAUCAUAUAAUUACCUAAUUCAAAUUGACACCCUCCACAUUUUAUUAAGGAUAGAUAAACCCUGGCACAUUUUUACAUAAAAAAACUGGAUUAUCCGUGCUUUGAGGGCAAUCGAUGAAGUUAAUUCCAUGGUCAUCCAUACACAAUACAACCUCAUGCAAUUGAAUGUUAUUGUUGUACUUGUUGCAUCGAAGUUCAGGAUCAACAUGUAUCUCAUUCUUUAUAACCCUCGUAAUAAGUUGCCAAGAAUAUGUUUUAGAAUAAGUCCGAGUGAUUCCAGCAUUGAUAAGCACUUUGAAGAUAUCCACUCGAUCCUUGCUAUCUAAAGUCAAUUUGAAGUAGGAAAAUUGAUCAAAAUUAUAUUCGGAACAGGUCCCAUGCGUUUUCCACUUGUGCUCCCAAAAAUAUCAAUUUGUCGUAAUUAGGCUUGGCCAACUUACCAUCAUGCGUGGCCUUAACAUUGUGAUCUAUCAAGGAAAAAAAUUUAAAAACAUUAAUUGAUAUUGGAUUUAUAUUUGAUGUACUAUCAGUGUAUAAAUUAUAUAUAUUAUCAAUGAAUAGAAUGAUGCCCUAUUAUUAAUGAAGUGAAUCAAAUGAUACCACAUUAUAAUGAGUAAAUUUUUUUAAAAAAAUUAAUUUUUGUAUAUUCAUUUUAAGGGCUAAUAUUUACUAAUAAUAAAAUGACAUAAUUUUAUUUAUUGACAGUGUAUAAAAUUUAUAUAUUUACAGUAUAUCAAAUACAAACUCAUUGAUAUUACUUAAUAAUAUAACAUAAUGUAGGAAUGAUUAUUAAUAUGAUAAAUAUUGCUCAUUAAACUUACCAAUUUGGGAUCAUAUGGAGUGUUCCCACAAUUGACGGGAUAUGGCCUUGUCUUAUUAGUGCCCCAAAGACCAUGAAUAGUAAAGUUUAAAGUCGGAGGGACAAACGGACACUUUACAGCAUUGCAGGUUGAGGGAGGCCAUUGUUCUACCAGUUUAAAGAACUGGUAAGUUGCAACAGAAUAAUGAAUGUAAAAGAACAAAAGAAAAGUGAAAAUAAUCGAAGUUGUGGUCGGCAUGAUACGUCUAGAAACAAGCAGGAAAAAGAACCUCGGAAUGGUAGAGAAUGAAGUUUACACUUAGAUUCAAUAUAUACUAACAAGAGAGGACCAAGGAAUUAUCAAUUCAAGACAGCUGAGAUAGGAAUUUAAUUUAUACUAACAUGAGAGGACGGAGGAAUUGUCAAUACAAGACAGCUGGGAUAGUUGCAACAGAAUUAGUUCGACUCAAAAGCACAAGAAAUUAAUAAGCCAAGAGCAAUUAAUUGAAUGCUGGUGGGACCUUCUUGAAUUAAUUGGUCAUUUAAAAUAUUGAUUUUGAUUCCUCAAGAAAACAAUAUUGAUUUUGAUUCCCUAAGAAAGCAAUGUUAAUUUUGACUUGGUUCCCAAAUAUAGUUGAUAUUGUUUUUUAAUUUGCAACAUUUUAAUUACUUUCAUCAGCUCCUUCACCCAUUAUUUUGUUUAUUGGACCGUAUGUGAUAUGCGUUUAAAUAAUUAUUAUUUAACUUUUACGUUUCUUUAAUUUACAUUUUAUUAAACAUUUUGGGGGAAUGCUUCCGCCAGCUGAAUUAUUAAAGAGCCACGUUACCCCCAUUUUUAAAGUUCAGACUGGUAACUUACAAUAGCAUGUUACUCUUCUCAAAGUUAUUUAUUUUAUUUUCAUUUGUUGUCUGAUAGAUUGACAGUUUAUGUUAUCUCUUUCGCUCUUGAUUGCAUCUUCUUUCACAACUCUCUCUUAAAAUAACCACUAUUCAGUUGCUAAUCAAGAAAGACACAUGCUUAUGUAUAAAAAAAUAAAAGAAAAAUCUAAGCUUUAAUUCCUUUUCCAAUAAAAACUCAACAAAAUUAUUGAUUCUCUCUCAAAAAUUUCUUUACAAUCGGCCUUUAAACUAUAAGCUCAUCUUCUCUCUUUCUGUUUUUUUUUUUGUCACUUUUUCAAAAAUUGUUACUUUCUGCUUGAUUCCUUGUAUUUUUGCUGGGUUUUCAGAGAUAAAAGUAUAUUUUAGGAGUUUUGCUUUUUCAUUUUUUAAUUUAAAAAAUAUUAAUCGACUAGAAAAGAAGAUUGAUGUUGACAUGGUUUAUGGUUGGCGCCUUUCCAAGGUUGCUACUUCUUAUAGCAAGCCAUAUGUUCUCUGAGAGAAAAAGUUAGCAAAACUCCACUUCUAUUUCAAUGACUCUACCAGCAGCAAAACACCAUUGCCUUCAACAACACAUCGAUAUACUCGAUAACGUUCAUAUUUGGCAAGUCAUUAAUGCUAUAUAUUGUCCAAUUUAAUCCUUUUUAGUAUUUGUGGUUUAAAUAUUUGGAUGCAAAAAGUAUUGAAAGAGUUUAUUAUUUGAUUUAUAUAAUCAAGUUGAGUUGAAAUAUUGUUAAUCUUAAGCUUAAAUUAAACUUUAAAACUUGUGAUUUGAAAAUAAUUUUGACUUUCUUAAUUAUCAAUAGCAUUAUUAUCAUAUGAGUUUAAUCAAAUGAGUUCAAUUUCUAACUUAAAUCACUUUUUGAGUUAUAAGUUUCAAAAUUGAACUAAAAAAAUUAAACAUUAAUACACGUCGCGUGUACCAAAAAGCAUUCCAACCAUUAUGCAUUAUUGAUUUUUAAUGCAAAUUAGCAUAUUUUUUAGUGGGAUUUACAAGUUGUAAGAGAGAAAGAAAAUGACAAUCAAUUUGAAAGUUCAUUAUCAGCACAAAGUUAUCUAUACUGCACAUGGACUGCCUGCCUAAUUGAUUAUACUUACCAUAUAUUGAUCAAUCAGAUAUGAUCAGGAAACUUUAUUCUUUCACAAACUGAACAAUAGUAAGAGUCCAAAGAAACUUUCUUUCUUCACUUCAUUGAAUCAUUAAUCAAGAUUGUUGCUUAAUUGAUUAUACUUACCAUAUCCUGGUCAAUCAGAUAUUCUUAUCCUUCACAUCUGAACAACCUGUUAAAAGAGUCCAAAUAAACUUUCUUUCUUCACUUCAUUGAGUGAAGAUUCUUGUAAGUUUGGUUCAUGGGGACCUUCCUGUCGGUGGGUUCAAAUAAGUUGCAUGACACUAUUGUAAUUAUCAUAUACACUAGAAGAAUGACUCGGCUGCGCUUGGGUUACAAUUUUUUUAAUUUUUAUAAAAUAUAAAAUAUAAAAUUUUUUAUUUAAUAAUAAAAAAUUAAAAUUUUUAGUAUUUUUUAAAAUUAUGAUCUUAAAACAAAAAUAAAAAUCAGAUAGUUGAAUUGUAUCAUUCAAUCGUAAUUGAACAGGUAUAGGUUUCUAUUUUUAAUAAAAGAAACUGCUUUAAAAAAUUAUAUGAGGUGUAUUUUUAUAAUUAUGGUAAAAAAGGUAUUUUAUUAAUUUUAAUCAAUUUUGGUAAGGAAAAAAAGAGACAAAACAUAUUAUCAAGCGGCUCAUAGGGAAAAAUUAAAUCUAAAAUUUUUUUAUAAAACAUUUUUUUUAAAAAUUUAAAUUCAAGAAAAGUAGAAAAAAGUAAAAAAAGAAAAAAAAUUUAUAUAACUUGCUCUCAAAUAAAAAAAAGAACUUUAAAAAAAUUUAUAAUAAAAAUUUUAUAAUUUUUAUAUUUAUUUAUUAAAUAAGUUUAAAGAAAAGUAAAGAAAAAAAAGUAAAAUUCAAAAAAUGACAUGCGAUAGCAAAAGAAAACAUAAGAAAUAUUUCAUCACAAUUGGUUAGAAUGUGUUUGAACAAAAUUAAAUGUCUACAAUGAUUUAUGAUUUUUUUAAUAAUAUUUAUAGGUUACAUAUAGAAAUGAAAAUAUUUCAUGCAAAAAAAAUAGGAAAAAUAUUAAUUAAAAAAACAAAAAAUCAAAUAAAUGGUUUGUUUGCGCAAGAAAUGUGUAGACAUCUAAUUUUGUUCGAAUUGUCUAAAAUGGACCUCAAAUUCAAUUUAGUGGAUAUUGGCCCCAAAUUUUAUUUCAAUUGGGCUUAAGACUAGAAUUUUAUCUUUGGCCCAAAGUUGUGGCCCAAAAUCCAAUUAAGGGCCUAAGUUUUUAUUUUUUAAAAAAGAGUAAAUAAAAUAAAAAUAAUUAAAAGUAAUUAAAAAACAAAAAAAAGAAAGGCCUAUGAUUUUGGGUGUCGUCCAUGGCACUAGCAACCCACGAGCCACCCUACUUUUUGCCUGUACCCCCUUCCCCUUUCAGCCAUGGCAGAUAAGGCCGAGUCUUCAAAAAAUCUACUUUAAGCUAAAAUGGAAAAAAAAAAAGGUCACAUCGACAGUUGUCCUGGUAGCAUAUAGGCUAUCGGUGACCCUUUGAAAACCCUCAGAAUCUCAAAAAUUAUGAGAUUUCAUAUCCCCUCCUAGUUCUAUAAAUUUAGAGAUCAAGCACAAAACAAAAAUGAAGAAAGAAGGAGGGAAAAACUUUGCCAAAAAGGAAAAUCCAAAAAAGAAAUCUAUUGUCAAACAAAACAAAAACCUUUUCCUAAUAUGUGAAAAUCAAAAACAAAAUCCACAUCCCUUGGAACAGGUAAUCUACACCAGAAAAAAAAAAACAAACCAUAAAAAAAGAAAAACCAAAAAAAAAAAGAAAAGGAGUUUUCAACUGAGACUUUGAGAAUAGAUCUAGAGUUUUUUGAAAAACAGGGCUCAAAACGAGAAUCAGGAGGUUGAAAGGAGUUUUUUGGUGACUUUUGAAAGUUCUCUGGUAAUUGGCGAUGAUGACGAUGAAAAAAGUGCACGACGACAACCCACCAUUUUUGUGAAGAGAGUGGAAGAAAUUUUUUGGUUCUAAGGUUUUUUUUUCUGUAAAAUGGGGAAGAAAUUAGUUGAAAAAAAUUUUGGUUUUCAUAAGAGAGGGAAGAGUUAAAACAAUGCUAUUUUUGUUAGGGAAGGAUCCACAUGAACUUGUUACCCAACUGUAGACACCCUAUUUAGUUCUGAGGCUCAAACUAAUUGGGCCUAGAUCCGAUCCAAGCCUAAUAGUUCAAUUUCUUACAUUUCUUUUUUAUGUCUUGUUUGUCUUAUUUAUUUAUUUCUCUUUUUUUAUAUUUUAGUAUUUUAUAUAUCUGGUUCUAAAUUUUUAUCAUAAAUCAUAAAUCAUGUGGAGUAAUCUGAGCACUAAUCAAAGAUGAUCUCGGUAAUUAAGACUUAAAAAUGAUAACUUUAAAUAUUAAAGGAGGAUUGAAAAGAAACAAAAUCAAGGAAUCAAAGUUAGAUUUAAUUUGGAAAAAUUUUAAGGGAUUCUAAGCAUCAAGGAAAAUCAAGACAAUUCUAGAAAUUAAUUAAAUCGGUUUUAAAGAGAAUCAAGAAAAAAAAUCAAUUCAAAGCAUAAUCAAAUUUGCAAUCUUUUCCAUUCAAUUCAAAUCCCUAAAAUUCUUAGCAAAAAGCCUUAUAUAAACACUAAUUAACCACACACAAAAGGGGGGAAAAUAUUAGGGAUCUUAGUUUUCUGUUUUUAAUAGGAAUCAUUCAAGCAAAUUCUAAGAUUUUUUUUAGGUUCUGUGAAUUUAUUUCAUUCCGAAUUUGAUUUGAUUUUUGAGUUUCCUAAAUUUGGGUUUUAAUUUUUAAGUUUGAUUCCAUAUUCUGUUGAGUUUAUGAGAUUUUUGCUGGGGUUUUUUUGUUGGCUUUUGAUUUUGGGGAUUUCUAUUGGGUUUUCAAUAAUCUAAAAACUUUUCUAAGUUUAGGAUGAAUUUUUCGAUUGAAGUUUGAAGUUUUUGCUUGAACCCGACAACCCGAGUAAAGAUCCAUGCUUCAAGCUUAACUCGAUCACAGGUUUUUCUUUUUUUUCUUUCAUCUACUUUCUAUUUUGAUUUGAUUUGAUUUUUUAUUUGAUUUUAAUUUUUUUUAGAUUUUUUAUUUUUACUUAUUAUUACUAUUAUUUUCAUCUUUAUUUUUUUUACUCAUUACUUUAAAUUGAAAUUUUUAUUAUUUAUUUUUCAAAAAUACCUUUAUGAAUUUUAUUUUAUUUAUUUAAAAAUAAUAACCAAAAAAUAUUUCUAAAAUAAAUUCAUGAAUCUUACCAAACUAUUGGAGAAUUUUUUCUUGAAUUUAAAUUUUUAUGAAUUCUACCAAACUAUUGGAGAAUCUCAUAAAUCAAUUUUAUAAAAAAAUAUUACUAAUAAAAUAUUUUGUUUUCAUCCUACCAAACUAUUGAAGGAUUUGCAUCUUAAAUUAAGUCUUACUAAAUUAUUGAAAGAUUUAUUAUGUUUUUAAAAAUAAAUUUACCAGGAAAUCUCAUGAAACUAUUAGGAGAUCUAUAUCAAAGUAAAUCUUACCAAACUAUUGAAAGAUUUUAUUAAUUAUUUUCUUGAAUAAAAAUAUAUUAAUGAACCCAACAAUAGAACCUCUUCAGAAUGUGACACUAGUUUCUAUGAAUACUCUUAAUGUGAGAAAAUUAUCUUAAACUGCUAUCACACUAUUAGAGCAAAUUUAGGAUUAGUUUCUAAUAAUUAAAUGAUUUGGUAAAAUUAUAAGAAUAUUUUAAGGUUCGAAUAAUUUAAAAUUAAACUAGUACCAUCAUUUGGAUGGGUGCUAUAAUGGUGCUAUAACCUUCUUCAUGUGUAACCGUAUCUUGAACCUAGCAUCUAAUUUUUUGGACUAGAAUUUAUUAUUUAAAAAUAUCUAAGGGAAUUUUCGGACUCCUCUUUAAAUAUGACAUAUUCUAUCAGGUGGUCAAUCACAUUUAAAUAAAAAAUAUUGGUAACGACUUUUUUAAUCCAUAUCUAAUGGUAGGUUCACGAAUCUAUAUAUUAUAACAUUAGCUCGAGAUUUGACUGACUCGACUAAAAAAUGUGACAACUAACCAGAUUUUGACCAGUUCAACUGAAUCAAUAUUGAACCGGAUCUGAACCAGCUUGAACUUCAAAAAAUCAUAUCUAAACUAGCUUGAACCAUAAAAAACAGCUCUAGACCACUUGAAUCACAGGCAACGACUAUAGGCCGUUGAACUUGAACUGCUUUAGACCGUUGACCAAUCUAGUUUAGGUAUUUUUUUGUAUUUUAUAUUUAUUUUUUUAUUCUUUUAUUACUAUUUUUUUUUAGUAUUUUGUUUAUGUUCAAAAAUAUUCUUUAUAUUAAAAUAAAAGUUUAAUUUUUUUUUAUAAUUUUAAAUUUCGUUAAAAAAUAAAACUAAAAGUUUUUUUAUAAUAAAAAUGAAAAAUGAAAGAGUAAUAAAUAAAAUAAUAUGAAAUUUCCUUUUUUCUCUAUAAAAUAAAAAAGUUUAACUAAAAUUAAUAAUAAAAAUUAAGGAAAAAGAAUCCGACAAUAUGAUUCUACGAAAAUUCAUGAUCCUAGGCUUCAAAAAUAUUAAACUUAUAUUAAAAAUAAUUUUUAAUAUAAUAAUAAUUUAAACUGGACCUGAGCUCAAAUUGUAUUCCAAUGAAAAUUAAUUUUAUACACAAUGCAAUUGUAAGGAAUACUCAUUCGAAAAAUUACUUUGAUUCUCUAGAGCAAUAUUACCUUACAAGGUGAUGAGCCAAUUUAUUGAUUCACGUAUACUAAAUAAAUAUUAAACAUAUACAAAUAUAUUGAUUCUCUCAAUCAAAAUUACUUACAAGUUUAAAACUAACUAUAAAGUUCAAGUUUUACCACGAAAUUUAUAUAUAGACAACUCAACAAAACCAGAAAAGGCCAAAGUUAGAUUAAUUAAGCUCCUCCACGAAUUUUUUUAAUCAAAACCAUCAACUUUAAACAUAAAACGAAAGAAAAUGGAUGCGUUAGCUAGGACAAAUUAAGCACAACCAAAAAAUUUGUACUUAAUCCCCCAAGUUUAUUCGGAAACAACAAAACCUGUUGCACUGUUUAUAUUGUCAAAGAUGCACAAGUGAGGUUCCGUCAAUCAAAUUGGCACUUUUCUAUCGACUCCAGGUAGCAUUCACCCUUGUAAUAGCCAUGAAAUCGAUCUAAAAACCACUGCCGUUACCAUCUUUAGGCAAUAGCAAGAAACUCCAAUGGCCUACGUCUAUAUAUUCAUUAGAAAACCAAAGACUGAAAAUUGAAUGCCAUGUAAGAUAAAAGAAAAUGAGAGAAGAAAAUCUAACAGAUGUUCUCAAUGCAAAGGUACCAAUACAGUUUAUCUUGAUAGUAAAAGGUUGAACAUUGAGUAAAAGCAUAACUAAAUUGUAAGUAUCAGCAAAUGAAAAUUAAUGGUUGAAUGCAGUUCCUCCCCUGAAAGAAACUAGGCUCUCUGCAUACAAUGCUAGCUCUAAUGCAGUUCCAUCAAAUUGGAGUGUCUUUAUCUCUUUGUUAUCUCGAUGAUGCCACGCCAGAAAGUUGCUUUCUUCGUUAUCAAAGAAGAUUUCACCAUCGCUGCCGACUCCUAAUGGUGUAGUGGCAGGAGGAAGAGAUUCAAUGGUGAAUAAUUUUGUCCAAGAGUUCUUUAGACCAAGUUCACCCAACACCCAUACAUCAUAGCAGCCAUCUGUCACAUAAUAAUCAUGACAAAGUAACCCACCAAGUGAUCCGUUGAUUUCCAUUAAAUAGGUAAGAUAGCGUGUUGUUCUACAGUUCUUACCCAAUCUCCCAUCAGGGAAUGGUGUUGUAACGAAAACUUCAUUACUCAUGUCAAAUGAGAGGAGCAAAUCUUCACUAUCAACAACUGCCAAACAGUGAUAAAAUCCGUUGGAGUAGACUUGAUAGUUCCUAUAACUAUGGAAGAAUUCAGCAGUUAAGUUGUCAUUCAACUUUCUCCAAGAAUCAGUAGUUAAGUUGUACAAAGCAACUCGGUUACCUCGGGGGACUUUGUCGAAAUCACCCUCCCAAAAUGUGUCAAUCCUAAUUACUUUAUACUCAUCUCUCUUGGAAUCAUAACCCAGACCAGCUACAUCAAUGGUAUUUUCAGAGCUUGGCGGACACUCUAAAGGAUACACUACAUCAAUGGUAUUUUCAUAGCUUGGCGGACGCUCAAAAGGACACAUAGGGAGAAUUUUAAAUUCCUUAGUCGCAAUGUUCCACAAAAGAAUACCACUAACACUGUCACAAAGACAAAUUAUGCCAUUGCAAUGACCUACGAUAUUUAUACUUAUUGGAUCAUCAGUAAAGGAUGGUAUAUCAAGAUUGGCAACAACAUCAAGAGUUUGAUUGGAAAUAAAAGAGACCAUAGUCUUUCUCUCUGUAAAAUUAACAUGUUUCAUGAGGAGACAGGUCUUGUUUUUACUAAAAGAAUAGUGGGCAGUAAUAAAUUGAGGGGUUUGAAUCAAGCAACACCAAGACUUACCAACACACCUGAAUCGCUUUAGAGAUUUGACAGGCAAUCUUGCCAGAAUAUCCACCACAAUAUCUUCAGGCAACGAAUGGGUGAUCGCUGCUGCAGCCAUCGAUGAUCUUCCUUGACGGUGUCCCCCUGUGCGUGUGUAAACGAGAGAUUUGAGUAUAUGCAAUACUUUCAAAGGGAUGGGAAAACUCAUGUGAUUUGAUUUUAUGCAGCGUAAAUGGUAACUGACAUUUGACAGCUAACGCCCCUUGCAAGUCGUCUGGCAUUCUAUUGGGUUAUUUAUUGUACCAACUAUUGAAUUUAAGAAAAGUGACGUCAUGGCUUAACUGUUAAGUAAGCGGUUGUUUAAACAUCCGGAUUAAUUAAAAUGGAUUUCGAGUUUUAUUCGGAUGUUCCCAAUUUUGAUUAUUUGAGCUUUCCAAUCAGAGUUGUUUGAUAUUGGACUUGUGCAAACUUGAUAAUCUUGAGUCCAAAUUUUCCAAUCUAAAAUCACAUGGGCCAAAAUUUAAUUUCAAUCCACUUCUAGUUAAAUGGAUCUUAUGUGCUUUAAAAGUUAAAAAGCUUAAGUCAUUUGAGGCUUAAAGCCCAAAUUUCCAGACUCAUGCAAUCAAAUUAGUGCUUUAAUUAAAUGAAAGGUAAGAGGCAAACUCCGGAAUACAAUGCUAAAAUUUCUCGUUUUACGAGAGUUAGGUUGAGAUCAAUAGCAUUUUAAUUAAAUAAAUAAUUUAAUUAAUUAAUGAAUAUUAAAUAAAAAAGGAAUAAAAAAUUUAAUAAAAUAAAUAUAAGAACAAAUUGAAAGAAAAUCAAAUCACAAGCAGAUACUGUGCAUGAAACCACCAGCAACAAUGUCUACCAGCCCUGCAAUUCAGCCAACCUAUCCCUUGAAUCGUCAAGCCACCCUACCAGCCAUCAUUGCAGUCGAAAUUAAGCUGCCAACAACCCCUCUUUCUUACCCCGCAUAUUUCUACCUACUUUUCGUUUUUUCUCAUGAACCUAAACUCUGAAACUACUUAUAAAAGUGAACAGAGAAAUCAACAGAAAGGGAAAUUUUGAAAAAAAAAAAAACUUCAAAAAAAAAAAUUUGUUACCAUCACCACCAGUACCCUUGUGCUACUAGCACACCCACUUAGCAAAGAACCCAAACUCGUCACCAAUUUCAUCUAAAAGCCAUCAAAGCUAAACCAUGACCACCAUCAUCCACCCAAAAGCAAACACAAAAAACCCCCUUCAACCCUUUGCUCACCGAAACCACCACACCCAUCUAAAUAGCCAAAUAUGCAGAACCUUCAUUAAAUUCGAUCUGGAGUAAAAAAUUCCUACUCUAUUUUCAUUCGAAAACCAUCACAAAAAAACCAAAAAGAAAAUAAUUUCCCUAAAACCCAAAAAAUACACUAUCAAAAGUAAAAAAGGCAAUAAAUGAGAAGAGUAAAAGAUGGAGAUUUUUGUUGGUUUUGGCAGCUAAUCGGCCAUGAGUGUUCCUGGAAUUUUUUGACUUGGAUCUAGGUGGCAUACAUAUACUCAAUCUCUCGUUUACUUACACACAGUGAGGAAGAUUAUUAAUGGCUGCAGUAAUAUUCACCCAUUCGUUGCCUGAAAAUGUUGUGGUGGAGAACAAUUUUGGUUAAUGUCAUAGUUACGUUUUCGGUCACGUUAAAUUUAUUAUGAUUGUGAAUGUAAUAAUAAUUAUCGGUGUAACAGAUACAAUAACAUUAAUUACCUUCAUUGUGAUAGUAAAUUUUUUUUAUUUUAUAUAACUACAAACAUCUUGUUUUACUCAAAGUUCGAACCUAUAAAUUGAAUUUUUUAUUUAUUUUAUUUUAUUUUUGUUAAAUUUAUAUACACAUAUGUUAUUUUUUAUUUCUUUAUCUAUUUUUAUUUUUUUGUUAUUUUUAAUUUUAUUUAAUUUCUUUUCUAUCCUUAUCUUCAAAUCCCAUUUAUAUUUUCUUUAAAUUAUCUAAUUAUUUAAAAAAAAUCAAAUAGAUGAAGUUUGGAUGAUAUUAGCUUAGGUGAUAAAUGAUAGGAUUGAUUUCAAAAGAUAAUUUAGGUGUUUAUUUGAAAUAAAUUUAAUCCUAAUUGAAUUGGGAUUUGCUAAAUCUUUUUUUAUAAAUAGACUUGAAAUCAUCACACAAUGAUCACACACACAACAAUAAGCAUAGUGAACAAUAAGAGAUAGCAUUUUAACAAGAAAGAUAGCAGCAACAAAUAGAGAGAAAAUAAAUAGCAUCCAAAAUUUUGAAAAAGAGAAAAGUUUUUAGCAAAAGGAUUUUAUAGAGUUUUUAAGUUGAGGGAAUUUAAUUUGGUAUUUUUUUUAAGGAUUUCAAGAGCUAAAAGUCUAAUUUGGUGUUUUGGAGCAAAUUUUUCUAAAUUUCUAAAAUUUUUUCUAAAAAUUCUAGAAUCCAACCAAAAUUUCAACAAACUUCAAAUUUUUCGAUGACUCUCUAACAAUUUUUUUUCAAUUUUCAACAAUAUUCUUCAAAAACCGACAAAGCAUUCAAUCGAUGUUCAUAAGCUUUAAAGAGACAAGCAAAGAAACAGAAAGAAAGGAGAGAAAGAAAAAAGAAAUCUAAGGAAAGAAAAAACAAAUUUGCAAGUUUUAUAAUGUCCUAGAACGGUGUCAUUUUGAGUAAGGUUAAACCCUAAGAUCCAUGUGUUUUGCAUUAACCCAAUUCAAACCAUACCGCACUACCCAACAAUUCACAAUCCUCCUAAGCUAAUUGAGCUUCUAAGCUGAGCCAACUAGUCUUGAGCUGUGCCAUAUCCUGUUAUCCUCUAUGCUUAUAGCCGCACCUUCUCAGCCACUAAACCGAGUCAAUCUUGUUGGUAUAAUUUCAUUUUCAUUUAUUUAUUUAUUUUUCAUUUAUUUGUAUAUUUUCUUUAUUAAUUGUUUAUUUGUUUAUUUAUUUUUAUUUAUUUAGUGGUUUAUUUAUUUGUUUAUUUUAUUUAUUUAUUUAUUUUAUUUGAUUAUUUAUGUAUUUAUUUAUUUGUAAAUAAUUUUUAUAAAAAAAUAAAAAAAUCUUUUCAAAUAAAAAUGAAUCUUAUCACAUAUUGAAGGGUUCAAAUUUCUAAAAAUAAAUUUUUGAAUAAAAAAUGAAUCUUACCAACAUGUUGGAUGGUUUAAAUUUCUAAAAAAGAAUUUUUGAAUAAAAAUGAAUCUUGCCAAUAUAUUGGAGGGUUCAAAUUUAAAAAAAAAUAAAAUUUUGAACCUUACCAACAUAUUGGAGGGUUUAAAUUCCCAUGAAAUGAAUUCUUCAAUAGAAUAAAGUCUUACCAACAUAUUGGGGGGCUUGUGAUUUUAAAAAUAUGGUUUUACCAAUAGAUUGGAGAACCUUAUGAAUUUCUCAUAAAAAUUAAAUUUCAAGGUAAAUAAAAAAAAUAGUCUUCAAAAAGCAUUACCAACAUAUUAAAAAGCUUGUGAUUUUAAAAAUAAGGUUUUACUAACAGAUUAGAGAACUUUAUGAUUUUUAAUUAAGAUUUAAAAGAAAAAAAUAGUUUCUGUAAGAUCCUACCAAUAUAUUGGAGGAGAAUCUUUAAUAAAAAAAAAUCUUACCAAUAUAUUAGAAAAUAUUUUUAAAAAUAAAAUAAAUUAAUAGAUGGUUUGUUUGCACAAGAAAUGUGUAAACACCCAAUUUUGUUCAAAUUAUCUAAAACGGAUCUUGAUUUCAAUUGAGUGGAUAUUAGGCCCAAAUUUUAUUUCAAUUGGGCUUAAGACUAGAAUUUUAUCUUUGGCCUAAAGUUGUGGCCCAAAAUACAGUUAAACUGCUAAGUUUUUUUUUUUAAAAAAAGAGCAAAUAAAAUAAAAAUAAUUAAAAAGUAAUUAAAAAUAAAAAAAAGAAGGGCCUAUGACUUUGGGUGUCGUGCACGGCACUGGCAACCCACGAGCCACCCUACCUUUUUGCCUGUACCCCCUUCCCCUUUCAGCCAUGGCAGAUAAGGUCAAGUCUUCAAAAAUCUAGUUUAAGCUAAAUUGGAAAAAAAAAAAGGUCACAUCGAUAGUUGUCCAGGUAGCAUAUAGGUCGUUGGUGACCCUAUGAAAACCCCUCAAAAUCUCAAAAAUUAUGAGAUUUCAUCUCUCCUCCCAAUUCUAUAAAUUUAAAGAUCAAGCAAAAAACAAAGAGGAAGAAAGAAUAAGGGAAAAACUCUAGAAAAAAAAAAACCCAUAAAAGAAAUCUUCUGUCAAACAAGAAAAAACCUUUUCUUAAUAUAAAAGUAAAAAACAAAAUCCACAUCCUUUAGAAUAGGUAAUCAACACUAAAAAAAAAAACCAUAAAAAAUGAAAAAAAAAAGAGUUUUCAACCGAGACUUUGAGAAUAGAUCUUGGUAUUUGGGGAGAGUUUUUUGAAAAACGGGGCUCAAAAUGAGAAUCAAGAGGUUGAAAGGAGUUUUUUGGUGACUUUUGGAAGUUUUCUAGUGAUUGGCAAUGAUGACGAUGAACAAAAGUGCAUGACGACAACCUAUCAUUUUCUGGGAAAAGAGUGGAAGAAAUUUUUUAGUUUUGAGGUUUGUUUUUUUUUUUUUUUUUUGUAAAAAGGGGGAAAAUUAGUUGAAAACAAUUUUGGUUUUCAUAGGAGAGGGAAGAGUUAAAAAGAUGCUAUUUUGGUUAGGGAAAGAUCCACGUGAACUUGUUACCCAACUGUAGAUAUCCUAUUUAGUUUGAGACUCAAACCAAUUGGGCCUAGAUCUGAUCCAAGCCCAAUAGUUCAAUUUUUUACUUUUUUUUAUAUCUUGUUUCUCUUAUUUAUUUAUUUCUUUUUUUUUUAUAUUUUAGUAUUUUAUAUAUCUGGUUUUAAAUUUUUAUCAUGAAUCAUUAAUCAUGUGGAGUAAUUUGAGCACUAAUCAAGGAUGAUCUCAGUAAUUAAAACUUAAACACGAUAUCUUCAAAUAUUAAAGGAGGAUUGAAAAGAAACAAAAUUAGAGAACCAAAGUUAGAUUUAAUUUGGAGAAAUUUUAAGGGAUUCUAAAAGUCAAGGAAAAUCAAGACAAUUCUAGAAAUUAAUUAAAUCGGCUUUAAAGAGAAUCAAGAAAAAAAAUCAAUUUAGAGCAUAAUCAAAUUUGCAAUCUUUUCCAUUCAAUGCAAAUCCCUAAAAUUCUUAGCAGAAGGCCCUAUAUAAACACUAAUUAACCACACACAAUAGGGGGAAAAAUACUAAGGAUCUUACUUUUCUGUUUUUAACAGGAAUCAUUCAAGCAAUUUUUUAGAUUUUUUUUUUGGGUUCUGUGAAUUUAUUUCAUUUUGAAUUUGAUUUGAUUUUUGAAUUUCCUAAAUUUAGGUUUUAAUUUUUAAGUUUGAUUCCAUAUUCUGUUGAGUUUAUAAGAUUUCUGCUGGGGUUUUUUGUUGAUUUUUGAUUUUGGGAUUUCUAUUGGGGUUUUAAGAAUCUGAAAACUUUUCUAGGUUUAGGAUGAAUUUCUUGGUUGAAGUUUGAAGUUUUGGCUUGAACCCGGCGACCUAUGUAACGAUCCAUGCUUCAAGUUUGACCCAAUCGCAAGUUUUUCUUUUUUUUUUCUUUCAUCCUAUUUUCUAUUUUGAUUUGAUUUGAUUUGAUUAUUUUAUUUUUAGAAUUUUUAUUUUUACUUAUUAUUUUUUUUCAUCUUUAAUUACUAUUUUACUCAUUACUUUAAAUUAAAAAUUUUAUUAUUUAUUAUUUAAAAAUACCUUUAUGAAUUUUAUUUUAUUUAUUUAAAAAUAAUAACCAAAAAAUGUUUCUAAAAUAAAUUCAUGAAUCUUACCAAACUAUUGAAGGAUUUUUCAUAAAUUUAAUUUUUUUAUGAAUUCUACCACAUCAUUGGAGAAUUUCAUCAAUCAAUUUUAUAAAAAAAAUUACUAAUAAAAUAUAUUGUUUUCAUCCUACCAAAUUAUUAGAGGAUUUGCAUCUUAAAUUAAGUCUUAUCAAAUUAUUGAAAGAUUUAAUACAUUUUUUAAAAAUAAAUUUAUAAGAAAAUCUCAUCAAACUAUUGGAAGAUCUACAUCAAAGUAAAUCUUAUCAAACUAUUGGUAGAUUUUAUUAAUUAUUUUCUUGAAUAAAAAUAUAUUAAUGAACCCAACAAUAGAACCUCUUCAGAAUGUGACACUAGUCUUUAUAAAUACUCUUAAGGUGAGAAAAUUAUCUUAAAUUGCUGUCUAAAUAUUAGAGCAAAUUUAGGAUUAGUUUUUAAUAAUUAAACAAUUUGGUAGAAUUAUAAGAAUAUUUUAAGGUUUGGAUAAUUUGAAAUUAAACUAAUAUCAUCAUUUGGAUGGGUGUUAUAAGGGUGUUAUAACCUUUUUCACGUGUAACUGUGUUUUUGAACCUAAAAUAUGAUUUUGUAGACUAUAAUUUAUUAUUUAAAAAUACCUAAGUCAAUUUUUGGACUUUUCUUUAAAUAUAAUAUAUUCUAUAAGGUGGUCAAUCACAUUUAAACAAAAAAGAUUGGUAGCGACUCUUUUAAUCUAUAUCUAACGGUAAGUUCACGGAUCUAUAUGUUAUGACAUCAACUCGAGAUUUGCGCGACUUGACUAAAAAAUGUGACAGUUGACUAGAUUUUGACCAGUUUGACUGAAUUGGUAUUGAACCGGCUUGAACCUCAAAAAAUCAUAUCUAAACUAGCUUGAACCAUAAAAAACAACUCCAGACCACUUGAAUCACAGGCAACGGCUAUAAACCGUUGAACCUGAACCGCUUUAGAUCGUUGACCAAUCUAGUUUAGGUUUUUUUUUGUAUUUUGUGUUUACUUUUUUAUUCUUUUAUUAAUAUUUUUAUAGUAUUUUUUUAUGUUCCAAAAUAUUAUUUAUGUAAAAAUAAAGUUUAAAUUUUUUUAUAAUUUUAAAUUUCGUUAAAAAAUAAAAAUAAGUUUCGUUUAUAAUAAAAAUGAAAAAUGAAAAAGUAAGAAAUAAAAUAAUAACAAAAAUUUCCUUUUUUCUCUAUAAAAUAAAAAAGUUUAACUAAAAUUAAUAAUAAAAAUUGAGGAAAAUGAAUCCGGCAAUAUGAUUUUAAGGAAAUUCAUGAACUGAUUCUUAAGAAAUCUCUAUGUGAUAAGGUUUUUUUAAAUACUGUUAGCAUAUUAGAAUAUUUAUAAAAAAAUUUAAAUAAAAAUAAAAAUUCCUUUUUCUUUAACUUAAAAAAAUAAAUAGUAAAUAAUAAAAAUGCAUUAACAAAUAAACAAAUUUUUCUAAAAGAAAACUAUAUUUUUUCUAAAAAAAUUACUCAUAAACAAACAGAGAAAAAAGAAAAGUUUUUAUCCGAUGAUCAGAUUCUAAGAUAAUUCAAAUAGUGAUAUAUAAAAAAUUUCUAGGUUAAAAGAUUUUUUUAAUACUACCAGUAUAUUGGAAUAUUUAUAAAAAAAAUUUCAAUACAAUAAAAAUAUUCCUUUUCUUCUAAAAAAUCUAUAAAAAUAUAUAAUAAAAAAUCAAUAAACAAAUUUCUUUUUAAAAAAAGAGAAAUAAAUAAAACAUGCACAUUAAUUUUUAAUCAUUUGCAUCACUUGCAUAUCAUUUAAUUUUUAAAAAAUAGACACGAGCCUCCGAGGAUAAGAUUUUAAAUAAAUCCAAAUAGUGAUUCCUAAGAAAUCUCUAAGAAAAAUUCUUUCAAUGUUACCAACAUACUGAAACAUUUUUAGAGUUUUUUUCGAUAAUAAGGUUCUAAUUUUUUUAAAUAAAAUUUAUUAAUGUUAAAUAAUAAUAAUAAUAAUAAAGAAAAAAUUGUAAAAAAGAAAAAAAAGGUGAAAUAACAAAAAUGAAAAUGAAAAUAAAUUAAUAAAGGUAGUUAAGGGAAUUAUUUUUUAAUACCAAAAUUUAGACCUUUUUGUCAAAAUUAAAGGAUAACACAUAAUUAAUUGGAUCAUUUUUUAACAAACAUUGUGGGGGUACUAAUCCUUCCCUAUGCAUAAUCAACUUUCAAACCUAAACUGUUUUACCUAAAAAUUAUCUUUUAAUGAAUUUUAAUUAAUUUUUAAAAGGUGACUAAUUAUACAUAGCCAAAAAAAAUUAAUAGAAACUCUAUUUAUUUUUAAAUUUGUCAAGUGGUUUUAAAACUAUUAUGACAGUUUAACAACUCCGUUGGGGAAGUAUUUCUAAGAAUUAGGCCAAAAAUUAAUUAUGAUUUAUCAUCUUAACCAGUAUCUAACAUUAACUCCCUUGAUUUUGAAUUUGUUUAAAAAAUUAAAAAACAAAAAAAAAACCAAUAUGAUAAUAAUAAUGAAUAAUUAGCAUCUCUUUUUAAUUAUUUUCUUUUAUGUAUAUGAUUCUUAAUAAAUUAUGGGGCAUUUGUGUUAAUUUCCCUCACACAAUAAAACUUUAUAUCUCAUGCAUGAGCUCUAUAUUCAGUUUCUAUCCCUUAUAGGAGGAAGUAAAGUAUUUAUGCCUUCGUGAGGUGAUAAUAUCUGCAAUGGCAAGUGAAAUACUUUCACUCAAACUGAACCAUUUCCAUUCAUAGUCGGUAAUAGGUGAGAAUCGGGAUGCCUUACUAGUCUAGUAUAAACGAUAGUGAGGAAUAAUGUGAAAACCUUUAGAUGUGUGUCGAUCCAAACCAAGCAUAUAAUACGCCAUAAGAGAUCAACCAUAGGUAGAGCCUUGCCAUUCCAAUUAUAGAAGGCACCAAAGUUUGGAAUAAUUAAGGAUCAUAAUAAUUCUAAAAUGUGCAAAAUAGAAAAAAAUUGUGUGUUUCAAACAAAUACAAAAAUAUACAAAAAAACAAAAAAAAAGGCUUUGUUACAAAACAAAAUUUACAAAAAAAAAAAUUUAGAACACAAAAAUAACAAGCAAUUAGUAAAAAGACUAAUAUUUUGUUUGGUUAUGUAGCACCACCCUAAAUGUUUAUGACUAAGGGAAAAUUAAUUUUUUUCUAAUCUUGAAUCACAUCCUUAUACUAAUUUGAUUUUGUUUCCUUUUUUUCUUUUUUCUUUCUUUUUUGCAUAAACCACAUUAUGCAAUUUUCCAUUGAGAUAUUUGCUCAACGACAUUUUUCUUCUGAAAAUCUCCUUUCAUAGAUCUUGUAGAACUAUAAAAUUGCUCAUCAUUCAUAAGUGUCACAUAUAAGUCAUAUAAAGAGGUGUAUAUUUGGUCAAAGAAAGAUCAAUAAAAGAAUGGAGAUUGUUUGCCUAUCGGUUAUGUGUCAAGGUUACCUGAAAAUGUGAAUUUGGAUUUUACACAAAACAAUUUAAAAGAUUUGUCUGUCUUCUGGGGUUAACUAAAUGAAAAGAGAAAGAAAAGAUUUAGUGAAAAGUAUUAACAGAUUGUAUCCCUAAUUUCAGUGAUGAUUAAGAAUCAAAUGAUUCAAGCAGCUAUAUAGUUUUGGCAUCCAUCCUACAGAUGCUUCACUUUUAACUAAGAGGAUUUGAUGUCGAUCAUUGAGGAAUACUCGAUUUUGCUUAGGAUAAAACUACAAUGUCCAGAUAAGGUGUUUACUUAGAAGCCGAAAUAGAGUUACCGAAAAAGUUGGUGAAACUUAUAGGGUUCAAAGUUGAAACUAUAGAUUCUUUCAUAAAACCUAAAGGCAAACAUCUUGAUAUCCAUCGAGAUUUUCUUUGUAAUUUUCUUUAAUGGCAUUUAGAUGAUGAUAAGAGGAUAACUAUUUUUGCUUUGGCAAUAUAUGGCAUGGUGGUCUUCCUGAAACUUUAAGCUAUAUUGAGAAAACUAUGGUGGACUUUUUCAAGCAAGUUAAAACCUAAGUAAUCAAUCAUUCAUCAGUGAUCUUAACUAAAACCAUAAGGUCAUUAAACUUCUGUCAAUAAAACAGGAAUAAGUGUUUCAUAGGAUGUGCACUAUUAUUGUAAGUAUGGCUAAAAAGUUAGUUCAAGUGUGAGAAAAAUGUAUUCUCAAUGCUAUAUCUUCAAAGCAAGGAACUAGUUAAAGAAUUUUGUAAAAGCCAAUGGCCAACAUUAAAGACCAAAGAAGAAUGGAUUACAUUCUUACAAAGGCUUACCCAGGAUGAAAUAGAAUGGAUGGUGCUUGGGAUGCCUCACGUGCUUAUACUAUAUUGAGGAGGAAAUGAGCCAUGGAUACCAUUAUUGGGACUACGGGGGUGGUGAGUUAUGCCCUAUUAAUGGUGUUAAGGCAUUUUGGCACAAAAUAGUUUAUUCUUACUACUCACGACCUUGCUCAAGUAAAGUUCAAUUAUAAGGACUCCAAUGCACCAAGAACAUAAAAAAAAUUAAUCCAAGUAUAAAAAAAGACACAAAAGUCUAGACUAGGGCCUUUCCUCAACAAGGUCAACCUUGAUUACUAGAUUUUGAGGGCAAAAUAGCUUAGAGAUAUGGUACUUCCUCCCUAUGAUGGCUCACAUCAAUUAGCUAACCUUUAGGUAGAACCACAAUUAUCAUAAUUUGAGCUUGUUAGAAAAGAAUUAGAAGCUGAAAAUGAGGAAAUAAAAAGAGAAAAUUUGAAGCUGCAUUAGAAAAUGGGACAACUGAGAUACAAAGUAGAAAUAUGAAGGAAUAGAUUGAAAAAGGUUGGGAAAGAAAGGAAUAUGGCUAAUAAUGAUUUAAAAGAGUUGUACCAAGAAAAAAAAUCAUGAGUCCAACUCAAAACUGGAAAAGUUACCAAAUCUUAAUUGUGAAAUAGAUGAGUUCUGAAAACAAAUGAAUCAUUAGAAAGGCAAGGCUUAAGAAAGGCAAGAAAAGGUUGUCAGAAUUUCUCAAGAGUGCCAAAAUUGGGAGAAAUUAUACUUAACCAUUUCAACAAGAUUAGUGAAAUUGCAGAAGAAAAAGGAAAGGUUGCAAGUCGAGCUUGAAAAGAGAAAAAAAAAACUUAAAAUGUUGAAUGAAAAAGAGUCACUUUGCCAAGUGAUCCAAGAAUUAGAGCAUCGGUUGCAAGAUAACAAGAAUCACAUUUCAACAAUUAUGGACAAGUGGCAAAGAAGGGAAAUAAAUUAGAGCUUCACAUGUGACUUGAAAAUAGAUGCCUAUAUUAAAUGGAAAAUAAAAAGCUUGGGAAGGCAAUAAUGCAUAAAGCAUCUGACUAGUCAAGUUUGGAAGACGGUGAAGAAGGCAAGAGAAAUGGUCAAAAAGGUAAAUGCAUUAAAGUGAGAAGUUAAUCCCACAAGAGAAUAUGGAUAACGCCUAAUGGAAUUUAUAGAUGAAGCUAAGGAUCAUUAUGAGCAAGUUAAAUAUUUUUAUGGAUACAAUUCUAGAAUGAUAAGCUUCAUGUAACCAAAAUUGUUUGGAAUUAAUGAAAAUUUUUAAUGUUGAAAUUUAUCAAAGAGCAAAUAUCCCUCAUUUGCAUUCAUUUUUCAUAUACAUCGUAUUUGUUUUAAUAACCAUCAAUUUCUCAAAAAAUAACAAUAAAACAAAUAAAAAAUAAAAACAACAAGUUGAACAAAAAAUUUUCGAUACAUGACAUUCUAAAUUUUUUUAAAAAAUUAUGGUAAUAAAAGUUUAAGGAUAGCUUAGCAGGUCAACUCUUCAAAUCAACUUAUUAUAACACUCAAUCACAAGCAAAAGCCAUAGAAAUAAAGCAAAUCAACUAAAUGGAUAAGAUUGAAAAUGUGCAAGGAGAGAUAAAGGAACAAUUAUCCAUAAUGAUGGCCAUGAUGGCUAAGAUAGACAAAGAGAAAGAAAUGGUGAAGGAAGAUAGUCCCCAAGAAAGGCACCCACAACAAAAGGAUAAUAAUCCCCUAUAUCCUUCAAUUUUUACCCCACAUUGGGCCCAAACUUUGCAAAGAGCAUAGCCAUAACAUACAUCUUUAAUGGGAGGAUAUCCAUUUGCCUAUAUUGCAAUGCUAGCAACACAUGGACCUACCCAAUUUUAAAAGCACACCACCCUAGCAGUAGAAAUGAAAUCAUCAGAUUGAAUCAAUUUCCUAAUCUAAAACACCUAAGAGAACAAGAAAAGCUCAAAUUGAAUGCUUCGAAAGUGAAGGAAGACCUAGAGUCUUUACAUAAUAUGAGCCUUAUAGAAGAAUGGCUAUGAGCCAUUGAAUGAAUGGACAUUUAUAGCUCGAUGGAUACGACUGGAUUGUGCUUGGUGCCAAAUGUAGUCAUUCCAACUAAAUUCAAAGUCCUAGAAUUUGAAAAGUAUACGGGAUUAAAUUUUUGGUUACCCAUAUUACCAUGUAUUAUAUAAAGAUAGUUGCUCACACUCAUGAUAAAAAACUAUUGAUACACAUAUUUCGGGAUAGCCUCACAAGAUUAACUGCUAAAUGAUAUAUCUAAUUAGACAAAAGUCAUGGAAAGAGUCAGCUAGGGCUUUCAUCAACCACUAUAGGCAUAUUAUAAAUAUGGCUCUGAAUCACCUAUCCUUAUAAAGCAUAAAGAAAAAAAAUCGUUGAAAGUUUUAAAAAAUAUACAUAGAGAUAGAAAGAUGCUACGACCUAAGUUCAACCACCCCUCAUAGAAAAAAAACAAUUGUUUUGUUUGUUAAUACUCUCUAAGUGCCAUACUAUGAAAAAAUUAUGGGAAAUGCUAUAAAGAACUUCAUAGAAAUAGUGAUAUCAGGGAAAAUCAUUGAGAAUAUGAUUAAAAGUGAAAAACUUAAAGAAAAAGAUGUAAAGAAGAGCAAUGUAAUUAAAAAGAAUAAAGAUGUCCAAGCUGUAAGUCAUGGGGGCACCAAAACAGUAAUUUUAUCACAUACUAUCCCUAACCAACUUAACUCCCUUACUGUUUGACCAUAAACCAUGUUUCGCAAAACCCCAACAUUUAUCAACCAAUGCCAUAACAAGGGUUUCGAUCGAGUUUUCAGCCUCAAGUGCCCAUUCAUCUAUCCAUAAACCAACCCCUCACUUAACUAAAUAAUUUAAUAAGUUUUUCAAAAGGGCAAAGAAACAGUUAAAAAAAGACACCCAUUGAUCUAAUUCUUGUAUCACAUAUCAGCUCAUAUCCCCUGCUUCUUAGUAAGCAAUUCGUCGCAUCCGUCCAUGAGGAAUUGUUAAAACCUUUCUACCUGAAGUGGUAUGAUGCCAAUACUAGAUGUGAUUACUAUUUUAGGAUAGAGAACUACACAGCAUUUAAGUAUAAAGUAUAGGGUUUGGUUAAAAAUGAUUAUUUAAACUUUGAAAAGAAAAGAGAGCCAAACAUAAGUGGUAAUUAUUUGCCAAAUCAUGCUAGCCCAACAAGUAACGUUAUUGAUAAUGGUAAGGUGUAACACAUUAAGAGAUUUGUAAAUGAAAUUAAAACUUUUAUAAAAAAAGUGUUUGAUAUAUUAGUAAGGGUUGGUGCCCUUUAUUCCUCGGACUUAAACUAAGAUAAUGGCCAUACAAAGUAUGAUCCAGAUCAAACUUGCAAAUAUCAUAUAUAACCAAUAAGGCACUCUAUUCAGAACUGCAAUGUAUUCCAUUAGAUGCUACAAACAAUGAUGGAUUCAUCUUUGAUUAAGUUUUUCUAUAAGUGUGAUAAAUGUUCGAUGGAUGCCACAAAAAAGAAACUUUUAAAGAAUACACAUUCAAGAGUCAUGUUCAAGCUGGUGACUAUAUUUUACAAUAUAAAACCAGCUCUAGAAAAAGAAGAACGUCCUUUUGUUCCUAAGCCAAUUGUGGCCAUUAAUGUUCCCAGUCUUUUUUUAUACCAAAACAGUAAAGUAGUGCCGUGAAAAUAUGAUUGUGGCAUCGUAGGCCAAAGAUAGAAUGGUUGUUUAAGCUCAAGCAAUCUAGAUACUGCUAAUAUUGCCAGAGUAGGUGGUAUGACCAGAAGUGGAGGGUGUUAUACACCAAAAACCUUAUAGAAGAUUAAAAAAAAAAGAAAAAAAAAUGUCAAAAAAAGAAAAAAAAACUCAGCCGAUAGUAACCCAAGAAAUAUAGUAUAAGAAGUCAAUCUUUAAGGAAAAAGCUAGUGAGUUUUUGAAGUUAAUCAGACAUAGUGAGUAUAGUGUUAUUGAACAGAUGAACAAAACACCUGCUUAUAUUUUGCUAUUUUCUUUAUUGUUAAACUCUAAAUUACAUCGAAAAGCUUUAUUAAAAAUGUUAAAUGAAACAUAUAUAGAGCAUAAUAUAUCAGUUGAAAAUGUAGGCCACAUCAUAGAAAACAUCACUGCAUCGAAUUACAUUAUUUUCAAUGAUAAUGAGAUCCCAUUGAAAGUUUGAAGUAGUACCAAAGCCUUUCACAUUUAUAUUCAGUGCAAAAACCACAUCAUAGGCAAGUUUCUUAUUGAUCAAUGUCAUAGCCAUCACCACUUUGAAAAAGUUGCCCGUUGACAUAUCAUAUAUAAAGCCAAGUCAUAUGAUCGUAAAGGCAUUGAAUGGUUCUUAACAUAAAGUACUUAGGGACAUUGAGAUAGCCUUAGAAAUAGGGCCAUGUACAUUUACUAUAGAAUGUCAGGUCAUGAACAUUUCACCAUCAAAUAGUUGUUUACUUGGAAGGCCAUGGAUUCAUAUGGCUAGUGCUGUACCAUCUUUUUUACCUCAGAAAAUCAAGAUCAUUGUUAAAAAUAAACAUGUUUGUAAGGAAGCCCUUAAGUACUCCAUAUGUGAAAACUAUUAAAAAGGUAAUAGAAUGUUUUUUCAUAUUUUUUGAAUUUAUCAAUACAGCUUACAUGGGAAAAGGAUCAAAGGUACCAACUCCACAUUUAUCGAAGGUUAUAGAGAUGGUGGUCAAGUAAAUAGUUGGAAAAAAGUGGCAUUUUGGAAAAGGUUUAGAAGUGAACUUACAAGGAAUCAAGAAACCACCAAAGAUAUGCAAGAACAAAAGAAGAUUUCGGUUUGGAUACAAGGUUAAUAUAAUAGAAAAAAAUGAGACUCAUUACUACAAAGAGAGAGAAAAGAAUGGCUCACCUCAAUAGACGUGAAUCAAAAGGUGAAAAGAUGGUUUUCCCUUACUUCUAUAAUACCAUUUACUUAGGUGGAUGUAUCUAUCUUAAUUCAUUAAAGAUUGCAAGGGGAGAACCCACAUUGGACAUAAAAUAGGCUUUUUUCGAGCUAGAAAUUAGUAUGGUGAAUGAGGAAGAGAUGACAACUAAGGAAGAUAAGGUGUUUAUGUAUCAACACCCCAUGGAACCAAGCUAAACAAUUAGAAAAUGAUGAAGUUGCUAGUUGUCUUUAAGUCUCUUUCAAAGUAAUAUAGUGAGAUUAAUUCUCCAAUGCUUCAACCCAAGAGCAUUUGGAGGUUUUAUACAUGGGCUUAUCUUUUCAUUUUAACAAAAUCAAUGCAUUUUUGUUUCUUGUUUUUCUUGUAUUUAAACUUUUCACACCUUUAUAUCUAUCUAUAUUUCUUCAAUAUACACUUUUCAACUAUCCAAAUAAUGAACAUGAAGAUAACCAUGACAAUAAUCUAGAAUUUGAUUUUGAAAAUCUUAUUCAUAUUGAUGAGCUUGAUAAUGAAAAAAAAAUUAGAUGAUUACACUCUAUCCUCUGACUUGUUAAACUAGUAAAGUAAGAAAGAAAACCAAUCAAACCAUAUGAAGAAGCUCUAGAUGUAGUUAAUUUUAGGAGUAAGGAGAACAAGAAAGAAGAUAAAGUGGACACAGCACUUUAAUGUACCGAAAGGCAAAGGUUGGAAAAACUAUUCCAUGAGUACGUUGACAUGUUUACGUGAUCGUACCAAGAUAUGCCAAGACUCAACAUAAAUAUUAUAAAACAUCACUUGCCUUUAAAACUAGAAUGUAAGCUAGUAUAGCAAAAAUUGAGACAUAUAAAGCCAAAAAUGUUGAAAAAGUAGUUUGAUGGAGGUUUUCUAAAAGUGGCUAAAUACCCAAAGUGGAUGGCUAAUACAGUCACAGUCCCUAAAAAUGAUGAAAAAAUUCAAAUGUGUGUGGACUACCAAGACUCGAACAAGUCAAGCCCGAAGGAUAACUUCCUAUUACCUCACAUUGACAUUUUGGUAGAUAAUACAAUGAAGCAUUCCAUAUUCUUAUUAAUGGAUAAUUUUUUAAUAUACAAUCAAAUUAAGAUGACCCUUACUGAUAUGGAGAAAACUAUAUUUGUGAUGAUGUGGGACACAUUUUGCUACAAAUUCAUGCCUUUCAAAUUAAAAAUUGCUAGAACCAUCUAUCAAAGAGCAAUAAUGAUCUUUUUUUACAAUAUGAUGCAUAAAGAGAUAAAGGUGUACAUGGAUGAUAUAAUCAUGAUAUCUCGUGAAAAGGAAGACCAUUAAGCCAAUCUUAGAAAGUUAUUUAAAAAAUUAUAAAACUUUCAGCUCAAAUUGAACCCAACAAAUGCAUAUUUAAGGCUAAAUUAUGAAAGUUGUUAGUUCAUGAUCAGUGAAAAAGGAAUUGACUGGAUCUCAACAAAAUACAUGCCAUCCAAAACUUAUCCCUUUCAUAGAAGUAAAAAGAAGUAAAAGGAUUUAGAAAUACUGAACUACAUUUCUUGCUUUAUUUCUUAACUCAUUUACAAGUGUAAUCCUAUUUUUAAGAUGAUCAAAAAAAUGACCUCGAUAAAUGGAAUAAAGAAUGUCAAUGAUUUUUGAGAAAAUCAAAGAAUAUUUAUCAAACCCAAUAGUUUUAGUGCCACCUAUUGUAAGAAAACUUUUGAUUUUGUGUCUAAUGGUGCAUGAUAAUUUUAUAAGAUGUGUAUUAGGGCAACAGGAUGAAACAAACAAAAAAGAGUAAGCCAUUUACUACCUAAGCCAAAAGUUCAUUGAUUAUGAAUUUAAGUAUUAUCAAUUAGAAAGAAUGUGUUGUGCAUUAGCUUGGGUAGCCAACAGACCUAAGUAGUAUAUGUUGUUUCACACAACUUAGCAGGUAGCAAAAUUGGAUCCUCUUAAAUAUAUCUUUGAGAAACCAUCUUUUUCAAUAAGAAUAACUAGAUAACAGGUUAUGCUCAUCGAAUACGACAUGUGAACAUGGCACAAAAGUCAAUCAAAGGAAGUACAAUUAUAGAAUUUCUUGCAAAUCGCACUAUUGAUGACUAUGAACCCAUAAAGUUUGAUUUCCCUAAUGAAGACUUAAAGAUUAUAUUCCAAAUUGAAAAGGUGGGGCCCAUGGAAGACCAUGGAAAAUGUUUUUUUAUAAAGCUUCAAAUGCAUUGGGGCAUGGAAUCAAGACAGUUUGAAUUUCUUCAGAAGAAAACUACUAUCUAAGCAUAGCAAGUUUGGAUUUUAACUACACUAAUAAUGUGGUAGAAUACGAUGCAUACGUCAUAGAGUAUUAGAAUCUAUAGAGACUCGAACUUGGUAAUCUGUCAAUUACAAGGUGAAUGAAAAACUAGAGAGUCAAAGUUGGUCCGAUAUCAAAAGUACAUUGUCGAAUUAAUCAAGCAAUUUAAAGAUGUUUAGUUCCAGUAUGUCCUUCAAGAAGAAAAUUAGAUUGCUUAUGCAUUGGCAACACUAGCUGUAAUGUUCAAGACAAAUACAAAUGUAGAUAUUCAACCCAUCAAAUUAAACAUAUAUAAAUCACUGGCACACUGCUCAAAAGUUAAAAAUGAGGUGAAUGGACAACUUUGGUAUUACGACAUCAUGAAAUAUGUCAAAUAUGGACAAUACCCAAAGUAUGCAUCAAAAAAUGACAAAAAAAUUAUCCGAAGAUUGGCAAUGGUAUUUUUUCUUGCUAGAGAGAUUUUAUAUAAGAAAAGUCUCAAAUGUUGCUAAGAUGUGCAAAUACUAUGGAGGCGAAAAGAAUAUUAGAAGAAGUGCAUGAAAUGAUUUGUAAGGCUCACGUAAAUGGUCACAUAAUGGCUAGAUAAAUCAUAAGAGCAGGCUAUUACUAGUUGACAAUGGAGAAUAAUUGUAUCAGCUAUGCCAAGAAAUGCCAUAAAUGUCAAAUAUAUGCAGAUAAGAUACACGUCCUCCAAUUAUUUUACAUGUUUUGGCACCACCAUGGCCAUUUUCUAUGCGAAGGAUGGAUGUGAUUGAGCCCAUCACUCCAAAAGCUUUGAAUAGGCAUCAAUAUAUUUUUAUAGUGAUUGAUUAACUCACAAAAUAGGUAACCUCUUAUGCUAAUAUGACACUAAUGAUGGUACAUAAGUUCAUAAAAAAAGAGAUAGUGUGUCAUUACAGGCUUUCAAAAAUGAUCAUUUUCAAUAAUCUCACAACUUGAACAACAAAAUCUAAAAAAGGUUUGCGCUCAAUUCAAAAUCAAACACCAUAACUCAGUACCAUAUCACUUAAAGACGAAUAGGGCAAUGAAAGCUGCAAAUAAGAACAUUAAGAAGAUAAUAGAAAAAAUUAUUGACACAUACAAGGAUUGGUAAAUUGCCAUUUGCUCUGCAAGCUUACAAAACUUCAGUCCACACUUCUACUGAAGCUACUCUAUUUUCACUGGUAUAUGGGAUGGAGGCCGUGCUACCAAUUAAGGUAGAAAUCUUUUCAAUAAAAAUCUUAAUGAAAGUAGAAUUAGAAGAAGCUAAUUGGGUUUAAAGUCAUUAUGAACAAUUGAAUCUUAUUGGGGAGAAAAGAUUAAUAGCUUUUUGUCAUGCCAAAAAAGGAUAAUGCAAGCCCAUGAUAAAAGAAUUUAGCCUAGGUGAUUUCAUAAAAGAGAACUGGUUUUGAAGAAGUCCUUAUAAUCCAGUAUAACAGUCAAGAAAAAUGGAUGCCAAAUUGGAAAGGUUCAUACAUAGCAAAGAAAACCUUCUCAAGUGGGACAUUAAUCUAACAAAAAUGGAUGAUGAUGAAUUGCUAAACCCAAUAUGCAUUAAAAAAAAAGAAAGAUAAAAAAAAAUAGAAUUCAAAUAAAAAACCCAAAAAUGGUGGUUUGGAUUUAAGGGGAUACCUAAGUCAAAAACUUGAAAAGGUGGCUUAGGUACAUGAAGGUGUCAGCAUCAAUUGGGGAUCAUGUCAUGCUAGGGCAAAGUUUAAUAUGAUGUGUUCUAAAAUCAAGAAUGUCAAAUGGCAAGAUUUUCAAAAAUAAAAAUUUUGGAUAAAUGUUUAAAGUUUCUAAAUGUUCAUUAUUUUGAAAUUAAUUGUCCCCAUCCCAACAUUUUCCCUAGUAGUUUGCUCUUAAAUGCCUAGUUGUGUAGACCCUUCACAAAAAUCUACUUAUGUAUCAUUUAGUAAUGAAUAUCUUUUUUUCUUUAGCCUACUUUCUCUCUAUUAUGUUGCUUUCUCAAACAAAUAAAGGAAACAUUGAUGUACUGCAUUUAAAAUUGAAAUUGUGAAAGGUUUGUCUAGACAAUGCUUGCACUACAUUGAAAAAAAAUUCAAAGGUAACAUGAAAAAAUGAACAAAAAUGAGAAUUAAAGAAAAUCAAGGAAAAAACUGGUACCUUAUGGGUUUGAAAGAAUGAAUCUUUGAUCUACCAAAAAGGUUCUUCAACCAUCAAGAUUUUGAAAGCCAGUUCUGAAGUUGAAUAUAUAAGAUUGAAAAAGGAAAAAAUCGAAGACAAAAAAAAAAAAAGGUUCUUGAAAACCUUGUUACCACAACUGAAAAUGCAUGGUAUUGCUUUGUUCGCAUCAUAUUCCCUACAUACACUCAAUAAAAAAGAAACGUAGUGUCUAGACUAAAUUUUUGAAGUUAAAAAUUAACCAAGGGGUGAUAGUGUCAUAAACCCUCAAUUGAAUUAUUUCCAAAAACACAUGGACCUUUGUUUGAAAGAAACUUGUCAGACAUGGUUUGUGAAAUCUCUAACAUAAUCUCCAAAUUCCAUUCAAAUUAGAUUUUUUAAAGUUAUCAAGCGUUUAAUGGGAGGAGCUUCUAGUUGAAUUUUUUUUUUAAUUGUCAAAUCUCUAAUAAAAGGAGCUUUCUUAAAGUUGUUGAGUCUCGGAUAGGAUGAGCCUUUCAAUUCAAUUUUUAAAGUUAUUGAGCCUCUGAUAAGAGGAGCUUUUAGUUUAAUUUUUAAAAUUGUUUAGCCUCUGAUGAAAGGAACUUAUGGAUUUGCUUCAAAAAAAAAAACAAAAUCAAAAUCAAAAAUCAAAAUAAAAAGAAAGAAAACAAAACAAAAUAAAAAAAUAAAAAUUUUCUUUCGACUCUGGAUAAAAUUGUUAUAAUUGUUUUUGUCCUUUUCCUGAUUCUCAAUAAUAUGCAAAGAAAGACAACUGUAAACAUCCGAUUUUGAUCAAAUUGUUUAAAAUGGACCUCAAUUUCAAUUGAAUGGAUGUUGGGCCCAAAUUCUAUGUCAAUUGGGCUUAAAGCCCAAAUUUUAUCUUUGACCCAAAGUUAUAGCCCAAAAUCAAGUUAAGGGCUCAAGUUUUAAAAAGAAAAAGAGCAAAUUAAAUAAAAAUAAUAAAAAGUAAUUAAAAAAAGCCUAUAAUUAUAAGUGUCAUGCAUGGCACUGGCAACCUACAAGCCAUCCAACCCUUAACUUACACCUUUUUCUCCUUUCAACCAUGGUAGAUAAGGCUAAGUCUUCAAGAAAUCUAGUUUAAGCUAAAAUGGAAAAUAAGAAAGUCACAUUAGCAACUGCCCUGGCAGUGUGAAGGCUACCGGUGACCUUUUGAAAACCAUUCAGAAUCCAAGAUAUCAUGGGAUUUCAUCUCCCCUCCUAGCUCUAUAAAUUUAAAGCUCAAACACAAAAUAAAAAAGAAGAAAGAAUGAGGGAAAAACUCUACAAAAAAGACAAGCCUAAAAAAAUUCUUUUGUCAAACAAAAAAAAAACCCUUUACUAAUCUGUAAAAACUAAAAGCAAAAUUCACAUCCCUUAGAGUAGGGAACCAAUGCCAGAAAAAACAAACCAUAAAAAAAGAAAAAAAAAAGAGUUUGUAGCCAAGAUUUUGAGAACAGAUCUGGGCUUUUGGGGAAAGUUCUUAAAAAAAAAGGGCUCAAAAUGAGAAUCAGAAAGUUAAGAGGAGUUUUUGGUAGUUUUUGAAAGGUUUUCAGUGAUCAACAUGGUGGCUAACAAUCGAUGACUGUGACAAUGAAUGGCGGCACACAACUACAACCUAUCAUUUUUUGGGAAGAGGCUGGGAGAAAUUUUUUAGCUUAGAGGUUUUUUUUUUUUUUUUUUGCAUAAAGGGAGGAAGAAAUGAGUUGGAAAAAAUUGGCUUUUUAUAGGGGAACGAAUAGUUAAAAUGAUGCAUUUGGUUGAGGAAGGAUCCUUAUGAACCUACUACCUGACUCGAGAUCUGCACGACUCGACCUAGAAAUGCAGUAGCUAACUAGACUUUGAUCGGUCUAACUUAAUCGAUAUUGAACUAGAUCUUAUUCGGUUUGAAUCAUAAAAAAUCACUCUAGAUCGCUUGAAUAGUAGGAAACCACUCUAGACCGUUGAACAACUCUAAACCGUUGAUUGAUCUGAUUCAGUUUUUUUUGUAUUUUUGUAUUUACUUAUUUUAUUUUAUUAUUAUUGUUUUUUUUAGUUUUUUUAUGUUCCAAAAUAUUCUUUAUAUAAAAAUAGAGUUUAAAUUUUUGAUAAUUUUAAAUUUUGCUACAAAAAAAAUUUUUCUUUAAAAAUAAAAUUGAAAAAUGAAAGAGUAAUAAAUAAAAUAAGAAUAAAUUUUCCUUCUUUUUCUAUAAAAUAAAAAAGUUUAACUAAAAUUAAUAAUAAAAAAAUAAGAAAAAUGAAAAUUUAUCUGAUAAUUAGAUUCUAAGAAAAUUUGCACAAUGAUUCCUACAAAAUCUCUCGGUGAGAUUUUUUUUAAAAUACUAUCAGUUUAUUAGAGUGUUUAAAAAAAAUUUUCAAAAAAACUAUAAAUUCCUUUUUCUUCUACUUAAAAAAAUAAAAAAAAUAAAUAGUAAAUAAUAAAAAUGGAAAAAUUAAUAAACAAAUUUUUCUAAAAGAAAAGCUAUAUUUGUUCUAAAAAAAUUACUCGUAAAUAAAAAGAGUAAAAAGAAAAUUUUUUAUUUAAUGAUGAGAUUCUAAGUUAAUCUGAGUAGUGAUACUUAAGAAAUCUCUAAAUGAGAAUUUUUUUUAAUACUACCAACACAUUAGAGUAUUUAUAAAAAAAAAAUUCAAUGCAAUAAAAAAUCUUUCUUUUUUUCUAAAAAGAAUCUAAAAAUAUAUAUAAUAAAAAAUUAUCAAUAAACAAUUUUCUUUAAAAAAAAGAGAUAAAUAAAACAUGCACACUAGGAUUUAAUAAUUUGCAUUGCCUACAUAUCAUAUUUAAUUUUUAAAUAAUAAAUACGAGUCUCCGAGAACGAGAUUCUAAAAUAAUUCGAGUAGUGAUUUCUAAAAUUCCUUAGGUGAGAAAAUUUCCUUCAAUGUUACCAACAUAUUAGAACAUUUUUAAAAUUUUUUUAAUAAUAAGGUUCUAAUUUAUUUUUUUAAAAUAAAAUGGAUUAAUCUUAAAAAUAAUAAAAAUAAUAAAGAAAAUUUUGUAAAAAAGAAAAACAGAAGAAAUAACAAAACUGGAAAUGAAAAUAAAUUAAUAAAGGUAGUUAAUAGAAUUAUUUUUGAAUACCAAAAUUAAGACUUUAUUGUCAAAAUUAAAAGAUAAUACAUAAUUAAUUGAUGCCAUUUUUCUAAGAGCUUAGUAUGGGUACUAAUUCUUUCUUAUGUAUAACUGACUCUCAAACUCAAAUUAUUUUUGCAAACCCAAAAAUUAUAUUUUUAAUUAAUUUUAAAAAAUAACCAAUCACAUUUAAUCAAAAAAAUUGAUAACGACUUCAUUUAUUUUUAAAUUCAUCUAAUAAUUCUAAAACUGUUACGACAACAUGUAUAACAAUAACAUAAUUUGAUUGGGUCAGAUUUGCUGAAAUUGAUUUUUAUUUAUCAUAAUUGAAUUGAUGGAAAAAAAAAAUCAAAUACAUAAAAGAUGCACAUAUACGAUCAUGUUUUUUAUAGGGUUCAUCACACAUAAACUAAGUUGCAAAACCUUUUCUAGGAAAAGAAAAUGUUUUAUUUCUCAAAUAUUAUAUAUAUAUAUACACACACAUAUAUAUUGAUUUAUUCACUCUAUUGAUCACCAAAUUAAGAAACCAGAUUUAAAAGGAUGAAAUUAUUGUUUUUUAUAGUAAUUUACUCAUAGUGCAAGUCUAAGAUUUCGGUUGUGUGAAAAUGAUUUUGGAUAUCUCAAUUAUCAAUAGCAUUAUUACCAUACAUAAGCCAAUUAUUACUAUACGAUUUGUAUUCACCCAGUUGCUUGCGUCAAUAACGAUGCAAAUAAAUCCAACCUUUAGCACCAAAUAAAUAAAUAAAUAAAUCCAAACUUUUUAGUUUCAUGAUCCUAGGCUUCAAAAAUAUUAAACUUAUAUUAAAAAUAAAUUUUAAUAUAAUAAUAAUUUAAACUGGACCUGAGCUCAAAUUGUAUUCCAAUGAAAAUUAAUUUUAUACACAAUGCAAUUGUAAAGAAUACUCAUUCGAAAAAUUACUUUGAUUCUCUAGAGCAAUAUUACCUUACAAGGUGAUGAGCCAAUUUAUUGAUUCACGUAUACUAAAUAAAUAUUAAACAUAUACAAAUAUAUUGAUUCUCUCAAUCAAAAUUACUUACAAGUUUAAAACUAACUAUAAAGUUCAAGUUUUACCACGAAAUUUAUAUAUAGACAACUCAACAAAACCAGAAAAGGCCAAAGUUAGAUUAAUUAAGCUCCUCCACGAAUUUUUUUAAUCAAAACCAUCAACUUUAAACAUAAAACGAAAGAAAAUGGAUGCGUUAGCUAGGACAAAUUAAGCACAACCAAGAAAUUUGUACUUAAUCCCCCAAGUUUAUUCGGAAACAACAAAACCUGUUGCACUGUUUAUAUUGUCAAAGAUGCACAAGUGAGGUUCCGUCAAUCAAAUUGGCACUUUUCUAUCGACUCCAGGUAGCAUUCACCCUUGUAAUAGCCAUGAAAUCGAUCUAAAAACCACUGCCGUUACCAUCUUUAGGCAAUAGCAAGAAACUCCAAUGGCCUACGUCUAUAUAUUCAUUAGAAAACCAAAGACUGAAAAUUGAAUGCCAUGUAAGAUGAAAGAAAAUGAGAGAAGAAAAUCUAACAGAUGUUCUCAAUGCAAAGGUACCAAUACAGUUUAUCUUGAUAGUAAAAGGUUGAACAUUGAGUAAAAGCAUAACUAAAUUGUAAGUAUCAGCAAAUGAAAAUUAAUGGUUGAAUGCAGUUCCUCCCCUGAAAGAAACUAGGCUCUCUGCAUACAAUGCUAGCUCUAAUGCAGUUCCUUCAAAUUGGAGUGUCUUUAUCUCUUUGUUAUCUCGAUGAUGCCACGCCAGAAAUUUGCUUUCUUGGUUAACAAGGAAGAUUUCACCAUCGCGGCCGACUCCUAAUGGUAUAGUGGCAGGAGGAAAAGAUUCAAUGGUGAAUAAUUUUGUCCAAGAGUUCUUUAGACCAAGUUCACCCAACACCCAUACAUCAUAGCAGCCAUAUCUCACAUAAUAAUCAUGACAAAGUAACACACCAAGUGAUCCGUUGAUUUCCAUUAAAUAGGUAAGAUAGCGUGUUGUUCUACAGCUCUUACCCAAUCUCCCAUCAGGGAAUGGUGUUGUAACGAAAACUUCAUUACUCAUGUCAAAUGAGAGGAGCAAUUCUUCACUAUCAACAACUGCCAAACAGUGAUAAAAUCCGUUGGAGUAGACUUGAUCGAUCCCAUGACAAUUGAAGAAUUCAGCAGUUAAGUUGUCAUUGAACUUUCUCCAAGAAUCAGUAGUUAAGUUGUACAAAGCAACUCGGUUACCUCGGGGGACUCUGUCGAAAUCACCCUCCCAAAAUGUGUCAAUCCUAAUUACUUUAUACUCAUCUCUCUUGGAAUCAUAACCCAGACCAGCUACAUCAAUGGUAUUUUCAGAGCUUGGCGGACACUCAAAAGGACACAUAGGGAGAAUUUUAAAUUCCUUAGUCGCAAUGUUCCACAAAAGAAUACCACUAAAGCAGUCACAAAGACAAAUUAUGCCAUUGCAAUGACCUAGGAUAUGUAUAUGUAUCGGAUCAUCAGUAAAGGAUGGUAUAUCAAGAUUGGCAACAACAUCAAGAGUUUGAUUGGAAAUAAAAGAGACCAUAGCCUUUCUCUGUGAAAAAUUCACUUGUUUCAUGAGGAGACAGGUCUUGUUUUUACUAAAAGAAUAGUGGGCCGUAAUAAAUUGAGGGCUUUGAAUCAAGCAACACCAAGACUAACCUACACACCUGAAUCGCUUUAGAGAUUUGACAGGCAAUCUUGCCAGAAUAUCCACCACAAUAUCUUCAGGCAACGAAUGGGUGAUCGCGGCUGCAGCCAUUGAUGAUCUUCCUUGACGGUGUCCCCCUCUGCGUGUGUAAACGAGAGAUUUGAGUAUAUGCAAUACUUUCGAAGGGAUGGGAAAACUUAUGUGAUUUGAUUUUAUGCAGCGUAAAUGGUAACUGACAUUUGACAGGCAACACCUCUUGCAAGUCGUCUGGCAUUCUAUUGGGUUAUUUAUUGUACCAACUAUUAAAUUUAAGAAAAGCGACGUCAUUGCUUAACUGUUAAGUAAGCGGUUGUUUAAACAUCCGGAUUAAUUAAAAUGGAUUUCGAGUUUUAUUCGGAUGUUCCUAAUUUUGAUUAUUUGAGCUUUCUAAUCAGAGUUGUUUGAUAUUGGACUUGUGCAAACUUGAUAAUCUUGAGUCCAAAUUUUCCAAUCUAAAAUCACAUGGGCCAAAAUUUAAUUUCAAUCCACUUCUAGUUAAAUGGAUCUUUUGUGCUUUAAAAGUUAAAAAGCUUAAGUCAUUUGAGGCUUAAAGCCCAAAUUUCCAGACUCAUGCAAUCAAAUUAGUGCUUUAAUUAAAUGAAAGGUACGAGGCAAACUCCGGAAUACAAUGCUAAAAUUUCUCGUUUUACGAGAGUUAGGUUGAGCUCUAUAGCAUUUUAAUUAAACAAAUAAUUUAAUUAACGAAUGAAAAUUAAAUAAAAAAGGAAUAAAAAAUUUAAUAAAAUAAAUAUAAGAACAAAUUGAAAGAAAAUCAAAUCACAAGCAGAUACCGUGCAUGAAACCACUAGCAACAAUGUCUACCAGCCCUGCAAUUCAGCCAACCUAUCCCUUGAAUCGUCAAGCCACCCUACCAGCCAUCAUUGCAGUCGAAAUUAAGCUGCCAACAACCCUCUUUCUUACCCCGUAUAUUUCUACCUACUUUUCGUUUUUUCUCAUGAACCUAAAAUAUGAAACUACUUAUAAAAGUGAACAGAGAAAUCAACAGAGGGGGAAAUUUUGAAAAAGAAAAAAAAAACUUCAAAAACAAAAAUCUGUUACCAUCACCACCAGUACCCUUGUGCUACUAGCACACCCACUUAGGCAAAGAACCCAAACUCGUCACCAAUUUCAUCUAAAAGCCAUCAAAGCUAAACCCAUGGACCACGUCAAUCCACCAAAAAGCAAACACAAAAACCCUUCAACCCUUGCUCGCCGAAACCACCACACCCAUCUACAAUAGCCAAAUACGCCAGAACUUCAUCAAAUUCCAUCUGGAAUAAAAAGGUCCUACUCUACUUCUCAUUCGAAAACCAUCACAGAAAAACCAAAAAUGAAAAUAAUUUCCCUAAAACCCAAAAAAUACACUAUCAAAAGUAAAAAAAGGCAAUAAAUGAUAAGAGUAAAAGAUAGCGAUUUUGUUGGUUUUGGGCAGCUAAUCGGCCAUUGAGUAUUCUUGGAAUUUUUUGACUUGGAUCUAGGUGGCAAUACAGAUACUCAAUCUCUCGUUUACUUACACACAGUGAGGAAGAUUAUUAAUGGCUGCACUAACAAUCACCCAUUCGUUGCCUGAAAAUGUUGUGGAGAAGAAUUUUGGUUAAGGUCAUGGUUACGUUUUCGGUCACAUUAAAUAUAUUAUGAUUGUGAAUGUAAUAAUAAUUAUCGGUGUAACGGAUACAAUAACAAUAGAUACCUUCAUUGUGGUUGUAAAUUUUUUUUAUUUUAUAUAACUAUAAACAUCUUGUCUUACUCAAAGUCCAAACUUGGAUUUUUUAUUUAUUUUAUUUUAUUUUAUUUUUAUUAAAUUUAUAUAUACAUAUGUUAUUAUUUAUUUAUUUAUUUAUUUUUGUUAUUUUUAAUUUUAUUUAAUUUCUUUGAUAUCCUUAGCUUCAAAUUUCAUUUAUAUUUUCUUUAAAUUAUCUAAUUAUUUUAAAAAAAUCAAAUAGAUGAAGUUUGGGUGAUAUUAUCUUAGGUGAUAAACAAUAGGAUUGAUUUCAGAGGAUAAUCUAGGUAUUUGUUUGAAAUAAAUUUAAUUCUAAUUGAAUUGGGAUUCUGUUAAAUCUCCCUCUAUAAAUAGACUUGAAAUCAUCACACAACGAUCACACACACAAUAGUAAGCAUAGUAAACAAUAAGAGAUAGUAUUUUAACAAGAAAGAUAGCAGCAACAAAUAAAGAGAAAACAAAGAGCAUCCAAAAUUUUGAAAGAGAGAAAAAAGUUUUUAGCAGAAGGAUUUUUUAGAGUUUUUAAGUUGGGAGAAUCUAAUUUGGUUUUUUUUUUAAAGAUUCUAGGAGCUAUAAGUCUAAUUUGGUGUUUUGGAGCAAAUUUUUCUAAAUUUCUAAAAUUUUUUUUAGAAAUUCUAGAAUCCAACCAAAAUUUCGACAAACUUCAAAUUUUUCGAUGACUCUCUAACAAUUUUUUUCAAUUUUCAACAAUAUUCUUCAAAAACUGACAAAGCAUUCAACUGACGUUCAUAAGCUUUAGAGAGAGAAGUAGAGAAAAAGAAAGAGAGGAGAGAAAGAAAAAAGAAAUCUAAGGAAAGAAAAAACAAAUUUGCAAGUUUUAUAAUGUCCUAGAACAAUGUCGUUUUGAGUAAGGUUAAACCCUAAAAUCCGUGUGUUUUGCAUUGACCCAACUCGAACCAUACCGCACUACCCAACGACUCACAAUCCUCCUAAGCUAAUUAAGCUUCUAAGCCGAGCCAACUAGUCUUGAGCCGUGCCAUAUCCUGUUACCUUUUGUUCAAUUUUCAACAAUAUUCUUAAAAAACUGACAAAGCAUUCAACCGACGUUCAUAAGCUUUAGAGAGAGAAGCAGAGAAAAUGAAAGAAAUGAGAGAAAGAAAAAAGAAAUCUAAGGAAAGAAAAAAAAAUUUUGCAAGUUUUAUAAUGUCCUACAACAAUGUCGUUUUGAGUAAGGUUAAACCCUAAAAUCCGUGUGUUUUGCAUUGACCCAACUCGAACCAUACCGCACUACCCAACGACUCACAAUCCUCCUAAGCUAAUUGAGCUUCUAAGUCGAGCCCAUCUACCGUGCCAUCCUAUAUCUUCUGCUUAGCAUUCUCCAGCCACUAAAACCGAGUCAAUCUUGUUGGUAUAAAUUUCAUUUUCAUUAUUUAUUUAUUUUUCAUUUAUUUGAAUAUUUUCUUUAUUAAUUGUUUUUAUUUAUUUUAUUAUUAGUGGUUUAUUUAUUUGUUUUUAUUUUAAUUUAUUUAUUUGAUUAUUUAUGUAUUUAUUUAUUGUAAAUAUUUUUAUAAAAAAAUAAAAAAAAAAUCUUUUCAAAUAAAAUGAAUCUUAUCACAUAUUGGAGGGGUUCAAACUUCUAAAAAUAAAUUUUUGAAUAAAAAAAUGAAUCUUACCGUCCAAACAUGUUGUAGAGGGUUUAAAUUUCUAAAAAAGAAUUUUUGAAUCAAAAUGAACUUGCCCAAUAUAUUGGAGGGUUUAAAUUUAAAAAAAAAAAAAGAAUUUUUGAAUAAAAUGAACCUUACCAACAUGUUGAAGGGUUUAAAUUCUCAAGAAAUGAAUUCUUCAAUAGAAUAAAGUCUUACGAACAUAUUGAGAGGCUUGUGAUUUUAAAAAUAAGGUUUUACCAAUAGAUUGGAGAACCUUAUGAAUUUCUCAUAAAAAUUAAAUUUCAAGGUAAAUAAAAAAAAUAGUCUUCAAAAAGCCUUACCAACAUAUUAAAGGGUUUGUGAUUUUAAAAAUAAGGUUUUACUAACAGAUUAGAGAACUUUAUGAUUUUUAAUUAAGAUUUAAAAGAAAAAAAAUAGUUUCCAUAUGAUCCUACCAAUAUAUUGGAGGAGAAUCUUUGAUAAAAAAUCUUACCAAUAUAUUAGAAGAUAUUUUUGAAAAUAAAGUAUUUUUAUAAAAAUAGAUUUUGAAUCUUCAAUGAUGGAAUUACAAACAACGUUGCAAAUAACUUCUUUGUAAAUUCUUAGGUGAGAAAUUCUUUCUUAAUUUUACUAACAUAUUGGAGAAUUUAGAAAAGAUUUUCAAUAUUAAGAUUCUCACAAAAAUUUCACUUAUCACAAAUAAAAAUUUUUACACAAAUUAAAUGAAUCCAACAACGGAACUUCUUCAAAAUAUGACAAAUAGUCUCCUUAAAUACUCCUAAGGUGAGAAAAUAUACAUAUUGAAGUAAUUUAAGGAUAAUUAACAAUAAGUAAUUAUAUGGUAAGAUUUUUAAAGCUUUUGGAUAACAUGAAAUCAAACUGAUACUAUCAUUUGGAUGGGGGUUGUGGGAGUGCUAUAACCUUUCUCAUAAUUAACCAUACUUUCAGACUUAGUUCUAGUUUCAUAGACAUAAAUCUACCUUUUAAAUAUGCCUAAGUCAAACUUGGGACUUCUUUUUAAAAUGAGAUAGAUCAAUUAGGUGACCAAUCGCAUAUAAACAAAAAAGAUAAGUGGUGACUCCCUAAGUCAGGUCUAGCAAUGGCUUUACAAAUCUAUAAGUUAUGAUAGUUUGGCAGCUUCGUUGGGGAUUCUAAGAGUUAGGUAAGUAAACUCGUGUUAUCCAAAACCUAUGUUAAAAUUAAGAGUUUUUCUUUAAAUGAUUUAUCUAGUUCUAAUUAUACCAUAUUCUAUCACUUGCAUCUAUAUGACAUGAGCUCUAUACUUGAGCACUGUUUUUUAAAAAGAGUUAAGUACCUAUGCUCUCGUGAGAUUUCAUGUCUCCAUCCCGACUAGUAAAACACUCUCACUCAAAUUGAAUCAUUUCCAUCUGUAGUUUGUGAUAGACGAGGAUUAAGGUGUCUUAUUAGUCUAUGAUGGAUAAUUAUGUAAGGAAUAAUUUGGGAACUGUUAGAGCUAACCCAAACUGCAUAUAGUUAGCCUUAUGAGCCUAACCAAUAGGUAGAGCCAUGAUAGUCCUUUUUGUAGAAAUGACCCAAACUUAGGACACAUACCUUUUAUAUAUAAGUUCUGCAUAAACUUGUUUUGUUCUUUUAUUUCUUUGUACUGGAUGCUGACUUUGUUCUUGUUUGUUACUUCAUUUUUGCAUGAAUCUUGUUAACGUCAAUAAGAUUGCAAUUUUUUUUAAUCAUUUCAUGCAUCUCAUUCAUUCAUAAAUCAUCAUUCAUGUAUUACGUUCAUUUCAUAAUAUAGAAUGCUUUUGUUUUAUUUGGGUAACAACAUAAAAAGACAUGGAAGAACAAUUAGAGCACCAAUCCAAGCCCCAUAACUUAUCCAAGAAUUGGGGCAUAACCUACGAGAGUAAAAAUGCAACUUGCCAAGCGACUAGGAAAACUUGAAGCAACAAAUACUUAAAAGUCUUCAUCAACUCUAAUUUGCUCACAACCAAUUCAUCAGGACCAAAAAGCCUCUUAUGAGUCAUGCCAAUGCUUAUGAUGACCUAAUAAAAGAUUAAGUAAAAAAAAAAAGCAAAAAAGAUAGGUUUUGCCCAGUCUCCAUAAAUAGACUCAUACUCAAAUCCAUAUCCCCACUCGUUUAUUCCUCAACAACCUUUUUUGGCACUUAAACAAGACCUACUCUUAUUCAAUCCCCACAGAUUGGCCUAAACUUAUAUUAUUUCCUAAUUACGAACAAUGCUCCUCAGCUCGUUUAGCAAUCAAAUUUCCUAGUGAACCUUUGGCCUUAUAUACCCAGUUCUACUUUAAAACUCGUACCUAUAAGUUCAUCCAUGGCUCAACCUAAAAAAUCAUUAAGUAUAUGAUAUAAGUAAUACCCAAAACCAAAUAUGAUAUUAUGACCUAAAGCCUAAAAUUUCUUUUGUUUGAACCCUAUCCAUACGCCUCUCUUAUUUUCCAUUUUUCUUAUUUUGAUUUUAUCUUCUCCAUCUUAUUUUCUCUAACUGUCAACCUCAUUCUCCCUCUUGUGAUCUUGUCUCACCACUAGUUUUUGACUUUUCCCUCUCUCUUUACUUCAGUGUUCACAAUCUCAUAUGUUUUAUCUUUCAAAUCUGCCUUGCUAUCGUACCAGUGCUUACCUUUAUUGCCUUAUUUACUUAGUUCUUCCUUUUCACGCUCAUCUUGACUUUUUUUUAAGGCUUCAAUGGCAUCAAAACAAGGUCAACACCUUGAUUAUUUUUGGAUUAUUUUGUAUAUAAAUAUAUAUAUUAUCUUUAAUUUUUUGUUUAUUCAAAAAUUAUGAAAAAUCAUUAGAUUAUUUUUAUUGUUUUUGGAUAAUUUUUUCUGCUAAGUCUCUAAAUUAAUUUUGUUGUCAUGGCCCUAAACUUAUUCAAAAAUAGAAAACUAUGGAAAAGGGUUGAGAAUGAACUAAUAUUUUAAUAUUAUUAUUGAUGAUCUUCAUGUUCUAUAGAAUUAUCCAAAUUACCAUCAGACAAAUUUUUCGGUGAGAUUACAAUUUAUGAUUAUAAACCCACAUGUGAAUUGUUACAAGUUCAUCAAUAUUUUUAGUUUUAGCUUUAGAUUUGAUAUAACAAAAACUAAGUUCUCUAAUUGUUUGACUAGAUCAUUUAAUUUGAGCUACAAUAUAAUUUAGGGGAUUCUCGAGGAUUCUUUUACAGAUAAUGAUAAGAGUGGAGUUUUUAUGGAUUAAUUAAUUGGUAUAGCUUUCAUGAAUGGAAACUAAUUUUUUUAUCUACAAAUUACUAUAUUUUAUAUCCAUAAAUAUUAGUAGUGAAAGCAACAAUUUGUUUAUACUAUCUUGUUUUAAAGCCAAAUUGACCAAUGUUCUUUAACCAUUACAAGAAAAAAUAAUCUAGUACAACAUUCGUACUUUCAUCAUAUCAAACUUGGUUGUGGUUUUAAAUUUAAAAAUUUUCAAGACUAAAUUCUUGGGCUUAAAAGUAAUAAUCCAGUACAAGAAAAAAUAAUCCAAUAUUAAAUUCUUGAAUUUUCACUAUAUUCUCCCAUUAUUUCGUGAUUGUACUUGUUAGUUUAUCAACUUGUUGGAAAUAGCCAUUUUCUUAUGUUUAUAUAUAGCUUAACUUUUUUUUUUUUAAGAUGUCCAAUGAAAUGAUUAAUCAAAAUCCUACAUAAGAGGAUGCUCAAUCAAUCCCUCAAGGAGAUACACAUUGAACAAAAAGUAAAGUUGUGACUAUUAAAUAAAAAAGAAGACAACCAAAAAUAUAGUCAGAGGUAUGGGACCACUUCACCAAAUUUACCAAUGAAAAAAUUGAACUCAAAACUAGAUGCAAUUAUUGUGAUAGGAAAUUUUAUGCUUACUCUAAAAAAAUGGAACAUUUGCAUUAAAGAAUCACAUAGGUUCCUAUAUGAAAUUCCUUGUGCUAGUGGUGAUCUUUCCUAACCAGAAUUAGUUUUUAACUCGGAAGGAGAUGGGUCUUAAGGUACUUAGAAGUUUGAUCAAGAUGCCAUUAGGAGAAGUGUGAUUGAGAUGAUUAUUAUAGAUGAGUUACCUUUUAGAUUUGUGAAAAUGAAAGGAUUUAGGCAUUGUAUGGCUAUUGCAUGUUUUAGAUUUUAUGUACCAUCACAAUGGACUGUUGCUAGGGAUUGUUAUCAAAUUUAUGUAGAUGAAGAAACUUCCCUAAACAAUUCUUGAAAUCAUUUUCGACAAGAGUGUCUCUUACCACUGACAUAUAGAUCUCAUUGCAAAAAAUCAAUUAUAUGUGUCUUACAACUCACUUUAUAGACAAUGAUUGGAAACUUAACAAAAAGAUAUUAAACUUUUAUCCCUUUUUUAGUCAUAAAGGUAAGGCUAUUGGUAGGACAGUUGAAAAAUACUUGCAUGAUUAGGGGAUUGAUAAAGUUUUUACUAUUAUAGUUGAUAAUACUAGUUCCAAUGAUGUUGCAAUCUCAUACUUGAGAAAAAAAUUUAACAAUGCAACCAAUAUUUUAACAGGUAGAUAUCUUCAUUUAAGAUACAUUGUUCAUAUUGUUAACCUUAUUGUGAGUGAUGGGUUAAAGGAAAUGAGUGAUUCAUUUGCUCAUGUUAAAAGGAUAGUUAGAUAUGUAAGACAAUCGCCUUUUAGGUUAGCCAAGUUUAAAGAGUAUGUUGCCAAUGAACACAUUCAAAGUAAGAACUUGUUGUGCUUGGAUGUUUGCACUAGGUGGAAUUCCACAUACUUGAUGUUGGAACAAGCUCAAAAGUUUGAAAGGGCUUUCGAGGCUUUUGAUGAAGUUGAGUCUUAUUAAAAAAGUGAGCUCGUGUUGGGAGAAGGGGUGUCCAAUCAAAAUGAUUAGGCAAGUAUUAGAAGAUUAUGUCUUUUUUUGCAAAAAUUUUAUAACCUCACAAUUAGAGUUUCAAGUUUUUUAUGUCACCAUUAAUAAUUUUCUGAAAGAUAUUUGUGGUGCUUAUGGUAUUUUUCAAGAUUGGUAAUUGAAUGUUGAUGUUAAGUUGAAUGCAAUGACUAAGAGAAUGAAUGAUAAGUAUGACAAGUAUUAGGGGAAUAUAUAGAAAAUGAAUAUGUUACUUUAUAUUGCUUCUAUUCUUGAUCUUAGGAAAAAAUUGCUUUUGUGGAGCUUUAUUUUAUGAAGACGUAUUCUUAUGACCAAACUUUAAUGAUGAUAAAAAAAGUGACAGAAACUAUAAAUGAGUUAUAUGUUGAAUACAAAAUCAUGUUGCAACCUCAAUCUGAACAAGUUGGUGAAAGUAGCCAUGCACCUAUGAACUUGAAAUUGGGAAUCUAUGUGACUCACAAGCUAUUAUGGCUGACUUUAGGAGGUUUAAGAAAUAACAAGGUAGAGAAGAGAAUAAAUCAAAGUUGGAGAAGUAUUUGAAUAAAGAGCCUAAUGCUAUUAAGGAGCGGGUGGACUUUGAUGUUUUUCUUUGGUGGAAACUUAAUAGUCAUAAGUUUCCUAUUCUUUGCCAUCUAGCACAUGAAGUGUUGGCGAUUCCCAUAUCUAUAGUUACUUUUGAAUUAGCUUUUAGCACUGGUGGUCGUGUGCCUGAUUCAUAUAUAAGUUCUUUAACUCCUAAACUUGUGUAAGCUCUUAUUUGUGCUCAAGAAUGGUUAUGUGGAUUUUCAAAUUUUGGUCCAACUGCCAUAAAGAAUGAAGUGGGACAACUUGAUAAGAUUGACUUUGGUAAUUAUUUAAUUUUUACCACUAUUUUUUUAAUUCUUAUUUUUUAAAAUCUUUACAACUAACUUUUUGUUUUCUUUUUUUGUUUAUGUAUGUUUAGAUUUACCUAAGAUUGCAUUGGAUCUCGUAAUUGAUAAGUAAAGUAUAUUGAUAAAUUGAGGUAACAUGAAUAAACUUUUUGUUAUUCUUUGUUUAUAUUAAUUUUUUUGUUAUUUUUUGUUUGUGUUUUUGUUGAGUAUUGUUGUUAAGAAAGCUCACUACCUUAUAAUUAAUGUUAAGUAAGCUCACUGGUAGUGGGCAUUUUUUAAUAUAAUUGGCUUGUUCACAAUCGAAUUGAAUAGUUUAUUCUAUUUUAUUCUUAUUUUCUACUUUUUUUUUUCAAGCUUGCUCAAUGAUUGGUAGUGGCAUGUUAUGGAUUGUUAUCAUGGUUUAUAGAUUGUUUGUUUGUGUUUAAAUUUGUGUUUAUGGACUAUUAUAAACUAUUAAUGUUAGAUAAAUUGAGUUUGUUUAUAAGUUUGUGUUUAUGGACUAUUGUGUGUUGUUAUGGAUUGCUAGUGUUAGAUAAAUUAUGGACUAUUAUUUAAGUUUAUACUUAUGUUGUAUUAUAUUUGUGUUUUUAUUUUAGUAUUGUUAACAAUGUUUAAACUUAUUGGAUUAUAUGUUAAGUAUUUAAGUACUUAACUAUCCUUACAUAAAUUACAUUUAGGGUUUAAUGCAAGAAACAAAAACUAGAACUAACUAACCUAACAAAACCAAUCAAAACUGAUAAUUUUAAUUCGGUUCAGUUUUCUUGGUUUUUCUUAUAUAAAUCAGUCCAUUCGAUUUUUAUAAUAGACUAAGCCGAUUAAGUCAAUUUUUUGGUUUUUACAAUUGAAUUAACAAAACUAAUCAUUUGCUCAACCCUACCAAUCAUACUAGUUGAAGAAUUUAUCCAUAGCAGCGCUUAGGAUCUUAAAGUUAAAAUAUAGGACCAAGUGAUAGAUUUUAAGACUUUCUAUAGAAAUGUUUUUGAUAUUUUUGUUAGAACAAUUUUUAAUUUUUAAUUAAAAAUUUUUUCCCUCUUUGUUAUUAUGUGAUAGUAUAAGAGCGUGCAUCCAUUCAUUCAUAAUUUUUUUUUUUGCAUAAAGCUGUAAUUAGACAUCAUUCUAAUCAUGAACUAUGGUACAUAAGGUUCAGGGAUAGCUCAACCAUCCAAGAACCCUACUCAAUCAACUCACCACUAGUACAAUAUCAAAGCUCGAGUCAAACAAAUGGAACAAAAAAUGGAACCCAUUUUGAAAAGAUAAAUAGGGCCCAAAAGGAGCUUAUGGGGUAGUUAAGUAAAAUUUUAGAAGCCCUAAACAAGUUAAACCAUGGGAAAGUUGUAGAAGAAGAUGCUAGCCAUAAAAAUCAUCAAUCACAGGAUGUAAUUGAUCCUUCAUACUUUCUUGGCUAUGGCCCAUACUAGGCCUUAUCCACUAUAAGCAUUCCACUUAACAAUUCACACUCCUUGCAAGGUAUGCCUAUCCCAAAAUGUCGUUUGCAUCAAAUCCGGGGCAUUUUCAGAGUUAUAUUAAUCAUGUUUAUACAAAAAAGGCAAUCAAGCUAUUUUCUAACUUGGACGAUCCAUAGGAAAGGAAAACAUUGAAACUGAAGCUAGUCAAGUCUAUGAAAGACUCAAAAUUUAAAUAGAAGAUAAAUUUACGAGCCAUGCAUGGAAUUUACUUUUAUGGCUCCAUAGAUACAGCUUGACUUUGUUUGGUUUUUGAUGUAGUUAUCCCAUCAAAGUUCAAAUUCUCAAAGUUUAAGAAACAUGAUGGUAUUAAGUGUCCAAUGAUUCAUGUCAUUAUGUACUGUAAAAAGAUGGCUAUUUAUACAAGUAAUAAAAAGUUGUUGAUGCACGUAUUCUAAGAUAUUUUUAUUGGUUCUGCUACUAGAUAGUACAUCCAAUUGGAUAGAAAUUGAUUUAUUUCAUAGAAGGAAUUGGCAAGGGCAUUCAUUACCCAAUACCGACAUAUCAUAAAAUUGGCUUCAGAUUGCCUUUCUUUAUAAAGCAUGGAGAAGAAGGCAAUAAAAUCUUUUAAAAAAUAUGUCCAAAGAAUUGGCUACCUAGGUUUAACCACAUCUGACUGAGAAUGAGACCAUGGUAUCAUUUGUUAGUACCUUGAAGACUCCCUAUUAUGAAAAAAUGAUAGAAAAUGCCACAAAGAACUUUAUUGACAUGGUAAUUUUUGGUAAAAUAAUGAAAAAUGCCAUAAAAAAUGGUAAGUUAGGAGAAGAAGAGUCAGCUAGCACGAAAAGAAAUCAAAUACAAAAAAAAGAAUAUAGCUCAAAUUGUGAGCUAUGAUAAUCAAUAAUUUAGAAGCUUUCCUUAUUACCCACCACUGAUGUAUCCAGUUCAUUAUCCAUCCAUAAAUAAUGUAGUACCUUACCCCUAUCAACCCAUUCCACCAUCUGCUUAUCCAUACAUUUUCCAAUCAAGUUAUACAUACAAUCCCAUCACUAUGCUUGUUGCAAAAUCUGCCUUAAAACCUUAUAAUCAGACCAACAAUUCAAGGGGAUCAAGAAACAACAAAAAGAAGGCUUCUUUUGAUCCAAUUCCUAUGGCAUACAUAGAUUUGCUAUCACAUCUAAUGGAAAAUCAUUUGUUAGCCCCUGUUCAUGUUAAGCCAAUGAAACCUCCCUACCUAAAAUGGUAUGAUGCUAAUGCACAAUGUAACUAUCAUUUUGGGGUCAUAGGUCACUCAACAGAGAAUUAUGUUGCAUUGAAGCAUAAGGUACAAGGUCUCACUAAUAAGGGGUUGAUCACAUUUGACAAUAAAUGAGGACCAAGCAUCAUUGAAAUUUUUUUGCCUAAUAAUAUAAGAGCAUGAUUUUAAGAAGAUGUUUUUGGAGUUUCUUUUAGAAGUACUGAACUGUAGGGUAGUCUUUUAUGUGUUUAUCUUGUAUUUACCUCGCAUCUCAAUAAAAGGACAAGUGUAUUUCAUUUCAUAUUUUUCUUUUUAUCCUUACUCUUAUAUAUCCUUUCAUAGUUCACUCAUUCUUAUAUUACAUGUAAUGAAUGUUCAAAUAAUUAUGACAAUAAUUUGGGAUUCAAUCUUGGAAAUUUUAUUCAUACUAACAAGAUUGAUACUUCCAACCCCUAAUUUGUAGGGAUGAAUUAAAGUUGGCACAAAGUCAUUCUAGGAGAAUAUGGUCCAUUAUAUCCACAAGCUCACUUUCAUUCAAUAUAAGUUCUUCAAAGAAAGUAAUCACAUUUAAGAUAAGAAAUGGCCUCCUUUCUUCUACCUUUCACAAAAAGUAAAAUCAUGAUUUCUUUGAAAGAAACCCACUAAAGAUCACCCACGACAUUCAGAGGCAAAUUUUGAGAAAAAAUCUAUUUGCAAAAAAGAAAAAGGAGUCAUAAAUGAUUAUUGGAAAAAAAACAAAAAAAGAAUGGAAAAAAAAAUCUCUAGUGCAUGAAUCUUUCUUGAAAAUGAAAAUUGAAAGGAAAAAGUGAGAUGAAAGGAAAAAUGAAAAAAAAAUGUGAAGGCACUUGAUAAAGAAUGGGGCAAAAUGCCAAGGUACUUUAAAUAAUGAGAAAUGAUCCUUUGGUUUACACUAUUUUAAACACAUAUUUUUGAGCCUAUGUUAUCUUUUUUUUCAUAACCCUUCACCAUAGAUUAAGUUACAUGCCUUAAAAGUCUAUUUCGAUUAAGUAUGAAUGCUGAAAUUGAAUAAUCAUAUAUUGAACUAAGACAUGCUUAGGGUAUGAUUAAAUGAAAAUUAAGGCAUUAAGGUCUUAAGUUUUAAAGGUUAAUAUGGAAUUCAGUGGGAAUGCCUACGGGGAAUGAAGCAAAAAAAAAAAGCAAAAAAAAAAAAAUGAAAAAUGAAGAGAAUUAAAAAAAAUGAAAAAUUGAAAAAAUAAAAAAAAUGAAAAAUGAAAAUAAGGGAAAAUGAAGACUUAAAUCGGAAACUUGAAAUAGCAAUUUGAGUAAAAGAAAAUGUAUUAGCUGAAAGCAUGAAUUAGACAACCUAAGAGUAUUCAAAAGUCUAAUAGGAUAUAGGGCAAAUUUUGGAUCUUAAGCUUGAAAAGAUCAAAGGUGGCAAUAAAAUGAGUACUUAAGAAAGAAUUUUGGAUUAGUGUCAAAAAAUUGUCUGAAUAUUCAUUGUUUUGGGAUGUUCAAAUCCUAUCGAAACAAUUAUCCUAGCAAUAUGUUUUGACAUUGUCUAUAUGUCAAUGACCCUUUACUAUACGUACCCUUGCAUUAAAUAUCCCUUUUUUCAAACCAUUUUGUUUUUCACCAUUAUUGCUUCCCUAUAAUAAGAAAAUUUGUGAUGAAUAGCAUUUCUUAUGAAAUUAGAAUGAUGAGAAAUAAAUGAGAAAAUACAUAAAAGAUCCCUACAUUACUUCAAAUAAAAAAUCAAUAAUAACAGGGGGCAAAAUGAAGAUAGUGCAAGAAAAAAAUUUUGUGAAAUUAUUAAUUCAUAGAACUUUCAAAAGAAGGAAAAGGCAUUUUGAGAAAAGUUCAAAUUUUGUGAAAGGAUAGUUUGAUUCCUAGAUGGGUUGAAUAGAAGUUAUGAAGAUAACCAAUUUGAGGAUGAGAAAAAAAAUCUUGAGAACUUUUUUACCACAAUUAUGGAUGCAUUUGUUGCAUUUCAUGCAUCGUAUUCAUGACAUUCAUGGCAUACAUUACAAACAAGAAGUUUGAAUUAGAAAAAGGCUAAGAAUUUUUUGAGUAAAGGAAUUUCAAACUUGUAAAUCGUUGGUUGAUGAAAUUUUUCAAAAGAUAAUCUUUGAUUAAGAAAAGAUAGGACAUUAACUCUUAGUUAAGAAGUUUCAAGAAACUUGCUCUGUCUCAAAGGGCAUUUUUAAAAAAAAAAUAAAAAGGAUUCAUAAGUCCUUUGGGUAUAAUCUGAAAGCUUUCUGAUUACAAUUAUAAGACUUUAAAACAUGAUAUUUAAAGCUAUGGGUAUUUGACUUUGGCUCAGUGUGAUCAUCUUCAUUUCAACUUAUGGGCUCAGACCAAGUUACCAUAUUUGACUUAUAGGCUUAGACCAAGUCAUCAUUUCUAACCUCGGCUCAAUCCAAUCAUCUCCAUCUCAACUUAUAGGCUUAGACCAAGUCAUCAUUUUUUACCUCAACUCUAUCCAAUCAUCUUUAUUUCAAUUUAUAGGCUCAGACCAAGUCAUUAUUUUUGACCUUCGCUUAGUUCGAUCAGCUUCGUCUCGACUUAUAAGCUUAGACCAAGUCAUUAUUUCUAACCUAGGCUCAGUUCAGUCAUCUCCAUCUUGACUUAUAGGCUCAAACCAAGUCAUCAUUUCUAACCUAGGCUCAGUUUGGUCAUUUUUAUCUUAAUUUAUAAGCUCAAACCAAGUCAUUUUCAUUUUCUAACUUUGGCUUGUAGACACUAAAUUUUGUUUGGAUCUGUCAAAUGAAACCCAUUUUAUUUUAUUAUUAUUAUUUUUUAUUUUUGUUUUGUUUUGUUUAUCAAUAUUAAAGUUAAUAAUUAAAUAUAUUAACAAUUAAUAAAAAAAGAGAGGAGACAAUUGUGCCAUGUAAAACACCACUGAACCCAUGCCCCAACUACCCCAAGCACCAUACCCUAUCAAUUCCAUCUUCAUAGAACCAGUUCCAACUACACCAACACCAUACCUUAUCAAUCCCACUCUAUAGGCAACCAACCUCAUAAAGAACCCUAGUUUCUUUCCAUACGUAAGACCUCUAAGCACUAGUCCCUCUUGCCCCUAAAGCCUUAACUUGCAUCAAAACACUCAGAACCCCUUAGCACAGUGGAGCCCCAGCACCAUCAUUUUCCUUUCAUUCACACAAUCAGGCACAUUGCAUCCCCGACACCAAGCUUUUCUGAUUAAAUAGCACCCUACACUUUUAUAGCCAGCGCCCAGGCAUUCACCUUUGUGAGACCAAGCUUCCACAUUCCAUGAACCCAAGCAACCUAGUGCCACACCAGUCGGGCACCAGCCUUUUUGCUUCCACACCUGCACCCAUGAAAAUAUUGACUCUCGAACCUAACCUGAUUUUUCAUAGACCGAAAUUUAUCUUUUUGAUAAACUUUAAAUUCGUUUUUAUAGCUUAUUUAAAAGAUAAACUUUUAGGUGGCUGAUUACACCUUAAAAAAGAUUGGUAGUAACUCUUUCCAUUUUUUUUAUUUUAAAAUUCUUUUCAUCUAGCGAUCCUGUAACGACUUGGCGACUCCACUGGGGACUAUUUAGAGUCAGGCCAAAAUUUUAAUUAUGCGUUACUAAUAAUUGAUGGAUUUAAUUGGUUUUAUUUGAUAUUUAAUUUACUUUCUUUUAUUUUAAUUUUUCAAAAAAAAUAUAUAGAAGUUAAUAAAUUAUGCGUUACUAAUAAUUGAUGGAUUUAAUUGGUUUGGAUUUUGUGCUUAUGAUUUAUUUAUGAUAUUUUGAUUAAUAUGUCACUUUGCACACUUUUGCAUAUGCAUUUACAUGCACAAGCUCUAGACUCGAGCUCCAUCCUUUUUAAGAGGAAGUGAAGUACUAUGUUUUCAUGAGGUGAUAACCUCCGUAUUUGCUAGCGAAACACUUUCACUCAUAUCGAACCUUUUUCAUUAGUAGCCUACAAUGGGUGAGGAUCGAUGAGUCUUACUAGUCUACAAUGAAUGAUGAUGUAAGGAAUAGUCUGGGAACCUUAGAUAAAUAAAUCCCAACGUAGCAUAUUGAGAGCCAUAGGAAGCCUACUUAAGGUAGAGCCAUGCCACCUUUUUAUAAAAUUACCAAAAGAUAGGACAUUAUAUACAUUAUAUUAUUUCGUAUGGUUGUUAUAUUGUUUAUAUUAAUUGUUUGUUUUGAAUUAUUAAGUCAUUUCAUUUUCUUAUAUAUUAUUUGAUUGUGUUGCUUACAUUGCAUAGGCAUUAUAUUUUAAAAGGUUGUAUUUGUUUUAGGUCAGUCAUCGACAAGAAAAAAAAAAGAGUUGUCAUAGAGCCAUUAGUGAUGCCGACCUUUUGUAAAAAUUAUUUAGAAGUCCAAAGCCAUGCCAUUUUUCUUUCAUAAAAAUUACCCAAAUUAGGAUAUGUGGGGCACUUUGAUAUAGUUUGUGUUUAAAGGAAAUAAUAGUGCAAAUAAAUUUAGGAUUAAAAAAAAAAAGGAAAAAAGAUUUAGGAUAGGUAAGAAGUUUUUUUUUUUUUUUGGAAUUUAGUCAUUCCAUUCAUUAUUAGGUUGGUUUGUAUAUUUUUAGGUUAUUGUAUUUUUGUAUAUAUCUUUGCAUCAUUAUCAUAUUCAAGCAUUCAUAAAUAUGUCAUAUGCAACUUAGGAAUUGUGUCAUUUAUUCAGCAAGAAUAAUAACAUAAGCAUUGUUGGUAUUAAACCCUUGAGAUAAUGUUUUUGUUAAUGGGUAUAAGAAGCCAAAAAUAUGGAAGAUCAAUUAGAGGCUUAAAUUAGUGCAUUAGAACAAAAUCAAGAGGAGUUUGGUUAUGACAUUCAAAAAGCGACAAAAUAGCUCACUGAGUUAACAAAAACCAUGAAUAGAUUCAAAAAAUUUAUUUUGAUGCCUUCUCAAGAGUCCUUACCAAUUUUAGCCCAAGUGAGUCCUAUGAAUUCAUGAAGUCAUGAUCAACCGAUUCCUCAUAAGGCCAAGUACACUUUUAGAGCAUGCUAAAUCAUUCAAUGAUUUGAGCAAUAAUGAAAGUUUGGACAAGAUCAUGAAAAGGAUGAGUGAUCUAACCAUUCAAGUGUUUGAGCUUUAAAAUUUGACUUGCAGGAUGGGGUUAUUAAGUUCUAUAUAGCCUUCACUAAUUGUUUCAAGCUCAACUUGCAUUCAAAUCCUUCUUAUAACUAUUUUUGACCUAUUUCCAAACAUCUACGAUCAGGCCCAAAAACUUCAUACAAUCUCUGAUAAGUCCAUAUUUGAACCAAAAUCUUCGACCUUUCAUAACUCGACCAUCUGUUCAGCCAAUUGCUUAAGUCUGAACCUUUGCACCACCAUUGAGUCCUAGAACUCCUAGUCAACCUAUUACUUGAAAUUACCCAAGAAAAAGAAAUAAUUAGAUCAUUUCCCCAUUUUAUAUGGAAAACUUUUUCCCUAUUUGUUUGAGAGACACCUUAUUGUCCCUAUGCCUUCAGAGCCUUUGAAGCCUCCAUACUCAAAAUAUUUUAACCCAAAUGCAAGAUACGAAUACCAUGAUGGGAGUACGAAGCAUUUUAUUAAAAAUUGUUAGGUCUUCAAGCACAAUGUGCAGUCACUCAUAGAAGUGAAAUGAUUUGAUCCAACUACAAUAGGGGAUUAAAAGAUCUAGGAAUAAUGAAAAGAGGAUUGCAAGAUGAUUAACAUGGAUGGGACUUUUAUUUAAAGAGAGUCUUCAAGUGAUAGGUUGUUUAAAAAAUAAAAUGCCUUAUGAAUUUCUUAUAUUUGAAAAUGUUUUUUUAUGUUAACAUGACCUUAUCUAUUGUACUUUGAUAUGUGAAUUAUGGUUCAUCUUUCAUUCUCGCUCUUCUGCCAAUUUUCAUACUUUUCACUAAAGAGCUUUGUCAUUUGUGCAUUCAUUCAUUCAUUCAUUUAUCCAUUUAUGUAAUCAUUCAAUAGAAUGCAAUUUUUAUGUGCUCUAAAAGAAGGAAUUUCUUCAAGAAUAAUCUCUAUGAUUUCUUCUAACGAUCUGGAGAAUAUUGAUUGAAUAAGAGAGACAGAAAAUAUUAUUGACGGACUUUGUGCUCAAGAAAAUGAUUAACCCGAAGGAUCGAGUUUAGGACCCAUAAAGGAAGAGUCAGGGAACCUAAAUGAAAAGAGAACGUAUAACCUCUUAGAAGAAAGAGUUUGAGCUAUUGAAGGUAAGGAUGAAUCUUGAGAUGUAAAGGAAUCCCAGCUAGUUCUAGAUGUGGUUUUUUCACUCAAGUUCAAGGUUUUGACAUUUGAAAAAUAUAAUGGAAUCGAAUGUUUUGAGACACAUUUGACUCAAUACUAUCACAAAAUGGUUAAGUAUAGUAAUGAUGAAAAGCUGUUUAUUCAUAUUUUUCAAGAAAGUUUGAUUAGGGUAGCUACCAAUCGGUAUUAUAGUCUAGAGAGCAAUCAAAUUCAUAUUUGGAGGGAUUUGUCAUGAGCAUUCUUGAAGCAACACCAGUAUAUGUUGGAGUUGGCUCCAGACUGAUUAACCUUUCAAAGUAUAAGAAAGAGCCCUAUGAGAGCUACAAAGAAUAUGCUGUUAGAUGGAAAAAGAUGGCAUCUCAAGUACGACCACCUUUUACCAAUAGGGAGCUGAAGUCCUUGUUUAGGGAUACCCUUUCUUCUUCCUAUUCUAAUAAGUUGAUCAACAAUACUUUGUUAGAGUUUACAGAUUUAUUGUUUGCUGUGAGCAGAAUUAAGGAUCGGAUAAAAAGUGAAAGAAUUAUAAAUGCUAGUGAUGAAAGAAAGAGAGAUAUUUUUGCUGAACAAGCCCAAGAAACAUUGUUAAAAGGUGAAAUGAGAGAAACAUCACCAUGAUAUAGGAAGAUUUAAUGGAUGACUAUUCACAAUGGUUACCAUAUUAUCCCCAGUCGAUAUUUCAAACUGGUGAUUUUCCUCAACCACCAUAUCUAUGUGCUCAAGUUUUUUCACCAUAAAUAUUUACAGAACCAAGAAUCAACUCAAGCCAUUCACGAAACUGUAAAAAAAAGAGAGUCAAGGUAUAUUAUUCACUUCCAAUGCCUUAUGCUGAGCUCUUUAAAUUACUUAUCAAAAAUCAUAUGAUCUCUGUUGUUCUUAUAAGACCAAAAAAACCUCUCUACCUAAAGUGAUAUGAUCCCAAUGCUAAAUGUGAGUUCCAUGAUGGGGUCGAAGGGCAUUCCAUAAAAGAUUAUACUACCUUCAAGGAUAUAAUUCAAGCUUUGAACAAUGCAUAUGUUGUAAAGUUUAAAAAGUAGGUUGAUGGUCUUCAUAAUUGAUAGCAGUAGAGUUGCAAAUUAGUUGAAGCAUCAAGUGGAAAACUUUUAUUUAUGUAACAUCGAAUGUCAUCUUAAAAGUACCAUUAGGAUGGUAAAUUUUUGGGUCAAGUCCUAAGGUUUGCAUAACAUGAGUGAACAUCAUGCAUCAUAGUGUUUUAUGGAUAUAUUAUCAUUUUUCAUUUCGUAUAAAUUUUAGAUAUAUUAUAGGUUUUCUCUUUAAAAAUUAGUAAAAAAAUAGAAGAUGUUAUAUAUGAAUAACGCCCUAUAUAGUUAAGUACUGAGGCUAUAGAAACACCUUUUGAAAAAAACAAAAAAAGGUAAAAAAGUAAAAAAAAAAAAGACAAAAAAGAGAAAAAGAAAAGUUUUGAGUCUAUGAUGGUUUGGCGAUCUCUAUUAAGAAUUUUUCAAAUACCUAAACACUAACUUUCUUAAAUCAUUCAGUUGACCCCAUUCCUCAGCCAUGACCCCUCAAUAGCCUUGAAUUUGAAUUUGUGAACCUUGCUUUCAACUAAUAAAGUUAUGAUACCAAAAGGUGAUAUUCUUUUCCAAGGCAAUGAACAAUGAAAUAGCCAUGUAAAGAAAAUGUGAUUCCUAGCAAAUCAAGUAUAUAUGACAUUUUUAAAAAUUCAAAUGCGAUAAAUUAAUGUGUCAAGAUUAUACUAUAGUUCUAAAAUUUCCAAACCCAAGUUUUGUAAAAUGAACUUAAACAUAAUGACUUUUCAGCUCUUUACCUCAAAAUUGACCUGAUCCUUUGUUUGUCAAAGAAGAAAGACGUCAUUACCUCUAAGACAACUUAAGUUAUGAUCAACCCUUUUACUUUUUUUUUUUUGUGGAGUAACUUAGAUCAUUUGAGACCUUAAAUAGGUUUACCUCACAUGAUCCUUUUCUUAUUCAUUCCAUGUGACCAUUUUCUUUCAUUAAGAGUGGUUUGUUAAAAUGGGGCAUCUUCCAUGAAAUGCAUUACUAGCAAAAUAAAUUUAGGUAUGAGUUAUGAAGGCAUGUAAAAAAAGCAAACAAAAAAAAACAAAAAAAGAGAAAAAAGAAAAUUGGUUAUGACAUCAUGCACUUGAAAAUUUUGAGUAAAUCCAAAUAAAGUCCUGAUAAAGUCAAAGUUUUGAAAAAAGGACAAGAAAAAAGCCCAAAAUAGAAAAGGCCAAUAAUUCAAAAAAAUAAAACAAAAAAAAUACAAACUUUUGAAAUGAAAACUUUUCUUCAAGUUCAUUUUUCCUAAAGGGAACUGCUCUUCAACUUAAGUGUUUAUACUUGAAAUGACAAAUGAUCAUUUUUCAUUAUCCCUUCACAAACAUAAAAAUUUAUCCCUAGUUACCCUUUUGAGCCUGAUUGAAUUUUUUCAAAAUAAACUCUGACUAAGGAUCACCCUUCACAUUGGAGGCAAAAAAGAACAUAUUUAGAAGGUUAAAAAUGGAGCUAUCCAAAAGAAAUCCCGUAUGAUGGGGGCAAAAAUUGAAUAUAAAAAUUCAUAAAAGUUUUGAAUCCUUCAAUGAAAGAAUGCAAAAGAAAAGAAAAAAAAUGAAAGAAAUUGAAGAAUAAAAGAAAGAAAAAGAAAAAAAUGAAUAGGUGGAAAGCAAAAAGGAAUAGAACUCCUUCGAAUGAAAAAAUGAUCAUUGGUUUUAAAUACCCUUAAAUACUUGUUUUGGACCUUUCUAUCCUUUUCUUUAACAACCCUGAACCUUAACUUACAUUACAAUCUUUGAAAAGUCCAUAUUGGAUCAAGCAUAAAGGCUUAAAAUUGAAGAGUUUCUCUUAAAAAAAUAACCACAAAUCUUUUAAGUCCCCAUUUAUUACAUAAUGUCCUAUUUGGACCGUUAACCCAUUUCAAAAAAAAAAUUUUCCUCUUUCAGAUUAGUUUUGAAUUUUUAAGUGUAUGGUGUGUUAAUAAAAAAAAUAAAAAAAAAAGAUAGAAGAAAAUAGAAAUAAGUGUGGCUUUAGGGUGAAAACCCUAAAAAUAACAGUCUAGAGCAAACCUUGAAGGCCACUCUUAAUGCUAAAUAUGGUAGAUACUGAACAAAGGUAAAGCAAAACCUUUUUGAAAGGUUUGAAAUAUCAAAGUCAUAGAAGUCUAAGAUAGGUUGAUUUCAAAAAUCUCAACUUUUGUCCAUUCUCAAAUAACCUUUCAAAAUCUUAAGCCCUUGUAGCUAACUUUGACAUAUAUUAAAAUGUCACAUUUGUAGACUAAGGAAAAUGUUGAAUAUGUUUGGUUUUCAAGGAAUUCAUGUUUUUAAAAAAGCUUAUGUUUCAUCUGUAAGCUUGCAUGAAAAAUUAUAUGCCUCUUUUAUUCCCUUCAAGUGUUGAAACCUUUUUGAAUAAAUAGAAAUCCCCAUCUACAAAACCAUUCAACCCAUUUGGAAAGAAAAUUCUUACCUCUUUCAUUUUUUCUAAGGAUUGCCAAAUUUUAAAAAAAUUCAAGCCCAAUUUAGAUGGCAUCAAUGAAAAAUUAAGCACAAAUCAUCUAACGUCAAAGGAAUCUUAAGCCCAAUUUAGCUGGCACUUAAGCCUAGUAUAGUUGGCAAAAUAAGUCUAGAUUAGUUGGUACAACAAGCCCAAAUUAGUUGGCACCUAGUAAAAUUUUAAGCCUAGUUUAUCUGACACCCAAUUUUAAGCCUAAUUUAUCUAGCUCUUAAGGAAGUUUUAAGCCUAGUUUAAUUGGUACCAUAAAAAUUUAAGCCCAGUUUAGUUAGCCCCUAAUAAAAUUUAAGCCCAAUUUAUCUGGCAUCAAAAACUUUUAAACCCAGUUUAUCUGGCCCUCAAAAAAAGAUUUAAGUCUAGUUUAGCUAGCACUCAAAGAAAUGUUAAGCCCAUUUUAGUUGGCUCCAAAUGAAGUUUUAAGCCCAGUUUAACUAGCACCAUAAAAAUUUAAGCCUAGUUUUUGUGGCAUCCAAUCUCAAGCCUAGUUUAGCUAGCCCCCAAAGAAAGUUUUAAGCCUAGUUUACCUGGCACCCAUAUUUAAGGCCAAUUUAUUUGACCCUUAAGGAAAUUUUAAGCCCAGAUUAGUUGGCAUGCAAUUUAAGCCUAAUUUAUUUGGCCCCUAAUGAAAUUUUAAACCCUGUUUAGUUGGCUUUCGAUGAAAAUUUAAACCUAAUUUAUCUAGUUUAUCUAGCACUAAAUAAAAGUUAAGCCCAAUUUAGUUGGCACGUAAACCCAGAUUAACGAUCAUUCUAUUUGACAUGAGACGUUAUCCUAGUGAUUCUUUACUUUUUAACUUACAGUGUUGUCCCUAUCUUUAUUUAUAAUUCGACUUGUGAUGCUGUCCCAGUCGAUUCUUUAUUUUUUGACUUACGGUAUUAUUCCCAAUCGAUUCUUUAUUUUUUGACUUAUAGUGUUGUCCCAAUCAGUUUUUUCAUUCUUUAACUUAUAGUGUUGUCCUGUUCAACUUUUUGUUUUUCAAUUCACGGUGUCAUCUUAAUCAUUUUUUAUCACUUGACUUGUGGUUCAAGCCCAAAAAAAAAAAACAAACAAAACAAAAAACUUUUGAAAAAUCCACGAUUUCCUUCUAGAUAAAAUUGUUGUCUUUGUCUUUGGCCUAUUUAUGAUUCUUAACAAUGUGCAUCAGUCCCUCUCACUACUAAAGCCUCGACCUCCAUUAAAACACUCAAAGCCCUUUAACACCUUAGAGCCCUAGCCCAUCAUUUUCCUUUCAUUCACACAAUCAGUCACUUUUCAUCCCGGACACCAAGCUCUAUUGAUCAAACAGCACCUUGUAUUUUCAUAGCUAGUGCCCAAGCCUUCACUUGUGUGAAACCAAGCUUUCAUGCACCCAUGUUCCAUAAACCCAAGCAACCCAGUGCCAUACCAGCCAGGCACCAGCCUUUAUACUUCCAUACCUGUACCUACAGAGACACCGACUUUCAAACUUAACUUGGCUUUUUCUAGAUCGAAAUUUAUCCUUUUGAUAAACUUUAAACCCAUUUUUAUAAUUUAUUUAAAAAAUAAACUUUUAGGUGGCCAAUCAUACCCUAAAAAAGAUUGGUGGUGACUCUUUCUAUUUUUCUUGAUUUUAAAAUUCUUUUCAUCUAAUGUUCCCAAAACCAUUGUGACAUGGCUAAGUCCAAAUCAUACUGUUUUCUAACUUCAGCUUAGACCAAGUUAUUUUCCUUCAACUUUGGCUAAGACAAAGUCAUUUCAUUUUUUUACUUUAGUUAAGUUCAAGUUAUAUCAUUUUCUAAUUAUGGCUAAAUCCAAGUCAUCAAGUUUCAAUUGUUGGCUAGGUCUAAGUCAUUUAUUUUUACUUUUGGCCUUGUCAAAGUUAUUUCAUUUUGAUCUCUGGCCAUGUCCAAAUAAUUUCAUCUUCAAACUUGGACAUAAUUGAUGUUUAUAUUUUUGCAGAAUUCUUGUUACACAAAAAAUGUGCAAAGAUGGAUAACUAUUGACAUCCUAUUUUGUCUGAGGUCCAAACCCAUAUGUUGGAUUUUUUUAUUUAUUUUAUUUUAUUUUAUCUUUAUUGAAUUUAUAUGUACAUAUGUGAUUUUUUGUUUCUUUAUUCAUUUUUAUUUUUUUAGUUAUUUUUAAUUUUUUUUAUUAUCCUUAUCUUCAAAUUCUAUUUAUAUUUUCUUUAAAUUAUCUAAUUUAUUCAAAAAUAAAUAAAUAAAGUAAACCGAAUAGAUGAAGUCUGGGUGAAGUUAUCUUAGGUGACAAAUGAUAAGAUUGAUUUUGAGAGAUAAUCUGAGCGUUUGUUUUAAAUAAAUUUAAUCCUAAUUGAAUUGGGAUUUUACUAAAUCUCCCCCUAUAAAUAGACUUGAAAUCAUCAUACAACAAUUACACACACAGUAGCAAGCACAGAGAAUAAUAAGAGAUGGCAUUUUAACAACAAACACAACAACAACAAAUAGAGAGAAAAAAAAAUAGCAUCAAUAAUUUUGAGAGAGAGAGAAAAAAAAGUUUUUACCAGAAGGAUUUUUUUGGAGUUUUGGAGUUGGGAGAAUUUUAUCCAGUACCUUUUAGGGAUUCCAAUAGCCAAAAGUUUGAUUUGGUGUUUUGCAGCGAAUUUUUCUAAAUUUUUGAAAUUUUUUAUAGAAAUUCUAGAAUUCAACGAAGAUUCCAACAUACUUCAAAAUUUUCAAUGACUCUUCAAUGAUUUUUUCCAAUUUCCAAUAAUAUUCUCCAAAAACCGAUGAAGCUAUCAAUUGACAUUGAUAAGCUUUAAAGAGAAAAGCAUCAAAAAGGGAAAAAAGAAAUUUGAGGAAAAAAAUUAGAUUUGAAAACUUUUAUUAUGUCCCAAAACAGUGUUAUUUUGAGUAGGGCUAAACCCCAGGAUCUACGCAUUUUGCAUUGACCUAACCCAAAUUGUAUCGCAUAACCUAAUGAUGUGCAAUACUCUUAAGCCAAGUCAGUUACCAAGCUAAGCCAACUAGCCUUGAGCUGUGCCACAUCCUGCUAUCCUUUGUGCCUCUAGUCGUACCUUUUCAACCGCCAAAUCGAGAAUAUCCUUUUAGUAUAUUUUCAUGUUUUUGAUUUUUUAAUUUGUUUAUUUGUUUAUUUUAAAUUUAUUUGUAUAUUUUCUUUAUUAAUCUAUUUAUUUUAUUUAUUAAUUUGUUUAUUUUUUCUUCUUAAUUUUAUUUAUGUUAUUUGAUUAUUUAUGUAUUUAUUUGUAAAUAUUUUUUAUAAAAAGUAAAAAAAUAUAUGUUAAUAAAAAAGAACCCUACUGAUAUAUUGGAAGGUUCAAAAAAAUGAAUUUUCGAAUAAAAAAUGAACCUUACUAAUAUAUUGAAGGGUUCAAAUUUCCAAAAAUGAACCUUACCAACAUAUUGGAGCGUUCAAGUUCCCAAGAAUUGAAUUUUUCAAUACAAUAAAGUCUUACCGACAUAUUAGAAGGCUUAUGAUUUUAAAAACAAAGUCUUACUAACAUAUUGGAAAAUCUUAUAAAUUUUUCAAAAAAUUAAAUUUCAAGGUAAACAAAGAAAAACAGUCUUCAAAAAGCCUUACCAACAUAUUGAAGAGCUUAUGAUUUUAAAAAUAAGGUUUUACCAAUAGAUUAAAGAAACUUAUGAUUUUUAAUUAAGAUUUAAAAGAAAAAGGAAAUGGUUUUUGUAAGAUCCUACCAACAUAUUGGAGAAAAAGUUUUGAUAAAAAAUUUUACCAACGUAUUGGAAGAUAUUUUUGAAAAUAAAGUGAUUUUACAAAAAAAAUAGUUUUGAAUCUCUGAUGAUGGAAUUACAAAUAGUGUUGCAAAUAGCAACUUCUAUGUAAAUUCCUUGGUAAGAAAUUCUUUCUAAAUUUUAGCAACAUAAUAGAGAUUUUAGAAAAGAUUUUCAAUAUCAAGAUUCUUGCAAAAAUUUCAUUUACACAAAUAAAAGUAUUUACAUAAAUUAAAUGAUGCCAAUGUAUAUUAUGCAAGAUGAUGAAAUGAAUUUUUUUUCAAAAUGGAUUCUUAAAUAUAAUGAGACCACCUUAACUCUCCAACAUCUAAGCAAAGUUUAAGUGCGACUAUUUAUAUUUAAGAUCCAAUUUUAUUAGUAUACUUGUUAUUUAUUAGUUAUCAUUUCAUUGUUAAAGCGAAUUAAAAACUCAUGAGAAAAAUUUAAUGGAAUAAAGUUUCUUAAAUACCACUUCAUUUAAGCGACAUUCGAAAACAAAUUACUCUAUUUUGAGAUUUAUGCACAUAUCCUUAAAGUCUCAGAAUGGUUUUGAACCUGGGUAUAGAUCGAGGUUUUACAGUUAUUGACUUUUGAGUGACGAUUCAUGAUUAUGUACCAAAUUUAUGGUUUUAGGUUUUGAGGUUUGGAAUUUUGGAUUUUAAGAUUUUUAAAUUUUAGGGUUUUGAGGAUCUAUGGUUUUUAAGGUUAGGUUUUCGAGGUUUAAGGUUUUGACAUUUAGGGUUUAAAGGGUUUAGAGUUUUAAUUUUAAGGUUUAAGGGGUUUAGGUUUUUUUUAUUUUAGGGUUUAUGAUUUAACGUUUUGAUUUUCAGGGUUUAGAAGGUUUGGAGUUUAGGAUUUUGGUUUUAGGAUUUUGAGGGUUUAGGGUUUCAAUUUUUGAGUUUGAGGUUUAGGGUUUCGAUUUUAGGAUUUAAAAGGGUUUAGGGUUUUGAUUUUAGGUUUGGAGUUUGGGGUUUUGAUUUUAUGGUUUGGGGUUUAGGGUUUAGUUUUAAGGUUUGAAGGGCCUAGAGUUUAGUUUUAGGGUUUAAAGGGUUUAAGGUUUCAAUUUUGGGGUACAGGGGGUGUAGGAUUUCAAUUUUGGGGUUUAGAGGAUUUAGGGUUUACUUUUUUUUUAAAAGUUUAAAACAAGAAUAUCUCUAAAAAAUCUCCAACAUCUAAGCAGACUUUCGAAACAAAUUCGAUUUUUAUAAUUUUCAAAAAUUAGUAAAAAAAAUUUCACAUAUCUUCUUGUUGUAACAACUUAUUAUUAAUAAAAUUAUUAAUUUAUUUAGUGAUUUUUUACAAUAAUUCCCUAACAUCUCGGUGAAAUUAUUAUUAUUUAAAAUACGAUUGUAUUCCCUCCAACAUCUAAGCAAGAAAAUUUUCCUUAUUACUAGUUCAUUUUAUAAUUAUUUUUAUUAUUAUUUAACACUUGGGUUAUUAAAAAAUAUUAAAAGGAUUUAAAAGUUUUGAAAUCAUUUUUAUUAUUAUCAUUAUUAUUGUUAUUAUUAAUAAUAUUAUUAUAAAACAACAAAUAUUUAUUCUAGUAAAUUCUAAAAGUUUUAAAACAUGCAUAAAUAUCAAUAAUAAUAAAGUUAAAAAUGAUAUAACUAAUAUAUAAAAAAAUAAAAUAAUUUUUUUUACCUAAACCAGACCGAUCAAAGAUCUGGUCAAUGUCAGUUCGACUGAAUCGAAAAAAAAUAUGGUUUGGUGAGCAGUUCGAUUGAACUGGAUGAGGCACAGUUCGACAAGCGGUUCAGUUGAACAAGUUCAAGGCUGGUUGAAAGACGGGUCACCAAGUUGGGUCGCACGGAUCCCAAGUCGAGUUCAGUUUCACAUGUGGAUCCUCUUUGGCCUAAAACGGCAUCAUUUUGGGCUUUAGUUUUCUAUAUAAAACCAUAAAUUCUUUUUGAGCUCAUUUUAUCCUUUUCACCAAAAAAAAAAACCUCAAAAAAAUUUCUCUAGCCUCGCCAAAAUCCAACAUUGUGCCAUCACGUCAGUCGCCAGUUGAGGUCAUCAUCGACGGUCAUUACCAAUGGUCGUCGGUGGUCAAAAAAUGCAAAAAUUCUUUAAGAAAUUCUCCUCAACAUCUUCUUUCUAGAUCCAAUCUCCUUUUGUCAAGAUCAACUCUAAUAGGAGCAAAUAGAGGCUUGAAGUUUUUCAUCUUUUUUUUUUUAAAUAAAACCAAAAUUGAUGACUUUUUUUCUUUUUUUUUUUUUUUGCAGACAGCUCUUUGGCACUGGUGGUUCCUCCUUAUGGGGAGAAUUAUCUUUUUUUUUAUUUCAAGUUUUUUCUAGCAUUUUUUUGGUUUUCUGGUGGGUGGAGAGUAUGAAUUUUUAGGUAUGGAAUAGCUUGAGGUUUCUGAGUGUGGGAGCUGGGGUUUAUUGGGUAUAAGAGUUGGGGUUUGCUGGGUCUAUGUCCGAAAUAGUGGGUGGAGUAGGUGGUGGUUGUAGGGGCUGUAGAGACAGCUGGUCUGGUGGCUGCAAGGGUGUCUAAAGGUAUGGCUAGGGUAGGCUAUAAGGGUGGCUGUAUGGGGUGGCUAGUCUGGUAGCUAGUGCCAGUGGUACCAUGCACGACACUUAGGCAUUAGCCCCUUGCCCCCUUUUUGUUAUGUCCUUUUUUUAACAAUAUUAAACCAAUAUUAAUAUUUUAUUAUUAAAUUUUUCUACUAUUUGUUUCUUUUAUAAUUAUUAAUAAUUUUAAUAUUAAUAAACAAAAAACAUAAAUGUGAUUUAAAGCUUUGAUAGACCCGGAUAAAAUUUAAUGCCUACAGCUGCCCUUCUUUGUAUAUUUUUUAAAAUCAAGAAUAAGGCAAAGAUAAAGAUAAUAAUUUUGUCUUGAAGCAAAUCAAAGUUUUUUCAAAAGCUCUUUUUGUUUUUGGAUUGAAUCACACGUCAAGUAAUAAAGAUUGAUUGAAAUGACACUGUAAGUUGAAAAAAUAAAGAUCGAUCGGGACAACACUGUAAGUUGAAUACCAAAGAACAACCAAGAUGACACCAUAAGUCAAAAAGUAAAGAAUCAACCAAGACAACAUGACAAGUCAAAUAAUAAAGAAAAAGAUCGGGAUAACACACAAGUUGAAAAGUAAAAAAUAUACUGAGACAACACUGCAAGUCAGAAAGUAAAGAAUUGACCAGGAUAACAUCGCAAGUUGAAUAAAAAAAUGAUCGGGACAACACUGCGAGUCAAAAAGUAAAGAAUAUACUGGGACAACACCGUAAGCCAAAAUUAUGCUUAAAGGUCUUAGAGAUUAUGCCUAGAGGUCUUAGAGAUUAUAUCUGGAGGUUUUAAAAAUUAUACCCGGAGAUCUUGAAAAUUGUAAAAUUUUUGAAUGCUCCUCUCAAUCAGUGGCAAUGAAACUUUAAAAUAUUUUGUUCAGAGGUCCUGAAAAUUGUGCCUGGAGGUCUUAGAGAUUAUGCCCGGAAGUCUUGAAAAUUGCAAAAUCUUUGAAUUCUUUUCUCAAUCAAAGGUAAUGAAACUUUAAAAUGUUUUACUCGGAGGUCUUGAAAAUUAUGCCCAGAGAUUUUAGAGCUUUUAAAAUCUUUGAAUGCUCUUAUAAUCAGAGACCAUAAAACUUUUAAAAUUUAAAAUAUUUUUGCUCAGAGGUCUUGGAAAUUGUGCCCAGAGGUCUUAGAGAUUUUAAAAUCUUUGAAUGCUCCUCUAAUCAGAGGCCAUGAAACUUUAAAAAUUUAAAAUUAUGCCCAAAGGUCUUAGAGAUUUCAAAAUCUUUGAAUGUUCCCCUAAUCAGAGGCCAUGAAACUUUGAAAAUUUAAAAUAAUGCCCAAAGGUCUUGAAAAUUAUGUUUGGAGGUCUUAGAAAAAUUUUAAAAUCUUUGAAUGCUCCUCUAAUCAAAGGCCAUGAAACUUUAAAAAUUUAAAAUUGUGCUCUAAGGUCUUAAAAAUUAUGCCCAAAGGUCUUAGAGAUUAUACCUAAAGGUCUUAGAAGUUAUGUCUAGAGGUCUUAUAGAUUUCAAAAUCUUUUAAUGUUCUUCUAAUUAGAGGCCAUGAAACUUUGAAAAUUUAAAAUUGUGCUUAAAGGCCUUGGAAAUUAUGCCCAGAAGACUUAAAGAUUUCAAAAUCUUUGACUACUCCUCUUAAUUAGAGGCAAUGAAACUUUAAAAAUUUAAAAAUCUUUUUUAAAAUGGCUUUCCCCUGAUUAGAGAUUUUUUAAACUCUAAAGGUUUUGUUUGAAAAGGGUUCUUCUAAACAAAGGCUUAAAAUCUUGUUUGAAGAUAGUUCCUCUUAAAUAGAGGCUUUGAAGCUUUAAAAUCUUGUUUUACUUUUCUCCCUUUUUCCUUUUUUAUUUUUUCCUUUUUUGAAAUAUUUAAAAAGUUGAUAAAUGCAAUCAUGAUAUAACUAUCUAUUCUCAUCAAAUGAUGCUAAUGGAAAUGUUGAUGUGAAUGCAAAUGUCAAUACAAAUGCAAGAAUGCAAAUGCUUGAUACAAAUAAAUUUGCUUUUUUCACAAUGCAAACGACAAUGUUCUUUUCAUGUAAAUGCCCCUACAAAUACCUUUUCUUAGGAUGCAGAUGCCAUGAUGCAAAUGCAAAUUUUUUUUAUGGUCCAAAUGCAAAUGUCUUAUGCAAGUGCAAAUGUAAGUGAUGCAAAUACGAAUGUUUUUCUUAUGAUGAAAAUGCAAGUGAUGCAAAUGCAAAUGUCCUUUUCAUGAUGCAUAGACAAGUGAUGCAAUUACAAAUGUCUUUUUUUUUUGUUUUUUUUGUUUAUAGGUCAAAUGUCUUUCUCAUGAUGCAAGCGAUGCAAAUGCGAAAACUUUUUUUACCCCUUUUCUUUUAAAAAAUCUCUGUUCAAAUUUUCAAUGUUUAAUUUUCAAUAAAAAAUGAUCUCAAUAUUAUGUAUAAAGUGCUCAAAUAAUCUUUAAACUUUCAAAAGUAUCACAAAAUUGCCCUACAUAAAGUAUCUUUGCAAUCAAUAAGAAAAUUUAAAACUUAACACUUCUAAAUCUCUUGGAAAUUGAUUAUUACUAUUUAGAAUACUUGUGGAUGAGGGGUAAUUGACAAUUCAAUUAUUUUCACUAGUAGGCAAAUCUUACGAAAAGCUUAAUGAGGGUUUAAAGAUUUCUCUUAGGCUCACGAAAAAGAUAAUUUUCUAAAGUACUUUUCUUUUAUUGAAAACGUGAUACUUCAAUGUGUGUCAAAACUAGCGAUUAUUUUUUUUUAACAGAUUUGGAAAGAGAAAAAAGCUGGCUUUUUUUUUUAUAAAAUGCAAAGUCUUUAAUGAGUUAUGAUCUUUUAAAAAUUUUUUAUUCUGGAUAGCACCUUCGAACUCUACAAGUUUUUUUGGGGCCUUAAGAAUGACUUGAGCUCUAAACCGCACUUUUGGGAUUUUCAUCUUAGAGCUAUAUUUUCUAUCAAUGAAGAACUUUGUGAAUCUUGCUAAAUACCAACAAGUAUAUACAAACUUUCAAGUACAUUGCUCUUUAAUCCAAGAGUCCACAUUUGAUCAAAAUAGACUUUUUAAGGUAUGUAAUGUAGGUCGAGGUUCGAGCUUAUGAAAAAAUGGAUAAAUAGGCUCAAAAUAUGUUUUUCAAGGGAAUUAGCCAAAGAUCCUAAGGAGUAUUCUCUGGCUUUCUUUCUUUGCUUUUUUUUUCUUUUUUUUUGAAACAUCCGGCUUUAAUUUCAGCAACUUUAUCCACUUUUUUUACCCUGAAUUUUCAUUUUCAAGGUAUAUGUUUUUUUUUUCUGUAUUUUUUUGGAUUUUUUUUGGGAUUCUAACUAAAGCUUCAGAUUUUUAUCCCUAAGAUUUCUUUGCUCUUCCUUGGAAAUACCAAACUUCAUCUUUAAUUGUUUACUCUUUUGAAUUCUUGGGAUUCCAAUUAAAAUUGACCCAGACUCUCAUCUCCGAAAGGCAUGUUAGAUGCUUUUAAUAUCAAACACUUUCAUUGAAGUUGGUUUCUUGAAGGUAUCCUUAUUUUGCCCUCCAAUAUAGAAAAUGAUCCUUGCCAGGGUUCAUUUUGGAACAAAAAUUUUAACAGGCUCAAAUGGGUAGUAAGUGGAUAAUUUUUAUGUAUGAAAAGAAUAGAGAAAUAUGGUCAUUCGUCACUUCAAACAUGAUCACUUGGUUCAAAGAGUAAGUUAUUGAAGGAUGAGAUAAAAGGGAUCUUUUAUGGUUUUUUUUUUCUUCAUUUUUUUGCUUUUUUUUUUCUCUCUUUUUUUUUUUAUGCCCCAAAUGGUUUUCCAUUCAAGGUUCUCAUGAUAAUAAAAAUCAAGUUGUAUGGGAUUGAUUGCAUAGUUCAAAAAGGCUCUUCAAGCUCUAAAUUGUUUAGCAUUUUCUUGGUGAAAAGAAGAGAAAAUGUAUAAAGGUAUGAAACAAAUUGUCUUAGACAAAAAGGGAUUCUAUUUUUUUUAAUCAAUGUGCCUUAAGACAUGAAACAAGGGUUACUUAAGAGAAAAAGUUAAGGCAUUUUUGUGUUUAUAGUCAUAGUAAAAUUUUGACACACAUUGAAUUACCAAUUGAAAAUUUGAAAGAGCCCCUUGCUUAUUUAUUUUUUAAAACUCAAAAUAAAUUUUCAAAAUUGACCUUUUUUGCUCAUUGCCCAAGAAAAGAUUAUCACCCCUUUAAAGUAUGAAUUCAAACUCACAUUCCCUGAAGGGUUAUGGUUGAUGAGUCAAAUCAUUUAAGUGAUCAGGGGCCUAACGUAUUCAAAAAGGUGUAAAGGUAUUUAAGAAACUUUUUCUUAAUAGUAAUCACCAUUUCCUUCAAGAAUCCAUCGAUCUUUAUUAUGGAAUAAAACUCCUUCUUUUUUUCUUUUUUUUUAUUUUUGAUGUAUUUUUUUUUAUCUUGAAAAUUAUUUAUGUGGGACUUUUUAUUCAAACAAAUGCAUAAAGAGAAAAUUUCAUAAAAAGAUCCAAAUAGUUAAUUCUUCGAAAAUAAGUUAAAUAACUCCUAGGGACACUAUACACAUGUCAUACAUAAAUAGUGAAAAGAUUCAAAAAGAAAUCAUCCUAUCUUGAUUUUUCAAAACUCAAGACCUCAUUCUUCAUCUCAACUCCUCACAUUUGGCAAUUGGAUGGAGUCAACUUCCAUUAUUCUAUCACCUUUGGAGUCAAAAUAUCACUCUUGAUAAGAUCUUCAACCUUUUUUUUUAACUAUCUGUAUUUUUUAGUUGAAUGGUCGAUUGUUCUCAUAUGAUAAUCACACUUACCAUAGGGAUCAUAACUCCUUGUCAAUGGAUUUGGUGUUAUUUUUAGAGGCACAAAAGUGAGAUACUAACCUUCUAUUAGUAAAGAUAAAAGGUGAGGAAUAGAGAUUGACAGUUUCUCUAUAUCAUUCUUUAGUCUUUUUCGGCUCUUUAUUGGUCGGAUGGUAGGUUCAAAUGUAGGGACAAGAUCAUGGAUGGUUAUUUGAGGAUGGAAAUUUGCUGGAAAGCCCAAAUGCUGGCUUAGUUGGCAAAGAUAUGGGUUUCGAAAGAUAUUGCUUGUUAUAGGAUAAUAAGGUUGAUAAACAAAAUAAAGAUUGUACGGAAUGAAACUCUUGGGUAAAUGCCCUUCCAUUGUGAUUGCUUGCACUUCCUUUUCAUUCUUUUUUUAUAUACUUCUUUUUUUAAUAUCUGUCACAUUUUUUAAAUUAAUCCUACCAUUCUUAAUUGCAUUUUCUAUAAUCUCACCAAAAAUUACCAUGUCAGAAAAGUUUUUGGAGACAUUCACGAUCAUUCUUUCAUAAUAGAAAAUGCUCAAAGAAUUGACACACAGAACAAUGACUUCUUUUUUUAACAAGGGUGGUUGUACUUAGGCUACUAUGUCUCUCAAUUUGUAUACAUAUUCUUUAAAAAAUUUUAUUGACUUUUUUUCAUGUUUUGUAAGGACAACCUAUCUGGCGCUAUAUCUUCAACAUGUUUAUAUUGUGAUAAAAAGGCCCUAGCCCAACCAUUCCAAGAGCAAAUCUUAUUUCGGUCCAACUGAGCAUACCAUCUUACUGUAAACCGAGUGAGACUAUCUUAAAAGCAAUGGAUCAACAACUUAUCAUCAUAAGUGUGGCCUAUCAUCUUUUGACAGUAUAUGGUAAUGUGUGUUGAAGGGCAUUUCACUCCAUCAUACUUCUCAAAAUUUAGAGCUUUAAACUUUAAUGGGAUGACAAGAUUAGGCACUGAACUAAGCUUAUUGGCAUCAGCACUCUUGUAUAUAUCAUGGCCUUCAAUUGCUUUCAAUCUCUUUGUCAAUGUAUCAUAUUUAUCCUUCAUCAUCAUAUCUUUUGAUGGAUCAGGCAUUUUUUCAAUUCUUUAUAAUCAUCCACAUUAGGCAUAGCAAUGGAGUCAAAAAAAGUAGGCUCGAGAUUGACAUUUGUCUAACUAAUGAUAACUUGGCAGAAGGGCCAAUAUAAGGUUGAUGGUUUGUUGGAGGUGUUUAUGGCAUAUGGGGGUCUUGAACAUAUGUAAACCCAGAUGAAUAUGAUGGUGUAGUUGUUUCUUUCUUUGUCCUAUGUGUUUCAAUAAUUCUUUUUUCUUUUGUCAACUCUACUAACAUCUACUUUAAUUUUGCCAACUAUCUAUCCAUGUUCUAUUGUAUUCUUGUGACUGUUUUCCUUAUCUCUCCUUGGGCCUUUUCCACUUUGUCCAUCCAACUUGCAUUUUCAUUUUUCAUGAUUUUGGUAUAAGCUCGAGUGUUAUAAGUGUGCAAACUUAUCUGAUCUUACUUCUUAGAAUGCACUAUCCUUCAACCUUUUAUUAAUUACCAGAAAUUAGUAAUACAAGGCAUGAAUUCUAUUAUAAAAAAUAUCUUUUUGCUUCGAAGGUUUGACGAAAGUAUAUUUACAAUCAUCAUUCCUUGCCUUAGCUGGUAUGAAAACAAUGAAUUCACAUAUAUGAUGCAUGAUAUGCAAGUUAGAUUUGAUUAUUAUUGUUAAAGAAAACUUGAGUUUCAUCCUAUAUUAGGUUGGGUUAUCUAAAGACAUUCAUUCUACCUCAAAAGUUUGGUGAAAACAUAUUUGCAACCAUCAUUCUUUCUCACACUAUUUUAGGCACAACAUUAUUAAAAAAUAAACAGAGGCAUCAAUUCAUAAAAAAUUAAGGUCAAAAAAGGUUUUCAUUCAUUCCUAAAAGUAUCAAGUUUACACAUCAUGAACCAUUCCAGGGCUAGGGCCAAAAAGUGUUAGACUUGCUCCCACUCUCUUUUAUCUUGCCUAAGAAAUUAAAAAGCAGUUGACUAUGACUACUGGUAAGGAUAACCCUUUGUUUUAAGGCUUUUUAUUUUCAUUCAUCAUUUUGGCCAAUUUGACUACUACUAACAACACUACUUGGUAUCUCAGCAUGGAUCGAUGAAAGAUUCUUACAAAUAUCUGGCUUCAUUUUAACAUGAAAAUCUAAAUAUCUGACUUUUAUCAGUCCUUGUACCCUAUGUUUCAAAGCCAUACUGUCUUUCAAAGAAUGGCCCAUGACACCAAGAUGGUAUUCACAUCGAGCAUUAGGGUUAUACCAUUUGAGGAAAGGUGGUUUACGAGGUUCAGCAGGGAUAGAGGCAAUAAGUAGUUUUCUAUGAGCAAUGGGUAUAACUCUAUGCAAGACAUGGGUAUUGGGUUGAUAAGGAUUUUUCUUUUAGCAUUGCGAGAGUUUUUUUGUUCUAUGGUUAGUUUGCUUUGCUAAAAAAAUGGUGGUAUAGUUAGUCUUGAAGUGAAUUGAAAAACUUUGGGUCAAAAAUUAGGUUCAGAAGGUGGUGAUGGGAUAGUGUGCUAAACAAGUGAUUGUGAAAUGUGAAGCGGUGAGCAUGACUUCAAAUGUGGAAUUCUCGAAGUUUGCAUAAAGUUUAGGGGACGAAUCCUAAGUGCUUGGCAAGGAGGUUGAAAAUAGUUAUGAAAAGAACUUAAGUGUGAGUUUGGACUCGGGAUAGCUAGUAAUGGUUGUUUGAAGCCGGGUGACUCCUUCUUGGAAAUCAAACUUUUGAGCCUAGUCAUUUGUGUGGCUAGUUCACUUAUUCCUCUCUUAAGUUCACCUAAACUUUGGUCAUUAUUUAGAUUACCCAAUUUCUUAAUAUGCUCUGGAAAAGUGCUAGAACUAACAAGAACCGAUUGAUCUUGACUUGAUGGAAUCGAAAGUUACAACGAUCCUUGAGGAGCAACAAACUCAACCAUACCGUUAGUUGUAACCAUUUCUAUCAAUUGAGCAAUCUGUUAUUUCAUCUCCUAAAGCUUAAGCCAAAAUUCCUCUUAAUUCAACUCCAAAGCACUAAUCCUUGCUUUCAAUUGAUCUCCCAUUUUUGUCACUCUAAUUCCCACCAAGACAAACAUUUUAUUCCAAGACUUAGACCAAAAAUUCUAGAUUAGUACCCUUAUUGAAUGAAUGCCAUAAAAACAAUUUCUAACUUACAUGACACACAAAGUAUCUUUAUGAAUACAUAAAUAUGAUGACUAAAGAAUGUCAUGAAAUGCAUAUAUGCUUAUGACAAUGGAUUUUUAUAUGUACAAGGACCUAAAUGAAAAUUUUUCGUCAACCAUGAAUGUGUAUGCAAGGAAUGUAAUGUUAAGGAUGGUGUGAUAUUAGAUGCAAUGUAUGUUCUAUAAAACCAUACCAUUCAUGAAUCCAUAUGCACGAAAUGUUAUAUGAGUCAUGAAAUAUAUACGUAUAAUUAAUGCAACAUACUUGCAUGGAAUGCAUAAACCUAUCAAGUGCACAUUAUAUUUUUACAUGGAAUGCAAUGCUUGUGUUAUGUCAACCUAAUGAAACUGACACUACCUUAAAAUAUGUAAUGAAAUGGAAUGUGUGAACUACCUAUUAAGAUGUAUAUGGAAGGCAUGUAUCAUUUAUCAACAUGUGCAUAACAUGGGAUGCAUGUACUAUCCAUUGACGUGGAUAAGAUGUAAUGUAUCUAUUAUCUUAUUAUGAUGCAAAUAGGAUGGGGUACAUGAAAGAUGAAACAAUAUUCAAAAAAAAAUUUAGAAGGAAAAACACUUUUUUUUUAUCAUAUAGAAUAACUAGAACUUGAAAAUUAAUUUUUAUUUGGCCAAUAAACAAAGAAUUUAAGAGAAACCUUAAUUUUUGAAAAUUUUAUCUUUAUUUUUUUGCUUAUUCGAUAAUGCUAAAAAAAAUCAUUCUAUUCUAAAAUAUUUAUGAAAUGAAAAUUUUGGACAAUUACCAAAUGAAUAAACUACAUGUUCAAAGAAAAAAAUUUCUAAUACAAUGCUUUUUUUUUAUUGUCUAUUUAAAAAAAAACAUAUUUAGGUUAUUUCUAUAAAAAGGUCAGUAGGGCUCUACCCUAGGCAAGCUUCUUAUAGCUCAAGAUAUGCUAGGUUAAGAUUUAUAUAACUAAAGGUUUCCAGACUAUUCCUUACAUCAAUGUUCGUUAUAGAAAGUAAGGCUCCCACAUUCUCACGCAUUACAGGCUACCAACAAAAAGGGUUCAAUCUGAAUGGAAGUAUUUCACUUGCAAAAACGGAGGUUAUCAACUCACAAGAGCAUAAUUACUUUACUUCUUCCUAAAAGGAAUGGAGCCCGAGUCCAGAGCUCAUGCAUGUAAAUGCAUAUACAAAAGUGUGCAAAGUGACAUAUUAAUCAAAAUAUCAUAAAUAAAUCAUAAGCACAAAAUUAAAACAAAAUAAUAACUAACAUACAAUUUAUUUUAUUUAUUAACUUGUAUAUAUAUAUAAAUUAUAAUAAAGGGAAUUAAAUUAAACAUCAAGCAAAACCAAUUAAAUCUAAUAAUUAUUAAUAGCACAUAAUUAAAAUUUUUGAACUGACUCUCAAACUGUCUCCAUUGGAGUCACCAAGCUAUUGUAAUGGUUUUGAGACUGCCAGAUGUAAAUAAUUUUAAAAUUGAGAAAAAACAAGAGAAUUGCAACCAAUCUUUUUUUAGAGUGUGAUUAGCCACCCAAAAGUCUAUUUUUUUAAUAAGACUAUAAAAGCAGGUUUAAAGUUUCUCAAAAAGAUAAAUUUCGGUCUACGAAAAAUUAGGUUGGGCUUAGGAGUCGGUUACGUGUAGGGAAAGAUUAGCACCCCCACAACACCCAUAAAGUGGUACCAAUUAAUCAUGCAUUAUUUUUUAUGUUGGAUAAAAUGGUUUUGAUUUGAAAUCUAAUACUAACUCCUUUCAUAAAAAAAAUAAAUUUUUGUUAAAACUCUUUAUUUAGGAAUAUUAAGGAAAUCCUUAAGUUAGAGAAUUAUCUUAAAAUUCUCUAACAUCUAGGCAUAAUUUAAAAUAACUCUUUUCGUUUAAGAUUUAACAAAAUACUCCUUAAAAUAAGAAUAACACUCUUGGUGGAAGAUAAUUAUUGGUGACUCUUCAACAUCUAGGCAGAGUACAAAGAAUUAUUUCCUUUGGAAUGUUAUUUUUGUUUUAUUUUAUAAUAUCACAAUUUUAAAAUAUGUAUUUUCUCUUUUUUUUUGUAAAACAUUUUAUAUGAGAAAUUAAAUAAUGGCAUUAUUAGGUAACAAAUAAAAAUUAAAGACAGAGAAAUGCAAAAUGAGUGCCAACAAUAAUAUAAUGAUGCCAAUGUAUAUUAUGCAAGAUGAUUAAAUGAAAUUUAAAAAAAAAAUGGAUUCUUAAAUAUAAUGAGACCACCUUAACUCUCCAACAUCUAGGUAAAGUUUAAGUGGGACUAUUUAUAUUUAAGAUCCCAUUUUAUUAGUAUACUUUUUAUUUAUUAGUUAUCAAUUCAUUGUUAAAGUGAAUUAAAGACUCAUAAGAAAAACUUAAUGGAAUAAAGUUUCUUAAAUACCCCAUCGUCUAUGCGGCAUUUGAGAACAAAUUACUUUACUUUGAGAUUUCGCAAUCCUUAAACUUUCAGAAUGGUUUUGGACUUGGGUAUAAAUCGAAGUUUUAAAGUUUGGUGACUUUUGACUGAUGAUUCGGGAUUGUGUACCAAAGUUGGGGUUUUAGGUUUUGAGGUUUGAGAUUUUGGAUUUUAAGAUUUUAAGGUUUUAAGGUUAUGGUUUUGACAUUUAGGGUUUAAAGGGUUUAGAGUUUUAAUUUUAGCAUUUGAGGGGUUUAGGUUUUUUUUUAAGGUUUAGGGUUUUGAUAUUAAGGGUUUAGAAGUUUGGGGUUAAGGGUUUUGGUUUUAAGGUUUGGAGGGUUUAGGGUUUCAAUUUUCAAGUUUGAGGUUUAGGGCUUUGAUUUUAGGGUUUAAAAGGUUUAGGGUUUUAAUUUUAAGAUUUGGAGUUUGGGAUUUUCAUUUUAAGGUUUGGGGUUUAGGGCUUAGUUUUAGGAUUUGGAAGGCUUAGACUUUAGUUUUAAGGUUUAGAGGGUUUAAGGUUUCAAUUUUUUAGGUUUAGAGGAUUUAGGGUUUAGUUUUUUUUUUUAAGUUUAAAAACGCAAACAUCUUUAAAAAAUUCUCAACAUCUAGGUAGACUUUUAAAACAAGUUGGGUUUUUAUAAUUUUUUAAAAUUAGUAAAACAAUUUUCAUAUAUUUUCUUUUUAUAACAACGUAUUAUCAAUAAAAUUACUAAUUUAUUUAGUGGUUUUUUAUAAUAAUUCUUCAACAUCUAGGUGAAAUUAUUAUUAUUUAAAACAUGAUUGUAUUUCUUCCAACAUCUAGGCAUAAACUUUUUCCUUAUUACUAGUUUGUUUUAUAAUUAAUUUUAUUAUUUAUUAUUUAUUUUUAUUUUUAUUUAACACUUAGGUUAUUAGAAAACAUUAAAAGGAAUUAAAAGUUUUGAAAUCAUUUUUAUUAUUAUCAUUACUGUUGUUAUUAUUAAUAAUAAUUAUUAUAAAACAUUAAAUAUUUAUUCUAAUAAAUUCUAAAAGUUUUAAAACAUGCACAAAUAUCAAUAAUAAUAAAGUUUAAAAUGAUAUAAAUAAUAUAAAAAAAUAAAAAAAAUUUUAUCUGAACUAGACUAUCAACGUCGAUUCAGCUGGACCAAAAAAGGGGAUGGUUUGGCAAGUGGUUCAGUUGAAUUAGGUGAGGGGCAAUUCGACAAGCGGUUCAAUUGAAUUAGUUUAGGGCUGGUUGAAGGAUAGGUUAUCAGGUCGGGUCACGCAAAUCCCAAAUCAGGUUCAGUUCCACGCGUAGAUCCUCAUUGGCCUACAACGACAUUGUUUUGGGCUUUGGUUUUUUAUAUAAAACCAAAAAUUUUUUAAAACUCAUUUUAUCCUUUCUACUAAAAAAAAUUUAGAGAUAAAAAAAAUCUCUCUAUCUCGCACCAACCGCCACCUGAGGUCGCUGCCAACAGUCAUUGUCAGUGGUCACCGAUGGCAAGAAAAUGCCAAAAUGCUCCAAGAAAUUCUUCUCAAUGUCCUCUUUUCAAAUCUGAUCUCCUUUUCACCAGGAUCAGCUCCGAUAAGAGCAAAUAGGGGCUUGAAGUUUUCAGUCUCUUUUUUUUUUAUAAAACCAAAAUUGAUGACUUUUUUUUUUUUUUAGGUAGCUCUUUAGCAUUGAUGGUUCUUCCCUAUGGGAAGGAUUGUGUUUUUUUUAUUUCAAUUUUUUUUUGUUUGGUUUUUUGGUGGGUGGAGAGUUUAGAUUUCUGGGUAUAGAAUGGCUUAAGGUUUCUGAGCGUGAGAGCUUGGGUUUCUGGGUAUAAGAGCUAGGGAUUGCUGGGUCUAUGUUUGGGAUAGUGGGUGGAAUAAAAGAUGGCUGUAGAAGCUAUAGAAACGGUUAGUCUGGUGGCUGCAAGAGUGACUAGAGGUAUGGCUAGGGUAGGCUGUAGGGGUGGCUAUAGGGGUGGUUGGUGCUAGUGGUGCCAUGCACUGCACCUAGGCAUUAGCCCCCUACCCCCUUUUUUGUUAUGUCCUUCUUUUUUUUAACACUAUUAAACCAAUAUUAAUAUUUUAUUAUUAAUUUUUUUUCUAUUAUUAUUUUUUCUAUUAUAAUUAUUAAUGAUUUUAAUAUUAAUAAAUAGAAACCAAAAACAUGAUUUAAAGCUUCAAUAGACUCGGACAAAAUUCGAUAUCUAUAGUAGAUAUGAAUCUACCUUUUAAAUAUGCCUAAGUCAAAUUUGAGACUUCUCUUUAAAAGAGGAUAGAUUUAAUUAGGUGGCCAAUCACACCUAGAUUAAAAAAAAUUGGUGGCUACUCCUUAAAGUUAAAUCUAGCAAUAGAUUUACAGAUCUAUAUGUUAUGAUAGUAACUUAUCAUAAAAUGAACUAAAUAACUAUUAUAAUCAUAAUAACAUUUAUUUAUGAUAUUUAAAGCAAUUUAUUACAUUUUAAUUAUUUCAUUUAUAUGUUAAAAUAAAAUUUUUAGUUACAACUCAAAUUAAUAAAUAUAUCCGACAUGUUCAUUAAUAUAUUCAUAAAUUUAUGGAUAUGAAUGUUAUAAAUACAUAUUUAAUCUUAUUAGGAAAAAUGAUGAUGAACAUAAAAAUUUUCUUUUAUAAAAUAUGACUAUUGGGGUUAAAGGAUUAAAAUAUCUUCCUUGAACAUAGAUCCCUGUAUUUUAUCAUUAAAUCAAAUACACAAGUGCAACAUUUUAAAUAGUUAAUUAACAAAAAUGUUAAUAAUAUCAAAAUCAUAUAUCAUAUUUUAUAUAUAUAAUUCAAAUAUUUUGUAACAAAUGCCAAGUCCUUUUACAUAAAGUUUAAACCUAUAUCUCUUACUUUUAUCACAUUAAACACAAUAGACUUUGGUAAUCUAAUUUUUUAUGGAUUUUUGUACUUUUGAUUUUCUUCUAUUUAUGUUCUUUGAAAUCAUUUUUUGUUAAAAUUUAUUAAAAUUUUUAGUUUUCUAAUAUUAAUGUCUUUGACUAUUGAUUUUCUUGUGAUUUAUGAUUUUUCAUCAAAAUGGACUUUGGAUUGUCUAACUUUUUUAUGGAUUUAUUGCCUUUGAUUUUUUUUUUCUAUUUAUAUUCUUUAAAAUCAUUAUUUGUUAAAAUUUAUUGAAACUUUUAGUUUUCUAAUAUUAAUGUUUUUUACUAUUGAUUUUCUUGUAACUUAUAAUUUUUUUUAUCUUGUUUUUAUUAAGAGUAUUUCAUGCUUGUAUUUUUAUAGAUUUUUUACUUUUGAUUUUCUUCUAUUUAUGUUCUUUAAAAUCCUUAUUUGUUAAAAUUUAUUAAAAUUUUUAGCUUUUAUAGAUUUAUGACUUUUUGAUUUCUAUUAAAGUGGUGUUAUCCUACAUUUAAUGGAUAUCUAAUUUUCUAUAAUCUGAUAUUCAGGUUAAGCCCUUCCAUUUAUAAUCACUUGGUUUUAAGUUAGAUGUUUAACAUGGUAUCAAGCUAAGAUUUCUUUCUGUUGCUCUUUCUAAAUUUGUAACUUACGAUCAUUUUGUUGAACAUUCAAUUAAAUGCUUACCAUGUUACUUUUUUAUAAUUUAUUAUGAAAUUUUGUGUUUUCGUUUACUUUUUUAAAAUAAUUUUUAAUUUAAUUUUUCACUAGAUAUUAUUUUUGUUGUUAUUGGCAUAGUUUUUUCUCAUCAUCAAACUAUUGAUAACAAGUCCAUAAAAUAUAUCGCAUUAUGCCUUCAAGAUUUAGGAUAUUGUUUUUGUUUUAAUAUUUUUUUUAUAUUUGCAAUGUUAUAAAAGGGAUUAUUUAUUUUAAAAAAUAAAUUUUAUUAUUAUUGUUGGAAUUAAAUUUUAUUUAAUCAUUUUUCAGUGAAAGGUUUACAAUCUUUAUUUUGUGGGACAAGUUUGUUUCUGAAUUUGAAGAGAAGCAUUUAGCUUUGGGAAAUAAACCUCAAAUUGUUAUACUUACUUCUUUGAUUGCUAAGAGUUUUUAAGGUUAGUCAGUGUGUAAAAAAUUGUGAAAUUAAUCUCUGGUAGUUAUAGUUAUUUAUAUGAUUUUUAAUAGUCUAUCUAGGUUUGUUAAAAUUUAAUAAUUUUUUUCUGAUGUGGCAUCAUUUUCUUUUACAAAGUCAAAUAAAAUUUACAUGGAGAACACUAUUUAUGAAAUAGUUCAAUUUAAACUAGGUUUGAUGUGAGUCUUUUAUGCCAUUUUUAUUAUUUGAUUUUGGUUUGUUAUUGUUAUAUUUUUUUCAAAGCAAUUGGAGAUUUUUAAUUUUUUUUUAAAUUGUUUUAGCAAGAUUGUAAUAAAUUGAAGAUUUGAACAAAAGUCAUGAGUUGUUAAGUCGAUCCAAUCUUCCAAGAUCAAAUAAAUAAUUCUUGAGAUGAAACAACUUUGUCAAUCUGCUACCAGUAAGGUUACCAAUUUGUAUUAUAUCUUAUUGUUAAUAAUUAUAGUUUAAUUUCUAUAGUGACAGUGAUACUUUUUAUUUUAAACUGGUAUUGUCUUUUUAUUGCUUUUCAUGGUGAAUCUUAUUUUAUUACAACUUCAAUAGUUUAAAUACGAAUGCGGGAUGUAUGGUGGUAUGCAUCUUGUGGUGUUACAUGUAAGAAAAAAGUUGUCCUUAUGGAUAGUUAUAUGUCGUGCCUUAACUGCAACAAACUUUUUAAUAUCUUAAACCAAGGUAAUAUAUUGAAAGUGUACAUUUAAAAAAAAAUUCACAUUGUCCUGAUUGGUUGUUAACGAUAUAGUUUUAUAGAUUUCGUAUUUAUAUCGAUGUUGAAGAUUUGAAUGGGUCUACAACCUUUCUCUCAUUUAAUGAUGUUGUUUCCAACUUUUUGAAUGUCAUUGUUGAUGAAUUAGUAUCUUCUCAAUCAAAUGUAAAACAUGUUUCAUAUUUUUAAUCUCCUAAAAUUUCUAUACUUAUUUUCUUUAGUUCAUUUGGUAAAUCAUUGUUUAUCAUUUUGAAAGGAAAAUACUAAUGAUUAUGUCUUAUCUUUUACGUCAAUCACAUUGGAUCUAAUUUUUUUUUUGACUAAAGAGCUAUACGUCAAAGAGAUUAUGACAAUUUUGAGUAUUUUGUUAUUAACGAAAUGAAAGGACCUACAAUUGCAUCUAUUAAUUUGGAAACAUUUAUAAGUUUGUAUAUAUAUUAAUAUAAUUUUAUAUAUGGUAGUUGUUUAAAUGUUUGAUCUUGAAGUGAAACACUAUAUAAGAAGCAAAUGUUUCUAAUUUGUUGAUGGAUGGUUCAAUUGUUAAGCAUGUUGGUGAAGGAGAAAUUUAUGAAAUCAAUUCUAAUUCUAAUUGAAUGGCAGAUCCCCAAUUACAUGAUGUUACUUUUAUUGAGCAAAGGAUCAUGAAGAGGAUGAGGUAAUGGAUUCCUUUCUUUAUUACAUAUAUAUUUUUAAAAUUUAUCAUGUUUGCUUAUUUAUUUUUUAGGAAAAAAAAAAGGAUUGUUGAUUCUUUAACAAUUCUCUUACUUUUAAUGAUGCUAACUUAAAUGAUGGAUAAAUUGUUAUUUAUUUUAUUAUAUUUUAAAGCAUUUUGCUCUAUUUUUGUAUGGUUUCAUUUGAAUACUUUGGAUACUUCUCUUACAUUUGAGGAUACUUAUUUGAAUACUUAAAUAAUAUAUAUAUGCAUAAAUAUGUGUGAAUGUAUGUUAGCCUUGAAUUGAUCCUUAUUUUGAAAUGACAAAACAUUAAAGCAAAAUAAACUUGAUCAAGAUUUUGAAAAAAAUUUAUUUAGUACAUGUUCUUAAGUUUUAUAUUUUGAUACUAAAUAAAUAAUAUGAUUUUCAAAGCUUAAACAAACCUUUCUUUGUUUUCAUAUUUCUCAAACCAAAUCUAUCUUUAAAGAUUAUUUAUUUGAGCUUAAAUGAAAGUCUAAUUAUUGUUUUUAAAGUGAACUUAUUCAUUUUGGACUUAAUACAAUUUUGAUAAUAUUGGUUUUGAGAAAUAGAUUAACUUAAGAAAGCUAUUUUACAAGAACAAAGUUUUCCUACAUUGAACUUAUUUUAUUUUUCUGUAUUAAUUCACAAAGUUUUAAUAUUUAAAUUUUUUUAUGGUUGGAAAGCUCUUUGAGUCUACUUUCUAAUGGAUCAAACAAAAUCCAAAUCCAAAUUUUUUAAGAAAAGAUUUUGAAUUUUUACUAGAUACUCUACAGUUGUUAAAAAACUGCACAAGAGGUAAAUUUAUAAAUUCACUAUAAUUCGCACUCAAGAAAGCCCUUUAAGUCUAGUUUCUAAAUCUUCAAACGGUUUGUAAUUUGGAUUUUUAUAACUCAAGUUAUGAUCAAAUUAGUAAGUAGAGUGCAAAACGGGAAACUACCACCCAGCAUGGACAGUUUUCAAGUGAAAAAUGGUUCAAAACAUGAACCAAUGAUCCCCUCAAGCAAGGGAUCGAUCGAUUCUAGGCACAAACACUUCCAACGGCUAUUUUAUCAAGGAUUCAAUCGCUACUUUCACUUCCCAAGCUUCCCCAACGGCUACUUCUUCAAUUUCUCUAUAAAUCGGGCACUCCAACACACCAAAAGGAUUGAUGAAUCAAGAGAGCAAGAGCCAACUAGCCAUAUUUUCAUUCUCUCAAAUAAUCAAGAGUUUUUAGAGCUUCAAAGUCCAUAUCUUUAUAUUUAUUUUAUCCAAAUUAUUUUUAUUGUUCAUUCAUUAUUUUCUUGUACUUAAACUUAGCAAACACUUAGCCUUAGAAAGGUUGUUCUAUUGUUUGCAAAAUUACCUUUGAUAUACAAGGGUGAAAGAGAACAAGAGGUGAGGUAUCCUCUUGAUAUUGUAAGGGUAGAGGUUGCUAUCUAAGCCUUGAGAAAAAGAUAUAGAUUUAGUAUAAGAUAGGUUUGUAUCUUGUAAGAAUUUUUUUUCAAUUAAUGGAUUGAAACCUUGGUGUGGACAACCAAGAAAGAGGAUGUAGGUGCCUUGUGAAGAAGGACCGAACCUCUAUAAAUUAUUAUGUUUGAUUUCUCUAUCCCUAUCUCCUUACAAUUUAUUAUUGUUUAUAUUUGAUUUUAAGUUCAUUAAUUGUUAUUGUUAGCAUUAUAUUUUCAUUAAAAGUGCUUAUUAUUUUAAUUUCCAUUCAAUUAUAUUGAAAUCAUUUGUUUGGGAAUAAUUUUAUUAAAACCAAUUCACCCCCAUCUUGGUUUAUUCCAAGUCUUUGAGCUAAUAAUGUAUGUAAAAUAUGUAUAAGUUUUCUAAAUUCUAAAAGUCUCCCUUUAUAAAAUUAUAUAAUACUUUCUAGAUUUAUACACUAUUUUAGUAUUAUUUUAUUAUCUUGAAUUCUUUGCUUUUUUAUUUUAAUUAGAAUAUUAUCUUUAUUUUUUAUAUUUUAGUAUAAAAUAUUCCUCAUUUAAAGUGUUUGAUUUGAAUUAAUUUUGUUGGACAAAAAUCAAAUUUUAUGAUGAAAGAGAUUCCGAAGAAUUAAGGAUAAAAAAGCUCUUAUUAAAUGACAAUAAGGUAUGAAAAAACUAUUAAUAAUCACUUAAGACUAUUGAUAAUUGUAAGAAUAUAUAUAUAUAUAUAUAUAUAUAUAUGUGAGACAACCAAAGGAUUAUAAAAAAGUUAACAAAUAAUUGUAGGUAAUCAAAAGUUUAGUAAGUUUUAUGUAAUAAAAUUAAGAAAUUUAGGUUUAUAAUUUAUGUAAAAAAAAUUUGAUGUAACCAAACAUCAUUUCAUUUAACUUGAUAUUUAGGGAUACUUGAACCAUAAGUCAAAAGAAAAUAAAAAAUUAAUAAUAUAUAUGUUAGAUAAACAAAAGUUUAUAAAAAGUUAACAAAUUAAGGUUUUAAAAAGUAUAAAUACAAAGUCUAUUGGAUUUAAUUUAAAUUAAGGGAAAAAGUGAUUUCUCACUAUAUGUAAUGAAGCCUUUUAUAUUUCACCAGAAAUGUUUAUUAUUUUUAUUAUAUUAUUUAAUUUAAAUUAUUUUUUAAAAAUACAAAAAUUAAUAUACCUUAAAUCGUAAUUUAUAUCAAUACAUUUAAAUUAGUUACAUAGAACUUAAAAAAUAUAAGUUUAUGAAUGUGGACUCCCCUUUUAGUAAAUGAAUGGGAAAAUAACUUAGAAAACAUUUAAGUAGUAGGAAACAUGUAAUCAACAUAAAUUACCUGAAAUUAAUUUGUUACAUAUUUGAAUUUAUGCAUUAGAGAUUGACAAAGAAAAAAAUAAAUAUAAUUAAAUAUUAAAUAAUAAAACAUCAUGUUUUAUUUGUGUUAUCUAUUAAACAAUGAAACAAAAUUUGGUAAAUAAUAAGAAAUAUUGAUAUUACUAAGAUAGAUGCUACUUGAUAAUGUGAUUUACAAUCUUAUAGAGUUCUAGCAGUGCAGCACAAUUUGAACAUGCGAUAUAGUUCUCAAAAUGUGCUGGUGCAAUUGGAUCAUCCACUUGCCAAUGCUGAACACCAACCUCUUUGACAAAAAAGAAAUGAAACAAAAUCAAAAUGUAUAAAAGGUUCCAACCUAACCAUUCUAACUAAAUCAAUACUUUCUAAUUUUAUCUCUUAAAAUUGAGUUAAAUAAUUGUUCCAAUAAAAGGGAUCCAUGGCUAUUAUGAAGAGAUAAUAAUUAAAUGCUAUAUCCAUAUUGGCAAAGUUUAUCUCUUGCUUCAUAUCCCAUCGCAAGACAUGCUAUUCCUUCAAAAAACUUAUCUUCAUAGCAAAAGGAAUGCAAACCAAAACUAAAAAGUGUUGUCAGAUGCUUUAACCUCACAUAAAAUGAUUAUCUUUGGUUGACAUUUUAUUCACUUUUCUAAUACAAGUUGUAAGAUCCACUUGGGAAACAAGCUUGGACAAAUUCUCCCUAUCUAGUAACCUUUUGUUGAUAUAUUUUUCAAUAAAGAAUGAUUGAAAUUUACUUGGCAUGUUUGUAGGUUAGUUAAAUUCUUCUUCUAACAUUGUCUUCUAUUUCCUUUUUAUCUUAAAAAAAAAAAGGUCUUUAGUUUUAUAUAAACAACCUUUUGCAGAAAUUUUAAUCACACAUUAAUUUUGGAAUGGUGAAAUAGGUCAAAAGUUAGAAAGUAUUUAUUUAAAUACUUAACUUAGGGCCUUGAUAGAAUGACUAUAGUUAUUAAAAAGAACAUUAUUUCUAGCCAAUCCUCAAGUAAAGAAGAUAUAAUUAAUGUUGAUGAAAUAAAGAUGUUUUUGGAUUGUCACUAUGUGUUUGCUUGUGUAGCAGGUUGGAGAAUAUUUAAAUUUAACUUACAUUAUUGAUCUCCUUUAGUUAUGUGCUUAUUUUUACUUUUUCCUAGGGAGCAUUCCAUUACAUAAAGAUUCUAAUAAGUUGCCAAGUGUUUUACACUAUCCUAGAAUUGAUAAAAUUAUAUUCUCAUAAUGGAUGUUAGUAAAUUCCAAUAGUAUAGUUGCUCGUGGAUUGACUUAUGCUAAAUUUCCAACAAGAUUUGUUUGGGUUGAACAUGAUAAAGAAUGGGUUCCUAGAAAAUGUGGACAAAUAAGUGGAAGAAUUAUUUAUAGCCACCCAGCUUCUUAUGAAAUAUACUAUUUAAGAAUUUUACUGAAUAUAGUGCGUGGACCAAAAAGUUUCAUAGAAAUAAGAGUGAUUAAUAAUCAUGUCUAUAGUAGUUUCAAUCAUGCUUGUUAUGCGAUGGGUUUAAUAAAUGAUGACAAGAAGUGGGAUGAUACAAUUGAAGAGGCAAGUUUUUAGGCCACUAAAGGUCAAUUGCGUGAAUUGUUUGCUACAAUUUUGAUAUUUUGUGAGGUUACUAAUUUUUUUUUUAAAGAAACAAAUUGGCAAUUUCUUAUGAUAUUUUGUAUACAAGAAAAAGGUUUUCAAUAAUCAGAAACUUGUUUUUUCAAAUGGUCAAUUGAAAAAUUAUUAUUUGAUUGAAAUUCAAAGACUCUUGAAUAGAAAUGGUAAGUCUAUGUUUAAUUAUGAUGGGUUGCCAAAAUCAGAUGAAAGGCUAUUAUAUGUUGUAGGGAAUAAAUUGGUUGUAGAAGAACUUAGUUACAAUGUACAAGAAUUAGUAGAAGAGCACGAUAGAGAUUGGUAGUCUUUGAAAUGGAUCAACACAAGGUAUAUGAUUCUAUUGUUCGGCUGUAAUAAACAACAUAGGAGGUGUUUUCUUUGUAUAUGUUCAUGGUGGCACCGAAAAAAUAUUUUUGAACAAAAUAAUAUUGGCAAAGUUAAAAUACCAUAGAAAAAUUACAUUAGCUGCAGCUUCUUCAAGUGCUUUUUUAUUAAAAAUUCAAUAAUUGUGAUGCAAUUUAGUACUAAAUUAUUGUUUUGCAUAUUUAUAUUUGUUUUCUUAAAUGUCAAUUCUUUUUUCUUUGGUACAAAUUGCAUCUUUAAUAUUACCAAGUGGUAGAACAACACAUAGCCGUAUUGAUAUUCCAUUGAAUUAUUUUUAAAAUAGUACAUGUAGAAUAGAGCAAAAUACAAACAUUGCUCAUUUAUUAUCUAAAACAUGUCUUAUUCUUUGGGUUGAGGCCCCAAUGAUGAAAAGAUUUAUUUUUGAAGCCAUUGACAGAACACUUAAAGACAUUAUUGGAUUUAAGGAUGAAAGUGCAAAAAAAAAAACCCUUUGGUGGAAAGACAGUGCUUCUUAAAGAUGAUUUCAAACAAAUAUGACCUGUUAUCCCUAAAGGUAAGCAUCAAAGAGUGGUAGAUUCUUCUAUUAAUAGAUCAUGCUUACGGAGAAAUUGCUUUAUGUUCACUUUGAAAUCUAGCAUGCAAGUAUCAAAUUAUAAUGAUAAUGGUAAUAUGGAUGAAGAGAAUGUUAAAUUCAAAUGUUUGGUUAUUAAACAUUGGGAAGGAAAAGGUACAAGCAAUUUGUAGACAUGAAGAACUUGAUCCAUGUUUGAUUGAAAUUCUAAAAGAAUUUAUAGUCAACAUGAACGAAAAACCAAUAGAUGCUAUAAUUGAUGCUGCUUAUCCAUAUUUUUAUGAGAGACAAAAUCAUGGAAACUACCUUUUUGAAAUGACGAUUCUCACUCCUCUUAAUGAAACUGCACAUGAGAAUUAUAAACAUGUAACAAAUUUAUUGGAAGGUGAAAUAAGAAUUUAUAGUAGUGAUGAGAUAUUCAAGGGUUCCACAAAAUGAAGAACAAAAUGAUAUGUAUUUGAUUGAGUUCUUUAAUAGUUUGAAUUUUCUUGGUAUGCCUUGUCAUUUGUUAAAGUUCAAGAUUGGUAUGCAUGUUAUGCUGUUAAGGAAUGUGAAUCUGAGCUUGGGAAUGUCUAACAAUUCACGCUUGAUUAUCACUCACUUGGGUGACUAGGUGGUUGAAGGUAAAAUAAUGUCUGGAACCGAUAUAGGUCCAAAAUAUUGAUUCCAAAGAUAUCAAUGACUUCUCAACAAACAAGAUGGCCAUUUAUUCUAAAAUGAAGAUAGUAUCUAUUGAAGCCAUGUUGCGCAAUGACAAUUAAUAAAAGUCAAGUACAAUCAUUGAAAUAUAUUGAUCUAUAUUUAUCAAAACCAAUUUCCAAUCAUGGCUAAUUGUAUGCGGCCCUUUCUUUUGAGACAUCAAGGUUAAGAGUUGUGAUUUUAGAAGACGUUGAUAGGUUUAAAUAUCAUACAUAAAACAUUGUGUAUGAAGAUGUUUUUAAUGGUAUAUUUUCAUAGAUAACUUAGUUUGACAUUUUCAUGUUACAAUUUCAUGUACUGAAAAACAAAUUAUUCUAAAUUUUAAUAAAUAAAUUAUUAUACUUUUGUUGGUAAAAUUCUUGAAACCAUAUUGCCAAUUCCAUAUGCAAAUUUAUUGUGAUUUUAUGUUACAAAAUUAACCGUGAAAGCACUGGCAUAAAAACCUAGUUAUAUAAUAAAAUUAAUUCUUUUAAAUUAAAUAAUUGUACAUGUAUUAAAUUAUACAAAAUUAAAUUAACUAAUUAAAAGUUAACAUUCCUCUUAAAAUUUCAUUUAAAUCACUAAAAAUUUUCCAAAUAUCCAUUUUCCAUCCAUAUUUACUUUUCCCUUAAAUCAUUCACCUAAACCAAAAAAAAAAUCAAUUUUAAUCUUUAAAACUACGUGACAUGUAUCAGCCUUCAUUUUGUAAACCAAAUUCUUCCAAACCCAUUUUCUUCUCGUAUCGCCAGUAGUAGAACAUGCCAGCAUGGUUUUUAGCUUUCCAUAUACCCAUCCCAUUUUUCUCUGUUUCUUGUUCCUCCUUUAUCUCUACUAUUCUUCCUCAUUUUGUAACAAAGUCACCAAACACAACCAACCACCAUCAUGUCUUGCUCAAAUCCUCACUGUCUCUCAUUCGAAAGAUUUUAAACUGUCAUGUCUCAUUUAUCUCUCUCAAAAGUCAAAAUUGGAGAAGACAACACAGAGCACAGCCUAAAGUCGACGGGUAUGGGGGUUAUAUGAGAACUCUUUCUUCAAACCAUCCACAACUCAAAUUUUAAAAAAUGGGUAUAUGUUUUUUUACCAUGAAUUAAUUUCUUGCCUUUUUUUUAAUUUGAUUAAGGCUUAAAUUUGUUGGAUUUUGAUUUAAUUGUUUGAAGUUAGGAUGGAUUUUCUUCUUUGAUUUAAUUUUGUUUAUUGUAUGAUUUGAUUCGAUAAAUAUGAAAAACUACUUUAACGUCUACGUCAUUAUUUACGGCUACAAAGCUCUGCUAUGAGUGUAAUUACCAUUCACAACCCCAUCAAAGAUGAAUAAUGAUGGCGAAAGGUGCCGUUACUGCUAAAUAGAAGCCGCUAUUCUUUUAAUAAAAACAAUACCUAUCUCCUCAUCAAAUAUGAGAAUUAUAUAUAGAGAAAGACUAUGAUCCCUUUUAUCAAAGCUCAUUUAAGUGACUAAAAUGGGGAAAAAAUAGAUAUAUUCUAGUAGGGUGGAGCCUAUAGGAUUUUGUCAUAUUCAGUCUAAUUAAACUCGAGCUAAGGCUGUUGGUGCAGGCCAACUGUUGGACACUAUUGUAAAAUAACCUUUUAAUGAGGUAUUUAUUAUGUAAUCUUUAAUAAUGCAUAUAAGUGUAACCCAAAAAAAAUAAUAAUGUAUAUAAGCUUUAUAUAGAACCUUUUUAUCUAGAUAUAUAUUUGGAAUUAAAAUAUGCAAUUAUAAAUCUUGGACCAUCUAAUUCUUGGUGAAUAGCUUGUUACUAGAGAUCAUGUAAGUACUCUUAUUGGGAACUCUAAAAUUUAAACAUCAUUUAUAUAUGUUAAUACUAAUGACUAGUAAAAUUAUUUGGCAAAUUUAGAUUGAUGCUUUAUUUAAUGAGCUACUCUUUUGAAACAGUGUGGAGCAAAAAAUUACACCUUAAUUAACAUCACAAUACGUGCAUUAACAAAGCAAACUUUUUAUUCAAAAAGAAAUUAAUCAAAGCUAAUCUAUUCACUCUAUUGAUCACCAAAUUAAGAAACCUGAUUUAAAAGUAUGAAAAGAAGUGGGGAAGAAAAAGUAUGCCUUUUCUUCUCUAUCUUCCCUUUUAUUGUUAUAAUCAAUAGUAUUAUACCUAAUUUUAACCAAUAAUAGUAAAAAAAUAAUAACAAUUAUUUUGUAUUUAACUUUGACAAAGAAUAGUAAAGAGAUAAUAAUAAAUUAUUUUGUACAGAUAUAUAUCCAUCUUUUUAGCACCAAGUGUUAACUAGUAUAUAAUUUUUAACUCGUUGUCUUAUUUAUCAAUCUUGUUGAUUAUUUAGAUUUAUAGCUUCUUCAUUUUUUAGAUUAAAAAAUGCAGAUGAAACUAUUCUUGACUUGUUCAAUUAUUUCUAUUCUUUUUUAUACUAGAGUAAUUAAGAAAAAGGAUAAUCUAAAUCUUUCAUUCUAUAUAACUUUUUUAGAAAUUUGAUCGCUUUAGGCUCCGGCUAUAAAUUUUUUCCAUCACAAAAUUUUUUCACAAAAAUCUUUUUACCAUUUGUAGUAGCAGUGAUAUAAGGAGUUUACGAAUUUAGUAAAAUUUCAUUUAGCAAUUGUUUUGUUUUUUCUAUAAUGACGAUUCCGGCUUGAAAACUGUAUAAACUUACUAUAUUAAAUUAUAAAAGGGUAAAUUUUAUAUUUUCUUUAUCUUUAUUAGGUGCUAAUAAAUCUAGUCCAUAAAGCACUUUUUUUUUACUUUCCAUAUUUGAUAGGGUUGAAAACUCUUUUUCUGUGAAAAAAUCCUACUAAACUAAUUAUUUUAAUAUGCACAUAAAAAAAUAUUCAUCGUUUUUAACAAAAUUAAAUAUUUUUUAUUUAAUAGAAGUACGAAAAUGCCUUAUUAAAUGAAAAGAUAAACUUUGAAAAAUAAUUAUUUCUACAAAACCCAUUUUGAUACUAAUUAUAUCAUUAGGGUCAUGAUCUAAUAUGGAUUUAAUUUUAGGAAAUCCAUUUGAAAUUCCCUGAUUUUCUAAAUAUAUAAAAAGAAAAUAUUCAUGAAAAUUUUCAUAAAGUAGAAAAUCUACUUCAUCCCUUAUUGAAUUUUUUAUUCUAUUAAAAUGUUCAUUGGGUAAGACUUUAUUAGCCUUUUGAUACAAAAGAAUUUUUUGAAUUUUUAAAAGAAAAGAAGAAAUGAUUUUUUCUUCUAUGAGAAAAUCAUAAAUAUUUAAGAGAUUAUUUAUCCCUUUAAUAGAGUAUUCUUUUUCAUCAAGUUUAAAAUUUUGCAAGUUCUCCCAAUCUCUUAAAGUUAAACUAUUUAAAAUAAGAUUUUGAAAAGUUUGAAAUUUAUUAACCUAUUUGGUUAAUCCUUCAGCAAGCUUAGUCAUGUUUUUUCUAAAAGCUGAUUUACUAUCUUAAAGUUGGGCUUUCCAAACUUCAUUUAUGAGAUUAUGUAACUCAAGGAGUAAUCUAGGUUAUAAAAAUCUUUGAUUUCUAAAAAAUAUUGUUGUGGUUUCAACAAAUUUUUUGUUUUUUAAAGAAUUUCAAAAUAUAACAUUAGAGUUCAUUAAUUUGGAUCCUAAGAAAAUUAAGAUAAUCUAUAGGGUUCCAUUACUUGUUGUGAUGGAAUUCCUGUCAUUUUCAUAUAUGGUUGAGGAUAAAAGAAACAUCUUGAAUUAAGAUAUGGAACUAAUGGUUGGUUAAAAGACUGAAAUCUUAACCCUUGGUUAGGAUUAACAUUUGUAAGAGAAGAACCUUGUUUGGGUUGAUUCUUUUUUACUGUUAUCCAUUCACCAAUUUGUUCUAGAGGUUUUUUAUCUUGAUUCAUUAAACCUGUUUAAAAAAUCAAUAAGAAUAUUAUUAGAGCCUUUAAUGAAUUUAAUAGAAAAAUUAUAAUGACAUAAAAAAGUGUUACCAUCUCUAGGAUUAGUUUCUAGUUUCUUUUUUUUAAGAAAUAAUUAACUACUUGAUUAUUUGUUUUAAUAAUAAAAUUUUCUUGUGCUAAAUAAAUAUGAAAUUUUGUUAUUGCAUUUUUUUAUGCAAGUAACUUCUUUUCAAAUGUAAUAUAUUUUAAUUCAUUUGGUUUUAAUUUUCCUGAAUUAUAGUAGUAAAUUAAUUCUUGAUUAUGUGCCUUUGAUUUAAUGUACAUUCUCAAUGUUGGUCUGAAGCAUCUGUUUGAAGAAUAAGUAAUUCUCUUAGUUUAGGAAGAUAUACCUUGAGUAUAAAUUUAAGAUUUUUAUUUUAUUUAUUUAAUAAUAUCAUAAUCAUCUUUUGUCCAAGAAAAAGGUAUAUCCUUUUUUAGAUUUUUUUGUAAAAAUCUUUUUAGUGAGAUUUUUAAUGAAUUGUUUUCCUUAAUUAAGAAGACCUAGAAAACUUUAAAGUUGUUUUUUUAUCUUCCAUUUAUUCUAAAAAUUCUUUGAUUUUUACUAUAAUAUGAUCUUGUAAAAUAAGAUUAUCUGAAGGUAGGUUUAAUCCUAAGAAGUCUAUAUUAGUUUUUUUAUGAUCUAUCUUUUUAAGGCUUAAUAUUAUACCAUGUAUUAUAAAUUUUUAAACUAUAAGAUUUAAGCGUUUCCUAUCCUCAUUUAAUGUUUUAAAAAAUAUAAAUAUAUCAUCAAUAUAUAUUACACAAAAAUCUUUAUAUUUCUCAAAAUUGGUGUCCAUCCAUCUUUGAAAAAUUUAUGGAGUAUUAUAAAGUUCAAAGGGCAUAACUUUCCAUUGAUAAUGACUUUUUGGUGCACUAAAUAUUGCCAAUGGUUUUAACUCUUCGGUUAGUGUUAUAUGUCAAAAUCUUGAUUUACAAUCAAAUUUAUCAAAAUAUUUAACAUUUUUUACUAAGUGUAUUAAUACAUCUUUUCUAGGGAUAAAAUAUCUAUCAAAUAUUAAAUUUUGGUUAAAUUUUUUAUAGUUGAUUAUCAUUCUAACUUUUCCUUUUUUUGUUCAGCAUGAUUUCCUACUAUUGGUUUCUUACCAUUAUUUUGUACCUAUCCAUCAAACUGCCAAGCCACCUUACCAACCAUCAUUGCAACUGAAAUUAAGUUACCAAUAACCUUCCUUCUUACUCGCCAUUUUUCUUCCUAUUUCUUAGUUUUUUCCAUGAACCUAAAAUCUGAAACUGCUUAUAAAAGUGAAAAAAAAAAAUCAAUAGAUAGGGAAAUUUCUUUAAAAAAAAAAACUUUGAAAAAAAAACUAUUACCAUCAGCAGCUAUUACCCUUCUACAACUAGUACACCCACUUAGCAAAGAACCCUAAACUCCUCACCAAUUUCAUCUAAAAGCCAUCAAAGCUAAAACUGUGACCACCCUUAUCCACCCAAAAACAAACACAAAAAAACUCUUAGCCCACCGCCAAAUUGUGACUGCUCUUCACCCACCGGCCACCAUCGUGAGCCUAGCUUACCACUACUUUCAAAUAAAAAGAAACCAACUCACUGGCUAGCACAAAUUGAAGUAGCCUUCACUGCCCCCACCGAAACAACCACCACAAGCACAAAAAAAAACAAAAACAAAAUAACAAAUCAAACACCUUCCUCUUAAAUAAAAAAAAAUCACAAAAAUAAAAAAGGAGUUUCUUCUUAAGUCCAGAUUUUUGAAUGAGAGGGAGCUUAGAAAGAGAGGAAGAAGAUAGUUUGAGGCGGAGCUAUUUGGAGUCGCUAAAAUCAUCAUUUUAGAGAGUGUUUGACACUGCCGAUUACAAGAUCUGAAAAGAUAAGAGAGUGUUUUAAGUUAGAGAUGAGUGUGUAGGAAAAAAUGACUUAAAAAAUUGAAGCUUUUAUAGUUGCUAAAAAAAAUUAGAUGACCUGCUCUUCAACCUGACUCAUGACUUGAUCUGCACAUCAGACCCACUUUUACUCCUAUUGUUUAAGUUUGAUUAGCUCAUUUGACGAGCGUUGAACAAAUUCUUUUUUGGAUAAUUUUUUAAUUUAAUUUAAUUUACAUUUUAUUAAGUUGUUUCUUUGUUUGUGAAUUUUUUGUGCUUAUUUAAAUGUUAGAUUGUUAAAAAUAAAUACAUUACUUUUUAAAAAUAAAAUAAUCAGCGUUGAUACACAUAAAAAAUUAAUGUUUAAAAUUUCAAAAAGUAAUAAAUUUAAUUUCAUCACAAUUAUUUUUUAGAAAAAAUUUUAAAAUUAAAAAAUAAUUAAAAUAUUUUUGAUAAUGAGAUUUAAAGAAAAUUUGCAUAAUAAUUCUUAAAAAAUCUUUUAAAAUCUUUAAAUAUAAUUUUUUUUUAAAAUACUACCAAUGUAUUAAAUAUUUAUAAAAAAAUUUUAAUAUAAAAAUGAUUUCAUAUCUCUUAUACUCAUAAAAAGAAUUAAAAAAAAAUCAACAAGCAAAUCCCUUUUUAAAAAAUAAUGAAUAAAUAAAUAAAUAAAUGUAUGUAUUUUUAUGUAUAAAUAUUAUGUUUCAUUAUCUGUAUCUCAUGUGCAUCAAUAAUUAUGAAAAAAAAAUAAACAUGAGCUCUUGAAAAUGGGAUUUUAAGAGAAUCCACAGUGAGAGUAUUUCAAUAAUAAAGUUUUAGUUUAUUUUUCAAAUAAAAAUAUAAUAAUAAAUGUUUUUUAAAUUAAAAAAAGAGAAAAAAAUUGUGAACAAAACAAAAUGUUAUAAAAAAAUUAUAAAAAGAGCUAAAGGAAUUAUUGUUAAAUAUUAAAAUGAGUAUCAUUUUUUCAAAGUUAAGUGAUAACAUAUAAUUAAUUGAUAUAUUUUUAAAACAAACAUUCCUAAACCCAAAUUAUUUUCGUAAAUUCAAAAAUUAUAUUUUUAAUAAAUUUUAAUUUAUUUUAAGAUUUAAUAAAAUGAUAAAUUUUAUUAAAUGAUCAGUUACGUCUAAUAAAAAAAAAUUGAUGGCUAACUUAUGGUUUUUUUUUUUUUUAUCAAAAAUCAUCUAACAAACUCAAAACUAUGACAACAAGUUGGAUCCAAACAUGGAGUUGGGGUUGGUUCCAAUUUUGACAUGAUAUUGAUAUCACUAGUUUAUAGUUUAUACACUAACAUCCUUAAGUUGAGAAAAUUUGGAUCUUUCCCACAUGAUGGAAUAAACAAAUUGGGUUAUACCGGAUUUUGAGUAGGGGUUUUGAUAGAUUAAUCUAAUACAAUAUAUAAAGGAUAUGUUUGAUACAUAAAAUUAUAAUAGGAUAAAAUAAAAUAAUAUUAUAAAUAAAAUUAAAUUAAAUAAUAUCUAUUUUCUUAUAUAAAAAUUAAAUGUAAUAUAUGAUAAUUAUCAUCUUAUCAUAUUCAUUAUUUUAUGUAUGAAACUUGAUCGAAUAUCUUAAAUAAAAACUCUUUUGAUAUUGAAAUUGAAAGUGAUUUUUAACUUUAAAAAUUGUUUUUAUUCAAUCUAAUUGACUGCAAUAAUAAUCAAACAUAAACCAUCUACGAGCAUAUGGUGAUGAAAACAUAUAUAUCGAAGAUAGCGAUACAACAUCAUUGUCAUGUUUGUGCCUUAGUUUUGCUAAAAGUAAAGUGAGCAGAAGUGAAUUUAGGACUUUGAAUCAGAGCUUGCCAAAGAUUUUUGUACGCAUUGAAAUCGCCUUAAAGACUUCACCGAAAAUCUAGUUAGAAUAUCAAAUAUUACAUCCUCAGUUAAAUUGACAUUAAUAAUCAUUGAGCAUCUUUUAAUCUGCUUCACAAAUAAAAGAAAGUAUAAAAAAUGGAUUAACCUCUUCAUUUUUUCCCUUUCCUCUUGAUAAAAUAGUGAUGUGGGUCAAUUUAUAAAUAGGGAUGAAGAAUUAAAUGUCAAAAUAAAUCAUUAAAAAUAAAAAUGUGAUAUUCAUCAAAUUAGAGAAAUGGAUGUUUGCUUAUCUUAACAAUAUUCAAAUUUUUUUUUUACAUAAUUCAUUGUACCUUAUGAUUACCUAUUACCAAAAAAAAAAAAAAUCUGGCAUUAACUCGUUAAGCAAUAUUUUGAUGAAAAGAAAAUAAAAAUAAAAUAAAUUAAAAUCCAUAUUAAUCAAAUGUGAAAUAAAAAUUUGAUCUUAUAGAUAAUGAAACACCUUUGGUUCUUUGCAUAAUGCACUUUAUCUUAUAAAUACAUGUUACAAAAAGCUAAUUUGGCAUUGAGUUAUCCAACAAAGGUGAUUGGUGCCAAUUUACUUUUCGGUCAUUGACAAACCAAUGUUGAUGGAAAAGAAAAUAAAAUCUAACUUAAUCAUACGCCAAAUUAAAAUUUUGAUUAUAUAAAUAAUGAGAUAUAUUCAAUUUUUUGUCGACUUAGCAUAAUUGAUUGAUUAAUAUUAUUUAUUAUUUUUUGUUAUUAAUUUUAUUAAUUUAUUCAAAUUAAUAAAAAAGUUUUAAAUUUAUAUUAAUAAAAAAUUAAAAAUUGUAUGGUGCAUCCAAUAGUAAUGAGAUAAAAGGUACUGGUGUAACAAUACAAAUAAAUGAAAAUUAGGGAUCAAAUUGGUAAUUUGAGCAUAAAUGUGGUUUUUUUUUAUGUAAUUCUACAUUUCAAAGCACAGACCUGAAAUUUAGUGGAUUAUCAUCUACUCCCACCAUUUCCGCUGCAACUCAGCUUCAGAGAAAAAAAAUUUUGAUUUGAUUUGUUUAUUUUUUUUGGUAAUUUCUAUAAUUUACUAUAAUUCACAAUAACCCACCAAAAACAAGAAAAAAACCACAAAAAUGCAAGUUUUAGUUUGCAGCAAUUCUUGUUCAUUAAACCUUAACAUGAACAGCGUUAAGAGUCAGUUGUUCAUGGGUCGUCGCGAACUCUUGUCUACUUUAUGUUCCAGUGGCUCCCAUAAUGACAUCGUUUCUCACAAACCCAUUUCCGUUUUAAGGUUAGUUUUCACAUUUCUUUCAUUAAACUCUGCUAAUCUUUUAUACCCAUUUAGUUUUUUACACGUCUUUGCUUGGUGAAAUUAAUAAAGUUUAUUUUUUUACUUUCUUUUUAAAAUUUCUUUGCCUCAUUUUAAUGUGGGUGUAAUUUUUUUUUCUAGUAUUUAUAAGAGAACCUGUGCUUGUGUUUAUAUUUACAUAGGAGCAUCAUUCUAAGGUCAGUAUGGGUGAAUGUAUGUAUCAAUAUAAGCAUCAUUAUGUAUGUGAGUAUACGUGUGUAUCUGAUUCUGUAUGUAUGUGUAUGUGGUUAUUUAUGUAUGUGUGCAUGUAUGGAUGUCACUAUUAAGUGAAAACACAUGUAUGUUAUAUACCCAUUAAUAUAUAUAUAUAUAUAUAUAUAUAUUCGUACUUAUGAAAAAAUAUCCGUUUUCUAUCCAAAAAAAUCUGUUUUUAUUCAACAAAGUGAAUGCUAUUAUAUGCUAGUCAUUGAUGUUGCAGAAAAUGAUUUCAACUUUCAUGUUUUAUUCAGUUUUGUUAUAGUAUUAUUUUAAUGUUUGUUGAUUGGUGCUUUUAGGAAGGUUGGUGAACGAAUGGUGGAUUUGGGUGAAAUAAUAAUAGGAAAAAGUAUUCCAUUAGCAACAAGGAGGGUGUUGCUCGCAAGUCUUGUUGCCUGUUGGAGUUACCAUCCUUCGUGGCACUUAUCAGGUCUGCACAUUUCAACUCUGGUUCUCCUUUUACUUAGCAGAUUGCAUUGUAAUUGAUUACCAAACUUACUCAUGUAAAUUAGUUUCAAUCUGGUGUCAUCUAUUUGAAUGCACUUGCCAGUAAAAUUUAUAGCAGUAGUUAACUAGCAACUACAUAUUGGUGGGCAGCUAAGCCUUUAUUGUCUUGCAAAGGUGCAAAGAAGUUAUAAAUGGAAACCGUUCUGUUGAAAGGAUAUGGUGUUGGUGGCCACUUCAAGUUUAAUGUUCUUCCUUCCUUCUUAAUUCCUCGGUGUUUUUACCAAUUUGCUUCUGAUGAUGGGAUACAUUGUGGAUUUGCAGCUCAAACAUUGGGGGAUCCAUCAGUGACAGUUGAAGAUGUAACUCCUCCUGUUUUCCCUUCUGGAGCUCUCUUCCCUUCUGAGGUUCAUUUUCAAUAAAUCAUUGUUAUCCUCCCUUUGGAAUUCUGUGAUUAGUUUAUAGUUCUGAGCUCUUCCAUACUAGUAUUCAUCAUGUGUUAAACUUAUACAUGCCAAUUUGGCAGGAAAGAACUGUUCAACUCUUUGAAAAGAAUACAUACUCUGUUGUCAACAUAUUUGAUAUAACAUUGCGCCCUCAACUUAAUGUAACUGGUGCUGUUGAGGUAUUUUUCUGAUUUUCAUUGAUCUAUCAUUGUCUGUAAUCUUCUAAUUCACACAAGCAAGCUUAUGACAGGUAGGUUAGAGACUCUCUCUCUCUCUCUCUCUCUCUCUCUCAUGACUACACUCAGAGCUAUCCAUUAACUAUUUUGCUGCAUUAACUUAAAAAUGCCCUUAUGCUUAUUAACUCAUCAAGGGUACUGCAAAAUGUUUACUGGCAGAUUCCAGAAGGAAAUGGUUCUGGUGUUGUCUGGGAUGAACUGGGACAUAUUGUGACAAAUUAUCAUGGUAAGAAUAAGAGCUAGUACAUGAACUCAAAUAACUAUAUAUUGAUCACGGACAUCAAGAGUUCCAGUAGACUUUUUGUUUCCAGUAGCAGUUAUCUGCUCUGAUGAGUGCUAAUACAUGAUUAUACAAGGAAUCUCCAUUACAUGAGAAUCCUAAUUGAUGCCUCACUGAAACAUCCUCCUAUGUAAUGUUAAUUUAUAAUCAGUAUCAGCUAUAUCAGAUAAAGAUUCUUAUUUUAUAUUUUUCUUCUAUAAACUUUCCUGUCCUUUCUCUCUUGUUAUUUUUCCUGGUUAACCAUUCCCUUUGCAUGUUCAGUGAUAGGCAAUUCCCUCUCAAGAAAUCCAAGUCCUGGGCAAGUUGUUGCACGAGUUAAUAUCCUAGCAUCAGAAGGGUGAGAUUUGCAGUACCUUUAGCCUUUGCUGGUAAAUUGAGUUGCAUUAUCUAGUAUUAAGGUUUUGACUGCUGCAGCUUUUUCUUUAAUUGUCUAAUCUAAUUGCUGCUUUAUAGGGUACAAAAGAAUUUUGAGGGUAAGUUGAUUGGUGCCGAUCGCUCUAAAGAUCUUGCUGUUUUAAAGGUAUCUUUUCUUUUUAUUUUCCUGUAAAGUACUGGCUGAACUGCCUUGAUUGUUUGGUCUGAUUAUAUUACAGGCUACACCAAUGUAUGUGUAUCUCUUUGUUUGCAUUUUCAAUAAACUUGAAGCUUGUAGAUACACAAAUAGACGAUUGAUUUUGGUUUAAUAGAAUUUAUAUUACACCAAAUUAAUCAAAAUGAUGUGUAACCAUCAAUAAUUGUAUAUAAAGAUGUAAGCCGAUCAUAACUUGUGUAUAUAUGCAUGUUCACAUGGUUGCAUAUCAAUUUAAGAAUUAGUCUCCUCUUCAAAGGGAAGUUAUGUGGGCCUAUUCUAUAUCGGAGACUCAGUUGUUUGUCACAGAACAUUUAAUGAAUAAUUUUGACAUAGAAACUCCAAUUUCCUAAACAAUGAGAUGAAGGAAAUUAUUCAUUCUAACUCAAAAUUAGAAACAAAUGUAUAUCUCCUUUUACCAAAAAGGAAAAAGAAAAUCUAUAUUACCUGUAAUGGCAUAGGCUUGAUCAAAUUAUCCAUCCAGGCGAUGCUGUUCUAAUUGUGCAUAUACUCUGUAAUAUUCUAGUUUGCCGAAAGUUUAUGAGCAACUGAUGCUGAUCUCCUCAACAUGCUAGGUAGAAGCCUCUGAAGAUUUGUUGAGGCCAAUUAAGGUGGGGCAAUCAUCUUCUCUAAGAGUAGGACAGCAAUGUCUAGCAAUUGGAAAUCCAUUUGGUUUUGAUCAUACCCUUACCGUUGGAGUUAUUAGUGGAUUGAACCGAGACAUUUUUAGUCAAACUGGAGUCACGAUUGGUGGUGGAAUUCAAACAGAUGCAGCCAUCAAUCCAGGAAACAGGUUUACCAAAUGAUUUGUCUAAUCCUCAGUAUCCUUCUUAAACUUUAAAGUUAAUGUCUUUAAACAAAUUGUUCACUGCUUUCUACCUCAUGGCUUUCUUUAUUUGUUGCAGUGGAGGCCCUCUGUUGGAUUCUAAAGGAAAUCUGAUUGGAAUUAAUACAGCUAUAUUCACACAGACAGGUCAUUUUAUGUUCCAUUUUUUUUGUUGCAUAUGUCAUGUGCCAUAAUCUGAAACAAAGUAGUUAUCUGAUAUUGAUUGCUUUAUCUUGAUGGGAAGAUAUAUUUCAUGAUUAGAUGUUUCCCGUGGCCAAAAAUAAUAGUAGUAUUAAAAUCUAGCAGCUUCCUAUGUAUUGCAUUCUGAUUUGUUAUUUGUAUUUCAGGUACAUCAGCAGGUGUAGGAUUUGCAAUCCCUUCCUCCACGGUGCUUAAGAUUGUACCUCAGCUGAUCCAGUUUGGCAAAGUAAGUUUCAUUACCGGUCAAAUUCUUGCUUUCCUCCUAUUUUCUGAUUUUUGCUAACCCCCUUUUUCUAGUCCUUCUCAGUAAGGACCUUUUACUUUCACCUUCUCUGCAUUUUAACCAUCACUAAACUCAUAAUUCUGCAAUAUUUGGGUAUAAAAGGAUGGGUGUUAUUACUAAGAGUUGAGCAUCUGAACGAUUUUAACCUAAUGUUACUCUGAAUGAACAAGCUCUAGUACUUCCUAUCUCAUUUUUCAUCCACUGUCAGGCUGUUCGAGCAGGUUUGAAUAUUGAAGUUGCUCCUGAUCUGAUUGCUAAUCAACUUAAUGUUCGAAAAGGGGCCCUCAUCCUUCAGGUAUUUCAAAUUUAGUUUGGACUUUUAAACUUUUAAAGUGUACCCAUCUUUUCAAUAACUUAGAGAUUUUAUACCGUCUAUGUGCUGUUGCUUGAAGAAUAUUUAAAAAUUUCUUAUAUUUACUUCAUGGUACUUUACUACAUGGUACUUUAGGUUCCUGGGAACAGUCUUGCCGCCAAGGCUGGGCUACUCCCUACCACCAGGGGUUUUGCUGGUAAUAUUGUACUUGGAGAUAUCAUUCUUGCAGUCGACAACAGAUCUGUGAGUUUCCUCAUAAGUUUCUACUCUUCUAGUUCCCUAUCUAAACACGUUCUUUUAACAUCAUGCAAGAUGAUAAAUUAUCUAUAUAAUUUCGAAAGUAAGAAUUUUGUUUUGUUAAUGUGAUAAUCUGAUAGUGUUCUGGCUUGAAAUCAUUUGGCUCCUCUUUGUUAUUUCAUGUCGAUAUCAAGCAGAUCAUUGUUCUUGAUUGCUUCCAUUCUGGUUUCGCAUUUUCCAGUUGAGCAAGAUAUGAGCCAUUGUUCAAAUUUAAGUUGUCAUUUUUGUCAACCUGGCGUGCUAAAUCAUGUUGGAAUGAAGUAUUUUUGUUUCAUGUGCAUCACAUUCAAUGAUUCGAUGCAGUUUUAUAUGACAUUCAUAUCUUAAAACACUGUUGUUUUCUCUUUUUGCAACCUAUCAUCAGGUUAAAAACAAAGGAGAGUUAUACAAAUCAUUGGAUGAAUACAAUGUGGGGGAUAAAGUGAUCUUAAAGAUUCAAAGAGGCGGCGAGAACAUGGAUCUGCCAGUAAUUCUAGAGGAAAUAAGUUCAUGACAGGGUCGCCCAACAUCUCUUUCGGGAUGAUGAACAUGUACAAAAAUCCCAUGUUGAAACUCCCACAAUUUGUCAAUUUCCCAUGUUUGUUGAAGGAGGAUUAUAUACUUGUGGACAUAUAUGGCAAAGAGAGGAGCUGUUGUACACAACAGUUAUUGGUUAUAAGGAUGUUAAGGGAUAGGGUACGAGACGGGUACAGUAUUUUUUUUUUUUUUUAAUUUUUAGAUUUUUAUAUUAUAUUUAUUUUCAUACUUAUAUUUAAAGAAUAUUUCAAAUCUAUUUUCAUUUUUAUCUUCGCGAGUAUUUAAUGGAUUUAGAUAAUUUUCAUAUCUAUAAUUUUUUAAUAAAUAAUAAAAAUUAAAUUUAUUUUUAAGUUUUUUUUUAAUUUUUAUCUAACAUAUUUAUGUAAUGUUUUAUAAAUAUAUAUAAUAUAUUUUUUAAAUAAAAAUAUAUUAGUUUAAUUAAUUUAAAAUAAUAAUUUAUAUUAUUUAAUAAAAAAUUAUUUACUAUAAAUAUAUAUAUAUAUAAGGUACAAAUAUGGGGCAAAUGUUAUAUUAUUCAUUUUCAUCUUUAUAUGCAAUAAAAAAUUUAAAUUUAUAUAUAUUUUUAUUUUCACAAUAUAAUUUUCAUCUUCAUCUUUAUUUGAGUAAAAGUUUUCAUUUUCAUUUUUAUUUGAGUAAAAGUUGAAUUUUUCGUUGAGUUUAGAUAAAAUCGAUAGCUCUAAUUGUUUUAUGUCUUCAUUAUAAUUGUUUGAUUCAUGAUACUUGUCUAUUUUGUUAAAAAUGGCUGGGAUGCAAUAUCAACUAUAAACAUGACAUUAAAUCCAAUUUUAUAUGUACAUCAAAUUAACAACGGUGGGAGUUAAAAUCCCUUUUUGGUGCUUGCAAAUGACGGGAUUAAAUAAUGAAACAAAUGAAUAUUCAAAUGAAAGAAGUUUCAAACCUGCAUUUUAGUUUAUAUGAUUUAUGCAAUUAUUUUUUAACACUUAUUCAGUUUAGAGUUUAAAUUUUAGUAUUUUUAAUUUUUUAAUUUUUUUAAAAAAUAAAAAAUUUUUAAAAUAAUAUUUUAAUUAACUUUAAUUAAUAUUCUAAAAUUAAUUUUUUAUUAUAUAAUUUAACGACAUGUUUGAUACAUAAGAUUAUAAAUAUAAUAAGAUAAUAUAAUAUUAUGAAUAGAUUAUAUUAAAUAAUAUCAUCAUAUCUUGUGUUAAUGUAUAUAAAGAUUAUGAUAAAAUAAUUUUAUUUAUUAAUCAAAAUUAUUUUUUCAAAAUUUAUAUAAUUUAAAUUAUUUAUGUAAUUUUUACGAAUAUAAUAAGAUAUGUAAAUUUUUUUUAAAUUUUUAAUUUAUCCUUAAACCCCUAUCCUAUUAUAUACCUGGUUAAAAAGGACAAUAUGCACCGAAACUUUCUCGAAUCCACGACCUUCAAAUAUCAACUCUAAUGACAUAUCAAUUAAUUAAAGAGAUAAUUACUUAAUAAAACAUGUAAGUUUAAUUUCAUUUAUUAAAAAUAUUUUUUUUCAUUUGGUAAGGAUUGAAUUAUCUUAUGUCAAAAAAAUAUUAAUCCUCUUUGUAAUAUUAUUUCUUUCUUUUUUGUUCAAUUCUAUUUAUAUAUAUAUAUAUAAAUUAAGAUGAUUAUUAUUGUAUCUAUCAACUACCCUCAUAAUCCAAAAAACUAAUUUAUAGAAAGAAAAUAUGUGGGCUUCGUAACUGACUACCCAAACAAUUGGGCCAACUCAAAGGCAACAAAGCCCAUUAAACUUUGCUUCAGUGGACUCAAAUAGAACUGAGUCUAGCCCCUUAAGUUCCAAACUUCCUCUGUAAUUGCUCCGAACCGACUCUGGGGUUUAGGGUUUUUGGUGGCUUAACCAUAGCCACUAUUUUCCCUCCAUUUUCUCUCUCAGUCUGUCUUUUCUCUAUCUCAGUCCUCUGCAGGUAAGCUCCAUCAAUUACCCUUUUUGUUUUCUUAAUCUCCCGUUCUUUUAUCACCAAAUUUAACACCUGUUAACUUAUUGCUAUUUCAUCUUUUUAUUGCCUUUAAAAAAAAACAGUGUUGGGUUUAUACUCUUUUUAUGUGGCGUUUUUAAUGGGAAAAGGCUUGGCAACGUUUCUGUUUAGAAUCUAUACAUCUAAGAACAAUGUUUCUAGAGUUAAGUUUAUGUUAUCCAAUCGGUAUUUUCAUUCUCUACGGCAAUAUGAAAACUGGGUUUCGGAUAAAGACCCUUUUGUGCCAUCUUUCGAUAUGCCCGGAAGAGAAUUUUCGACGAGUUUGGUUGGUUUAGGUGGUAAAUUUAGGAACUUCGGAGAUGCUAAUGUGAGACCUUUUUCGUCUGUUGUUGAAAAUGGGGAUGAUGAUGGUGGGGAGGAUAGUGUAAUGCGUGGUUCGAGAAGGAAAAGAAGUGAGGAGAAGAAUAUUGUGGAUUUUGUGAAAAGUAUAGAUUUUGAUGGUGUCACUGAGAAUAAGGGUGAGGAAGGUGUUGAUGGUUUUAAUGAGAACGGUAUGUAUGGUUCAAGAGAUGUUGAGUCGGAACAUGAAAGUGAUAAAGAGAAUAAGGAUAUUGUGAAUUUAACGAGAAUUAAUGGUUUUGAUGGUGUCCAUGAGAAUUUGGUUGACGAUGGUAUUGAUGAUUUUAAGGAGAAUGGUAUGUGUGAUUCAACAGUUGUUGAGUCAAAAUAUGAAAGUGAUGAUGUAAGUAAUGAUAAAACUGUGGGUGGCAAGCAAGUGGCUUUUCGUGAUCCUGUGGAAUUGUAUCAGGAACUUCGUAAUAUUGAAAAGCAUGCAAAGCUGAAACGAGCUGAUUGGGAGAUUGUACAAGAAGUUUUCAAUUAUUUCAGUAAAUCAGGGUUGGCAGCCAAUCAGUCUCUUGCCAUUUACAUUGGCAGGUCAUUUUUCCCUACAGCUGUCCAUAAGUUUCGCAGCUUUUUCUCUAAGAAAUGUUCAGCUGUUGUUGCUGAGCACGUGAUAUCACUAGGUCCAUCUGAUGCUGCUGUUAAGUUUCUUUUCCCUAUAUUUGUGGAGUUUUGUAUUGAAGAGUUUCCAAAUGAGAUCAAGCAGUUUCGAAGUAUGAUUCAGUCCGCAGAUCUUACAGAGCCACAUACAUGGUUUCCCUUUGCGAGGGCAAUGAAGCGUAAGAUUGUUUAUCACUGUGGUCCAACAAAUAGUGGCAAGACUUACAAUGCUUUGCAGCGUUUUAUGGAAGCAAAGAAGGGUGUUUAUUGCAGUCCGCUUAGGCUUUUGGCUAUGGAAGUUUUUGACAAAGUGAAUGCACAAGGAGUUUACUGUAGUCUCCACACAGGGCAAGAAAAGAAAUUUGUCCCAUUUUCGAAUCAUGUUGCCUGCACUGUGGAAAUGGUGUCAACAGAGGAAUUAUAUGAUAUAGCUGUGAUUGAUGAAAUCCAGAUGAUGUCAGACCCGUAUAGAGGUUAUGCAUGGACACGUGCAUUGCUUGGAUUGAAAGCUGAUGAGAUACAUUUGUGUGGAGAUCCAACUGUUCUCAAUAUUGUCAGAAAGAUAUGUUCUGAAACUGGAGAUGAGUUGCAUGAGCAUCAUUAUGGCAGGUUCAAACCAUUAGCGGUUGAAGCCAAGACUCUGCUGGGAGACCUUCGAAAUGUUCGAUCUGGUGACUGUGUUGUUGCUUUCUCAAGGAGAGAGAUAUUUGAGGUGAAAAUGGCCAUUGAGAAACACACAAGUCACCGCUGCUGUGUUAUUUAUGGUGCUCUGCCACCAGAGACUCGCAGACAGCAAGCUAACUUGUUUAAUGAUCAAGAUAAUGAGUUUGAUGUGCUUGUUGCCAGUGAUGCUGUGGGAAUGGGAUUGAAUCUUAAUAUUAGGAGAGUUGUCUUUUAUAGUCUUUCAAAGUACAAUGGUGACAAGAUUGUUGCAGUCCCAGCAUCACAGGUUAAGCAAAUUGCGGGAAGAGCUGGUCGUAGAGGAAGCCGUUAUCCGGAUGGACUGACAACAACCUUGCAUUUAGAUGAUCUGGAUUAUCUAAUUGAUUGUUUAAAGCAGCCCUUUGAAGAAGUUAAGAAAGUGGGUCUCUUUCCUUUCUUUGAGCAGGUUGAAUUGUUUGCUGGGCAAUCCCCAAAUGUUACUUUCUGCAAGUUGCUUGAAAAGUUUGGUGAAAAUUGUCGUUUGGAUGGGUCAUACUUUUUGUGCCGUCAUGAUCAUAUUAAGAAGGUGGCAAAUAUGUUGGAAAAGGUCCAGGGAUUAUCUUUGGAAGAUAGGUUCAACUUCUGUUUUGCUCCAGUUAAUGUUAGAGACCCGAAAGCAAUGUAUCAUCUCCUUAGGUUUGCUUCGUCUUACAGUAAAAAUGUCCCAGUAAGCAUAGCAAUGGGCAUGCCAAAAGGUUCUGCUAAAAAUGAUGCUGAGCUCCUGGAUCUUGAGACUAAACAUCAAGUUUUAUCUAUGUAUCUGUGGCUAUCUAACCACUUCAAGGAGGAAACCUUUCCUUACGUGAAGAAAGCAGAAGAAAUGGCUGUUGAUGUUGCUGACUUGUUGGGUAAGUCUCUUGUUAAUGCAUGCUGGAAACCAGAAUCGAGACAGGGAAAGAAACCUAAGCCUCAAGAGAAGGAAGAAGGAUAUCAGAGACGCAGGUCAAUUAUCAAGUUACAUGAGAAGUAAGUUUCUUGCUAUUAAAAUAACCACAUGGCUUAUUGCAGAAUAAGAAAUUUGGCAUGGGAUUCCAGUUUUAACUGUGUUUUGUUGUUAUUUGCUUUCUACUUUUUCUUUCAGCUAAAUGUAAAACUUUCUGUGUAUGUAUGUGAGGGAUGGAUGGACCCUCAUGAUAGCUGAGUUGUUUUAAAAUAUAUGAUUGUUUUCUUAUGCUAAAACAUUAUUUAAGGCUCACAGUCAAAAUUGCACCUCCCCAAUGAAGAUAGAGAUAUGGCAAUGAACCUCUCUCAUCUCCCCUGUGCUAUUUCACAUUUAAUGCAAUUAGGAUUAAUCCCUGGUUGAUCUCAUUGUCGAAUAAUUUUCUCUGUUCUAAAUGUUAUGAGACACCCAAACCCCCCCCCCCCCCUCUCCCCCUUCCCUAGGAAAAAUGGAAAAAAAAAUUUAAAGAGAAACCAAAAUGAAAAUUUUACUUGACAAUAAUUAUCAACCGCAAGCAAACAUGAAACUUAAGUGGAUAUAAAAGACAUAACUGUGGACGAUGUUGAUAUGCUAUUUGCAUGAGGGUUUUCUUUUUUUUUUGGAGGGGGGGGGGGGGGGAUUCAGUACCAUCUAUAGGUUUUACCUUAUGAUUAACCAUCUAUGCUAACAAUUUUGGUGUUUUCCCUGCAGGAAAAGGCAAGAUAAAUCUGCUCUUGCAGACAAUUCAUCAAAAGUAGCAGCGUAAUCAUAUUAUAGGUACCUAAUAUGCGUAGUCAACACAGCUACUGUUUUAGCUUUGCUGAUAAAUCUUUUCUUAUUCGAAUUUGCAUUGGAAGAGGAUAGACAAAAGCAAAGAAAGAUAUGAGAAGGGUGGGAGAAGAAAAUCUCUGCCAUAAUCUUUUUAGACCUUAGGUAAAACCAGGCAUAGAGAAGCACCCGUUUGCUCGCUUUAUAAUGGCCCCUUUCUGUUAUUAUGGUGGCAAAGCAUUAGUUAUUUCCGAGAAUCAAGGGAAAAUCUCCAUUUUCAGAUGAGUGAAUAUAAAAUUUGAAGGUGAGAAAGAUGCUUGAAUGGUAAUGUUGUCAAUUUAGGGGCUCAUUUUAGGAUUAAGUUUGUGAAGCACAUUGUAUUUUGGAGGCAACAAAAUGCAUUUCAUUUGUUGGGGGACUUAUUUGUGUGUUGACCCUUAGGGUUAAACUCUGUAAUUGGUCCAUUCUUCACUUGAGUUGGUAUUCAUAAUAUGUAGGCUUAUUGCUCUUUUGUUCUUUUUUUCUCCUUGUUUCACUGAAUCCUAAAUCUGCUGUAUAAGGAAUAACUUUAUAGAUUAAAAGGUGCCGGAAUGUCUUCUCUACGCUUAAACUGAUUUGGUGUGGUUUCCAACACUGAUAGCAGGUUUCUUCACCGCCUUGCAUGAUUGAAGGUGGUUCCUAUCUCUUGAAAAUUUUUCAAAUGUUUCUUUUUUUUUUUCAUCUGAUAUUGCAGGUGAGAUCUGGAAUUAUUAUGCUAAAGUGAUCUUAAAUCAAGUUUCAGACGUCUAAUUUCCCGACAAAAGUUUCCAAAAUUACCGUGUCCUACGGCUUGCGGCCUAUUUAUAAAGGGAUAAAGGAAAAAAGGGAAAAAAGGGAAAAAGCACUACUACAUCCUGUGAUAUGUAGGGAAUAAGAGAAAUUAUUAGCCCCUAAUGAGUUGUAACGAAACUCAAUGAAUGUUUUUUUUUUCAAUUUAGAUUGUAGAAAUUAUCAGGACGUGAAAUCUGAUUAUUAAAUUAAAAGCACUCUUUCAACUAGCUAAUCUUUGUCUGGCUGUUCGGGAUUUUUAUCAAUCUGAAAAUUACUGACAUGAAUUCAUUUAGGAAGCUACCAUGUCCAUGACCAUGGUCAAAGGGUAAUAACUUAAGAAUUAACUGUUAAAAUUGUGUAUUGAGUUUCCAUAGAGGAUCAAGCAGAUUUCUAUAAUCAAGAUGCUUUAAUGCAGCAUGCUUUGUACCGAAUUCUUAAGCAUUCACGGUGUAAUGUCAAGAGAGUUCUCAUCAAAGAAAUCAGCAGCCUAAGAGUUACCUUUUUGUAAUUUCCUAUCCGCAAUUGAGUUUGUGAUACAGUCGAUUGUCGAUCCAUCAUCACCAUGAGAGCGGGAACAAACGAAAGAAAUAUACAAAAUAUCCAAAAGGUCUCAUAUUUCUGAUUCUGUUUGAUUCAACAUCAGCAGAAGAGAUGGAAAAUUUUCUGAAAAACCUUUUUAAGUUUGCAAGAGUUAAGCAUACUUACAAGUUAGUGCCAGGCAGAUGGUUUUCACCACACAAGAAAAAAGUAUGGACAUCAAGUCCCAAGUAAACUAUACGAGUUUUUGUGCAAAAUAUGCAGGUGGGAAAUCUUUACCCACCCUUACCACCUAUUUUUCCUAUUUGUCUGCUCGUUCCAAAGCAUUACUGUACUACUAUGCAUGCAGAGGCUUAACAACCAAAGGAGAAUCCUUCUUCGAAGCACUGCAAAGAAAAAGGGCAAUAAGAACAUUAGGAUUUUUUCUUUUCUUUUAAAUUGACAAAAAACUGAAGAUCUGUUUGCGAAGAUGCUGGCUUUGGGGAAGACUUACUUUUGUAUAUGGAAAGGAGGAAAUUCCUCAUUUUUGAGGACCUUUCCAUGUAAAGACUGAGGGUAUCUAUCCAGUGUAGGUAAGAUGAACUUUUGCACUUUCACGUCACAUACCACACAUCUAUGAUCGAAAUCACCAGCUGCUCGCGCAGCUUCUAUUUUACAGUCGCCACACCACAGCAGGUGUUGGCAAGGAAAGUUGGCCCACAAAAACUUUGGCUGGUUGCACCAGAAGCACUUUCCCUGCUUAAUGCUUGCCUUGUAAUUCUGCACACAUCAAACCAUGAGUCUGUUAUUGUUGUGAAAUGUUUGACAUAAAUUCAUGAAAGUGUUGUUAGCUGCUUACGUGAUAGAAAUCAAAUUGACGAAGAAAGAAUAUGGAUGAGUUGUUCCUUUUUCUUAGAAGAGCCUCCAGAACCAAAUGCCUUCCUUUAUGACUGAGUUUCCUCUCAUUAAACCCCCGAGUCCCUCCUUCAUCAUUGGCAUUUGCUGUCCCACUUUUUCUUUCAUUAUAUAGCUUUGUUUGAGUAAGGCAAAAGUCUGACUUUAAGAAUUGCAUAAAACUUGAGUGAACAACAGGCAAUUUAUUCUUCGGAGCUAAAUUCUCUUGCAGAACGUUUUUAGAUGGAUCAAUCUCGCCACUGCUGAUGCUAACAUUUUCACAAGAAUUUGAGAGAAGAUCCUGAGGAUACUUGGAAUCAUUAGAAUCAGUAUCUGUACUGUCAUCAGGUGGUGCAGCACAAGAGGGUGGGUAGUGCACGGAGAGUGGCUGACGCAAUUUCCAAUCAGGCAUAGGUAGGCAAGGCAUGAGCACCAUGUGAUUGGGAGAUCCACAUCCUCCUAUUGGCAUGACCUUCAUGCGACAAAGAUCAGGAAAACAUCUCAUAAAAUCACUAAGCUUAUGGUAACCAAGAGAAACAUGGUCAAGUUCUAGGCCAAAUGCAGCCCUGAAAUCUGCCUUCAAUGAUGACAGAGGGUAUUCCCCUUCCUUUGGUUUCUUUGAUAACUCCUGUAAGAAACUGGGAAGCCACUUCUUGAAAGUUCUCAACCAUAUUGGAAUAUUGCAGUUGGUGGAGGGGGUGCUAACGAGUACUUGAGAUUCAGGAAACGUCUUCGGUUGGCCAUGGAGUAAUUUAUUCACCCAUGAGAUUUGAUCAGCUUUAGCCUCUUCCAAGAUUUUCCUUCUUGGCAUCUCUUCCUCACUCUUUUCGCUGGAUGUCUCCAAUUGUGGUUGAUAUUGAUCAUUGGGAUCCUGUUGAUGUUGAGGUGAUAGCUUCAAGGACUCAUCCCAUCUCCCAACAGCACUUUUGAUCUCAACUUGCUUGCCCAUGAUGGUUACAUAGCGUGCUUGAACAGCCUUUGAAACAGACUUACGGUGUUUAAAAGUGACAAAGCCAAAGCCACGAGAGUGUAAUUCAUCACCUGUUCUAAUUGUAACAACAUGGGCGUCUUCCACAGACCCAAACUGACCUUCAAAAAACUUGCUCAGUGAGUCUGCUCAAGAAAAAAAGGGGGGCCAUAACUUAUCCUGACUGAACCAGUACAGCAUUAGCAAAAGUGCAUACAAGUCUAAAUGCAACUAAAAAAGAUUUUGACAAAAUUCUAACCAGAAUCCAACAGAGGAUGGAGGCCGCCUACAAAAAUUUUCCGUUUCAGUUUCUCUGCAGCAGGAGAAUGAAUGAGGUGCAUUCCCUGUUUCACCUGUCCAAGCUCCUCUUUACCAUGAGCAUAAAAGCACUUAGAACCUCUGACACAUCCUCCAGAUUCAAAGUACUUACAGAUCUCUGUCUUUAGGCUUGUGUUGGUUCUAAAAAAACAGGGAAAGUAGAAAAUUAAGAAAUAAAACAGAAAGCAACAUACUCAACCAGCACACAAAGAGAGAGAGAGAGAGAGAGAAUGUGAUGGGGAGAUGGAUGUCAGGGAUGACAAUUCGCAGGAUUUUUUAUGGUUUUAAGUUUUUGAAAAGUUUAGUCACCUUUCAGUACAGCUUUCUUCAUCCGCCAUGGUUAGAAGAGUUUCACAUGUAUCAAAAAUAACUUCAUCACCUUUGAAGCGAGGAGUAUAUUUCUGUUCAACUGGGGAAGUACGAUUCACCGCACACAAAAAUAUCAUGAGACUGGAUGAGUUAAAUUAGUAAUAAUUGAGAUUUAUGUCUUUAUGUUUGUUAACUAUGCCAUACAUUGGAAUGUUUUUAAACACCACUUACUGAGAGUACUAUAGGUUGUGUUUAGUAUGAAACGUAUGUCCUGUGACUUAGCCAAGUCUAUCGGCCUUUCUCUACUGGGGAGCACAAAUGUAAGCGAUGUUAACUAUUAAAGUUAAAUUUCAAUGGCAAAUUUCUAGGAAACAAAUAAAAGAACCAUUAUAACAUGAAGAUGACUUUAAAAGAAAGGGUAUUAUUUUUUCCAACCGCAAGUUGAGGACUUCACUGUUUGCACCCCAGCGCAGAAGAAGCUCUGCACAGUCAAUAUGAUCAUUCUUCACAGCAAAAAAUAACGGGGUUUCUUUCAUUAUAGUUUUGUAGUUGAUGCCAUCUGGGUCUUCUAGUAGAAGUACCUAUCAGAACAAUUGAAAGGAAAAUGUCAAAGAUAAAAAUUGCAGAUUUUGGAGUAUAAGAACCUCUUUAAGCUUGCUACUGGCAUGUGGCGCUUAAAUAAGAAAAAUUUUAAAGAAAUUAUACCUGGAGUGCCUGUGUAUUACCAUUAGCAGCAGCAAUGUGAAAUGCUGUUAAUUCCAAUUUGUCUUUUUGGUUUACUCGGGCACCAUGCUUCAAAAGGAGCCAUAUGAUUCUGGCAACAACAAAGCGAUCAUAAGGAAAAAAAAAAUUUUCAUGUAUGGAGAGAGAGAGAGAGAGAGACUGACUUAAUCUGCUGUGAAGAUGAACUCCAGGACAUUCUAAGGGACCAAUGCAGAGCAGAGUUUCCUUCAGCAUCAGCAUCAUUUACGUCCAUGUUGGUCUUCAGAAGCAGCUCGAUUACAGCUUCAUCUCGGGCCUAUGACAACGUAAAGCCCAAAAAUAAUGCAUGAGAUGAGAUCAAAACAUUAAAGUGACACAAAAUGAUUACUAAUUGGAACUCCAAAUUUUCAUUUCAUUUUCCUUUUGAGAAUCUUUUCCGACUACAACUUUGAAAAGUAAGGUUUUGUUAGAAAGAAAAUGGAUUAUUGAAGAAAAUCAAAGUACAAUCAUCUUAGAGCCCCGAAAUGGUCCCAUGUUGUAGGUCCCCGGACUUUACCAAAGUACCCACAGUUCAUUAAUCAAAUGAUUAAACUAUCACAUCGACACCCACUUUUUGACAAGGACACAAAGGUCCAUUUGCUUACAAUUCCAAUUCCCCAUAGAUAUCAUAAAAAAGAAAAAAAGUAUCCGCAUGUUCUUAAUGCCAGAGCAAAUCAUUAUCAAAAUCGAGGUUAACACUAAACACUACCUUGACAGCACGGAUUAACGGUGAUGUCAGCUUCUUGUCUCCGCAACCGUUACGAGCAACGGCUCCAAACAGCUGAAGCAACUCGAUCUCGCAAAGCAAAAGCUUCCGUUUCGUAUCGAACUCGACUUUGGUUGGGGAUGUAUAGUUCCUUUUAGCUGUUCUUGACGGCGACGUAUCACGGCGGCCAAACGAUAAUGCCUCCCUGAUAACGCAUUGGUAAACGGUGUCUUUCUCCUUUAACCCCGAAUAAGCGUCGCGUAGUAAUACAAUAGACUCGUUAACUUUCUCUGCCGCUACGAUAAGAAGAGCUGCUAAAGCUACUAUUUUGCCUCCCAUGGCUAUGGAAUACGCCACCUCGCCUAUUGCUUUCGUUCUUUCACUCAGAAGUUUCACCGCAGUCAAAUCCUGCCAAACAAGUCUAAUAUUCAGAUUUAUUAAUAUUUACUAAUAAGGAUUUUAAACAACUGAUUAGUCAAAAUCCGAAUGACGUGAAAAUUUUUAUUAGUCAAAAUGCGAACUCCUUCAUAUUAGAAUGAUUUUCCCGAGAACCAAACAAUAUUUAAGGAAACCUUUUCACUAAGCAGAACCACCAAGUCGUCGACAGAGUAGUCAUCCGGAUUCCAAAUCACAUCCAUCCUGAAAAUCACAGAAAAAAGCCAAAAAUUUUCAUUAUUCUUUUCAAUUUAAAAAAAAAUAACAAAAAGAAUUAUUAUAAUAUAAAACGAGCCGAGAAUAGAAAAAGAAACAUUUCCAAAAAAGGCCAUUACUUUUGCGGUCUUGCUUAAAAACAUCACAGCUUUUGCCUUCUUGUAAAACAGAAAACGACAUUUUCUUUCCUUUUUAUUUUCGAUUUUUUUACCUGCUACUAGACAAAACCAUCUCCAGAGCAAGCAGACUUCGUCCAUCUUUACUCCUCGCUUCCGUACGGGCGCGUCUCUUUAGUAACAACUCUACACAACGCGCCGCGUGAGCCUCCGACGCCGCCUGCAACGCCGUCACCUUCGUCGCCAUAUCCACCUCAUUCACCAUCGGCAGAAAAUCAGUUUCCACUUCGCCGUUGAGCAGCGACGUGGCGCAUUCAACAGCGUCGAAGUAACAACACAGGAGGAGAAGUUUCAAUGCCGCGCUUCUUCGGUUCGAUGGAUCAUCAUCGGAGUCGUGGAUGAGUUGACGCGAGUGAGUUAUGAAGCGACUUCUGUCGUCUUUUGUGAUCGAGUUGAUGAGGGCAGUUUCUAAGUUGUUGAGUAGCGAUGCUUUUAUUGGCGUUAAGUUUUCAAUAUUGUUCUGUUUUGAGAUAUCACCGACUCUUCGAUUUUCUUUUUCCUGCGAUUAUUAUUCAAAACAAAUAAUAAUAUCUCAGUAUUUAUCACAAAAAAAGAUUGAAAAGUAAUAAAGCAGAAAGGAAGAUGAAAAUCGAAAGAGGAAAAAUAAAAGCAAAAUUUUAACAUAAAAUGAAAUAAGAAAUGAAACCUUUCCGUACUUGUUUGGCUGCUGAGAGAAGAGAAAACGACGUUUUUCUAGACAAACAAGCAGCAAAAAUGAGCUUCAGCCAUUAUUUUUCUCAUAAAACUUCAAAAAGGAGUCGAAAAGAUGUGUUAGAGAAAUCCUUCAAACUUGAUUUGUUUUUAAAAAAAUACUAAUUUUCUAGAGAAAAGGCGAAAUUUUCGUAGUAAAUUCAAAAAAUCCACCGGGUAAAUUCUAAUCUUUUUCCGAAAUUUUCCAGAUUGAAUUUUUUGGACAUUUUUCUUAAUUGCAGAGAAAAAAAAGCGAAUGCAAAUAAAAAAUCGAAGCAUUUUUACGAUUAAUUUAAGCUUAAGAGAAGGUAUCGCACCAGAUCCAUCAGCAAAAAAAGAAGCCCUAACUUUUCAGCUCCAAAAUCAGUUUCAACCACAAUGCCUCCAUUUUCAACACCAAAUCGAAGCUGAUUUUCAUGUAGAAUCCAAACAAGGCAUAAAAAGAGCCAAAAAAUUUUCAAGUUUUAAAGAAAAAAGAUUUUGAGUGGAAAAACGCUUCUUUGUCUUUCUCGCUUAAUACAACAGGUGAAACAAAAGAAAAAAAGAAAAAAAAGUAAGAUUAUGAGUGAUGGAGGUUAGUAUUUAUAACAACGGACUUGGGAUUGGGUUAAUUAAAUGGAUUUAAAUGUGCAUUUUCAAGUCCGCGUUUGAUUAUGCGGUUUGACUAAAAUGACCUUCAUUUGACUGGAGUUAUGUGGGAAACAUGAACGGGAAUAGAAACAAAGGGGAGGGUAGUAAGGGGCAUUAAGAUGUUGCAAAUAAAAGCUUGCUGAGUCGUUGUCUAACGCAGAGGAAGUACAAAAUGUAGCAAUGGAAUAUUGACAGGUGUAAGACUGUGAGAUGUAGACAAAAUGACUACAACUUCCUUACCAUGUUUUUCCUUGAGUUUAAGGCGCCGUUUGGAUUCAGUCCCACCACUCUUUUUGGUACGAUUGGACCAAUCCAAUUAUACUGAAAAUGAUAUAUUGAGUAAAUCCUACUAUUCAUGUCAUCAUAUUAUAUAAAAUAUUUUUUUUAUAUUAUAAUUUAUAUUAAUAUAAAAAUAUAAAUAAUAAUAUUUUAUUUUAUUAAAUUUAUUAAUAAUUUUUUCAAAAUUUUAAAUUAUAUUAUUUUUAUACUUUUUAUUUAUAUUAUUUUUAUAUCAUAUUAUUAUAUUAAAUUUUAAAUUAUCAAAUUUAAUAUUGAGUAAUAUCAAUAUGAUACGAUAAAAAUUUUUUUAUUAUAUAAUUCAAAAAUUUUUUUAUCAUUAAUUUAAUUGUUAAAUUAUCUAAAUUAUCGAAUUAAAUUCGACAUCAUUAUUAAUUGAAUUAACUUUAAUAAAUCAUUAAAAAAUUUUAAUUUACAUAAAUCUCCAAUUUUAAUUUUAAUAAAUCUCCAAUUUUAUUAGAAUACAGGAAUUAUUUCAUAAUUUGAUGUUAAUUUUAUAAUGUAUGCACUUAGAAUGUAUCAAUGUCAUGGUCUAUGAACAUCGGGAAGGUUUAAAAAAUAUGAAGCUGCCGGAGAACAGUAAUCUUCUGUUCCUCUAGGAUUAACUCAUCUAAACUCUGCCACGUUAAAACUAAUUAGGGUGUAGUUAGUGUUUUUUUUUCCUUUUUUAACUCUCACUGCCACAAUGUUACUUUGAGAUGGGUUAUGUCAUUAAAGGCCAAAAACACUAGAGAGGCGUGGUUUGGCUUGUUUACCUUUGUAUGUUUUAAGACAAAGCUUCUGUGCAGAAGAUGCAGCUUCCAUCUAUGAUCAUAAAUGGAUUACACUUUUGGAAAAUGUGUUUAUAUGCACUGAUUUUAUUUAUUUAUUUUGAAUAAUUCUUGUUAUCAGGAGAAAGCUGAUGUUGAUGGUGACAUGAACAAUGAUCAAAAACACAUACAGUGGCUUAAAGUUAUCAAUGACAAUAAAAAAGAGCUAUCAUUAUCAGAAAAGGGUAAAAUAAAAGGUAGAUCUUAACAUAUUCUCAUACAGGCCUUCAAGCAUUAAACUUUGAAUACAAAGUAUUCUGGAGGAAUGUAGCAGCUCUAGGUAGUAUAAUACAAUCAAUAAUGGGGAAAAAUUUUUCUAUAUUGCCUCUAGUUCUCAAGGCCUCCUUGAAUCACUAUUAUUAUCUACGAUGCUAUUGUACAAGUACAAUCCUAUCUAAGAAGAAAGCAAGGAUCAAAAUCAUCCCAAAGAUCAUCUCUGAACCUGGUGUUUAUGCAGUUGGUAGCUGCACCGAUCUUCGUCUCGUGUAAUCUAACUAUUAACAAAUACAGGUUAGAGAUCAAAGGGUUCCUAAGAAAUGGAUCAAUAGCUUUUCCCAAGUCAACAACAUCAGAUAGUAGAUGCAUACCAUCCAUGACCUCCAAAUUGAAAAUGCAGUUUGAGAGGACAUAAAAUCCAAGCAAAUUUGCAUAUAGUGGUAAAAAUGCAUCCUUGUGGUUACCCACACCACCCAUCCAAUCAGCUCCCAGUUCUCCAAUAUGGUCGUUAGCAAAUGAUAUCAACUGAUGGAAAAAUCUCAUUCUCCAAUCAAGUAGAUAAUUCAGGACCUCUUCUUUAUUGAACAAUUCACCUGCCCAAGAUUUUGUGAUUGGAAGCUUCACCAAGUGGGAGCAACAUAUUUGACUAAUCAACAGCUUCUCUUCAUGAUGAUUAUCGACUUCCUUGUCAAAAACCCGUCUCACAAGAUCACCUUUGGAUAUUACGUAGUUUGAGUUUGCUGCAUCGAGUACCCAUUGCAAAAGAUAAUCAAAGUAUACAAUCCAGUGGCCAAAGAUGGAAGACAGAUGGUCAAAACUCAGUUCAAUAACUUUUUCCACUUGUGUUGGAGCCCCACAAGUUUCAAACUUUGUUCCAGAGUUUUUGGGGGAAAGGCACUUCUGGAUUUCUGUGGCAAGCCUUUGUCUAAUUCCAUCAUCUUCAUCCUCAAGCAGUUUGAUACAUGUGAACCACAUCUCCAGUAUUUGAUGGGCAUAUAUAAUAACAGCAUCUUGGUGCUUGAAACAAGUAAAUGAAUUUUUGGAAGAAAUUUGCUGGUUGAACACAGAAGAAGCAAUCACCUCAGCUUGUUCCAAUAAGCCAGAUGCUAACAUAGAUUCUGCUGCCGCACUGCGCAUGUUUACUGGCUCAGAUGAGGAACUAUGCUGCUUAAUUAGGUCAAUGAAAACGGUAAUGCAUUCAUAAAAGCGGGCUGAUCCCUCCGUCUGAUCAGAUUCAUUAUAUCCAGUAGUUCUCUGCCCCUUAUCAGUAAGAAUAAAACUACUAAAUAACCCUACAAACUGCUUCACACAUAUUGCCAGGCAACAAAUGAGUGUUUCUCGAGUUUUAGCAUGUUGUGUGAUCUUGUACAAGGAUAUCAGCCUAUCCCAUAGCUGAGAUAUAGAAUCACAAUCCAAUGCACCAACAUAAAGUGUUUCAUCACUCUUUUCGUCGCUUUCAUGAAACUUCAGCAAGUUCCAAGUGAAAAUAAUUCUCAGAAUGUAAUAUGUACAUCUAUGAUUCUUCUCCAGUUCCAAGAGCUUCAUCAGUGUAGCCUGAAGGUUAGCUCUUGUCCAGUUCUUAAUAAUUCUGGUCUCACUGCUAGACAGAUAGUUAAUCUCACUGCCAGAUUUAGACUUCAGGAACUUAAGCAGCCACUUCAAAGUUACUAGUCGAACUUCAUAUGAUGAAUCUGAUAAAGAACGAAUCAGCCUUUCCAGGAAUCCACUAUUCUCCACUUCAUUGAAUUGCGACAAUAUUGAAUUCGAUGGAGAUCUUAGUGGAAUCUGAAGAACCUCUUCACUAUCUUCAUCAGAUGCUUGAAACAGACAACUAAAAUAAGAUGCAGCUGCUUGUUGACGAAGUUCAGCUAUUGUUGGAUCAUAAUACGGAAGCCCGUAAGAAGCUUCUACAUCUAAGCAUUCUGUAGAUAAUUCCAAAAGUAGGUUUCGGAUGGCAAACAAAUUUUUGCUCAUAUGACGUGAUCUUGCAACACUAAGCAUGUGAUCCAGCACUUGCAGGAAAGUGCAAUUGAGAAUGGGACAAGGGCAUCUUUUGGGGCUAGCAACCCAUGAUCGCAUUGCAAGAACCUUCAUCAACUCACCAAGAAUCUGAUCUUUCCUUGAGAAAUCAGCAAGAUUUCUACAAUUUAUAUCAAGAAGAGAACCUAACUGCAACAGAAGCCCAUGAAUUAAAUUAAAGGAAGCAAGGUGGGCUUCAUUGGCUGGAUGUAAUGAGAUCGAUGCAGAAGGAGCUGCUGUGAUUUGGUUCUCUGCAUGAGGCAAUUCAGAAGCAAUAUUAAGGAGAACAGUUGGCAAUUUCUCAUUAGAUACCAGUCCUGUCAAAGCCCGUGAAGCAAGAACACGAACUCGCAGGUUGCUUUGUGUUGAGCACUUCCUAAUGAAUGGCAUGAAGAGGAAAGGAUCCAGGUCAUCCCCAGUCUCACUUGCAAUUGUUGAAGGCUUGAGCCUGGAUAAAAGAAUCAGCAUAGGGCACAAACUUGGAUGCACAACUUUUGCCAGGUUGGAUUCUGAUUGUCCGGACAAAGCAUCAUCAAGCAACUCCGUUGCAACUUUCAGUUCAUUGGACAGGAACGGAUGCAGCAAAGGAUACCUUCAGGAUAAGAUUUAAUCAAUAGUUAGUCAAGAAAAAAUAUUGUUGCAUUCAGGCACAGAUAGAAUGUAAGGAAAUCCAUAAAGAUAAGGCUAGCAAAGCCCAGAUGAUAAAUCCUACGCCAUCUCUAAAUAAGGAUUCUAACCAUCACUCCCUAGCAAACCAGAUUUUAAGCUUGCACGUCUAAUCAGCACCAUAUGGAAUUAAAUAAGCAAGUUCUGUGAUUUCAGUUAGACCUUCAAAAGAAGCUAUCAGAAGGCAUAAAAGAUAAAAAAUAAAUAAAUAAAUAAAACGGGAAAAAAAGAACAUCAAAAAGCCAAAAGAGAAAAGAAAAAAGAAGUCUUGUAAAUCUACCUUUCUGUGUCAACAAAUAUGCAAAAUUGUAACAAUAGCCAAACAAAAGGUCAUAAAAUGAAGACACACGGAUCUUGCAAAGCAACAGCAUACUUAUUAGGACUUGAUUAUGCAAUAACAAAUAUUUUAAUGGACAGAUUUACCCACAAACUGAAACAGUGAAUAGUGUCCAUCCUCCUCCCACCCCCUCUCUUACUAAACCAGCAAAUGUGCCAUUCACUGCUGAGAAGUUUCAUUUAGUAACUCUGUGAAGAACUUGGCUUAUAAUAACUUGUGGGAAAAAUAAAUUUCCAGCUUCAGUAUACAUAGUUUUAAACUUUAUAGCAGGCUUACAUAGUUUUCCAUUUAUGAAAUACACAAAAAGCAAGAGAAAGUUAGUGAAAGAACAUGCACCUAUGAAAAAAUUCAAGCCCAGUUAAUGCACGUCGGGCAGAUUCUCGUUUAUGAACAUUAAGGAACCCAAUCAUCCGACGAACCAAGGAAGUGUAUGCCAGACAAGCACUGUUUCGAACCUCCCAGUAUGGUGAAGAGAAAGAGCGAAUUGAAACAAUCAAAACCUCAGCAGCAAAACCAGAAGUAUCAGAAGCAAGGUUAGUGUCAUUGAAAGCAGCUCUAAGGACAUUAAAGGCAUGCACUGUUGGAACAACACCUUCAUCUCUAAUCUUUGAGGUUUUCUCAGUUGCAAUCAUCUCAGAUAUCAGUGCUGAAUUGGUCUCUUGGCCUGACUUUGUUGAUGAAAUCUGGCAUGAGAUACCUGUGCAAUUGGCUUCAGAUGGACUCAAUGAAGACCCAUUUGCUACAUCUAUAAGCCACCUAAGUGCUCGCGGGAGGAGCUUCUUUGGAGCACCUUCUGGUUCUGAGAGGAAAAGAGCAGUGAAUGCUGCAGGUAUACCUGCACUUCUUCUUAGCAAAUCAUCAACAGUUUGUCCUUUUGCUACUGUUCUCUCCAUAAGCUGCUCCAUCCAAGAUUCUGUCAGCUUACAAAGCCUGCAAAAGAAGGCACCAUUAUAUGGAUUUACAAUGUAUAUCUUUUAUCUUACAAAUAAUGCUCCAAUUAAUAUCUAAUGCAAGUCAUUUCGUAACACAAGCUUGAACUAAUUAACUGAGAAACUUUGAAACAAUUGAAUAAACAUAUUGCAUUGCUCUCUCUCUCUCUUUUCUUUUUUCUAAAAAAAGAAAUAAAAAACUAGAGUAUACAGAAGCAUAAGCUCUCUCCUUUCUUUCACCCAUACUCCCACAUGGCAAGAUUUGAUCCUAGAUUUUGGGUAAACCACAUACUUUCGGUACCAGCUAAGCUAGUUGGCACUUCACAGAUAGUUGUGCAGUGUGCUAAGGCAAAGAAGAGAAAUAAGAUCAUACAGCAGUAGCUAAGGAACACAGAGAGGACACUUACAUUGGAUCAUUUGAACAGAGCAGACGAUUGCAAAGGGCUGUAAAACCUGCUCUUGUCUUAUCAAUUGCACCAUUAUGUUUCAUCUUCAAAAGAACUUCCAAGAAAUGGUUCCCAAUUUUCUCUAAUUGUUUUAGAUCCAGCACUCCUUCAGAUAUCACUCUCACCGAAGCAUCAAUUGAAUCAUAACUGGGGUGUCCAGAUUCUAAUGAACGUGAAUAACUGUGACUUGGCAAAGGUAUUUUCCUUAUAAUGGUCCCCAAAAGAAGACUUAGCUGGAUUCAAGAAGAAUUCAACUGUUAGCACUACGGUCCUUAUUUAUAUAAGCCAAGAAAUCUAGAAAUCUGGGGUUUAUAUAAAUUAUACAACAAGGAUUUCCUAAAUUUUGAGGGUGUUUAAUAUUGGAACUAUAAAUUCGCUAAAACUCAUUUCUUUGGUCUUAAUUUCAACAAAAAGCAGAAAUCAUGAGUAUAUUAUUUUCAACAGCAUAACAAGAAAUAAAAUGCAAUAGCAUAACAAACAAGCUUAGUACCUCUUUCAUAGCUAGCCAGCAACCAACCAUAACAAUCUGAUCUGAUGGUCUAACAACCUGAAUAGAUUGGGAGCUUUUGUCUUCUUGAUCUAUUGAAGGUACAGGAGCAUCCAUCUCAUCAGAACCAUCCAACAAGAAAGCAUCACCAUCAACCAUAUCAUCCAUAUCCUCAGGCAGGUACCAAGCAUCUGCAGAAACAACCCAUAGGGCCAAUGAAGUUAUUCGCACAACCAGCUCCAAGAGUUUCUCCAAUGAUUGUUUCAUAUCUGAAAUACCAUAAAAGACUGCAUUGGAAUUCCAAUCCAAUUCCUCAAAAGUAUAUCGUAGAGUAAGUAAUACACCAUGAACAAAACUAUUCUUGCAUGCUUCAGCAAGAUCCUUCUCUCCUUCCUCCACAGCAACAUCCAACCAAUGAAUAAGAGAUUUCACAUAUUCCAUCACAGGAUGAGCAAAGGUACAUUUCUGAUAAUCCCCAUUUAACGGUGAAUACUGUGAAUGAGAACAAGCAACAUUAACUGAAGUUCUGACUCUCCACCCCAGGUCCAGCACAUACUUUCUAAAUAUGAGCCGCAAAGUUAGAGCACCAGCAUCACUCUCUCUCACACGUGGACUGCAAACCAAUUUCUUAGCCCAUUUAAUUACUUUCUGGACCAUUUCUUCACUUGAAAUGCCAGGAAGCGGAGUGGGAAAAUGCAGCAAUAUGCGGAAAGAACUUUCUCGCAGCCUGUCCCAACUAUCAAUUAUGGAUCCAACCAACAGGAAGGUCGUGUCAGGUGAAGUAAUUCCUACACUGUAAGGAUAAAGACAGCUCUCAGGAGAAAUAGAAGCUGAUCUUUCUUGAGAAGAAGGUAUGACAGACCAAAUAUUGAUCAUUAUCAGUAUUAUCUCCAUGGCCAUUAUUUUUCUCUUAUAAGGAGCAGCAGGAUAACAAGAGAAAAAUAGAAAACAACUCAACCACCUCAUAAAAUUAAAUAGCUCCUCUGCUCUGCUAACAGCAUUUUCCUCAGUUCCCUUACAUAGACACAACUCACUACCUUCAUGGUUCAUGCGAGGCUGCCAGCUGCCCUGCUUAAAUUGCCUCUCUAAGGCUGUGCGCACACGAGAAAAGAACUUCCUAAACAAGCUGCUCCAUUUCAUCUGAAAACCUGUUGAAGAGGACCUCAUGUUCAAAGGCACAGCUUUUUUCAUUAGAGAAAGUUCCAAACGGGAAGGCAGACUAGAUGUCUUGGGGUUUAAGAAAAGAAACUCUGCAGCAUCUACACGAAGUGAUUCAUCAAUGUGUGUCAAUGCUAAUACAAGCCACCCAACAAGGAUCCUAACUUUUAUCCCCUUUAUGCAGACAAGUGCAUAGACAUUAAAGCUUUUUGUUUCCACCAUACCGUCCAUAUCAGAUGUCAUAGAGUCAUCAUAAAAAUCAAUAUCCCCUUCAAUCAAAGCAAGUGAGCGAGACACCUUAAGCAAGGAGAUCAAAACAGCCACUUUUUGUUCUACUCUUAGUUCCAUGUUUGUGCAACCAAGCUCAGGAUAUAAAAGCCCAUUUUCCACCUCACUUGGCCCAAUAGAGAUACAGUUAAGCAGAGGAAAUAUACCAUCAACAUCUACUUCAAGUAAAACUGGAAGAGCAUAUGUGUUCAAAUUUGAACGAAGCUUUGAAAUCCCAGAAGCAAGACCGUUCAAAAAGGGGGGUAAACAAUGUCCUCUAUAAAGCACAUAGCCUCUUUCAAUGCCAUAACUACUCCAGCACUCAUCACGCAAAUAUUCAAGGAAACACUUCAAGAAUGAUGUGGCAGCACAGCAUACAUCAUCAUCAGUGUAUGCCUGUACUAUUUCAAACAGCAGGUCAGGACUCAUAUCCAGCAUAGUCUUUGCUCCAAACCUCUUGGUCAACAAAGCUAAAGGAACAUAUCUCCCCUUACAACGUGACCCUAAACGAAGAAGAUCUGAAGCAAUCUUUCGUAGGAAUGACUUAAUUUUCUCACUAUCCUCUGCCCCACAAAGUGAGGACUGAAUGUCUAAGAAAAGAUCAAAAAUAAGAUGAACUUGUUUGACUGUUUGACUUAGAGGAUCUUCCAAGUUAUUCCAUAUUAUUCUCAGCAGUCGGGUUCCCAUAUCUUCCGGCAAUGGAUUGUAAUUUUCAGAUGCUUUUACAAGGUUUGCCAGCAUAGAGGUCUUAAUCUGUUGCAAACAAAUUUGCAUCACAGUUAAUGCAUGAAAGUUAAAAUGGCUAUCUAUGGGGUUCUCACAGUAAUUACACAGCUCAGGCAAAAUCCCAUCAUACAAUAUAGUCUUCAGAGAACUAGUAGCAUUUCCAUGAAACUCAAAAUCAUAAAAAAUUUCCCUAGAUACAACAACAUGUGCAUUUAGAACCAUUCUCGGAACAGCAGUAAGAAUGCCUCUAAUCAUACAAAGCCUAUUCAACCCAGAGAGAUUACGUAUAUCAAGACAAACAUCUCCCUUAUAUGGAACCUUGCUAAUAACAUUGUUAAAAGAACCCUCACUAUUAGUGCCAGAACUACAAACAAUUUGAUCAAAUAUACCUUCAAUGAUGAACAAACCAAGCUCUUGAUCACUGAGACAAACUUGCAAAGCAGCAAAAAAGCUCACACCAGCCGCCACAAAGCAGUCCCUCGAAAAUGCCACUGAUUUCAACAGACUUAUCAAAAUCCCCAAAGCCAUCUCCAUCACAUUAGAAUCUACACCACCCAAGUUAAAUUUCCGUGGAAACUUCUGAAAUAAGUAAUAUAAGCAAGACAGUGCCUCCUGACACUGCUCCAGAACUAUAGGAGAAGGUCUUGCCCACCCUUCAGUCUCCAAAACCACACUUUUUAACCCCAAAACAAUAUCCCAACAAACCAAAACAGCAGAAUCUUCAAUCACAUCAACUAAAAACCCCAACUUUGGCAUUCCCAUUACUGAUAAAGCCACACGUGACACAGAAAAACGCUUCUUCUUACUACUAAUUGUACCAUACUCAUUACAAAGUAACCUGAAACACUCACCAAUAACAGGUUGAAAAACAUCCUUGGUUUUAGCCAAAACUGACAAAAGGGUUCUAUGCAAAGGCAUUGAAUUUUCCAAAAACAAAACUUCCAAGUAAAAAGCUGCUGCCGUUGAAACCAAGGCUUCAUUUUUUUCACCUUUUUUUACUAAGAGUUCAUUGAAAGAAGAAGCCACCUUUCUGACAUGAUUAACUUGGGAAUAAGUCGAGUUUAAAGAGAUGAGAUGUUGAAGCUCAUUGUAGAAGGUUGGGCCUGAGGCUGAGAGAGAUGAUUGGUUUAAGGAAUCUAUGAAGGAAGGUGGGAAAACGACGGCGUUGUAAGUGUAACGGUGGCGAUGUUGUAUAGCUCUCCACUUGGCCGACAUUUUUUUUUUCUCUUUUUGAGGUUGGAAUUGUUGGUUUUGGGAAGGUUUACUUCUGGGGUUUCUGUCUGUCUCAGAGAGAGAAAGUUGGAAGUGGCGGCUUGUUUAGGGGAGGAGUCCUAAAGUUAAAACUGGUUUUUAUUACAAGUAGGAGUUGGGGAGGUAGGGCAAAGCUAGAGCUUGAAGGAGGUCCAGGUUUUUUAUUGGGCCUAGAUUUGGGAGAUUGAAGAGCCAACCCAAGAUUCUAGCCCUGGCCUUCUUUAUAUUUUCCGGUUGUCUAACUCAGUAGAGGUAAUAAGUAUUGUUAAUCAGUAAAAGUUUAGUCACAAGUCCACUUUCAAGAGUUCAUGUUAAAUUUAUUGUUCGACUUGCACUCUUUUGCUUGAUGAUUGAUUGAUUGGGGCUUGUCCUAACAGGAAUCAAAACAUAGAAUUGAAAAUCUAUGAAGUUGUUACUUGUUAUAGACAAAGUGAACGCUAACUGAUCACUUUUCCUGCUUUCUAAAGUCUAGAAAUAGGAAAAAAAAAAGUUAUAAAGUCUAGAAGAACACGCACCAAAAUACGGUAAAAUGAAUCUUUCUCUACGCCAUCAAGGCAAUAAUUCUCCAGUAUGGUCCAAUCUAUUCUGUUUUCUAUUUGCAAAUAAGCAUUCAAUGAACGUAAUAGACAAGUAUUUCCUGUAAUUACUCCUGAUUAUGAUUACAGCAAUGCUCGAAGAAAGUUAGAUUCAAAAUGCUUCCUUCCUUGAGUCUGUUCUUAAAUGCUUGAUAUGGAUAGUGGGGGUCAGUGCACCUCCCAGUUCUCACCACAGUGGACCCCAUCGAAAUGAAGCCUAAGAAAAUACAGCAGUCAUUGACAGUGGACUGAGUUUUUUUAUUCACUUUGGAUCCAAGCGGCCAGGACGCAUCCUUGAACUACAUUUGCUAGAUUAAGCGCGUUAGAUAGAAUGGGUCUAUACGGUAAGAAGAUUCACAGAAAGUUUUACAAAGAAGACAAAUUGAAGUAAAGACCACGGAAAAAGCUGAACAAUACAUGGAAAACGUGUUCCGUGAUCCCCUUCGAAAGGUAGAAGACCUUGACUUUGGAAUUAAGGCCUUUAAAUUCGUUAGUCUGAAAAUAUCACGUUUCGAUAUCAAGACGCAACACAAUCAUAUUAUCUUAAAAAAUUUUUCAAAGUAAUACGAAAUUUUUUUUCUUAAGCAUUCUAAAAUUCUUCAAUAAAACAAUCUACCAAUUAAAAUUUAUAUCUUUAAUCCAAUUGAUAAUACAUCUUUAUAUAUCCAAAUACAAAUUAUAUAAAAUAUAAAAUUAUCUCUUAAGAUUUCAUUAGCCAACAUAUUCUCCGACGACUAAGUAAUCUUUCUUAUUUCAUCUUCUAGCUUCACACAAGACUAACCAAACUUAUCACUUAGUCAUCUGUAAAGAAAAAGUAAAAUGGGAAUGAGCAAACCACAGCUCAGUAAGUAUAGCCUCACACACCUUAUCAGAUCAAGCAUCGGUUUUUUUUUACACAUCAUAUAAAUCAUUUAAAAACAUUCAUCAAAUCAUAAUAUCAAAACACUUCAAGAUCAUCGUUUUGUCAAAUAUUUCUUAAAUUCAUAAAUCAACGUCAAAAUAUGUCACUUCAUAAAUCAUUGUAAAAUAUACUAUCAUUCAAAUAUCAUAAUCAAACCAAAUUAUGGAUCAAUCAUUAAAAAUCAUCACAAAUUAUCACAAAUCAUCAUCAUCAUAAAUCAUCAUUAUCAUUGGUUUAUCAUUAGCUACGGUCACUACUAUAACCCGUGACAUUAGUCGUAUCAAUAAUUUCAUUCUCAUGAUUAUUACUAACUAUUAUAACCCGUUAGCUAGGGCUUACGCUAACUAAUAUUACACGUUAGUCAGGGUCGUAGAACUAGUUCUGGUGUCGAUGAUCCCACUUCCCAGGGAUAUAAAAACGUAGCUAUUAUAAAAUCAUUCUUUAAACAUAAAUCAUUUUCUCAUUUCAUUCAUAAGCAUAAUCCAUCGUUUAUAAAAAGAAACGCAAAAUAAUCAUAUACUUGAUCCUAUUUUCAUAUAUCAAAAAUAAAACAUUCUUUCAUUUAGAAACACAUAUAUAUUCAUAAAUUCGAAAACAAGCAAAGUAUGUGAGAUUCUACUUAAUUCCAUUCGAUUCCACCACUUAGUUUUUCUCCUAAAAUAAUUAAUGGCCUAUCCAAGAUCAUUUCAACAUAUCAGAAUUUAAUCAACCCUUUUUUAGACCAUUUAUACAAAAAUCAACUAAGUUACACAAAGGGUUAGCUUAACUAAUUAAUACUAGUAGCCUGACCUCUUUUCAUUAAAACUGUCAUAUCUCAAUAUAUCCAAAUCAAAAUUAUGAUCUCUUUAAUGCGUUAGAAACUAGACUUGAUAAGCUUUCUAACCAUAUAUGGCAAACCUUGUAAUUCCUUGUAGAAUAAUUAUAACAAUUUUUGAAAUCCACAUCAUAUACUGCUGUCAAACAGCCUAUAUACCUUCUAAUAAAAAUUAUAUAUUUAUUCACAGGAAACUUUAAAUUCAAUUCCGCUUAUUUCAUUGGAAAGUAGACUCAAUAAGCUUUCCAAACAUAUAUGGCUUAAUCUGUAAAUCCUUGUAUACAAAUUAAGAAGAAAUUCGUAAUUCAACUCUGAUGCUGCUAUCUUACAACCUGCAUAUCUUUAAGUUAAAAUUAGACAACUCUUUAUAAAAAAUUCGGGUUUGACUUUCAUUUGUUUCAUUAGAAACUAGAUUCAACAUGCUUUCCAAUGAUAUAUAAUAAUCAUAGCAAUAAUAUAUCCAUUAAUACAAAAUUCUAUUUUAAUUCAUUAUUACAGAUCACAAUAUCUCAUCCAAAAAUAGAAUUUCUCUUUCAAUCUUUAAAAAACCAAAUCCUUACUUUUAGCCUUCAAACUCCAUUCAAUAAUCAUCAAUAAAUCCUAAGAACAUGAAAUAAACAAAGCCCAGUAAUUUACCUAAAUACAUCAUGAAGAUUAAUAAAAGAUUUCAUGAUUUUUUUUUUCAAAACUUCAACUCCAAAUAAUAGCAAUCAACUUGAUAUUUCUUUUUAAAUAAAAAGAGGGCAUGUAUUCACCUUUAAGGGAUUAACUUGAUUGUAGCCUCUAAUUGUGAAUCUUCAACUUGAUUUUUCAUAUUCUCUAACCCUAAGAAAAAUGAAGAAGAAGAACUCUAUUUCAUUUUUGUUUCACGAUAAUUAAGUUUUCUUUCAUCUAAUACUUCAAUCAUUUUUUUUUUACUAAAUAAUGUCUUAAUAAAUUGAUGGACUUUAAUAUUAAUCUAACCCAGUUAUUAUUUGAGCUGGGGUAUUACAGAAAAUUAACAUUCAACAAAAAGGAACAAUUCCUCGUAUUUGAACUUAAACAUGGCCUCAUCUAAUAGUACAGCUUUCAUACUGAUAAUGGUAUGGACUAUCGUCCUUUUUUCCUAUGCUGCAGCUGAAGUUGCCACAACUUCGUCACUAGAACUAGAGGCAAAGGCUCUACUUGAGAGUGGUUGGUGGAGUACCUACAGCAACGAUACUUCGCAGCGUUGCAACUGGGCAGGUAUCUCAUGCAAUGACGCUGGUAGCGUCACCAAAAUUUACCCACCUUCUGAUGUUAUUACGAUUGGCGCUGAUAAAUUUGAAAAUAUGAACUUCUACUUUCCGAACCUUGUUUUUCUCAGUCUUAGUGGUCAAGAAGUCUUCGGGAGCAUGAAUGACGAUGGGGUCAUUGUGUCCAAAAUAGGCCAUCUAUCAACAUUAGUGCACCUCGACUUGUCCAACAAUAGUUUAUUUGGUGAGUUAUCUCCUCAGCUUGGCAAUCUCUCCCAAUUAGAGUUUCUUGAUCUUUCAUAUAACAGAUAUAUUAAGGGUUCCCUCCCUUUGGAGAUAUGGGAUUUGAAGAAUCUCGCCAUUUUAAAUUUGACUGGGAACCAAAUUGAACAACUGUUUCCGCCAUCUUUUCUUCUAUUGAACAACAAUCUUACCCACCUGCAUAUGAGCUCAAAUCAAUUAAACCAUUCCAUUCCCCCAGAAUUGGGAAAUUUGGAGGCUUUAAUGACUGUCUCUUUAUGGAAACCACAUCAAUGGAUCCACCCCGGUAGAGAUUGGGAAGAUAAAGAAUUUGGUGACUCUAGAUCUGUCCGGUUAUAGGCUUGUCGGUUUAAUUCCUUCUCUUGGUCAGUUAACCAAUUAGUGACCCUGAAUGUGUCCAAUAACAUGCUUGAUGGCUCCAUUUCUUCCAUUCUUGGUUCAUUAACCAAUUUGGUCACCAUCGAUCUAUCAAACAACGUGUUUUUGGGUCCAUUAUCCAAUUUCAAUCAUUUGACAAAACUGAAAUAUCUUAGCCUUGCCAUAAAUCUAAUCAAUGGUUCCAUACCUUCAGAAAUAAAAAAUCUUGAGAAUCUGGUUUACUUGUGUUUCUCUGGAAACAACCUCAUUGGGCCAAUCCCCUCCACUUUUGGUUAUUUACACAAGCUGGAAGAAUUGCUUCUUAGCUUCAACGAAAUCGACCGGUCUAUACCUUCAAAAAUUGGAGAUUUGUAGACUUUGCGUGUUUUCUCCCUUAAUUCAAAUCUUUUAGAAGGUGCAAUGCCGGAGAAAAUUGGGAACUUGAAAGCAUUGACUUUGUUGGACUUGUCUCAAAACCAGUUGAGUGGAUCCAUUCCGCCACAAAUUGGUAAUUGCCUGGAUUUAUAAGAGUUAAAGCUAAGCAGCAACUAUUUACAAGGUCCCAUUCCUGAUCAAAUUGGAAACCUUUCUUCUCUACGUCGAGUAGAUCUCACAAACAAUGAUCUCUCAGGAGUUGUUCCCUAUAGUCCUCGUUGGUUAACAAAUAUUAAUUACUUCAACUCUUAACUGUUACGAAAUUGAUGCUAAUGCAUUUGGUGGCAACAAAAAUUUAGCACCCUACUCAUGUUCUCCACCACCCCAUUCUUCAAUGAAGAAGAGUUACAAUCUCCAACUCCUAAUAUUUCUUCCCGUUUCCGUAUUCAUUGCCGUUUGUAUUUUUGGGUGUUCAUUGUUGUUAAAGGUAUAAGGCCACGGUCAACCCAAUUACAGUGCAAACACCUAAGAAUGGAGAUCUGUUCUCGAUAUGGAACUAUGAUGGAAAGUUAGCAUAUGAAGACAUCAUAGCAGCAACAAAUGAUUUUGACAUCCGAUUCUGCAUUGGAACUGGUGGUUAUGGAAGUGUUUACAGAGCACAGUUACCUAGUGGCAAAGUGGUGGCCUUAAAGAAGCUUCAUCGUCUUGAAGCAGAAGAACCGGCUUUCGAUAGGAGUUUCAAAAAUGAGAUAAAAUUUUUGACAGAAAUUCGACAUCGGAAUAUUGUGACGCUACAUGGUUAUUGUCUACACAAAAGAUGCAUGUUUUUGAUUUACCAAUACAUGGAAAGAGGAAGCUUGUUUCGCGUCUUAAGUGAUGAUGGUGAAGCUAUGGAAUUGGAUUGGACCAAAAGAGUUAACAUCAUCAAGAGCACAGCUUAUGCUUUGUCUUACUUGCAUUAUGAAUGCACACCAAUAAUAGUUCACAGAGACAUAUCAAGUAACAACAUUCUUUUAAACUCAGACUCGGAGGCUUUUGUCUCUGACUUUGGCACUGCUAGAAUCCUAGACCCUGAUUCUUCAAAUAUAACCAGGCUUGUUGGCACUUGUGGCUAUGUAGCUCCAGGUGAUGCUAUCUCUACUACUUCAUUUACUAAUUGUCUUAAGGAUUUAUUUUAUUUUAUUUUAUAUAUAUAAGAGGCCAUAGGCUCAGAUAAAAACAAGUGCUGCAGGUGCUAAAAUUCAAAUUUAGAUUUGUUGGAUAUCAAUUGUCUUAAUUCUUAAGUUAUUAUUCCACUUGUUUAAACUCUAUAGUUAAUUUCAAAUUAAAUUCAUCUUCAUUAUUAAAUUUCUGUCAUAUGAUUAAUGAUUGUUAGAUAUUCUACUUGUGCACAUUCCCACUUUCAUUCAAAAUAAAUGCAUUUUUUUUUUAGAUAUUUUAAUGUGCAUGGUUUGUUUAUGCAGAACUUGCCUAUACAAUGGUUGUAACAGAAAAAUGUGAUGUUUUUAGCUUUGGUGUUCUGGCAUUGGAAACAUUGAUGGGAAAACAUCCUGGAGAACUUUUAUCAAUGGUGUCAAAACCAUCAUCUUUGCAAAAUAUAAUGCUAUCCGAUGUAUUAGAUCCACGUCUCUCACCUCCAACAAGCCAGAUGGUCGCGCAGAAUAUUGUUCAUGUUGCUACAAUAGCAUUAGCAUGUGUCCAUACCGAUCCAAAAUUCCGGCCAACGAUGAAACAGGUCACCUGAGAGUUUCUUUCUUGUCAAAGAUCAUUAAGGAACCCCCUUCGAACAAUCUCUUUGCUGCAACUGGUGAACAGUGAGAUGUACAAGGAAGGUGCAUGACAAAUUCCGUCACAUUGUUGAUGUCUAGCAAGUCAUGUCUUGUUUCAAUAAACUGAUGAAUAAGAUGCAUUUCCGGUUUCAUCUUUUUAGUCCUUAAUUUUUUUCCUUUCAUAUUCAGCAAUUGAGAAAUUCUCCAAUUUGGUAAAAUGUGUUUUUUUUUUUUUUUGAUAAAUCUUUGCCGUGAAGCAAAAUUGGGGACACAUUAAGAAAAACAUACAUACAACAUUAAGUUAGAUCAAUAGUCCUAUGCCAUUAAUGUCACCUUUCUCCUCUACCAAAAUACUUGCUGGGACCGAGUAAAAUUCAGGAACCCUUUCUGCUUAAUAAAAAAAAUUCACCUGAACUGCCUAUAAUUCAAGAAACAAUCUGUCAACUUAUAAAAUGGAGGUAAGAUUACACAGACCCAGGCAGGAACUCGGAGUGAUAUUAAAGCAGGGCUAAUAAAAAGAGACAAAAUCCUGACAAAGAGAAGACAAUCACACAUUCUUUUUGAGCAAGGUAGCGAUAUAAUUUCCUGUCACCUUUAUCCCUCCCCAAAAACUCUCGCUCAAUAAGAGACACUACUCGUUUUUCAAUUACGACGGGGUUGGGCGGAAACCGUGACUGUAGCUGUUUUGUGACCUCAGCAACAAUGUUAUUAUGAUUCAUCACACUCCUCGCUUUCGUGAUCCCCACUAUUGCUGCCUCAAUCAGUGGUUUCCUAUCUUCUUCCACUCUCUGCCUAGUUUCUUGAUUUUCAGGCUCGGUCUCCCUUUGUGCAACCACAGUGCCUAUCUUGACCUUGAAGAAUUUGCUUGUAAACUUGUCAUUGAAAAGAAAGGUAUCAGUGUCAGCGAUAUCCUUGCUUAUAGGUUCCUUCCGCAGCACAUUUUUUCCCUUAUCACAGGCAAGUGACUGUGUCACGGGCUCCGACCUUAGACUCAGAAUCCGUGCAGCUUUAGGUUUGGAAUCUCCUCCUUUAUGCCUAAGUCAGCCUAAAACACAAGCGUGUGGGCACUAGAACAAUAGGAAGGGCUGAUUACGCAAGUUAAAGAGAAACAGGACAAUAAGACAGAAUUCUGAAAAUACUCUUGUAUUCACUGAAACAGAAGUGUUUGAUGGUGUACGAAUGAGGGUGGAGCAGCCCUCUAUUUAUAGUUGAGGCUCCAGCUACAACUUAAUGGCAUAUCCCUAGAAUAAAAGCUAAAAUCAUGGGAUUACAAUCAAUCAGGAUUCUAACUCCUGAUUUUCAGGGUCAACCAAAUCUGUCAGGAUGUUGCUGCUGAUCCUGCCUGCUUCCAGAAGCUUCCCUUGCAUGUCCAGCACCUUGGGCCCUUCUGGAUGUGGUGCGGGCAGCUUGUAUGCCAGGCCUUGGUCUCACGGGCUGGCCUGCAAGUCGGGCAGGUGUUCUGAGCUCGUUUGCUAGGCUUUGCGCACAGAUACCCGCCAGCAUGCCUGGUCUGCGGGCCUCAACCUCUGGCUCACCUGCUGGUCUGCCUGAUGUGCCUGACGCGCCCGUCCAGGGCGUGACAUGCUCCCCCACCUAAUUGUGUAAUGCCCUCGUUGCGUCUUCUGCAUGGUACUGCCUGAUCUAGUCCCCGAACUGCCAUAAGUCAUCUGCUGGUUCCCAGCUCGCCUCACUAUCUGGAAGUCUCUUCCAACGCACCAAGUACUCAUGUCUUGGUUGAUAGUUCUUCUGUCUCACCUCUCGGUCAGCUAUGAUGCUGUGGACCUCCUUCUCAUAUAAGGCCCUUGCUCCCAAUGGCGCACGUUUUGACUCUGCCCGUCCUGGAUCUCCCUCAUCCUCAUGGAACGGCUUGAGCAUGCUCACAUGGAACACCGGGUGUACUUUCAGCUUGGGUGGCAUAUCCAGCUUGUAGGCAACCUUGCCUACUCUCUUGACUACUCGAAAAGGUCCCUCAUACCUCCGGAUUAGGCCUUUGUGCAGCCCCCUGUGGCGCACAAUGGGAUGCAGCUUCACCAACACCAAGUCUCCAACCAAGAACUGCACGUCCCCACCUAUGCUAGUCUGCCCACUUCUUCGACCUCUUGGCCGCCUUGUGUAGACAAACUCUGGCCAAGUCAGUUUACUCCUGCCAUGCCUUGGCAAACUUGUAUGCUGCUAGAUUCGGCCCUGUAUAACCUGCAGCAAUCGAACCGGGUGUUAGUGGUUGUUGCCUUGUCAUAACCUCAAAUGGGCUCUGGUUCGUUGCCUCGCUCCUUUGCAAGUUGUAGAAAAACUGCGCAAUAUCUAGCAGUUUUGGCCAAUCCUUUUGUGUGGCACUCACAUAGUGCCUGAGGUAGACCUCCAAUAGUUCAUUCACUCGUUCUGUCUGCCCAUCGGUCUGCAGAUGCAUGCUGGUGAAAAAGUUCAAGUCUGACCCUAACAGCUUGAACAACUCAGUCCAGAAUCUGCCCGUGAACUGCUCGUCCCGAUCACUAACAAUGGUCCUCGGCACUCUCUAGUACUUAACCAUGUUCUUCAGGAACAAUCGAGCUGCCUCCUCGGCUGGGCACUCCUUGGUUGCUAGAAUGAAAAUUCCAUACUUGGAAAACCUGUCCACCACUACCAUGAUGCUUCCAAAGCCUUCUGUCUUAGGUAGACCGACUAUAAAGUCUAGAGAAACACUCUCCCAUGGUCGUUCUGGCACUGGCAAUAGCUCCAAGAGACCGCCUGGUUUCUUGAGCUCCAUCUUGUCCUGUUGGCACACAAGACAAGUCUUCACAUAGGCCUCCACAUCAUCCCUCAUGUGCGACCAGUAGUACCGGUCCUCGAUCAGCGCCAAGGUAUGGCUCACUCCGGGGUGUCCAGCCCACCUUGAAUCAUGACACUCUUGCAAAACUUCCUUGCGGAGCUUCCCGUGCUGCGGCACAAAGUCUACUGCCCCUGGUGUACAGCAACCAUCCUGCAACCAAAACCGCCUAGUCUUACCUUGCUGGGCGUACUCCAUCAAAGCCUUGGCUGUAGGAUCAUGCGCAAGUCCCUCCUUGAUGCGCGGCACCAGUGACCCCUCUGGUUGGCUAAUGGCAGCAAGGUUAGCCUUCCUGCUCAGGGCGUCUGCCACUAGGUUCGCCCGUCCUGGCUUGUACUCCAUCUGGAAAUCAAAUUCUGCAAGAAAAUCUUGCCAUCUCGCCUGCUUGGGGGACAGCUUCUUCUGCGUCUGGAAGUAGCUGGUCGCCACAUUGUCCGUCCUCACCACGAACCUCGACCCCAACAGGUAAUGGCCCAAGUGCGCAAGCAGUGCACCACUGUCGUCAUCUCCUUCUUUGGACCGUGUACUUGCGUUCAGUCUCGUUCAGCUUCUGCUCUCAAACGCGACUGGACGUCCCUCUGCAUCAACACGCCCCCUAUGGCAAAGUCUGAUGCAUCCGUAUGCACCUCAUACGGCUUGGCAUGGUCUGGCAAGGCCAAGACUGGCUCCUCGACAGCCCGCUUCAACCUGUCAAAGGCUUCCUGGCACCCUGCGCUCCACUCCCAUGCUCUCCCUUUCUUGAGCAAGUCAGUCAAUGGCGUGGCUAUUGCUGAGUGACCUUUGAUGAAGCGCCUGUAGUAGUUAACCAGCCCAAGGAACGAUCUCAACUCAGUGACCUUGGCUGGCGGUUGCCACUCCAGGAUGGCGUCUAUCUUGCCUUCAUCCAUGCGUAUCCUGCCACCUCCCACUAUGUGGCCAAGGAAUGGGAUCUCCUGCUGGGCGAAUGAGCACUUCUCCCUCUUGACAAACAGCUUGUGCGCCCGCAACACCUCGAACACCUGUCUCAAGUGGUCUACAUGCUCUCCCAAAGUCUGGCUGUAGAUCACAAUGUCAUCCAAAUAAACCACAACAAACCGAUCAAGGAAUGACUGAAGUACCUUGUUCAUAAGGGUGCAGAAUGUUGCUGGGGCAUUCGUGAGUCCGAAAGGCAUCACCAAGAACUCAUACGAACCAUACCGAGUGACACAUGCUGUCUUUGCUCAUCUCCCUCCGCGAUCCUGACUUGAUAGUAGCCUGACCUCAAAUCCAGCUUGGUGAACCACCUUGCGCUCCCAAGUUGAUCGAACAAGUCCGCAAUGAGUGGGAUGGGGUACUUGUUCUUGAUGGUCAGCUUGUUCAAAGCCCGGUAGUCUAUGCACAGCUGCAACGACCCAUCAUGCUUACGCUGGAAUAGAACCGGUGCACCAUAAGGUGCUUUCGGUGGCCGAUGAAGCCAGCAUCAACUAACUCUUUGAGCUGCUUCCUCAACUCCUCCAACUCUGGUGGAGACAUUCGGUAAGGGGUUCUGGCUGGUGGCUUGGCCUCGGACACCAGCUCGAUCUUGUGGUCCACCUUCCUUUUAGGUGGUAGCUUGCUAGGCAGCUUUGCGGGCAUCACAUCACUAAAGGUCUUCAGCACCUUUAGCACUCCAAGGGUGACUCGGUCUCCCUUCUCCUUGGCUCAUCAUAUUUCAGGGCUGCCAAGAAGGUGUCUUCUUGUCUGCUUACCGCUUGGCAAAUUGGAUGGCUGACACCUUCGACCCAACUCCAAACCCUCUCUUCAAUGGUACUAGGCAUUGGCACCGUGCAUCCAAGAUGCAAACACAAUCGGUAAAAGGCACAAAGAGGGCGUUAAUCCAAAACAAGGAAAUCCAACCCAAUCACAAACUCAUAGUCGUUAAGAGGUAUUACCUCAAAGGUCUCCUUGCCUUUCCAGUCUCCAAGCUGCAACUCCACUCCCCACGCUACUCCAAUGGCUGGAACUUCCUUGGAGUUCACUGUCUUAAUGGUACCAAUCACUUUCUGCACCUUUAGUCCGAGCUUCCGGGCUCCAUCACCUGAAAUAAAAAGAUGUGAGGCACCUGUGUCCACCAGUGCGCUCACCUUCUGACCUACAACCAUCAGAUCUACAAACAUCAAGCCCUUUGGCUUGCGGCUCCCUUUACUCUAGACAGCAUUGAGCACCAACGACCCAAGCUUUGCUGCCUCUGACUCUGGCUCCUCAUCAGACUCUUUGUCUACAGCAGCCAGCUUGCCCUUCUGCGGGCAAUUGCGUGCUAUGUGGCUCCCUCCAUAUAGGUAGCAUGCUAGUGGCUCUCGGUCCCCUUUUGCUUUCCACUUGCCUGCUGGUGGCUUCCUCUCGCCAUCUUUGGUUGAACGGUCUCGGUCCUUCUCCUUGAACUACUUCUUCCGGUCCCUAUCGUCCCUGCCCUUACCCUUGGACUUGGAAGACUCGAACUUGUUCAGAGGCUUGAACUCUAUCAAAGCCUCAGCAGUAGUCAUGGCUUUAGCCAAGUCAUGAACUCCUCUCCUUUGUAGCUUAUGCUUCACCCACGGCUUUAGCCCAUCCAUGAAAGCAAAGAAUGCGUCCUUCUCGCCUAGAUUCGAGAUCUGUAGUAUCAGUUCAAAAAAUUUAUAGACAUACUCCCUUAUGUCCCCUUGCUGGCUCAGCCUGCGCAACUUUGCCUGUGCCUCAUCAUCGACAUACUCCGAGUAAAAUUGUUCUCUGAACUCCUUUUGGAACUCUGCCCAGGUUCCAAUCUUGGCGUUCCCACGCCUGACAUCAUCACACCUGCGCCUCCACCACAAUAAGGCUACAUCAGUGAGAUACAUAGCAGCGGUGCUAACCUUUAUCGCCUCGUCUUGCAUGCCCAUGGCCUGGAAGUACUACUCCAUACCCCAAAGGUAGUUGUCUACUUCUUUGGCUGCCCUAGUCCCCUUGAACUCCUUAGGCUUGGGGACAUCCAAUCCGGAUUUGGACACUCCGGCAAACAUGCCAUUCCCAUUGGCAGUCUUACAAGUCACGAGCUCACUGGUAAGCUCCUCCAUCCGUUGGCGCAUGGCCUCCAUGCCAUCGCGCAAGGUCCGCACUUCAGCCUCCAAGGUCUGGUUCUUUUUAGUGAACACGUCCAAGCCUUUGUUGAGAGCAGCUUCUAGCUCACUUUGGAUCUCCUCCCCCAUGGAGUCUAGCGAUGCAAUGUGAGUCUCUACUUCCUCAAGCUUCUCCCUCAUGUCACCCACGGUCACCUCCACCUUGGCCAGCCUACCGUUCAUGGUAGACCAGAUAUCUCUAGAACUGGCUUUCUUACCUCUUUCCCGGUCAUGCUCCUGGGCCUCUGGUUGUCGGCUAGCAACGUCGCUUUGGGAUGCCAUCUCCUCAAUUACGAUCUAACCUACACAACACAAACACGCAGAAUCGAACUUGCUCUGAUACCAACUGUCACGGGCUCCGACCUUAGACUCAGAAUCCGUGCGGCCUUAGGCUUGGAAUCUCCUCCUUUAUGCCUAAGUCAGCCUAAAACACAAGCGUGCGGGCACUAGAACAACAGGAAGGGCUGAUUAUGCAAGUUAAAGAGAAACAGGACAAGAAGACAGAAUUCUGGAAAUGCUCUUGUAUUUAUUGAAACAGAAGUGUUUGAUGGUGUACGAAUGAGGGUGGAGCAGCCCUCUAUUUAUAGUUGAGGCUCCAGCUACAACUUAAUGGCAUAUCCCUAGAAUAAAGGUUAAAAUCAUGGGAUUACAAUCAAUCAAGAUGCUAACUCUUGAUUUUCAGGGUCAACCAAAUCUGUCAGGAUGCUGCUGCUGAUACUGCCUGCUUCCAGAAGCUUCCCUUGCGUGUCCAGCACCUUGGGCCCUUCUGGAUGUGGUGCGAGCAGCUUGUAUGCCAGGCCUUGGUCUCACGGGCUGGCCUGCAAGUCGGGCGGGCGUUCUGAGCUCGUUUGCUAGGCUUUGCGCACAGAUACCCGCCAGCACGCCUGGUCUGCGGGCCUCAACCUCUGGCUCGCCUGCUGGUCUACCUGAUGUGCCUCGCGCGCCCGCCCAAGGCGUGACAACUGCAAGCACCUCUUUAAGUCCGAGGCUGGUAUCCCUGUGGCCUGCUCGAUCUCCUUAUAGCUCAGUUGACCGGCAUUAUUGAAGAGCAUAAGGACACACAUCUGGUAUGUGGAAACAUUCAGUUCAUGCUUCUGACCCUUACCAAAUGUUGCCUUCAAAUCAACCGUGCCCAUCUUUGUUUGCCAAGAUAAUCUCCGCCCAGUAUUGGUCCCACGGUAAUAAUUACGGAAUUUCUCACUUUUGCCCAGAAUUUCAGCAGGAUGGUUGCAUGCAGUAAUGGGUUGAGCUGGACAGGAUCCAGUAGUGAGGCCAGGAAAGUGUGGGGCCAUCCCAUAUCUCUGAACCAUGACUUGGGUGGAAACCAGGCAUCGUAUCCUAUGAUGUCUUCAUGUCUGUGAACAUACCCUCCAAUUUCGAAGUAAAUUGAUACCCACACUCUGUUUCGAGCUUAACAAUCAAUCUUCUUUCCGCAUCAUCAGGGCUUCCCUGAAAGAAGCCUUUUGGCCAAGUAUUGCUUGUAAUACUUGUCAAAAACAUGUUUCUCUUGAAGGUAACGGAAGAGCAUCAUCACCUUGUCAAGUGCCAGCUCCAAAUCCUCUUCAGUAACUCCCCUCAAACCUUUUCGAAGCUUGUCAUCUACAAACAAAGAGAUGAACUCUGGAGACCUAGAAUUCAGAUUGGUGAAAUAUUCAAAAGAGGAAUUUAAUGCAUUUUCAAAAGUCUUGUCAUUGCUAAUUGCUGAAGUGAUAAUCUUGUCAUGUUUAUCCUUUAAAUCCAACAGAAGUUGCACAAAAUCCACAGGAUCCUUUAGCCUUUCUUGAUCGGUAACUAGCUGCUUACCUGUAUCAUGAAUGUAUGAAGUCAUGGCAUCUCUGAUUAAAACAAGCCCAUUGGGUACCCGACGAAACAAACAAUCCAUCCUUCCUAGGUCUUUAUAUUUGUCAUCAACAAUCAUAUUAACCAAGCCCGAGUUCUCCAUUUGCACAAGCCUGUGCAUAUGACUCAUCUCCUUUUCUACCACAUUUGUUAUUUUGAUUUCACUUCUGGUGUCCAAGCAAUGUGAGACAGCUAUCAAACUCAAGCUCUGUUUGCUAGGGUCAUCAGCCUUCAGCUUCUGGAUGUACAAGUCACACAAUACCAUUAAUGGCAACACAUUCCACACCAUUUUCAAAUUUCAAUUUCCAAGAAGGUAAUGCAAGUCUCGAUUUUAGAAACAUUUAUUUGAUGUGAUGAGAGAGAUGACUUGCCUUAACCAUGAGCUUGAGCUUCCUAGUAAUCAGGAUAAGGUUCAAGUGAAAAGUUUAAAAGCUAAGGGUUCACUAAAAGCGAAAAGGGAGAUGUUUAUAGGAAGGUGAAAGUUUUGGCAAUUCCAGCAAUUUCUCCUUGAAGGUUGAAGAAGCAUGUACAAUCAAGCAGCCCUACGAUGGGGAUUUAGAAGAUGAUGGCAGUCAUUAUGUUGGAAAGAUGAUAAAGAAUCAUGAGACCAUAAUCCGAAAAAGAAAAAGUGAAAAGCUAAAUUUGUUGACUCGAAACCUUCUUCGAGAAAAAACGUUUCCACCCCUACGGAGAGAAAAGGAUUCUGUCAAUCUGAAAUGAAGAAUUCAAGAAGUUAUUGUGAGUUUGGGGAGUUUAAGCAACUGGAGUCCUGGGAUAGAAGACAUUUUUUGUGACAGUAGGCAUGAUUGUGGGGUGGAAAAGCAUCUUGAGGUAAGGUUAUUUAUAGAUAUCAUAUGGAUAUAGAAAUAUUAGGCAUAGACAAUAUGGAAGAAGUAUGGGCAAAAGUGAAUAAAACUUUAAUUUCUCAAAAAGUAAAUGAAAAACCAUGAGGCGAAAUAAGGACGCCUAAACAAGAAAUAGGAGAUGUAAAUCUGCAAACCAUGAUGAUGGAAGAGACUUAUUUAACUCUUUUCAAAAGUGUGGUGGACUUUACGGAUGUCUAUUGUUUCCCUUUAUUUUAGAAAUUUUUUUUUAAAAAAUUGCAAUUGAGAUUGAUUUUGCCCUGUUAAGAAAUAAAAAUAUUGUUAUGCUUUCUUUGAUUCUUUUAAUUUUGCUUUAUUUCUAAAAUUUUUUGUCAAAGUAACAUUCUAGGAGAUCUCAAUGAUUAUAAAUAAGAUAAAACUACUUUUCAUCUUAAUUUUCAUAUUGUUUGUUUUCAAUUUUAACUAGAAUUGCAUUGCGUACUAAUUUUCAGUUACUCAUGUGACUAGCAAUAAAAGAAAAAAGAAUUAGAAUUAUACUACACUGUAUGUUGAAGUAUGAUCUUCUCUUUAUUGAUAGAAUUAUUUUUUCUCUUUAUAAUUUCCUGUACAAGCACUUAUAUUUCUUAAAAAUAUGCUUGAAGAUGACUUUUCACUUCAAUGGUUGGUACCUACAUAUGGAUUAGAUGGCAUCGAAUUCAUAUCGUUUGUAAAUAUAGAUAUCUUAUAAGCAGUACAUAUGGUUAGUUAGAACAAUUGUUAAAGAACUUAAGAUAGUUAAGGUGAGAGGUAAUUGAGUAUGGCUUCAUGUUUUAAGGUUUUAAUAUAGUUCUUCAUGCUCUUUGACUGUAAAUGAAUCUUUGAGUAGCUAAAAUCUAUUUUUUGACAUGCAAGUGAAAAGAAAUUUUGCUUUUCCAAUUGUUAAACUAUUUAUCAAAGUCUAUUAUGGCAAUUUAUUUAAUUAUAUGUGGAAUACAAAUUAAUGUUUUUGCUUCUAUUAUAUGAAAGAGUUUCUUUCCCACCCAUCUAAUGACCCAAUUCUAAUUGGGAUUAUCUUCAAUUUCUCUGUGUAAUUGAAAUGACUUCCUCAAUUUACAUGUUUUAGAUUGCAGAGAUUGUUGACUACAUACAUACAUAAUCAUAUAAUGAAUUUUAUUUUUUAAAAAAUAUUGAAACCAGUCUAUAUUAGUUGAUUUUUUUAAUAAGCUUCCCUCCAAAUUAUGUAGCAUUGCAAUAUGUCAUACAUUUCUUUUAUCAAAUGAUCACACAUGUUGCAAUUCGUUUCCAAAGAACAAGUUGUGAAUGCAAAAUUAAGGUACAUUCCUUUAUAACCUUAAUUGAUUGAUUAAUGAAUUAUUAUUGAUUGUUGAAAAGAUAAACUAUUUUAUUUUGUAUUGUUUAAGUUAUAUGGAUAUGAGAAGUAUCAUUAUUGUGAUAUUUCUUUACACCUUUUAUUUUGAUUUUAAAGGAUACUGUAGUAUAUGAUUCAUUUGAAGAAAAUCCUUAAAACCUUAAUUCUGUUGCAUUUGCAAAUGGCAUUGAUUCAAUGUACAGGUGCUGAAAUAUCGAUCAUGCUUUGGCAAGACUACAGGUGCUGAAAGAGUCAAUCUCUAGCAAUCAUGAGCAAAAGAGGCAUUCCUAGCAUUUGGUUAGUAUAUUACCCAUCAAAGAUGCAAUUGACAUGUGGUUUGCUAUUGAGUUACAUGUGCAUUGUUGAUCUUUUGAUUUAUGGAUAUGGUGAUGACAUUAUCAUCUUUUUGUCCUUUUUUCUUGAAUCAAACAAGCAAUCAUUGAUGCUGCUGAUUAAUAUGCCACAACCCCGACCCAUGAAAGAAAAAACUCACAAUUAUGUGAACUUUUACUUAUUAUUCUUAAAUGACAAUUUGUUAUUAUAUUUUAUUCUGUUUUUUAUAUUUUAAUUUUUUAAAUUAUUUAAAAAUAAUAAUAAAAUUAAAACUCGCAGCAUAAUUGGGAUCUCGUUCAAAUAAAUUUCACCUCACAAUCAAAAUACUCAACCAAUAGAAACAUAUAUAAAACAAAAUAACAUCAAAAAUUCUAAAAAUAGAAAAAAGGAAAUAAAAAAAAUCCCAACCUGUAAAGCUCUUCAAAACUAAGUCCGCUAGCAUUAUGAUUAUAAAUUUCAUGAAUCGCAUGUUCCAGAACCUUCUAUGACUUGUCUGCAUAUUUUGGAUCAACCGCCACCCUAUGCUUAAACGCUUCUAUUUGAAACGUUUUCUUCUUUGAGCAUUCAUUUUUUUUCUUUUUUGUCAAUUUUCUUUUCCAAAAUCUAAAAAUCAAGCUUCAAAAUCAAAAACUUACAGUGAGUUUGACCUGAUUAAUCAUUCUGGUUGUAUAACCCCUAGAGGCAAUAAGCAUUGUUAAUCAGUAAAGUUUAGUCACAAGUCCACUUUCAAGAAUUCAUAACAAUUUUAUUGUUCGAUUUGCUCCUUUUGCUGAAUGACUGACUGAUUGAUUGAUUGAUUGGGGCUUGUUCUAACAGGAACCAAAACAUAGAAUUGAAAAUCUAUGAACUUGUUGCUUGGUAUGGACAGAGUGAACACGAGCUGAUCACUUUUCUUGCUUUCUGAAGUCUAGAAAUAGGAAAAAAAAAAGUUAUAAAGUGUAGAAUAAUACGCACCAAAACACGGUCUAAUGAAUCUUGGUCUACGCCAUCAAGGCAAUAAUUCUCCAGUGUGGUACAAUCUAUUCUGUUUUCUAUUUGCAAAUAAGAAGUCAAUGAACGUAAUAGACAAGUAUUUCCUGUAAUUACUCCUGAUUAUGAUUAUAGCAAUGCUCGAAGAAAGUUAGAUUCAAAAUGCUUCCUUGAGUCUGCUCUUAAAUGCUUGAUUUGGAUAGUGGGGGUCAGUGCACCUCCCAGUUCUCACCACACUGGCCCCCAUCGAAAUGAAGCCUAAGAAAAUAUAGCAGUCAUUGUCAGAGGACUGAGUUUUUUUAUUCGCUUUGAAUCCAAGCGGCCAGGAUGCAUCCUGGAGCUACAUUUGCUGGAUAAUGUGCGUUAGAUAGAAUGGGUCUAUACGGUAAGAAGAUUCACAGAAAGUUUUGCAAAGAAGACAAAUUGAAGUAAAGACCACGGAAAAAGCUGAACAGUACAUGGAAAACAUGUUCCCUGAUCCCCUUCGAAAGGUAGAAGACCUUGACUUCGGAAAUAAACUUCUUUAAAUUCGUUAGUCUGGAAAUUAACAUUCAACAAAAAGGAACAAUUUCUCAUAUUUGAACUUUAACAUGGGCUCAUCCAAUUGUACAGCUUUCAUACUGAUAACGGUAUGGACUAUCGUCCUUUUUCCCUAUGUUGCAGCUGAAGUUGCCGCAACUUCGUUACUACAACUAGAGGCAGAUGCUCUAAUCGAGAGUGGUUGGUGGAGUAGCUACAGCAACGACACUUCGCAGCGUUGCAAGUGGACAGGUAUCUCAUGCAAUGACGUUGGUAGCGUCACCAAAAUUUACCCACCUUCCGAUGGCGCAGUUAAAUUUGAAAAUAUGAACUUCUCCUGCUUUCCGAACCUUGUUUUUCUCAGUCUUAGUGGUCAAGAAGUCUCCGGGAGCAUGAAUGACGAUGGGGUCGUUAUGUCCAAAAUAGGCCAUCUAUCAACAUUAGUGCACCUCGACUUGUCCAACAAUAGUUUAUUUGGUGAGUUAUCUCCUCAGCUUGGCAAUCUCUUCCAAUUAGAGUUUCUUGAUCUUUCAUAUAACAGAUAUAUUAAGGGUUCCCUCCCUUUGGAGCUAUGGAAUUUGAAGAAUCUCGCCAUUUUAAAUUUGACUGGGAACCAAAUUAAACAACUGUUUCCGCCAUCCUUUCUUCUUUUGAACAACAAUCUUACCCACCUGCGUAUGAGCUCAAAUCAAUUAAACCAUCCCAUUCCCCCAGAAUUAGGGAAUUUGGAGGUUUUAAUGACUCUAGACUUGAGUUGUUGUGGACUAAUUGGUCCAAUACCACCUUCUUUUGGUCGGCUAACCAAUAUUAUGUCCUUGUCUCUUUACGGAAACCAAAUCAAUGGAUCCAUCCCGGUAGAGAUUGGGAAGUUGAAGAAUUUGGUGACUCUAGAUCUGUCCGGCAAUAUGCUCGUCGGUUCAAUCCCUUCUCUUGGUCAGUUAACCAAUUUAGUGACCCUGAAUUUGUCUAAUAACAUGCUGGAUGGCUCCGUUUCUUCCUCUCUUGGUUCAUUAACCAAUUUGGUCACCAUCAAUCUAUCAAACAACAAGCUUGUUGGUCCAUUAUUCAAUUUGAAUCAUUUGACAAAAGUGAAAUAUCUUAGCCUUGCCACAAAUCUAAUCAAUGGUUCCAUACCUUCAGAAAUAAAAAACCUUGAGAAUCUGAUUUAUUUGUGUUUGUCUGAAAACAACCUCACUGGGCCAAUCCCCGCCACUGUUGGUUUUUUACACAAGCUGGAAGAAUUGCUUCUUAGCUUCAACAGAAUCGACGGGUCUAUGCCUUCAAAAAUUGGAGAUUUGCAGACUUUGCGUGUUUUGUCCCUUAAUUCAAAUCUUUUAGAAGGUGCAAUACCGGAGGAAAUUGGGAACUUGAAAGCAUUGACUUUGUUGAACUUGUCUCGAAACCAGUUGAGUGGAUUCAUUCCGCCCCAAAUUGGAAAAUUGCAUGCACUGACAUCAUUGGACCUCUCAGGAAACCAGUUGAGUGGAUCCAUUCCGCCCCAAAUUGGUAAUUGCCUGGAUUUAGAAGAGUUAAAGCUACGCAGCAACAGUUUACGAGGUCCCAUUCCUGAUCAAAUUGGAAGCCUUUUUCUAUGUCGAGUAGAUCUCUCAGGAGUUCCCUAUAGUCUUCGUUGGUUAACAAAUUUUAAUUACUUGAACUCUAACUGUUACGAAAUUGAUGCCAAUGCAUUUGGUGGCAACCAAACUUUAGCACCCUACUCAUGUUCUCCACCACCCCAUUCUUCAAUGAAUUACAUUCUCCUCCAAACAUUUCUUCCUUUUUCCUUAUUCUUUGCCGUUUAUUAUUUUGGGUGUUCAUUAUUGUUGAGGUAUAAGGCCAAGGUCAACCCAAUUACAGUGCAAACACCUAGGAAUGGAGAUCUGUUCUCGAUAUGGAACUAUGAUGGAAAGUUAGCAUAUGAAGACAUCAUAGCAGCAACAAGUGAUUUUGACAUCCGAUACUGCAUUGGAACUGGUGGUUAUGGAAGUGUUUACAGAGCACAGUUACCUAGUGGCAAAGUGGUGGCCUUAAAGAAGCUUCAUCGUCUUGAAGCAGAAGAACCGGCUUUCGAUAGGAGUUUCAAAAAUGAGAUAAAAUUUUUGACAGAAAUUCGACAUCGGAAUAUUGUGAAGCUACAUGGUUAUUGUCUACACAAGCGAUGCAUGUUUUUGAUUUACCAAUACAUGGAAAGAGGAAGCUUGUUUUGCGUCUUAAGUGAUGAUGGUGAAGCUGUGGAAUUGGGUUGGACCAAAAGAGUUAACAUCAUCAAGAGCACAGCUUAUGCUUUGUCUUACUUGCAUUAUGAAUGCACACCAACAAUAGUCCACAGAGACAUAUCAAGUAACAACAUUCUUUUAAACUCAGACUGGGAGGCUUUUGUCUCUGACUUUGGCACUGCUAGAAUCCUAGACCCUGAUUCUUCAAAUAUAACCAGGCUUGUUGGCACUUGUGGCUACGUAGCUCCAGGUGAUGCUAUCUCUACUACUUCAUUUACUAAUUUUCUUAACGUUUUUUUUUUUUAAUUAUUAUUUUAUAUAUAUCAGAGGCCGUAGGCUCGGAUGAAAACAAGUGUUGCACGUGCUAAAAUUCAAAUUUAGAUUUGUUGGAUAUCAAUUGUCUAAAUUCUUAAGUUAUUGUCCCACUUGUUUAAACUCUAUAGCUAAUUUCAAAUUAAAUUCAUCUUCAUUAUUAAAUUUGCUUGUGCACAUUCCCACAUUCAUUCAAACUAAAUGUAUUUUUUUUAGAUAUUUUAAUGUGCAUUGUUUGUUUAUGCAGAACUUGCCUACACAAUGGUUGUAACAGAAAAAUGUGAUGUUUUUAGCUUUGGAGUUCUGGCAUUGGAAACAUUGAUGGGAAAACAUCCUGGGGAACUUUUAUCAAUGGUGUCAAAACCAUCAUCUUUGCAAAAUAUAAUGCUAUCCGAUAUAUUAGAUCCACGUCUCUCACCACCAACAAGCCAGAUGGUCGCGCAGAAUAUUGUUCAUGUUGCUACAAUAGCAUUAGAAUGUGUACAUACCGAUCCAAAAUUCCGGCCAACGAUGAAACAGGUCACCCAAGGGUUUCUUUCUUGUCAAAGAUCAUUCAGGAACCCCAUCCGAACAAUCUCUUUGCUGCAACUGGUGAACAGUGAGAUGUACAAGGAAAGUGCAUGACAAAUUCGGGCACAUUGUUGAUGUCGGCACAUUGUUGAUGCAUUUCCGGUUUCAUCUUUUUAGUCCUUACUUUUUUUCCCUUUCAUAUUCAGCAAUUGAGAAAUUCUCCAAUUUAGUAAAAUGUGUUUUUUUUUUUUUUUGAUAAAUCUUUGCCGCGAAGCAAAAAUGGGGACACAUUAAAAAAAAACAUAUAUACAAGCAUACAAAGUUAGAUCAAUAGUCCUAUGCCAUUAAUGUCACCUUUCUCCUCUACUAAAAAACUUGCUCGGACUGAGUAACAUUCAAGAACCCUUUCUGCUUAAUAAAAAAAUUUCACCUUAACUGCCUAUAAUUCAAGAAACAAUUUAUCAACUUAUAAAAUGGAGGUAAGACUACACAGACCCAGGCAAGAACUCGGAGUGAUAUUAAAGCAGGACUAAUAAAAGGUUACAAAACCCUGACAAAGAUAAGACAAUCACACAUUCUUCUUCAGCAAGGUAGCAAUACAAUUUCCUGUCACCUUUAUCCCUAUCCAAAAACUCUCGCUCAAUGAAAGACUAUUUGUUUUUUAAUUACAACAGGGUUGGGCAAAAACUGAUUUUAGCUGUUUUGUGACCUCUGCAACAAUGUUAUUAUGAUUCAUCACACGCCUCGCUUUCAUGAUCAUCACUAUUGCUGCCUCAAUCUGUGGUUUCCUAUCUUCUUCCACUCGCUGCCUAGCUUCUUGAUUUUCGGUCUCAGACUCCCUUUGUGCAACCACAGUACCUAUCUUGACCUUGAUGAAUUUGCUUGUAAACUUUUCAUUGAAAAGAAAGGUAUCAGUGUUAAUAUGUCCUUGCUCAUAGGUUCCUUCCACAGCACACAUUUUCGCUUAACAUAUGCAAGCACCUCUUUAAGUCUGAGGCUGGUAUCCCUGUGGCCUGCUCGAUCUCCUUAUAGCUCAGUCGAUCAGCAUUAUUGAAGAGCAUAAGAACACAUAUCUGGUAUGUGGAAACAUUCAGUUCAUGCUUCUGGCCCUUACCAAAGGUUGCCUUCAAAUCAGCCGUCCCCAUGUUUGUUUGCCAAGACAAUCUCAGCCCAGUAUGGGGUCCCAAUCUAAUAAUUACGGAAUUUCUCACUUAUGCCCAGAAUUUCAGCAGGAAGGUUGCAUGUAGUAAUGGGUUGAGUUGGCCAAGAUCCAAUAGUGAGGAACUGUUCAGAAAGUGUGGGGCCAUCCCCUAUAUCUGAACUAUGACUUGCGUGGAAACCUUGCAUCGUAUUCUGAGAUGUCUUCAUGUCUGUGAACAUAUCCUCCAAUUUCGAAGUAAAUUGAUAGCCACAUUCUGUUUUGAGCUUAACAAUCAAUCUUCUUUCCGCAUCAUCAGAGAUGGUCUUCCCUGAAAGAAGCCUUUUGGCCAAGUGUUGCUUGUAAUACUUCUCAAAAACAUCUUUCUCUUGAAGGUAACGGAAGAGCAUCAUCACCUUGUCAAGUGCCAGCUCCACAUCCUCUUCAAUAACACCCCUCAAACCUUUUCAAAGCUUGCCAUCUACAAACAAAGAGAUGAAUUCUGGAGACCCAGAAUUCAGAUUGGUGAAAUAUUCAAAAGAGGAAUUUAAUGCAUUUUGAAAAGUCUUGUCAUUGCUAAAUGCUGAAGUUAUAAUCUUGUCAUGUUUAUCAUUUAAAUCCAACAGAAGUUGCACAAAAUCCACAGGAUCCUUUAGCCUUUCUGGAUAGGAAACUAGUUGCUUACCAGUAUCUGUUAGUGGUUGAAGCAUGCUAGUACUGAAGCAUAUUAGUGUGUUAGUGGUUGAAGCAAGUUAGUAUGGCAUUUCUGCUGAAACUUUCUGGCAGCAAAUUAGUUUAGGUAAAAUGAUGGGUCUGUGCAUGGUGACCCAUGCUGUUAGGCCAACAACUUUUGUAUUUUUGAAGCCUAUAAAUUAAUGAAAUGAAGCUCAUGAUCAAAUGAGCCAAUUUAUUUCAAGUGACAGAUUAGUUUCUGCUGUCUUUGUUUGUUCUUCCUCCGCUCUAAAUCCUUCAAUUGCUAUCGGAGCAUUCUUUAAGUUCUUAGAGGAUCUGUGAGUUCCAAAAAUUGAGUGAAAAGCCAUCAAACACUUUCCAGCCAGCCUUUGUCAACCUUAAAUGGCCUUAAGCAAUUGCUCCUUACCUCCACCUCCUAUUUUUUCUGGUGAAAACUACCAGAUAUGGGCUGUCAAAAUGAAGACUUAUUUGAGUGCUUUUGAUUUGUGGGAAGUGGUGGAAAAUGAGAAGGAACCACCACAACUUCCUGCAAAUCCAACAGUAACUCAAAUGAAAAAUUAUAGUGAAAAAAAGGCAAAGAGGUACAAGGCUAAAAGCUGUAUUGAGUCUUCAGUUUCUGAUGACAUAUUCAUUAGAAUCAUGACUUGUGAAACUACAAAACAAGCUUGGGAUGUGCUCAAGGAAGAGUUUCAAGGCAGUGACAAGACAAGACAAAUGCAAGUGUUGAAUCUUAGAAGAGAGUUUGAAGUCUUAAAGAUGAAGGAGUCUGAAAAUUUAAAGGAGUACAAUGACAGACUCAUGAAGAUAGUAAACAAGAUUAGAUUACUUGGUGAGUAGCUGUCAGACAAAAGAAUUGUAGAGAAGGUUCUUGUCAGCUUACCAGAGAGGUUUGAGUCAAAAAUCUCAUCCCUUGAAGACUCUAAGGACCUGACCAAGAUAACUCCAGCAGAAUUGUUCAAUGCUCUACAAGCUCAAGAGCAAAGAAGGGCUAUCAGACAAGAGGAUUCAACAGAAGGUGCUUUUAUAGCCAAGGAGAAAGGCAAGAUGCAAACAGAAAGCAAAGGCAGAAAACAAGGAGACCAAAGAAACCAAGGUUCUAGAAACAGUGAAAAGAAAGGAAAAUUUCCACCAUGCUCUCACUGCAAAAAGACUACUCACUUGGAGAAAUAUUGCUGGUACAAACCUAACAUACAAUGUAGGUACUGUAAGCAGCUUGGUCACAUGGAGAAGGUAUGUAAAAGCAAAAAACAGCAGCAGCCAGAUCAACAAGCCAGAGUUGCUGACAAUCAACAACAGCUAGAAGAGCAAGUUUUUGUUGCAACUUGCUAUGGAACCAGAACCUCCUCCAGUGCAUGGCUCAUUGACAGUGGUUGCACACACCAUAUGGCAUCUGAUAUCAAUAUAUUCAAAGAACUAGACAAGACCUGCACCUCUAAAGUCAGAAUAGGUAAUGGUGAUUUCAUAGAAGUCAAAGGAAAAGGAGUAGUGGCAGUUGAGACACCAACAGGUACCAAACUCAUUUCAGAUGUGUUAUUUGUGUCCAAAAUAGAUCAAAACCUGUUAAGUGUAGGACAUUUGCUAGAAAAUAACUACUCUUUAGUCUUCAAAGACAAGGCAUGCAUAAUUUAUGAUCCCACUGGCCAUGAACUCUUUACUGUUAAUAUAAAAGGAAAAUGUUUUUCCUUGAAUUGGCAUGAAGCAAACUCCUCUGCAUAUGCUACUUCACAUGAUGAAUCUUCUUUAUGGCAUAAAAGGAUGGGACAUUUCAACUACAAUGCAUUAAAUUUCAUGCAUAAAAAUGAUCUUGUAUUAAACAUGCCUACUGUUGAAGUCAGUGUUGGAGUGUGAAGUCUGUCAACUAGGAAAACAAAGUAAGUUGCCAUUUGCAAUUAACAAAGCAUGGAGGGCAACUGAAAGAUUACAACUUGUUCAUACUGAUGUUUGUGAUCCUAUGAGAACCUUGUCCUUGAAUGGCAGUAGAUAUUUCAUUGCUUUUAUAGAUGACUUUACUAGAAUGUGUUGGAUUUACUUCAUGAAACAAAAGUCUGAAGUUGCAAAUGUAUUUUGGAAGUUCAAGGCUUGGAUUGAGAAUCAAAGUGGUUGCAAAAUCAAGAUCAUAAGGUCAGACAAUGGUACUGAAUACACAUCUGACAGAUUUAAUGAGUUUUGUGAAGUUUCAGGAAUUGAACACCAACUGACAGCAACUUACACUCCACAACAAAAUGGAGUCAGUGAAAGGAAGAAUAGAACAAUCAUGGAGAUGGCAAGAUGCAUGCUGUUUGAGAAGAAUCUUCCAAAGAAAUUCUGGGCAGAGGCAGUCAAUACCUCUGUCUACUUGCUCAACAGGCUGCCCACAAAAGCUUUGAAGGGAAACACUCCUUUUGAAGCCUGGAAUGGAAGCAAACCAUCAGUGCACCACCUCAGAAUUUUUGGCAACAUCUGUUAUGUGUUUGUUCCUGAUAUCAAAAAGGACAAGCUUGAUCAAAAAGCAGAAAUAUGUAUUUUUUUGGGCUAUAGCAACAUCACCAAAGGCUAUAGGACUUACAAUCCACUUACAGGCAAGAUGAUUGUAAGUAGGAAUGUGAGAUUUAAUGAGCAAGCUGCUCGGAAUUGGGAAAAAUCAAAGGGAGAAUCAGUCAAGCAAAUUGCUGCAGACAUGAUAAGCUUCCAAGAUCAAGAAGAUUAUAUGUUUGAAAAUGAAAUCAUUGAUCAUGAACUAGUGAGAGGAAUCAGACCACUCACAGAUAUUUAUCAAAGAUCAAAUGUUGCCAUUCUUGAACCUGCAAGCUUUGAAGAAGCUGUCAAAUUUUCAGAGUGGAGAAAUGCCAUGAAGGAGGAGAUUCAAAUGAUUGAGAAAAAUCAAACAUGGAUGCUGGUUGACAGACCAAGUAACAAAAACAUCAUUGGUGUCAAAUGGAUUUUCAGAACAAAGUUGAAUGCUGAUGGUUCCAUCAACAAACUUAAAGCUAGAUUGGUAGCUAAAGGCUACUCCCAACAGCUUGGUGUUGAUUUUUCAGAGACAUUUGCUCCAGUUGCAAGGUUGGACACUAUAAGGCUGUUAUUAGCCUUAGCAACUCAAUAAAGUUGGAAAAUAUACCAACUUGAUGUCAAAUCUGCCUUCUUGAAUGGUUAUCUUGAGGAGGAGAUCUACAUUGAACAACCUGAUGGUUUUGUUACCAAGGGACAUGAAGGCAAAGUCUAUUCUACUCAAGAAGGCUUUGUAUGGAUUAAACAAGCUCCCAGAGUGUGGAAUUCCAGAAUUGAUGAUCAUUUACUGAAGUUAGGAUUCAAGAAAAGCCUCAGUGAAGCAACAUUGUACAUUAAAGUUUUUAACAGUAAUGAUCUGUUGAUUGUUUCUUUGUAUGUUGAUGAUCUUCUAGUGACAGGUAGCAAAUCAGCUCUUGUGGAAGAUUUUAAGCUCCAAAUGCAGGAAAUUUUUGAGAUGACAGACAUGGGAGAAAUGUCUUAUUUUCUUGGAAUGGAGAUUCAUCAAGACCAGCAAGGAAUCUUCAUUUGUCAAAGAAAAUAUGCAAAUGAAAUCCUGAAUAAGUUUGGGAUGGAAAAUUGCAAACCAGUCAACACUCCUUUGGCUCAAAAUGAGAAACUUGUUAAGGAAGAUGGAGCUAACAAAGUUGAUGGCUCUAUUUAUAGAAGCUUGGUUGGUUGCUUAUUGUAUUUGACAGCAACCAGGCCAGACAUCAUGUAUGCUGCAAAUUUACUCUCUAGGUUCAUGCAAAAUCCUAGUGAGUUGCAUUUUAAGGCUGCAAAAAGAGUGUUGAGAUAUGUCAAAGGAACCAAUGAACUUGGAAUUUGGUUCAAGAAGAAUGACAGUUCAAGAUUGGUAGGAUUCACAGACAGUGACUGGGCUGGCUCUCAUAAAGACAUGAAAAGCACUUCAGGCUAUGUGUUUUUCAUUGGAUUAAAUGUGUUCAGCUGGAAUUCAAAGAAACAAGGAACAGUGGCUCAAUCAACAGCAGAAGCAGAGUAUAUAGCUGUUGCAGCUGCUGUUAAUCAAGCAAUUUGGCUAAGAAAAUUCUGUUGGAUUUGAGUCAAAAGCAAGAUGAUCCAACAGAAAUUUUUUGUGAUAAUCAGUCAGCAGUUGCAAUGGUCAAGAACCCUGUGUUUCAUGGAAGAACUAAGCAUAUUAAGAUCAAGUAUCACUUUAUUAGAGAAGUUGAAGCUGAGAAUGAAGUGAAACUGGUGCAUUGCAAGUCAGAAGAUCAGAUUGCAGAUAUUCUGACCAAAGCCUUACCAAAGGCAAGGUUUGAAACAUUAAGGAAAAGUCUUGGUGUUUCCAGCAGAAAUACCAAGGAGGAGUGUUAGUGGUUGAAGCAUGCUAGUACUGAAGCAUGUUAGUGUGUUAGUGGUUGAAGCAAGUUAGUAUGGCAUUUCUGCUGAAACUUUCUGGCAGCAGAUUAGUUUAGGUAAAAUGAUGGGUCUGUGCAUGGUGACCCAUGCUGUUAGGCCAACAACUUUUGUAUUUUUGAAGCCUAUAAAUUAAUGAAAUGAAGCUCAUGAUCAAAUGAGCCAAUUUAUUUCAAGUGACAGAUUAGUUUCUGCUGUCUUUGUUUGUUCUUCCUCUGCUCUAAAUCCUUCAGUAUCAUGAAUGUAUGAAGUCAUGGCAUCUCUGAUUAAAACAAGCCCAUUGGGUACCCGACGAAACAAGCAAAACGUCCUUCCUAGGUCCUUAUAUUUGUCAUCAACAAUCAUAUUAACCUUUAUGUGGCCCUUUCUGAAGAAACAGUCGUGGCAUCUGCAUCAGCCAGUUACUUGGCCAUCCUCACAACAACUUAGACAACUCUCAAACUCAAACUCUGUUUGCUAGGGUCAUCAGCCUUCAUCUUCGGGAUGUUUAAAUCACAGAAUACCAUUAAUGGCAACACUUUCGACACCAUUUUCAAAUUUCAAUAUCCAAGAAGGUAAUGCCAAGUUCAAAAUCAGAACCCAACUGCUUAUCGUGCCACCGAUAAUUCAUUACUCCAAUUAGUACCCACAAAAAAUUCAUAUUUUUGCUUCCUUAUUUACAGAUGUUGCUGGCAUUUGAACACUAGUGCCUUAAUUCUAUAGACAAUGGAGUAAGAAACUUAAGAAAUUCAGUGUCUUGGCAACUCAUCAUCGCCUAAUAAGUAGAUUACUCAACUCACCUUCCUCAAGAGUUACUUUUAAAUUCUCAAUUGUUCAAGAAUAUUAUUACCGGAAAAUUCUCAAAAAAUUAAACUAAUAUUUAGAUAAAUUUCAACUCACAACCAAAACACUUAACCAAUAGGCACAUAAUGAAAACAAAAUCACAUCAAAAAUUCUAAAAAAAAAAAAAGGAAAGAAACAAAAAUCCUAACCUGUCAAGCUCUUCAAAGCUAAGUCCACUAGCAUUGUGAUUAUAAAUUUCAUGAAUAGCAUGCUCCAGAACCUUCCAUGACUUCUCUGCAUAUUUUGGAUCAACUACCACCCUAUGCUUAAACGCUUCUAUUUGAAACGCUUUUUUCUUCUAAGCAUUCUUUUUUUUUUUCCUUGCUUUUUGUCAAUUUUCUUUACCAAAAUAAAAACCCACCUUGAAACGACCUGAUUAACCUUUGAAACCCGGAAUUUGAUAUGAAAGUUUGAUAUUGAGUUUCAGUUCUUCUCUUUAACUCUUUUCUUUGUUCUUUAUUUCCACUUUAUGGAGUUUUUAAAUUACCUUUUGCAUAAUUGCUUCUUUUACCCAAAAAAUAAUAAUAAUAAAAUAAAAAGAAAUACGAAGGAAAACUUUUGUAAGUUACUAAGUCAUUAUUUAUAUUUUAACACUAUAAACUUUAAUCAAUGAAAUUCAUUGAAUUUGUAAGAAUUGAGUAUUUGAUUUAUUAGAUUUAAGUUUGAUUCAAUAAUUUUUUUGAUAAACAAUUUAUAAAUUAAAUAUAAAUCACUUGUGAGGCAUGCAAAACUCUUCUUUUUUCUCCCAAAAUAUCCAUUUUUCGACCUUCACAUUCAAAGUGAUUCAUGAAUCUUUUCCUCCUUUCUGUUUUGAAGAAACUUUUACUUUAAUUGAAAGUAUUAAUCAAUAAAUAUAUUUAAUAUAGGUCAAUGUAAAAAAUUUUUAUUAGAAUUACUAAAAUAUUCAGAAUUGAACACAUAAGAAACUUGAUUCCUUGCUCAAUAUAAUUGCAUGAAAUCAUGUUGUCAAAGAUUCAUAUCCUUUCAAAAAUUAAUUCAAGGUUUGUUGCAUUUGCAAGAAUGCAUCAACCGAACAAAAUGACAAAGGAAGUCCCCCACUCAUUCUUCCAAAAGUCCAUUUUAUUUUGCUUUUGCAUAAUCACCACAACAUUUGUCAGAAUCCAGACAAGCGUUACAUAACCAUCCAAUGACACAAAAAACCAUGACAUAACACGUAACUGCUCUCACUUUCCUGGCUACAAAGCCCCAAACUAGAAAAACAAGACAAAACAUAUAUCAACUUCAGGUUCAAAUUUUUCUGACAAUUUCAGCUCAAGUAUCUUGAUUUGUUUUCAAUGGAGUACCAGGAUGUUUAUGAUGUGGAGUUGAAACCUAGGAUACUAGCGUACUUGAUGAAUGACCAAAUUCCUAAUGAGACUGACCCUUCACUUCAACACUGUGAUUUGCAGAGAAUUGUGAAUGCCAUCAGGAAUCUUGGGUUGCUUUCUGAAUCAUUCCCUGAAGAAGCUAAUAACUCUAGGAUUGUUGAAGAUUGGGCUAUUGCUGUUGAUUCUUGGGUUGAUCGAGUACUCUCCCUCGUGUCUAGUCCAAGGGUCAGUGUUAUUUUUAGUUACAAAACUAUCAUAAAUUGCUCUUCUUCUCAAUGACUCUAUGCUUUUUCUUUUCGUUUGACCUUAUUUGAAUAUCAUCAUGCUAAACUUAAUUCAAGAAAUUUUGGUUUUACAUUGACAAAAGUUUUAUCAAGUUGUUCUAUGAAUUACUGUUUCUUAUUGGAUUAUAUAAUUCUUCCACAGUCACGCAAAUGUUGGACAGGCAUAUGUUUACUGGGGGUGACCUGUCAAGAAUGCAGCUCCGACCGUUUACUAGCAGAGUACCCUCUUUGGUUCGAUAAACUCAAAUCAAAUAUCCAGGCAUGAGCUCUUUUUCUUACACUUCUCUACCAUUUCCAAGAACUAUAUAUAUGAGCUUUACUGUUUGGAAAGUCAUAGAGUGGAUUAUCUUGCAUCGUCUCAUCUUACUGUGAAUUUCAGGACGUGAUCUUAACUUUGCUGCUAAAUUUGUUAUUUCUGGAGCUAGUAAUGAAAUUACUGUCAGGAAAAAUUCUUAAUAGUUUUUGUGAUUGUGUUUUGGCAUGGUUCUUGAUUUUCUAACAUGGCAUGUGGUUUCUUGUGAUUUUUGCAGCCAGCAUCAGAUUAUAUUUCUGUUAAGGUGGCCACUUUUGCCUCCUUGUCGAAUCUGUUGAAAAGGUUUUCAUCACUCUUUUCUUCCCAUUGAAAAUUUCUUGUUUAUUGUACUAUUGUAUAUAAACUCUAUAACUAUACUUUCGAAUGUAAAUCGCUUUUCCUACUUCAGGCUGGGUAGAUAUUCGGACGUUAAGAAAGAUGCUACAGCGCAAGCUGGGAAGCUCAUUCAACCUGUUUUGGAGCUUUUAUUAGAUAAUGAAUUUUCAGAGGUGGUACUGGUAAGCUGUAAUUGCUUUUGCUUUCAUCACUACAAUGUUAUUUUAGCUAGCCCCUUGGAACCGCUUUAUUUGAAUUUGAACUCAGUCAAUAGGGAAAGCUUCAUCAAAGGCUUUAGUACUGUCAAAUGCACCGUUUCCAUCUGAUAGUCUGCAUCUACUCUGCAUUUGCACUGUUGCAGUUCAAUGGUGUUGGGAAUUGUCAGCAGGACAUUUCGUGUGGGAAUAAAGGAGAUUGGAUAUCCAAACAAAAAGUUGAAUGUUCUAAAGUCCUUUUCUUUUUUUUUUUUGCAUAUGGGUUAUUCUAUCUGGUGCAUGGUGAAGGUAGAAUUAUAUCUGUAAUAACAGUAGACUGCAACCUUGCCAUAAAUUAGCCUUUUCUAGCUUGUGUCCUAGUGAUAACGAUAGGGCUUCACUUACCUAGUUACUUCAACAUGUAUUUCUUUCUUGCUACCUGGUAUAGAAUACUACUAGGGAUAAAGGCAUUGCUGAGUUCCAUCAUCAUUUCGGAGUUUUGUUUGUACAGGAAGGAGCACUUGCAGUGCUAUGUACCAUAAUAGAUUUCUUUCCAGCAUCUUUUCUCCCUCAUUAUGAAAAGGUGAGCUAAGUUUACAUGUUUCCUUGUCUGUUCAAAUUGCUUCAACAAAAUUGUUCUUUAAGCUUGACAAUAAUGUAAUAGACUCUAUCGUUGUAGAAAAAGAUAAUUGAUGGGCUCCAGAGUCAGAAUAUGUAAUGAAGAUUCAUAACUGUGAAUUUGUGCUAUCUCUUGCUAGCUGUAAUGAAUACCUUAUGAUUAUGGAAUCCAAAAAAUAGAAAACAGAUUAAAGAAAUGUUUGACACAAGCAGUCUUUUAUGUUUCUUUCCAGUAUAUAUAUGAUAAGAUCAGUUAAUCUGUGAUCAAUGAUUGUCAUGAGUGAAUCUUAAUUUUUCUGAAUUGACUAUAUCAAGUCUAGAUAUAAAAAUUAAAAAAAAAAUCAUAGUUGGCUGUCUAAUGUGUAAAUGACUGUUAAGUAUCGUUUACAGGCUGAAGCUAUCAUUGUUUCAAAAAUUAUUUCAGGCCGGUGCAGUUCUAGUAUGAUGGAGGUGAAUGUAGUCUUUACUUCUUUUCUUCCUCCCCUACCCUUUUCCCCCACUUUCCAUUUUCCUACAUAGCAGUUUCAGAUGCGCCACGAAAUAACAACUGCAUGAAUAUGUGUAAAAUCUAUUUCAUUUGAUAUAUCAUUCUGUAUUUUGUUGCUUUUCAAUGUAUAGAGCUAUGCUUAUUUCUUAGCAUCCCUUCCAAAAUCAAGAGGUGACAAGGAUAGCUGGUUUGUUAUGAUGCAAGAUUUACUAACAUCAAUAGAAAUUCACUUGAAUGAUGUCUUCACAGGUCCGGAACAAGGUAAGUAACAAAAUCAUCUUGUUCUAGCUACUGCUGUCUUUAAAGUGAUCCGACUCCUUUGCAUAUCACGCAGAACAUAACCGUAGCAAAUUUAGUUGCUAAAUUACUGUUUAUUCCAGGGAUAGAUCCAUUAGCUCCAGAAAGAGCACCUUAUCUAGAAGCAAGAAAGUCCAAGCAAUUGUUGACAUGCAUAAUCCCAACACUAAUGCUUUGCUGCAGCACAAUGCUGACAAAUUCUUAUCCUGUUGAGGUAGUCUAACAUGAUAGAAUAAAAGCUAUUAAUUUAUUCUAGAAAUUUUUAAAAAAUGACAACAUUUUUCGGCUCUUGUUUGAUCACAUUUCUAAUUUAAUAGGUCAAUCUGAAAAGAAAAUUUCUCAUUUAAUGUUAAAUAGGUGACCGUUCCUGUUCAUCAAUUAUUAACUGUUGUAAAGAGAGUUCUGAUGCUGCCUGGCUCCUUCCCCCAAGCUUCAUUGCGAUCGAUAGCAAUCAUGCAGGAAGCAUUUGUUUGCACUGAGCUUCCGGUUUUGCAAUCAUAUGGUUUAGAUCUCCUAGCUGCAAUCAUAAAAGGAACAUCCAGGUGAAGGAAUUGAAACCUGUAUACAAUCCAAUUAGCCAAUUAUUUUGUUUUCUACAUUUUAACAAAGGCCAUGGGAUGAACUCAAGGAAGCUAUAUAACCAUAUAUCACAUCAGUACUUUUAACUUUAUACUUGAAUUUUGGGAGGGAAGAGGAGAUUUCAUCCAUUUUAUUUUAUAGUUGAUCGAUAUUCUUAUAGUUGUUGAUAACAUUUUGCUUCUAUGAUAAUGUUGCAGCCAACUGUUGCCCCAUACUGGACAUAUUAUCCGACUCCUUAAAGAUUGCUUCCAAAAAUGUGCAUUGCCAGUGCUAAGGACAAAACUUUAUUUGAUCAUAAGGACUUUGCUUAUAUCUAUGGGCAUUGGUAUGAAACAAAUUUUCUAGAAUUCUACCAGAUCUUAUUUAUUUGCAAUACUGUCUUACAACUACAGUGCUUUGAUAGAUCGUAAACAGGCAUCUUUAAUGAUGAAAAACCAUUCUGAUAAGUAUAAAAUCACAAUACAUGCUAAAUCAGAAAAGUGGGAAACAGGGUUGUCAAAGCUUCUAUUUUUACUUUUGUCCCUACUUUUUAGUAUUGUGGAGUUGGUUUGGGAAAUGGCGUAAUUUUUUACCACCAUUUAUAGUCUUUGGUUCUAAUGACUGCAUUUUUUUAAAACAAAUUAGAUUCAAGGUGAAAUAAGCUGAAUAAUGGUGUAAAAACCUGGAUGUUUCCUUACUGAUUUAGGUAUGAUCACAUAGAAGGCUGUUUGGUUUACUUUUUUGUUUAGACAAUAUAGUUUUCGGCAUUUUUCGCCUUUUCCUCUUUUCCAGACUACCCAUCAUUUCUGCUUUGGCAUAUGUUAGAUUCUACUUUUGCUAGGGUUAGGUUUCUAUUGAUAUAUCUAUACCAUGGAAUUUAGGUCCACUAGUAUGCAUAAGCAAAGUUGUAUACUGUGCAGGAGCAGCCUUACACAUUGCUGAAGAACUCAUCAGCAAUGCAUUUAUUGAUUUGGAUGCCCCUCAGUAUGGAAAUAGGAAAGAGGUAUACAAUCUAGACUCAAAAUUCGCUACAGUUGAAGCAUCAAUGCAGCCUGCUCACAAGAAAAGGAAGCAUACUGCAACUGACUCCUUCAAGGAUAGGGACUGUUUGGAAAUGCAAGUGCCAAAGAACUUUUCAACCUCUCCUAUAUCUUUGAAGAUUGCUGCAUUAAAGGCAUUAGAUACUCUCCUCACUAUGGUAUGCUACCUUUAUUUCUUUUUUCAUGGAGAAUGUUGUGCAGAUGUGCAUGAAAUUGCUUAUAAUCUAUAUGCCUGUCAAUAAAAAUUAUAUGAUUCAUAUUGACAUAUAAAAUACAACAGACCUCUUGUUGUAGCCUUGUUUAUUACAUUUUCGUAACAAUUUCCUGUUUUUUGCUGCAGCUAAAACUAUGCAAUUUCUGCAAGAAUUCCUUUAAACCAUAAUUUUAUAUUUCUGAACUGAUUUUGGUAGCAAUUUUACUCUGUGCAAUCUUAUAAUUGACUCUACAUGAUCACAUAAGAGAUCACUUUUAACAUCUUAUUGUGUUUAUUCGGCUUUUAUAUUAUUGAACAAAAAUAUAGGGUGAUUACUAAUUAUGCUGCAGGGAGGAGUCUUCAGAUCUGAACUACGACCUAGUAUCGAUAAUCUGCUAAUAAAUGUAGCAGUAAAUGCUUACAAUGGUAAAUGGACUAGUGAUGAAGAGAGUGAACUCAUGUCACCCAAUGGACCUCCUUAUGCAGAUUUCUUGCUUGCAGCAUUUCAUGCUCUGUUGGCAUCUCUACUUUCCCAACCUUCAGUUUGCCAGCAACAUCUGGCUAAGGGACUUGAACUUUUCCGUAAAGGUAGAGUUAACAAUCAAAAAUCUCAUUCUCUUUUGCUUAAAGGAAAAAAUUUUACUAAAAUGGAGAAGAUAUAUACAUGUUGCUUCCUUAUUCAGGCCAGCAAUGGUCCAAAGAGCCUAAAGAUUGAAAUCAGAAGUUCAUAUUACUUGCUAUUUCUUUGGAAUCUGGGUCAAAAUCUAAAAUUUCUUAGGAAGUUUUUUUCAAUAUGAUGCUCACAACAGCUUAUGCUAAAACCCUUAUGAAUGUCUUCUACAGGCAAACAAGAAGCAGGAACAAAGAUUGCCGAUUUCUGUGCACUUGCUCUUUUGGCCUCAGAAGUGCUUGUGCAUCCAAGGAAAGUUUCAGCCGCUGCAAUUCCAUCUACUAGCCAUGGCUGCUUCAAUGAGGGAAUUGAGCAUGAAAUGUCAGAGAAUUUAUAUUUGGUUCCUAAUGAAAAUGAGACUCCCAAUUCACCUCCAGCAGGGAUGAUCAAUCCAAAUCAAGAUGAAGCUCUAUUUAACCAUUUGCUUAAUAGUUACAAUGACAUUGAAGCUACACUAAGCAACCCUGAUAAAAUCAUUGACAUUGCUGAAGAACCUUCCAGGAUGGAUAGUCAGAAAGCUGUUGAAGAUUAUCAGGUUGAUCAUAUUCCAAUACUUGGUUACACUGGUGUUAGAUUUCCAGGAAAAGAAGACCAGCAAGGAGUGUCAUUUCUUGUUGAUGUGGAGAUGGAAAGAAACUCGGAUGACAUCAUGCACAAGAAGCAAUUUCCAGGUCCAUUGUCAGUGGCAGACAUCAAGCCUUUUAUAGAUAUGAAAAAGGGUCCUGAAACAGAAAUCAAAAAAGUUGUUUGUGAUAGUAGCGAUUAUGAUUUCUUGGAGACAGCUGAGUUUGGUAAAAGAACUGAAACUGAUGAACUAGCAGCAACACCAGACAGGGAGAAAGCUGAAGGAUCAUAUCCUGGAAAAUAAUCAUAAUUAGGUUCAAUUUGCAUUUAAGAAGACCCAAACCAUAAUAAUAGUCUUUUAACAUUUUAUUUUACUGUAUUAAGGUCAAGAUUUUCACUAUAUUAUAUCUCAAUAUUGAAUUUUAUCCCUAUAUAUUUUAAUUUUAUUGAAUAUUUUCAUUAUUUAUUAAUUAUUGAAUAAAAAGUAACUUAAUUGGAAUAUUUUAUGAAAUAUUCUGUUUAUACAAGUAGCAAAUUUAAGUUAAUUUUGUUAUUUUUAUUUAAAAAUCAAUAAAAAUUGAAAUUAUAACGACAAAUUAAAUAAAAUUGAAUAUUUCGUAAAAAUUAAACAUUGACCAAUUAUAUUAAAAAUUUUAACUUUAAUCUUAUUUUAAAGUCAACAAAUUUCUCAUAUACAAUCAUGAUAUUAUUUAUUUAUUUAAAAAAAUCAAUGUUUAAUUUAAAUCUCAAAAGCCCAAAAUUAAAAGACCCAAGGGUCCAGAUUCUCCAAAACACAAACCCAACGGGCCUAACUAAAAAAAAGCCUAUUACAAGCCCUAAAAUGAAAGAAGAAACGUUUGGGUUUAGGGUUUCCCUGUAUAUAAUGAUCAGGCUUCGUCUCAUUUCUCUUACCUACCUCGUCUGCUUCCCUUUUCUCUAGGCUUUUUCUCUUUCUCGCCUCUGACGAGAAGCUGAUGCUUCCAUGGUUCACGUCAGUUUCUACCGCAAUUGUAAGCUAACCCCAUUCUCUUUUUCCCCACUUUACCCUCUUUCUUUCUUCUAGGUUUUUUAAUUGCCUAAUCUGUAGUUUCAACUGAGUUCGUAUUAUACUAUGGAGGUUUUUGUUUUCCCGUUUUUAUUUCUUUCAUUUUAAUUGUUUUUGGGUUCUCACGAAUGGGUAUUUCUAUUUAGCUAUUAUAAUACCUUUUAAGCUUCUUUUUAGUUAACAAUGUAGCUGGGUUAUUUUGUUUGAUAUAGUUUAGGAUGUUAGAAAUGAUAUUUAUCUAUGAUUUUGCUUUUUUUUGUUUUUAUUAGCCAUUUUGAUCUAUUUGUUACCUGUUGGUUACUCAAUUUGAACACUGUUUGGUAAAUAAAGAGAAGAUUAUUGUAUGGUUGACUUUGCAGUUAGAAAGAUUUCAACUUUGAGGUCUCGGGUUUGAAUCUUGGGGAUGGCAGGGUGGGAUUUAUGAGUGGGAGAGUUUGCUUGUUUUGUAGCACAUAUGUAUCAAAGCAAUAGUAAUUGGUUGAUCAGUUUCAUGUUAGUCUUGGAUCCUAACUGAGAAAUGUGCUUUUUAAGCUUUAUGGGUUUUGCUGUUCAUAUGUGUCAGAACAAUAGUAUAAUUGGUUGAUUAGUUUCAUGGUAGUCUUUGAUCCCUAUCCGAAAAAUACUUUUUUAGCUCUAUCGGUAAUGCUGUUUUUGUUGAUUUUGCCUCAAAAGUUAAAAACGAAUAAGCUUUAUAAUCUGUUUGGGCUCCAUUUGGAGUUUUAGGUUAUUCGACUCUGACUUACUAAGUAGUUGUAAUCAGAGUAUUAUUAUUAUUUAUUAUUAUUAUUAUUAUUAUUGGGGGAAAAAUAUGUUGGUUGUAGAUGGGAAGACCUUUAAGAAGCCAGAGGCGGUCCAUACGAGAAGGAACCGUUUGGUGCUGAGUUGAAGCUUGUAGGAGAGUAUGGGCUCCGAUGUAAGAGGGAGUUGUGGGAGGGUUCAGUAUGGCUUUGAGCCGCAUCCGAAAUGCUGGCUAGGGACCUUCUCACUCUUGAUGAGAAAGGAACUCUCGUCGUAUUUUUGAAGUGAAGCACUUCUUUCGUAGGAUGAACAGGUAAUGGACUUUUGGAUGAGAGCCAGAACAAGCUCGAUUAUGUCUUGGCUUUGACUGUUGAGAACUUCCUUGAGCGGCGCUUGCAAACACUUGUGUUCAAGGCUGGUAUGGC
rnacentral:lncRNA from 1 species